CCUUGGCUCAUUGGUUGACUAAGGGUUGAUUAAUGCUUCUACACCAAGAGGUCUGGGGUUCGAGUCUCAGGUAUUGCGAUUUAUUAAUAAAUUUGCAGAUUAAUGGAGGCAAGUGUGCAAGAGAUCUCCAGCGAUGUACAAUUAUAGCCGUUCGCCAGGAUUCUACGCAGAGAAGGAAGUAUCGCCAGGUCGUGGAUCAUUGAAGGUAUUCAUCAAGAUUACAAAGAAAGGAAGUGUAGUCUGUCGUGGAUCUAGUAAGGGUCGGAAGGAAUUGUCAGUUGUAGAAUCGUCUAUGUAACAGUUCUCAUAAUUUGCAAUUAAUAAUAAAUUUAGACGACAAAAAACAAAAAAGAUAUGAAGAUUAGUUGUCUAAUUAUUUGUUUUUAGUUAUAAUUUCGUUUUUUAUUUGUGUGAUAUAUAUAUGUAUUAAGACUAAUGGCAAAAUCAGUAAAUAGUCUAAUAAAAUUUGGGUAAUAAUUUAAAUAGGUGGAAAAUCACUCUGAAAGCGACAUGUUAGCAUGACAGUUUAGUUAAUAACACGUCAAAGUAAGGUUUAUUUUUUAGAGUGCUUCACUAUCAAUAUAUAAGAGAUUUCUCGGCAUCUGAUAUUCGGUUCGGUUCUGUCAUAUUUGUCGAAAAUUCAGCCAAAUUUUAUUCAAAUUUAACCAUAUUUAAAAUUUAUUCCAAUAUUUCAGGUAUUGAUAAUCGAACCGAACCGAACCCGAACAAAAACUUUAAAAUAUUUGAAUGGGGCUUCUAAAUGCUUCUAUAGUUCUAUCUAAAAUACAUCGUACCAAACGAGUCUUAUCUAAAACCGAACCGAAUAUCGUAUAGGUAGCCACUUAACGAUAUUCUCGAAACUAUUUCCAUAAAAAAUCUAAAAGGUCAAAGAAAGUUUCCUAAAAUUUAUUUUAUGCUUCCGAAAUUUAGUCGAAGUGUGAAUUCAUCGUUAAUUAAAUUGAAGGGAAAAGAAAGCACAGAAACCCUAAAACUCUUAAACCUGGCAGAAACAGAACACAAUGACGACAACUCUUCCGACAUCGUUUUCUUCGUUACCGGAAGACAUCAUUCUCAGUUGCUUGGCUCGUGUCUCAAAAUUCUAUCGUCCGACUCUAUCCUUAGUCUCCAAGUAUUUCCGAUCUCUCGUAGCUUCUCCUGAUCUUGAGGCCACACGUUCCCGCAACGGGAUAACAGAAGAUUAUCUCUGCGUCUGCUUAAACGUGGGGUCUAAGCCUCGCUGGUUCACACUUGCACCAUUCCCACAACAACAGAAACUCAAACCAAUCCCUCCUUAUUAUAAACAUCCCAAAUCCUCCACCGUUGUUUCAAUCGGUUCAGAGAUUUACAUAAUCGGAGGCUCCCUUCAUCAAAAGAAAGGCAACAGAGUGUUGGUUCUUGAUUGUCGAUCUCAUCUAUGGCGUAGACUACCAAACAUGCGUCUAGCUAGAGAAACUCCAGCCGCUGAUGUAAUCGAUGGUAAGAUCUACGUGAAUGGAGGCUCUACGUCGUACAAAAUCGAGAAUUGGGGAGAGGUUUAUGAUCUAAAGACCCAAACUUGGGAGCCAUUAUUGUUUACAACACUUGAUCUCACCACUCAUAAGAGUGUGGUUCCAGGUAAAUUGGUAAUGGGUGGAAAAGUUUAUUCUAUGAAUGAUGAUUUGAAGAUUAGCUUGGAGAAGAAUGUUUGCUUGGUAGAGAUAGAGAACAUGAUGUGCCAAAUAUCGAUUUCGAAGGGGAUGUUAGUUUGGUAUAAUCCAGAGGAGAAUUUGGGGUGGAGUAGGGUUGAGGGACUUGAAGGAGUACCUCGUGAUCCAUAUUUUCCUGGUUAUCUAACUUCGGUGGCAAGUUACGACCGAGGAAGGAGAGUAACGGUUUGGUGGAAGUUGAUAGUGAGUCGUUGUUGGCCUGAUUGGAUGGAAAGUAAAACAGAGAUUUGGUGUGCAGAGAUUUCGUUUGAGAGACGAGAUUUAGGAAAGCUUUGGGGUUUUGUUGAAUGGUCUAAGAAUGUGUUUAUUUUCGACGGAGGCGUCUCUUCUGAUUUCUUUUUGCAUUAGGCUAUUGUGACAUACUGAUCAUUGUAUUGUAGUUUUGAUAUACAGUAAAACCUCUAUAAAUUAAUAAUGUUGGGACCAUGAUAUUUUAUUAAUUUAUAGUGAUAUUAAUUUAUCUAUAAAUUAAUACGUAUUAAUUUAUAGCGUAAAUUAAUAUUUAUUAAUGUAUAGAAAAUUUUGUUUCACUUGUGAAAACUUUUUUUUAAAAAAAUACGAGUUAAAGCAAUGUGAUCUAAAUAAAUUAAUGUUUUGGAUUUUAUAAAUUUUAUAGUUUUAGCCUAAAACACUUAAUAUUUCAAAGAAAAAAUAAUUUAUUUUGACAAUGAAUAACAUCGAUUAUAGAAUUCACAUAUACAAACGAUAUACAUAAAUUAAAAUUCACAAAUAGUGACAUCCAUUGUUGUAUUUUAAAAACCUAUACGACUAUUAAAAUAAAAAUUAUGCAUAUUCAAAAUUUGAAAACUUACAAAUGGUUUUGGCUAUUUUUAUGAAAACACUAAAAAUAUUAUAUAUAUAUAUAUAUAUAUAUAUAUAUAUAUAUAUAUAUAUUAGUGUGUGCAAAUUUACAUGAUUAUUAAUUUAUAAUAUUAUUGGGACUAUAUUUUUACAUUGGAAUUUCAAAAAAAUUUUAUUAUCUUAUUAUCUUAUCAAAUUUGUUUAAUUUUUAUACUGGCCCGACUCGGGACCGGCCAAAUUUAUUAAUUUAUCGUGGUUAUUAAUUUAUCGAGUACUAAUUUAUAAAGGUUUGACUGUAUUUUUAGAAUUUGAAGGGAUUUUUUUUUUCUUAAUAUUUUGAGCAUUUUAAGAGAUAAUAAACCAAAUUACAUUGGUGAUUUAAUGUGAUUUCUUAAACCAAAUAACAGCGAUAUCACACUUAACGAGUACGCAGAUCUCUACGCCAACAAAUAUUGAAUGCUACGUUUACAGUUCAAUAACACAUCUAAACCACCUUCCAAGUAAAAAAUUUGGAAGCAACAAUAUAUUUCUAACAAAAGUUCGAUGAAAUUACUAAUCUCUUCCCUGCUUUCAAUCUUUGGUUUCUAGAUUUAAUAAAACUUUCAAGAUCCAGACAACAGAGAAGCAGAGCACAAGUGUGAAAAACUUACCAUAAGAGCAUCUAGCGAAAGAGAUAUAUCUACAAUUACAAAGAAAACUAAAUCGAAUCCUGAGUCAUGUAAACCACAAAUAAGACCAAUCUGACUCUUAUUAUAUCAGGCAGAGGGCAUUGAGGUAGAUAUCACGACAUAAGACAGGUACUGAAGUCCUUCCUGGAUCUUUGUGAUAGCUGUGGUUUGGUCAGAGCGAAGACUAUCGUUGAAGGUGCUUGCUUUUUCCUGCAUGGUUGAUGUUUUCAGAAGAUCAUCUUUGGAAUCAGCAGCAGCAACUCCUUUAAUCGCAGCUGAGUAUGUUUCAGAUACAUCUGAUAUACCUGCAAUGUGGAAAAGGGUAUUUGGAAACUGUCACUUUUCUUCUAGUGUUCCGAGUUUCACAAAUCACAAGCAUAUCUAUCUUUUUUUUUUUUAACUGGGUUAUAGUAGAAGAAAUGUUGCUUCUAUCUUCUACUCUUACAAAUGAAAUGGCAUACUAUCCAAUAAGAUGAUUCUAGCAACCCAGGAUACUCGGUAAGAAAUGCGAAAGAGGUUAUAAGUCGAAGUAAGUUGAAUAAUUGUGGACCAACCUGUUAUAAAACUGUUGGAAACUGCUUCAACAUAUCCAGUCAUCGAUUCUGCCUUGCCUUUAAUCAGCUUAGCUUUCUCAGUAGGAUCCUCUGGCCACUCGAUUUUCAAUGCCUCGGUGUCUUCAUCCUGAACUUUGUUGGCAUGAGAUAUCAUGGACUUACUGAGAAUAAGCAGAUGAGUGACUGCAAAACAGCACAUCUCUGAAAGUCUCUGCAGAACGAGAUUUUAUCUUUUUAGUUAAUUGAGUCAUAUUUCAGCCAAAAAAAGGAAAAAUACUGAUGGGGGUAGAAAAUUCUUCAAUAUUUAAAAUAAAUAAGAAGGGACCAAGCUUCGUACAUGAACUCCUUCUGAGUGAAGAGAUUCAAGCCUGCCACCGGUCCGCUGGAUCAUAUCGUUUACGUUUAGUCCCGCUAAAGCAUUUGUGAACCUGAUAAACAUAAGUGACGAGCAAAUAAAAAAGCAGGUCAAAGAAAUAUAUUCCAUACACAUUUAUCUUCUUAUCUUAACAUGAAAACUUUCAUGAUGCAAGGAAAUCAUAGAAAGUACUUCUACAAAGGUCCAAGUUUCUAAUUUUCACCUUCUCUCUUAUGAUAUAGAGUAUUGCAUUUGUUUAUUGAUAUGAAGGGAUAAUAACAGAUUCCUAUAACAUUGCUGGGGGCUGAAGGGACGUAUUGUGGUGAUUUUUAGGAGAAAAUACAGACAACGGAGACUGAUGGAAAAACAAUGUAGAAUCUGAGAGGAAAAGGGGGACAGUCAUAAUUACCCCGCAGCCAUAUCAGCAGCUUUGCUGACACUCGAGUUAUGCAGAUUCUUCAUGUCAUCAUCAUUGCCUUCAGUUUUGAUAUCUAUUUUCUUCCCUUUGUCAGACUCUGCUUUACUUCCGCUCAUUUCGUCAGCGAAGCUAAACAGUUGCUGGAUUUGUUUGAGCUUCCCGUCAUACAAGGAUUUUUGAUCUGGUGACAAUUUCCCCUUUUUCCUGUUGAACAACAGAGUAUAGUGGCUUGCCAAUGCUUCCAAUUCCUGUAAACACCAUGCAUUGAGAAACUGAGGAAAGACAAACUCGAUUUUUCAAGAAUGAAUGUACAGGUGGUUUUCAGCAAUAAGUAGGUCACCUCAAGCUGCUCAGGACCACCAUAAAUGUAAAAACAUCGAUCAAAUGUCACUUCCUCAAGUACUUGAUCCUUAAAGUCUACCCUAUCCUUCUCAGCUCCAAUACCAGUCUCUGUAAUCAGUAAAUCCAUGGUUUCCUUGCCCACAAAUUCAAGUACUUGCAUUCCUUUAGCAGUUAAUGCUUUUCCUGUCUGAAGAUCAGAAGUAUGGGCUAAAUGAAAUGUUAAGCUAGGAAAGACAGAAGACGACACAAACAGCACAAACCUCCAGUAGGGAAGGUGCACCAGAUCCAGCUUCCCUAGGAGAAGAACCUUGCUCGACACUGUUUUCAAGCCUACAGAAAAAAUAGUGGAGCAUCAAUAACUUGAUCUUCUUCGUAGGGGAACAGGUCUGUACUCAUGAAACAGACGACUUCUGGAUUCAAUAAGCCAGUCUCACCAGUCAUCGGCAAACAUUGUAUUCAGGAAAUGACACAUAGCUUGCCCAACAUUUUAUUAUUAAUGAAACAAAAAUAAGCAACCUAAUUUACCAAAAGAAGAAUCUAUUAAAGUAAAUUAACUUGAGUAUUAAAUGCUCAGAGCCUCAGACUCUUGUUAUGUGCAGAAACGGAAUGCUAAACAAAUGAAGUAAUUAAUUUUAAUGCAGACUUUCCAUAAGACAAUUCAUGGAGCAUUGAUAAAUCUUUGUAAACAUUUAAACUGAAGGAUUACUUUCCUUCUUGUCAGGAUAUAUAAACUCAGUGGCCUAAACCAUUUUCGUUCACAAAGUUUGUACUUUGUCCACAGUUAAGAUCAAAGCUUUCAGUAAAACAGAGACAAAUUAAAAGAAACAUACUUUUGCACCAAACUUGUGCCCCCUUUUAACGCAUUUCCAAAUGCCUGCCAAGCUCCAGAAGUGAAACUCUCAACUGAAUCAUCGAAAACCUUCAAACCCUGGAAGAUGAAACAUCGAGAUACUAUAUUAAUUCUAACAUAUGAGCAAGUGAAGAAACAAUGACUUGAGCCAACUGACAAACCAGCAGAAAAAUCAUAUGGAGUAACAAAGUUCAAUGCAGGAAAGAGGAUUAUCACAUUUCCAACAUUAUCACCAUGAGCAUGAACAAUGACUUGCCUGGCUAAGAAGCGACUCUUCACUUGCCCCCUCCAAUCUCGCAAGAGCUGACUUCUUUAACUUUGCAUUCUCAUCAUCACUAUCCUGCUCUGUAUCAGCUUCUUCAGUUUUCUCUUCUUCCUUAGCAGAAGAUUCAGAGUCUUCAUCCACUUCUCCCAUAUCUGCAAUACUUUUCGCCGCUUUCUCCGCCACCGCUGCAGCCUACAGUAGUAGGAAAAAUCAAGGAUCAUUACUCACAAAUUAGUAAAGAGUUUAGAUCAAAGAAGUUCCUUCAACAAACCAUAAAACCUCUAUCAUUUGGUACCAUAAGUUUCGGAUCCAAUAUCAAAAACACAAAUUGAUAAAAUUAGGUCAAAAUUGGAGUGAGAACAUACAUUACGAGAAAUCUCUUCCGCAGCUUUUUGAAGAUCGGAAAGUACAGAGAAGCCAGAGAAACCCCAACCCCAACCACCGGUACUCUUCGGCGGCGCAUCGGUAUCGGCCACUGUCAAUUUCUCAAUCUCAGGCUCUUCUCCCUUAACCGGGGAUGAUUUCUCCUCGUGCAUUUGCUUGUCUUCCUCCAUCGUCGAUAGCGAUCUGGAGAUCAAAUUAGGGUUUCACCAAAAUCGGAUUUACCAGAAAUGAGAUUAGGAUUGUGUGAAGAUUUGUCGAAGGAAUGAAAAUGGGAUUAAGAAUUUCGAAUCGAAAACUGUAAUUCAGUUAGCUGUGAAACUCAAAAGACUUGACCGGAAAAUCAUGCUUAUGCUUCGUCGUGCAGCAAAAGCAUCUUCAACUAUACGCCGUCGUUUUUAAUAUUACAGUCUAACUUAUCUCAAUCUUUUUCCAAUGGCCCCAAUGGCCCAAUGGCCCAAUGGCCAAUGGCUUUGCUAAACUAAAUAAUGAUCUCUCUUCAUAUGUUUUUUUCUUUAAUACAAAAUAUGAAUUUUCUUUAUCCAUAACAUGAACGACACUAAGAAGUGUAUUAUUUGUUCACUUUGUUGAACAAAUGUGGCAAGUGGCGGAGGUAGUGUUAUACCAUAGGGGUCAAUUGACACCCAUGGAUUUUUAAAACUUAGUUUAAUUUGAUUAAUCAUUUAUAAAUUGACUCCAUUACAAAAUAUAAGAGAAAACCACUAAAUAUUAUAUAUCAAAAAGAAUUAUUAUAAUUAAACUCAUUACAAAUAAAUUUUAAAUAUAUAUAUAUAUAUAUAUAUAUAUAUAUCCAUUAAAAUGAGUUCAACCUAAAUAUCACUAUUCUUUCGCUACUUAUGAUUUUUUUUUUCUUUUCCUCUAUUUCAAUUAACAUUAUCCAUUGAAAAUCAUAUUGGAAAUAAAAUUUUAAGUUAAAAUUUAUAUAUUUUUUAGUUUGACAUGAAACGUCUUGAUGAUUUUGUUCAUAUAUUACAAAGACAAAUAUGUCUCAUUUUUUUAUUUAUCGACUUUUAAAAUUAUUUUUUAUGUUUUAAUUUGCAAUUGCAACAGUUAAAAGAAAUUUCUUUACUAUGAAUAUUUUGAAAACGACUUUGUAUCGUUGAUACAAUUUCAAAUAACUUUCUAGUUUUUGAAUGAAAAAUACGUAACAAUGUGACAAACAAAAAAAUAAUAAAACAUUUACAAGAUAUAAAUAAUUUUAUGAUAGAUUUCUAAAAAUUAUAUUUUAUUAUAUUUUAUUUUUUUAAUAAAAUUAUAUAUUUUCUAUAUUAAAAAAAAAUUGACCCCUAUAAACAAUUUUUUUGGCUCCGUCACAUCAACGAAGUUCAUUUUUCAACAUCGGGAGCAGAAUUUAUGUGCAAAUCUACUAGCCAAAAUGGCAAAUAUUUGUAGUAAUCAAUAUUUUAUGUAUAAUUAAUGUCCUACUUUCGUACAACUCUUAUAUCGAUGAUGCUGAUUAUAGUGAUUAAUAAAUUUAUUGAAAGAAACAAAAAAAUUAUUUGUACAUUCACCAGAUUCACUCAUUAUUUAGUUAUACUAAAAAUGAUAAUUUGCUUUGUUAAAGAAGUUGAGAAAUUUUAUUUUUCUUCCAGAAUCAUUAAACAUUGAAAUGAGCACUUCUGUGAAAAUCUAACAUGUGACUCUGAACUAAAACAGACGGACAAAAAAAAAACUAUUAAGAGGUUCAUGAUAAAUCCAAACUACUCAACUCCAUGGUGCUCUGGAGGGAAAGGAAGAUGUCUAUGAGUUUGCUUUUGUGGCGUAUGCAGUCACUGAGCUCCCUUACUUUGCCUCACUGCAGACUAGGAAAAAAAAGAAUGAAUGAAGAGAUCGAGUCAGACCUCCACGGACUCACCAAAUAUGAGGAGAAAGCAUUGGAGACUAUCAAGCCCAAACUGAAAGCUGACAUCGAAAAUCCCAAAUUAAACUUGUAUCAUUUUGUUUUUGGAUUUCCAUAAAUAUAAAUAUGGCUGGUAUGCUUUACUAGAUUAAUUUAGUUUAUUAUUUUAAAUUUUUAGAAUCUAUUUAUGGAUAGAAGGUUAGCUUGGUUUACUCCAUCCAUUGAUGUCUAGUAUGCUUUACUAGAUAAUGAUCCUUUUAUAUUACAAAAGAUCGAGGCAUCACCUUAUAUACACCGCUUCAUGAAACAUCAAAUUUUAGAAAAAUAGACAUGGCCAUGGAGUUAAUGCCAUCGUUAAUGUUUUAACUAAAUACAUGAGGACUUAGACUAUUCUAUCUUACAAUAGAGAACAAUCAAGUCGAGAUCUCACUAGAGCUAUGUGGAUGUCGGAUUCUAACACUCAAAUAUUUAUAUUAUUUAUGGGCUAAAACUCUUAAGGUCAAAAGUACAAGACAAAUACGUAUAACAAAAAGUAUGAAGAUGUGAGUAGAAACGUAAACAUAAAGUAGUAUUGUAUUAGUAAUGUAUGAAAAUUUAGGUAUAUGGGGUCUUAUAUUUAUACACAAUGAUUUACACUUAUGAUUUACACUUAAAUGACUAAUAAAUGUAAUAAUUCUCCUUCAAUGUGUUUGUUUUGAUUUUGUCUUCAAUGUUGUAACGUUCUUGUUUAAAUUCCUUCGGACCUUUCUUUGGCUUUUAAUAUGCUUGGUCCACCCUCUGAAUUCGAAAUCCCUCUCAGUUUCACCUCUCUUAUGCGAGUUCUUCCGUUUGUCGUAACGAAUAUUAUGACUUCAGCUCGGAUACUCAGUUGUGAGCCCCCUCAUGAUGAUUUGGUGAUACGUGGAUAUCUGCUUUUGGAUCCUGAACUGAGAGCAAGCUAGUCAAUUUUGAUCACAAUUUGAUUCAUCUUUGCGUCAGAGAAAAUAAAUUUCUCAAUAAUAACUGUAAACCAUUUAUAUUUUUUUUUUAAAAUAACUCCUUAUGUAUGAAUUUUCAUAAUUCGACAUAUUCGCUAUGAGGUAAGUUAAUUUUCGUUGAAAAAGAUUUUACUAACUUAUCAGAAAAUUUUGUGAGGGUGAUUUGAUUAUGAUAUUAUUGCGGUUAAUGCAGUGUUAUGAGUUAAUACAUUCAUUCGCUAUGAGGUUUUGUUUUAAAUUUAAAACCUACUAGCUUAAAACCCGCGCUACGGGGUAUUUUUCUUAAAUUGUGUUUGAAACUAUUUUUAUAUCUAAAAAAAGCACAAACUUAUGAAAUAGACCUUCUCUUUUAAUGAUUAUUUUCUUUUCAUAUAACCUUGUUUAGAAUUGGGAUGUAUAGUUGACCAAAUUUUGAAGGUUUUUCUUCAGGCGGUAGUAGUGAUUCUAAUAUGUAAUAAACUAUACAUCCCUUGAAUUCUGAAUGUGUAGGGACUGAAACCAAACAUGAUCCACUUUGGCUCCAAUAGAAGUGAAAGCUAACACCAACUUGUUAACUUUUAUAGUCUCUUUAAAGACUGGUGAUUCCAAUAACUCUGCUACAAGUUCUGGGGGAUUUCUUACGGCCGAUAAAGUUACUCUUCCAUUUUGGCAGCAUAGGCCUGGGCAUUUGGGUACCCGUUCGGGUUCGGUUCUUUUUUUUCGGAUAUCGGGUCUAUUCGGGUAGGGGGUCAAGACCCAUUCGGGUAUUCUAAAAAUUUGGUUCGGGUUCGGUUCGGGUUCGGGUCGGUUCGGGUAUUUUAAUAAAAAAAAGCAAAAUACUCGAAAAUAACCAAAAAUACCCGAAAUAUUUUCGGGUUCGGGUCGGGUUCGGGUUUUUAACUCAUAUAUACCCAAAUCUAACCGAAAUACUCGAUUUAUCGAAAAUACAAUGGUUACUCUUUACCCAAAUAUAACCAAAAAUAUCUAAAAUACCUAAUAUAUUCGGAUUUAUGAUUGUAAUUUUAGGUAUUUCGGGUAUUAUAAAUAUAAAUAUAACUAAUAUUUAUAGGUGUAUAUUUGUAUUCGGGUACAUUCGGGUACAUUCGGGUAUUGGAUUCGGUUCGGGUUCGGUUCGGGUUUUUUUCGGGUAGGAGGUUAGGACCCAUUCGGGUAUUUUUAAAAAUCGGGUUCGGGUUCGGUUCGGGUAUUGUUCGGGUUUUUCGGUUCGGGUAUUCGGUUCCGGGUAUUUUGCCCAGGCCUAUGGCAGCAUAUUGAAAACAAUGGUUUUCCUUCUUUAGUUUUCUCAUUGUUUUCUUUUUCCCAAACCAAGAGUUUGACAUGAAGGACCUUCAAGAAGAUUGAUUGUAUCUGAAACUUAUAAAAACAAAUUAGAAAAUUUUGGCUUUGUAAGAUAUUUGUAUAGCUUUUUAAUAUAUACCUUUGUAAGACAAAUAUACAAUCAUGAUACACAUGCAAGCAUGCGAACUUCUCUAUUUACCGUAACACUCCCUAGCAACAACUUAAUGCAAAACUAAACACUUAGGUUGUACUCUCACUCACAAUAUCAAUGUUUAGUCAUUACCAGAUAAUAAUGCUGAAAACGAAGUGGAUAUUCACAGUAAAUUUAAUGCAACCGGUUAGGAUCCUACUUAUGAAACGAGAAUGGACCUAAAGUAAUAGAUAAGGAACAUAUGUCAAUCAACUCAUUUGUUAAUUGAUUUAAAGUUUAAAGCUCUUAAAACUUACACAAAUACAUUUAGUACGGGCAUAAGAUGAACUGUACAACGACAACGGUAGUGUUGUUACGUAUAACUUUUUUGUAUUUGUCAUAUUUUUAAGAGUUGGAUUUGAAAUCCAAAUUCCAACAAUUAAUAGGCUACAAGUGGCAGAGACAUUCUAAACGCUUUAGAGUUUCUAAAAGUCUCUCGAAUCUCUUUGUACUGAUAAGCAUUAUCUUAAGUAAUUAGGUUCAUGAUCUGAGACAAGGACAACUGAAUUGUGGGUCUAAAUUAGUUAGAUUCUCAAGUUCUCACCGUCGACUCUUAACCGUAUAAGUAAUUUAUUUCCACUUCAGCUGCAGAUCAUGAACCGUAUCAGUUUCUCAAACAAUUAUCAAAGCUGAAAUAUAUUUCCACAGAAAUUAAAGUAUAUUAGUUUCAGCCAUAGCUUUUUAUCAAGACGAUAGAGUUCUAAUAUCAUUCACCGAUUCAACACCACUUCAAAUUUCUAUCGUUCAAAAAUCAAAACCUUGUCAAUCUCGAGCUUAUUGGAGAAGAGAAGCUUCACUGUUAGAGAAAAAGUCUCGAAUCGAAUUGGGCUCCAAUCAAGAGAUGAGCGAUGUAACGUAUUCGGAGACACAAAGGAAUGAGAAACUCGGUCAAAUCAAGUUCUUGGAUGGGUAAAAAAGUAAUCAGAAUGUUAUGUUCAGUCACGGAACCGAUCAGUGAACACUCAGACGGAUUCACCCUAUAUCGCUCAUGAAUUUGAAAGAGAUAAAGAAAGAAGAUAAAACCAGAGACGACACGAACAAUUAACAAGUUCCCCUAAGCGAUCCACUAUCUCAACGAAAUUAAUGACCGGAGUUUUCUGUACAAGGUUCGGAGCUAACGCUCUCUCAGAAGAAGAUGAAACGAAGCAAGAGCAAUUGUAAAAAAAACAUCUCACGAUCCUCUCUCUAAUUUAUCUAACCUUCUUAAUCAUGUCUUACUUAACUAAUCCAUCGUAACAGCCUACACAUGAACCAAUUACUAAGCCCAACUUAUCCCAAACCUAGAACUAACCCCACACACAAUAUGGAUGAUGUAUAAAAAAUUAAAGCUGAAUCAUAUUAAUGAAAUGUUUUUAUUGGAAGAUAAAAUGGCUGAUGUGUCACUUCCAGAACAUUCCAAAAACCUGAGGUGUCAGCACUGGAGAGAAACUUAGUAUUUUUAUUGUAUUGAUCACUUGGAAUAUGAAAUUCAUGUUGUUUUAAAAAUUUUAUUUUUUUUCAUACAAAAUUAACAUAUUGUCUUCUCUCUUUCUUGUGAUUUUGUCAUCUCCCUUUGAAAUAAAUCCAGAUUCAAAUUGCGAGUUGUCAUAUUUCUUUGCAAAUCUUUGAUUUUCCCCUUCUCUAUAUUUUCUCCUUUAACACAAAAAAUCUAAUUAUAUAAUUCAAAUUGGAAUAAUACCACAAUGAGACACUUUAUUCAACUUAUUUCCACAAUGAGGCACUUUGAAAGUUGAGAGCACUUUGGAUAAGUUAUUUGACCCAUUUGCCCUCUAACUACAUCUCGCUUUGGUUACAAUAUCUUUUCUCUCUCAUUCUCAUAUCCAUUCUCUCUUUCUCUCUCUCUCGGCAAAGAAGAAAGCCAAGUCCAGCUUCUUUCUUCCUUCUUCAACAAAUCAUCAGCUUUCUAAAGAAAGAGAGAUUGAACAUUCAGAUGAGGCUAUUUAAUUUUUCCGGUUAAUCGGAUCUCCCGAUUUCUCCGUGUCUGUUUUGAGCUAACUUCAAGGAGACUUUUUUCAGACCACCAACUGGAGCAUCUGUCCGAUCUGGCUGGUUUAGUUACCUGAUUCGUUGAAUCGGCUUUCUGUAAACUCGGGUCUCUCUUGGAUGAGUUUAGUGGGAAAAGAGAGAGGAUCUUUUGGAAUAAAAGAACUGCCAUGGUAAUAUCAUCACAGCCUCUUCGUUUUUUCCCCAUUGCUUAUUGUUUUUGCUCUUAAAUGUCUUAUCUUUCGAUUUUAUCAAAUUAAAGGAUUGAUUUUUAGACAAUUGUUUUGUUUUAUUUGGUUUGGUGCUCGUUAAUAGAAAGAUCGAUUCUUGGAUAAUCAAAGAUUAUUUGGUUUGGUGCUCGUUAGACAAAUCUUUUACAAUAAUCAAAGAUUAGAAGGUUUCGCCAAAGUGUCCAGAAUUAAACGCAAUCCACUUCAAUCCAAAUCCCAUACUUGAAAAAGUUUAAACACACAAAGAAAUUCAAUUCACGUUCUGGGUUUCUUUAAACUAUGGCGGCUAAUUGGACAAGGGUUAGUUUCUUCUUAGCUUUGGUAAUGACGGUGGCGAUUCUUUCCCCUGCUGUCGUCUCCGGUAGAAAUGCUUUUUCCGAUUUUAAAUCAAUCGAAGACGAAGCAUACGCCGUCGCUUCUGCCGCCGUGAUUAGUGACGAAGACGGGAUCGAAAUUCUUAAAACUUAUUCUAAAGAGAUUAGUAAAGGUAUGCUUGAAUUUGUGAAAGCUAAGACUAAUGUGGCUUCUCCUCCACCAAAGGAUGGUGAUGGAAUUGAAUUAGCUGCAGAUUCGAAGCUUGAUUCAAGUGAAGAUUUUAAAGAAGAUGAUUGCAAAUCCAAAGCUUGACGAGGCUUGAACAUGGUGUUGUUCUCUUAUAAUAGAUUCGUAUGAGAUUAUCUUUGUAGUGUGACUUGUUGAUUUUUCAUUUCUUAGUAAUAUGAAUUUGUGUUUGCUUUGGUAAUUGUGCUCAUUUAUGCUAUAUCUUGAGAUGUUUGGUAAUUAAAAUCAAACUUGGACUUCUAUUUAGUGUUAUAUAUUUAAAAAAGUUAAAUAUCGGUUUGGGUUUAGUAGGUAGGGGUAGGGUUUAGUGUUAUAUAUUUAAAAGGAGUUAAAAUAUCGGUUCAAGUGUUUUUCAUGUUUAAAGAAAAAUGGACGGUCUAAGUGUUUGUCAUGUUUGUCAUGUUUCACCAUUACUCCACAUGGUCAAGUCUAAGUGGACAAGUUAACAUGGACCCAAACUAUCAUUAACUACUUGGGUUUUGAGUGUUGAUAUUUGAAAGCAAUGUCUACAUUGUUAUUGGGGUUUGGAGACCUAUAGGAUUAUUAGUUUAUACAUAAUGAAAUCAUGUUGGAAGCUUUGACAGUUUGUCUCCAUGAAACUUGUCCAAUUAGACGUGACCAUGUGGAAAUAACUGAUUCUCAUAUGCGAAGUAAAGUGCUCUUAGCUUAGAGGUUCAACGAAACAUCAAUUUAUCAAGCUAGAUUCAAUUAAAAGAAGUUAAAUUUCGGUUUGGAUUUAAUUUGUUGACGAAGUUAGAUUUCGGUUUGGAUUUAGUUUGUAGGGGGUAGGGUUUAGUGUUGUAUAUUUAAAAAAAGUUAAACAUCGGUGUGAGUUUAUAUUGUUGACGAAGUUAGAUAUCGGUUUGGGUUUACUAGGUGUAGGGGAUAGGGUAUAGUGUUAUAUAUUUGAAAGAAGUUAAAUAUCGGUUUGGGUUUAGUAGGUAGGGGGUAGGGUUUAGUGUUAAACUUUUAAACCGAAUUUUCAUCUCGUUUUAGGUUUAUAUUGUUGACGAAGUUAGAUAUCGGUUUGGGUUUACUAGGUAGGGGGUAGGGUUUAGUGUUAAAUAUUUGAAGAAGUUAAAUAUAGGUUUGGUUUAGUAGGUAGGGGGUAGGGUUUAGUGUUAUAUAUAUUUGAAGAAGCUCUACACAUGAAUCAUUUGUGUUCAAGUGUUUGUCAUGUUUCACCAUUUACUCCAAUUGGUCAAGUCUAAUGGGACAAGUUAACAUGGACCCAAACUAUCAUUAACUACUUGGGUUUUGAGUGUUGCUAUUUGAGAGCAAUGUCUAUAGAUUGUUCUUGGGGUUUGGAAACAUAUAGGAUUAUUAGUUUAUACAUAAUGAAAUCUUGUUGGAAGCUUUGACAGUUUGUCUCCAUGAAAACUUGUCCAAUUAGACGUGACCAUCUGGAAAUAACUGAUUCUCAUAUGCAAAGUGAUAUAUUUUUAAAAAGUUAAAUAUCAGUUUGGGUUUAGUAGAUAGGGAGUAAGGUUUAGUGUUAUAUAUUUAAAAGAAGUAAAAUAUCGGGUUGUAUAAACUUGUGCAUUGCUAUGAAACAACCAUGUGAGUUACUAGAUGACCUUUUGGACUUGACUGUUUAGACACUAAUAAAUGGACAACUGUGUCUUUGAUUUGCUGCAAAUGUGUUUUAUCGCUUAGUAAAAUUAUCACUUUUUUUAUGGUUACGAUAUAUUGGAUGGUUUAGAGUUUUGGUUUACGGUUUAAGAUUUAGUGGACAAGGAUUAGGGUCUUGGGGUAUAGGGUCGAGGGAUAGGAUCUAGAGUUUUAAUUUAAUGUUCAGGGGUUAGGGUUAAGGUUUACAAAGUGGUUUAUCCAUAUGGACAACAAUUAUAUGGUAUGGUGCAUCCAAGCACAUCCAUAAACAAUUUUGGACAUGAUUACGUAAAUAAAAAAUUGUAAUUGGUCCAUACAACUCUAACUAUGUGGAUGGCUACUUGUAAAGUGUUAGAUAUCGGUUUGGGUUUAGUAGGUAAGGGGUAGGGUUUAGUGUUAUACCUUUAAACCGACCUUUCAUUUCGUUUUAUGUUUAAAUUGUUGACAAAGUUAGAUAUCGGUUUGAGUUUAGUAGGUAGGGGAUAAGUUUUAGUGUUAUAUAUUUAAAAAAGGUUAAAUAUCGGUUUGGGUUUAGUAGGUAGGGGUAGGAUUUAGUGUUAUAUAUUUAAAAGAAGUUAAAUAUCUGUUUGGGUUUAGUAGGUAGGGAGUAGGGUUUAGUGUUAUAUAUUUAAAAGAUAUUAAAUAUCGGUUUGGGUUAAGUAGGUAGAGGGUAGGGUUUAGUGUUAUACAUUUAAAAUAAGUUAAAUAUCGGUUUGGGUUUAGUAGGUAGGUAGUAGGGUUUAGUGUUAUAUAUUUUAAAGAAGUUAAAUAUCGAUUUGGGUUUAUUAGAUAGGGAGUAGGGUUUAGUGUUAACUAUAUUUAAAAGAAGUUAAAUAUUGGUUUGGGUUUAUAUUGUUAACUAAGUUAGAUAUCGGUUUGGGUUUAGUUGGUAGGGAGUAGGGUUUAGUGUUAUAUAUUAAAAAGAAGUUAAAUAUCGGUUUGGGUUUAGUAGGUAGGGAGUAGGGUUUAGUGUUAUAUAUUUUUUUAAAAAGUUAAAUAUCGGUUUGGGUUUAGCAGGUAGGGGUAUGAUUUAGUGUUUUAACCUUUAAACCGAACUUUCAUCUCAUUUUAGGUUUAUAUUGUUGUUGUGACUGAGACACUAAAGAUGGUGAAUAGGAUUUAGUGUUUAACCUUAUUCCACAAUAAUUCGUAAAAUCAUAUGAACAUAACCAUAGGAAUGAUCUUAUAUUUUUUUUUUGACAUCUUUGGAUCGACAAUGCCCGAUCCAUAACCAAUCCCUACUAUGCGGGGUAACGCGACUUACUGGAGUCAAACUCCGGUGGAGAAGGCGGAGUCAAGUGGACUUAACCACUUGACUAAAGGCACAUCCCCGGAAUGAUCCUAUAUUUUACAUCUCUUAAAUUAAAAUGUUUUAGCUCCACAAACAGAGACACGAUGGCGAACAUAUCUAAACAUUGUUCACCAAAAUGAAAUACAAGAACACCUUAUAAGUUGGCGAACAUAUCUUCGAAGGAUAAUAGACGGAUUCCUAUGGUUGACAAUACGCAAGUACGCGUUCAUAUAUGACAUUUAGGAGUGAAGGUGUAUCCAUGUAACAUCGAACAAAUGGAUAUAGUGUAAGAAAUGACGGUGUAUCCAUCUAGCGGAGACCAAAUGGAUAUGCAUUUUAGUAUUUUUUCGUAAACCAAACAAUUAACGUUGAGUAGCAUUAACAACAGAGCUAAAUCAAUAACAUCAUGUCCGGUUUGACGUAAUAUGUGGACAGCCACAAAAUGGACAAAAAUCAUAUGGUUAAAGAGGUGGGGAUUGGUGCGUACCUAUGGGCAAGAAAUUAAACAAGGAAUUCAAGGUGUCCCUAGAAAAGGGUAUUGGAAUUUUAACUGGAAAACCAGAUGCAUCUUAACAAAUCAAAUUUCAAUGUCAAUUCACAACAUUCAUAUCACGAAAAUUAUGAAAAUUAAUUUGCUAAUUAUAGAAUUUAACAUUUUCGUUACCACAAAUUUUUAUUUCUUUUUCUCCAGAAUGGCUACGGCUACGUUUCACCAAUCAAUCGUUUUCAUUUGCUUCUCCUUCUUCCACAAUCUCUCAAUAUGGAUUCAAGAUCGAUUUUUCACUGAGUUUUAUAUCAAAAAAGUUAAACUUUUGCAAGAUUAAAGCAAUGGCAUCAGUUUCUUAUAACAACACUCUCUUGUCUUCUUCCAAGACCAUCCCUGACAAUUCUCUAAAGACAUCAAGUACAUGCUCUGCUUUUUGAAUUCCUCAAAUCUCAUAAGAAACAUUGGUUUAUGAUCAUUUAUCUAAACAAGUUUAUGUUUUGAUGUUUAGAUGAAGCUGCUCUUAAAAACCAGAUAAAGCAAGUAAAAAUCCAAUUCCAGAGAGAAUCAAAUUUGGUUAAAGUUGCUCUUACCUCUCCCAAACCAUUUAUCAAUGAAUUUCUUGUUAUAAACAACGAUUCGAUUUUUCUUCUUCCCCAAUUGAAACAUCCCUCGUGAUCUUAGUUCAGACCAAUACAAUCUGUAUUAAAUCACCGGUCCGGCGAGCCAACCUAGCUGCGCCGUAGCCUACGCCAGUGACAAAACUCCCUAACUUAUCACCGUCGUUAUUAUUCCCAGUUUCUACUUCAUCAAAAGCAAAUAUGUCAUUGCCUCGGUGACGGCGGCGACCAAUCGAAAUAUUUUAUGAGAAGAUUAUAUCUCUAAGAUCUAGGAAUUUUCAUGGAAGGGGAGAAAGCAGAGCGAAGAGAGAGAUAAUUUUGUUUCACAUCUGGGCAUUUGUUUCUAACUAAUAUUUCUUAUGGAACGAGAGAAGAGAGAAAGUGUGUAACAUAGCUUUAGUUAAAUGAGGGGCAAAAUUGUCUAUCUUUAUUCCAAAAACAAGGUAAAGUGCCUCAUAUUUCUAAAGUGUCUAAAGUGUAAGAACUUUCAUCAAAAGUGUCUUAACAUGCAAAUCACCCAUUCAAAUUUGGUCAAACUAGUUUUAUAUGGCUACAUCUAAUUGCCAAAUGAAAUGGAGACAAGUACCACACAAAACCAAUUCAGUUUCUUCCACAUCUUCCUUCUCCACAUUUUUUUUAGUAGGAAUUUAAUUAGACGGGCAACACACAAAAUCAAAAUGAAGAAAGAAAGUUUAUGGGUUUAUGUAACUUUCUUUAAGGACCCAUAACUUUCUCAGUCGGCCUAGUGGCCCAUUAGCUUUGCAAAACAAAGUCAACUAUUUAUUUAAAGACCCGCGCUUACUCUGCUAGUCUAGAGUAAAAAAAUGAGAUUUUUAACCGCUCUACCCUCGAAUCGUGUUUUCAUUUUAUUUAAUACCAUUUAAAAAAAGUCGUUUCGGAAACAGGUCAUAUUUCGAUUUCGUGGCACAUGGAAGAUACGAGUUUGCCCUCAUGGACAUUGGCGCGAGACUACGUGAUGGGAUACCUGUCUGACUGUAAAAACAAACUAAAAAACCUAGUCUGAUUGCGUAAGCUCGUAGGUCGUACAACUGCAUUAAUGGUGCAUUAAUUGUUGGUAAUCAAGUGCUAAAAUUUAUUUACUGGAUAAAAGAGUGGCUGGUUUACUUUAACAAUCAGAGAGAUAUUGAUUUAGGAGAUCCCUUGAUUUAGAGUUGUUGUCUACAAUUUAAAAGAAAACACGAUUCCAUUUGUUUGAAGACGAACGGCGAUUUCGAUUUUGUGGAGUCGAAACAGAGAAAUUUUAGUUGGUUGUCCACCAAACUUGUAAGAUCUUUAAGAGUAUAAAUGUUUGUGUUUUUUUGUUAUUGUAGACAAAAUUUUAAAUUUUUAAAGUUGAUUUUAAUGCAUUUACUUCAGGUAUUUUGGUAAGAUCUAUGUAAUAAAUGUUGUUUGUUAAUUUUUUCGGCAAUAAAUGUGUGUUCUUGUUCAUCAUUCUUCUAAUAAAUGUUGUAUUUAAACGCAAGUGCUGGACAUUUGUUUGAUGGACGAAACAGUACUCGUAAUUUCUGGUGAGUGGAUAUGCUCGGAAGUUGGUAAGUGGGAAUUCCGAGUAGCUCCAAACCGUCAGGCGAAAUGUGUUUCUUUCAGCGAAGGUACACGUUACGAAGAUUUAUUGGCCGGAGUGGUUCGAGCAUAUGGUUUAAACAUGAACGAGGUCCGACCAAGUCUCAGCUUCUGGUUUUUUGGCGAGACGCAAGUGUUAACUCAAGGUCAUAUGCCUCCGGUUUCCAUAGGGUGCGAAGUUUCACUCGGCAAAUUUAAAAGUAAAAGGAAGGACUGCAAUGGGUUGAACAUGUUCUUGACCUUGGAGAAGGUAGAUAGUACUGUUCCAGUCGUAGAUGUUGUUUGUAGUCUGGGCGACGACGAACUUCUUGCAUGUUGUAAACAAAUUGAAGACUUGUAUCGCGAAUCCGUUGAAGAAGAAAGCGCGUUGAAGAAGAGUGAUGGAUGUUUUCAAGUUGUGGAUCCCGGAGUGAAUAUGGAGAAAGUUGUGGACAAAGUAAUGGGUCUUGGUACUGUCGACAAAGGUAAAGGGUUGGUCUAUGAGGGGGACUCUACUAAUAAUGAGCCCGUCUAUGAAGAUGAAAUGGAAGAACCAACAUAUGAUUUUGACAGAUGGACAGAUCUGAUUAACAGGGAAUACCCUGUGGACUGGGAUCCCUAUGUUGGACGCUGUGGACAGGAUAGCGCCAAUGCAAAUAGGAAAUAUGGACCAAACCAUAUAGGUGAAACUGUGGUGGACAACAAUGGUGGGGGACAAGAGCUGAUUGUUUUUGGAGGGAAUAUCAAAGCUGUUGGUGCUGCUGAUAAUGUAGUUGGUCCAAUCGAAUCGAGUGGAGUGGAUGCGGUACUAUCUAUAGGAACUGCUAAUUGCGAAACCCGAGAACCCGAUAAUUUGUCCCCGAUAGGUGAUCAUAUUAUGGGUAUCGACGAUUGUGAAAUGUUGUUACUAGAUGAUCAGCCAUUCAGAGACAAUAUUAGAGGUCUUGGCAACGAAGUUGGAAACAUGGAUUUGAAAAAGGCUGCAGAUGCUAUAUAUGUUGGAAGAGUUUUCAAAAACAAACUGGAGCUGCGAGACACUUUACGUGUGUUCGCCAUGAAGAGGUUGUUUCAUUUCAAAGUGAAGAGAUCAGACAAGGGAAGAAUGAUAGCAGAUUGCGUGGAUCCUAAAUGCAAAUGGAGGGUGUUUGCAAAAAAUCAUGCAAAUUCUAAAAACGUAGAAAUAAGAAAAGUUCAGUUGAAGCAUACAUGCGACGUCUCAUAUAGGUCAAAGUUCGGGAGGAAUGCAUCGGCUAGGAUUCUUGCCCAACUUAUGAAAGCGAAAUUUGCGAAUGGCAAAAAGGGUCCACGUGCAUGCGAACUACCAGAGAUGGUUUUGGCGGAGUUGAAUGUAACAAUUUCAUACAUGAAAGCUUGGAAUGUGAAGGAGAUGGCAAUUUGUGAGGCAAGAGGCAGUGAGGUAGGCAGUUACAAGUAUUUGAACACAUAUUUGCAUUUGUUGAGGACAUCUAACCCGGGGACAAUAACAGAUGUUCUCACAUCUGUGGACAAAAAUGGUGAGAAGGUGUUCAAAUAUAUGUUUUUUGCGCUGGGGGCAUCUAUAGCUGGGAUAAAGUACUUGAGGAAGGUGGUUGUGAUUGAUGGAACUCAGUUAAAAGGUAGGUAUAAAGGGUGUCUUGUAGCGGCCAGUGCACAAGACGGUAAUAUGCAAAUUCACCCCUUAGCUUUUGGUGUGGUGGACAACGAGAAUGAAGCCAGCUGGGUAUGGUUUUUCAAGAAGCUAAAAGAGAUAGUACUAGACGAGGAAGAGCUUGUCUUCGUGUCGGAUCGACAUGCGGCUAUAAUAUCUGGACUCAAAACCGAGUAUCCUUUGGCACAUCACGCUGCUUGUUCGGUUCACUUAUAUAGGAACGUCAAGCAUAACUUUAAAUGUCCUUGGUUGGCUGGGAUGGUCUCAAAUGCUGCUAGGUCUUUCACUACUGGUGAUUUGGAUUUUUGGUUAGCAGAGAUUGGCAAUCGCAAACCAAAAUGUAUUGAAUAUCUAAUGGACAUAGGUCUUCCCUUUUGGACACUCGCACAUUGUCCACAAAAGAGGUAUAACUUGAUGAGUAGCAAUAUUUCUGAAUCUUUAAACGCGGCGUUGGUGAAAGCUGUGGAUUAUCCUAUUGUGUCUAUGGUGGAGUUUAUUAGGACAAUGCUGAUGAGAUGGUUCUACUUACGGAGGAAACUAGCUGCAAAAACUGAAUCUCGAUGCACCCCAGAGAUUGAGGAUAUUCUCAUGGACCACCUUGGAGAUUCUAUUGAUUGUGCUGUUUUGUCGGCUAGCGAAUGGAUUUAUCAAGUCAAUGAUGGGAUGGGUUGCGUAUAUGAAGUCGAUCUACAGAGUAAAACUUGCACAUGCAAAGUGUUUGAUGUUUUGAUGAUUCCAUGUUGUCACGCAUUAGCCGCAGUUGGAGUUAGGAAUAUAGACAUUUACUCUCUUAUUGGUGAAUGUUACUUUGUUGGUCCAUGGAGGAGGAAGUACGAAACAGUUAUUCGUCCAAUACCCAAGGAGGGAGAUGUGAUAAUACCAGAAGAAGUCAAGGUUGUGGAAAUGAAACCUCCGAAAACAAAAAGAGGUGGAGGAAGACCGAAGAAGAAGAGAAUUCCUUCGAAAGGAGAAACCAAAGUAAGUAUAAUUAUUUGUCUACAAUUAUUUUCAACGUGGACAAGAAAAUAAUUAAGUAAUACUGCAGGGGAAAGCGAAGAAGAAAAAUAAUCCACACAAAUGUAGCAGAUGAUUGGGAGUUGGUCACAACAAAGCUACUUGCAAGAACCCCAUCUAGCGAUGGGUCGGUGUAGCGGGGGAGCGACAUGUUUAUUUUGUCCAUGUUGGAAUAUCGAUGUCCACUUCUUUUGUUUAGGUAAUUUGUCCGUCAUUUUCGCACAUUCAAGAUACCCAAUUUAGCGAUGGGUCGGAGGAUCGGAGUAGCGAUUUUUUGGUGUUUAAUGUUCACGAAGUUUUUUUAUGGAGUGUGGAUGUCCACUUCUUUUUUUUAGCUAUUUUGUUUACAACAUGGUAUGUGCUCUUUUGGUAUGUGAUGGCAGCUUUAAUAUGUAAUAUUAUUGGAUCUUUCGAAACCUAACUUCGUAACCCUUUGUUUACUUUUAUCCGAGCUUUUUGGUCUUGGUAUCCGUGGUGAUUGUAAUGAUAGACAAACAUAAACUUUGUUGAUAUCAUGGAAAAACAUAUAAACAUUACAACAUUUCUUGAUGGAGACAAUAAACUGGCCAAGUUUUAUCAUUUAGCAAAGCUCGCACAACCUCAUCGAGUUCCAGUAAAAAAAACACUAUGACAUGGUAAUUCCAUGCUACAAUGGAAAAAACAAUCGCAGUCAUCAUCGCACAUUCGGGCUACACAUUGAGGAACCGGUUUGUAAGACCAAGUCUUCACGAAUCUACCAGAUUCAGCGGGGACCAUAGACUUGAUUUGCAUAAAUAUCAUGUUGCAAAUUUUUUCGGCCUCUCCUCCCUCACCGCAUGUGUACAAAGGCUGAUUCGGAUGCGAUCUACACAGUGGAGCAAGGGUCCGGUCGGAUGCGGCUUGGUUGCCUGAACAAAUGUAGAACGGCGCUAGUGCGAAAAUUGCAUACUUCAAAUGUCUGGAUGCUCCUUCGAGUAAAAGAAUAGCUCGAUCUAUUGGACCAGCUUGACAACCAAGCCUAAGACCUUCGAUGUAGAGGGCUGAAGGGUUUCCUGCUCGUAGACAUUUUAAGAAAAAUGGUCUAUAAGGAGACUGCUCGUUUAUUCGGGCUGGGGUGAACAACAACUCGUCGAUAUCAGCCUCUUUCAACACACUUCGGUCAUAGGCCGCAUCUCUCCCUUCCCGACCUGCGAAAAGGAAGGGAUAUAGAUUUCGGAAGCCCCCAUGCCCUGCAGCUCGAGCAAUGAAGGGUAGAUAAUAUGAAAUCUGAUUUUCCAUGAAAAGUUUAUUAAAAAAAAACUCGUGUCGAAGAUUGUUUUGGUUUUGGACUUCAGUCUUUGCGAUUCGUAUAUAUAGGCCCGAUUUUCUAGUUGUAGAUAUUGUUGGGGGUUUGUAAAUCAUAAGUAGGUCAUAAAUGAGUAUUAAAUUGGAUCAGAAGGAGUUAGUCUUAGUGGGUGGUGUAUUGAAAAAGUAUACCACAAUCUUUUUUUUAAAUCUUUUUUCAGAUUGACAUUACUUUUUUUGAUAGACCAAAUUACAAAACGACAACAGAGAGUAUUUUUGUCCUGUUCAAUCAGAAGCUUAAAGCAAUUAUAACCAAUACUUGAACGACAAUGACUACGAAUAAAACACUGAUAGUUAUGGUUUUGUUUCUGCUUUGUGUCUUGAGUUUCUUGAUAAUUUCUUUGUGGACCACUUAUCUCACUGUUGACCUUUUUGUCUCUUCAAGCAAUUCUCCUAUUUUCUUGAGUUUGUUUCGGAUAUCGGUCUGUGAAUCUGUCCAAGCAUUCCGUGGACGUGCUUCAGGGUCGUACUCGUCCACCCAACAGAAGAAAUUGCACUUAGCUCCCGCCUGGUAGAAGUAAGAGGAAUAAGCUCUAAAUCCAGAAAAAACCUAAUUAGAUCUCCGAAUAUUUACCUUGUAACGUUCGCAGCCAAAAAAAAGUCUAGAAUCGUUUCUUUCUGUCCUCGAUUUCAAGAUCUGAGCUGGUAGUCCACAGUAACAACAAACCCGAUCUUAAUAGAAGCGAGUUGCGGUAGAGUAUUGUCUGAACGCCAUCAACGGGGAAGAUGACUAGAACCACUGGUUUGUUUAGCUGAACACUUGUCCCCGGUGUUUUAUCUUAAUGGAAGUGUAAUGAGAUUACACUACGAUAAAGUAGUGAAGUGGGAGAUAUUUUCUAAAAAACAUGUAGGGAAUCGAGAGUAAUUAUGGACCACAAAAUACAAUCAUUUAUUUUCUUUCCUUAAAGCAGUGGACAUUACAUAUACUCUACCCGAACAUAUAGAAAAACUUUAUAGAACACCCCCAACUAAAACACCGGGGACAACGGUUGUCCACGUCGCAUAGAUAACCUGGUCCUGCGCAUACUGGAACUUCCUUGAAUCUCCAUGUGUCGCAAAAUCGACGAAUUGUUACUGGUCCCAUUUGAACAAUUUGAUUAAAGACUGCUUCAGCAACCAUUUCUGUAAAUGCAUGGCUUGGGCAAAUAGAUAGGAAUAUUGAUAAUUCGCUCACACCGCCAUAAUACUCUCCGGAACAUAAUUUGAAAAUUCCAAGGCAAAAAUACAUUUCUUUGGUUUUAUAGUCAGCAUUAGAUAAAAGGAGUAUUGCUUCUUCUAUCUUCCCUUCUUUCGUAACAAGUCUUAGAGACUCUAGGUAAGUAGCAUCUAUGUUCCGUGAAUAAUAACAACGAAGGAAGAAAGAUCGAACAUGCGAACCAAUAUUAACAUGGUUGGGAUAUUUCAUUAAGUAAUAGAACGAAACAAGCCUAAGUACAUUCUUAUCAUUACAUAAAUACAUGAGAGAUUUACACGUCGACAUCAGCUUCCCUAGAUGUCGAUAUCCAUCUUUAGCAACUCGGAUGGCAAUCUCGACGACUAGAUGGCUUGGUAUUGAGAGGAUGUGGCACUUAUUUGAGAGGGAUUUUGUUGUCAAGUGGGUUGUGGACAUUGUUUUUUUUUGAAAGAUUAAGGGAGAUUUAAGCUUAUAGGGAGAUAGAUUUGUAGAUUUGCCUUUUAUAGAUGAAAGUCCUUUUUGUCAUUUUUGUUAGGGUUUUAAUGGUUUCUUUAAUGGAGUAGAUAGAUGUAGGUGAAAUAGUUAGAUUAGUAUUUAAUUCUAGUAUCUAACAACUUUGCAUUUUUCGAGUCUUUCAGAUUACAUAAAGGUACUUAACUAACCAAUUCCUAUAAUCUACCCUCGAAUCGUGUUUUGUAUACUUAGAUUAGUAUUAUUGUAGAAUAUUAUUAUGGUUUUUCGAGUUAUUAAUAUUAUUUAAAACUUAACUAACCAAUUCGUAUUGUUCAAAGUUAUAGCCAAAACCAAAUAUAAAAUGCAAUAAUCCAAAUGUUACCAAGUUCAAAAACAUACGACGAGGUUCACACAUAAAUAAAAGCAAACAGUUCUUAAAACAACAUAAAUAACACAUAACCAUUAGUUGCUAAAUGCACCCACAAACUCCUCGUAAACGUCCAUAGCAUAAGUAAGCCGGAAGCUGUCCACCAUUUCAUCCGUGAUACCAUCAACGCCUAAACCCUGCCCAUGAAGUUCAAUUAACUUCACUGAAAAUGGCCCGCAGUCACCAGUGCGUUCAUUUUGAGAGAUGGCAACAAGUCUUUCGAAAGUAAAUGUGUCGGGCCGCGGGUACGCUGUAGGUGAAGUGACCUCAUCCCUAAUUAGACCGGGAAGCAUCUCCACAAUAGGAGUCAUGAUCUUUUUUACCUUUUUCAAAUCGUUUCCAGAGAUUAGUGGGUCUAAAAUAUCAAUCUUACCCUCUUUUAACAGCACCACCAGGCAGACCCAAUGACCCUUUCUCCAAUUCAUAGGCAGGUAGAUUAUAUCGACAUCUUCAAACCACAUUAUAUUCCCUGACCGGCUUGGCACAUGUCCACGGACGUAAUUCUUGCACACUGAGUUCCACUGGAAAGGUACACUCUUAUUCCACUUCUUGAAUCGAGGGUAUUCAUUGCAAAGCAUACUAGUAAACCAGGUAUCUAGAACAGCAAUCCUUGAAUUGUUGAAUGAUUCUCCCAGCUUUCGCCAAACUAGGCUUAGCAUAGCUUCCAUCUCCUAUUUUUUAUUGAUGGACAAAUAAGGAGAUGCCUUAGCAUUGAGGGAAAUUUAGAUUUUCAAAUAACUAUUUUAAAAAAGUAGUGGACUUACAGGUGUAUCAACCCAAUGCUUCGGCGUCAUAAUCUCAGAGAAGAAAGUGUUUGGAACAGGAUGUCCAUCGAUUAUGUAUUCCCUAGGAAGGGGAAAAAUAAGCAAACUUUUUUUCCGUGGACAAUAUUUUAACUAAUCACAUAUGUAAUUGACUUACUUUUUCUUAUAGCUUGACAACUUUGCAAGGAACUUCUUUUUUUUCAAAACAUCAACUUUCCGGAAUGGAGUGUACAGUUCAAUUCCCCCAGGUUGUCGUUUGUUGUCAGGAGUGUCUCCAUAUCUGUUAGGAGCUUUUUUGACUCGUUUUGAAGGCAAAGUUUUGUUAAUGUCCUCAUGACGUUUUAUCCCUCGUCGUCCUUUGACGUUGUCUACAACCUGCUUUCCAAUAUCAUCUUCCUCAAAACAUUCUUCUUUUUUGUCCACGACAGUUUCCAUCUCCAUCAUAACCUCUUCCUAAACCACACAAUAUAGAAGAAUGAGUCUAAGUUUCAAUAACCAAGUAAGAAUCUUACUACAAAUUUAAAAUACCUCGUUAGAUUGACCUUCCUCUUUUUCUUCAUCAUUCCCCUCAUCAUUUACAUCUACACGUUCCGUUGGUUCAGUGGACCUUUUUUCAUCAUCCUCCUAAAAUAACAGCAUUAUAGCAGUAAUAUGAAAAGUUUAUGCGCACAAAUAUUAAAAAUACAAAUCAGAUUACCUCGACGGAUUGAGUUUCCUCUACACCGUCCUUGCUUUCACUGUGGACAUCUGCACCGUCAGCAGGUUCGGUGGACUUCUGUUGUUCUGAGUCUAUACUAUUGUCCACCACUUUCUCAGAUUCAGAAUUGUCUACAACUUUUUCUGAGUCUUUAAUGUUGUCCACCGCCAUCUCAGAUUCAGAAUUGUCUACAACUUUUUCUGAGUUCUCGAUGGAUAUUUGACUGAUUUUUUCUUUGUUAAUGUCCAUAUUUUCACUGUGUGGCAGAACGUACUCGGCGUUUUCUACAAACCCUCUUUCCUUCGCUUCGAUCUCGUCCCUGUCAUCUUCAUUUGUUUCAUUGCAGUCCCCCUCCCCUGAUGUUUCAUCAUCUUGUCCAUCACCCGAUCUUUCUUCCCCCUCUACGUCAUCAGAUUUCUCAACGUCAUCGUUUUCAUCUUCUUUUUCUUGUCCAUUGUUUUCUUCUUCGUACUCCGUCCCAGUUACCUAUUUUUAAGAAAUUAUUAGUCAAGAACAUCAAACUUAGUAAUUGAACUUAAAAAACCUAUUUACCUGCUCAUGAAGACCUCCCCCAGUUUCAUCAAUGUUUUCACUCUGUACAUGAUAAAUGAGGGAUUAGGAGCAAAUAUAAAUAAUGGACAAACAAAUGGAUACUUUGGAAGACAUCUUUUACUCACGAAUUUUAAAAAGAAAUCUCCACUGUUUAAUUAUGAGUACCUCUUUAUAAAACGUUGUAUCAUCUUCAAUCGAAUGCUCUUUUUCGGUCUUCUCUAAGCCUUCAAAUCCAGAUUGAAUCAUCGGAUCAUCUUCAACCUGAUCAUGGACAAAUAUUACGGACGGUUUUGUCUACUAGGGAGAUGUAAAACAUUUACGACUUACCUCAACUUCUCGCGCUAAAUCCGACUGUCCACCAUCGUUGACUUUCAUACUUUUAAGUACAUCAUUAACCCCUAAGUAGUCGUCCACAUCUACCUGCCCAGACUCAUCGACGACCCCUUUCACUUUCUUAAUACGAAUUCCUUCACGCUUUCGCGUCAGACAUGCUUGCACCUUUUUACCCUCACACUUUUCAGAAUUUUUCACGCCACACUUUUUAAUUCCAACCUUCCCAAGCUCUUGUCCUUUGCCCGAUUUGAUUUCCCUCAACAACUCAGUUCUUAAAGUCAACAUUUUUUUGUCCACCAUAGACAUUAAUUCCUUCUUAUGGGCUUUUAUUUUCUUGUCCACCAUCGAGACGACAUGUCCAUCUAAUUGCAUAUUCACUUGCUCUCCAACCACAGGUUCAUCAUCUCUGACGUCUUGGUUAUCAUCUCCGGCGUUGCCAUCGUCCGCUACUUCCUCUAUUACUUCUUCUUUCCUAGAUCUCUUCCGAGGGAUGGGCAAUUUUUUUUCCUUUUUCACAAUUUUCGGACCUGGUAUAGACAUUCUUGGUAGACCAUCAUAUCCACCAUGCCAGAUUUCUUUGCCAAUUGUGACACCUUUCUCUAAAAGGCUCAUUAUAUACUCCACCCCCGGAUCUACGACUUCGUCUUCCCAACCGUAUUGACCUUCAUCAAUAGGCUCUUCGGUCUCUAAGAUAGAGAUUACAUCCAACUGAAAAACAAAAUUCGUGUUAAUAUUUUUUAUAAAUUGAGUCUAUUUUCCACAUAUAUUUAUGAUUUUUACCUCCGGAUUGUUUUCAGCUUCCAAGAUAUUCGAGUUGUGGAAUGAUUUCAGCUUCGCCAGUUGGAACACAGAACGGUCGGUGAAGGUCUGUUCAUCGUCAUUGUCGGGAAGAUAGGUCUCCAACAGUGGGAUGCAAUGGAGAAUCAGAAGUUGAAGCGACAAAAUGAACCCGUGUGUUGCUACGUGAGACUGUUUCAUUUUCGCAACUAGUGAUUCCACAGAAUCUACUUUCGAGCCCACUUUAACCAUCCGCAUGGUCAAAUUGAAAGAUUCACGUCCCCACGGAUACGAAAAAAAAGUCCCCAGGUUCCUCACCAUUUCAACCACCUCCGAUGACGCUCUCACCGGCUGGCUGUCGCAUAUCAGAAUUCCCUCCACAAUCACUACAAGUGCAAGCCUCAAUUUUUUCCAUCCAGGCAUUUGUCCCUCUGGUGGUUUCCUACUGUCCACCUUCAACGACCUAACAAUAUCAUCGAUAGUAACCACUUUCUUAUUCCCAAACAAUGUCUUCCAAAACGGUUCUGAGUUCCCUGUUGCAGUUUGAGCCUUUGUUAUCUCUUCGGCUGGUGGAUAUGGAAAACAUGGAAGCCCCGUCACGAGACCAAACUCUCUAAGGGAGAAACGAAAUGGAUGGCCUCCGAAAACGAACCACAACUCAUGUUCCUUUGCUGUAACAAGUGAACGGCAUAAUAUGUUGUGGACCAGUUUACCCGAUAGGGAGCAUUUCCUAAUUGGCAACUCAAACAGAGAACCCAACGGCGAAUUUUGCAGAUAUUCCAAUUCCUUGGUACCCUGCAAAACGUCUACAAUGUCGAGCAAAUACUCAGGUUUUGAUUAGGAGUUGAUUCUCCCUUUUACAGGGUAUCGAUCUGUCGCGAAUAGCCUUUCAGGUAGAAGUUCCGGGACAAUUGUAACUCCCCCGUCCCUGUCCCACUCUACCCGAUUUUGAUCUUUACCCGCCUGAUACUCAAUUAGCCCUUGCGUAUCCUCGUCAAAUUCCAUUAUUUUAAGACCUGGAAAUUGUGGACAUAAAAUUUUUGUUAACGUGGACGUAAUUGAUAUACAUAUGGACAACACAACUCACUUUUUUUCACAAUAACAAUGACAAUGACGAUUAUAGAGAGAUUCAGUAUGAUAUUUACCUUUCUUUCCCUUCGGUAUAUCGUGGACGAAGACUACCAAAUACCAGAAUAAAGUUCCAGUUUUUUAAAGUUAAGUUUACAGAAGAUUGAAAAGAAGUAGAGCUCCUCGAUUAGGUUAAAAUGGUGGAGAGAGUUUUAUUGGGUAAAAUUCUCGAUUUCUUCCUCUGUAAAGUAAUGUCGUUUCACUUUUUCAACUUUUAAUCUUAAAAUAUUUUGUCGCUUUGGAAACGGAAACCCGGCUACUAGACCGUAAUUAAUAGCGCAGGCACGUCUCUCCAAACGUCACAUCGUCUUCUCUUACACGGUAAAGCGAGAGCAUUUUCGUCUUUCUAAGUCCCAAAAAUGGCGUUGCCCACGAUGAGUUUUUUAAAUGUCAUUCCCAAAAAUUAAAACUCAAAAGAGGGCAGUAUUAUCAAAAUUCCCUAAAAAAAUCGAGUCCAUAUCUUUAGCUAGUUUGAUCGGUAAUUUGUUCACCUAAGAAAAUAUCUUUAUUAACGAAUAAGAUAUCGCAAAUAUGUAGAUUCUAGGAUACCAUCAUAAACGGCCUUAAAGCACAAGAGAAGAAGCAUAACAACAACAACUCUGUUUUUUGAAGUGUUAAAAUCUUUUAUGGACCCAAAAGAUGUUAUAAACUGUUACUACACAAACUUUGUACGAUUCUUUAAGGAGUUAAUGCCACUACGAUACAUUGCCCUCCCUUUCUUUUUCUUCUUCUUCUUCUGUCUUCUUCAAAUUUUGUUAUCUUCUGUUUUCCUCAUGACGUGAUUCAUAUAAAGACUUCACUCUCUCUAAAUUUAGUAGCCUUGGAAUAUUGGAGGUGGUGGUGAAGCAUAUUGGUGGCCGAUGAAUGGUGGAAUGAUGAAUUCCUCACUUGGCGGUGGUGCUUCUACUGUCCGUGUUGGUGUUUGUGGUGGAGGAGAGUUGACCGGUGUUUGUGUUGGUGGUGAACUCAUUUUUGGCGGUAAAUGUGGAGGAGAGUAGACUGGUGGUGGUGGUGGUGGUGGUGAGUUUACUGGCGGCGGUGGAGGAGAAUGUACUGGUGGUGGUGGGGAAUAUACAGGUGGUGGAGGGGAGUGGACAGGUGGUGGUGGAGAGUAUACCGGUGGAGGUGGUGAAUGGUCUGGCGGUGGUGGCGGUGGAGGAGAAUGGACUGGUGGGGGUGGUGAAUGGACUGGCGGAGGAGGAGAAUGUAUGGGCGGUGGUGGUGAAUGGACUGGUGGUGGUGGCGGUGGAGAAUAAACUGGUGGUGGAGGUGAAUAGACUGGUGGCGGUGGAGAAUGGACUGGAGGUGGUGGUGAAUGGACUGGCGGGGGAGGAGAGUGUACCGGUGGUGGUGGUGAAUGGACUGGCGGUGGAGGAGAAUGUACUGGCGGUGGAGGAGAGUGCACUGGUGGUGGUGGCGGUGGAGAAUAAACCGGUGGUGGUGGUGAAUAGACUGGUGGUGGGGGCGGUGGAGAAUAUACUGGUGGUGGUGGUGGUGGAGAGUGAACCGGCGAUGCAGGUGGGGGAGAGUGAACCGGAGGUGGAGGUGGACUACGCCGGAACUUCACAGGAGACUGAUCAUAUGGGUCAUUUGGUUGCGGCGACUCUUUCGGUGGUUGAGGUUUAUGAACCGGUGAUGGAGUUGAAUGGACCGGCGGUGAGGGAGGAGGAGAUAAAACUGGCGGUGUAGGCGGUGGAGAGUGAACCACAGGGUGAUGUGGUUGUUGUGGUGGAGGCGGGCUUCGCCGGAACUUUACUGGAGACUGAUUAUAUGGGUCAUUUGGUUGUGGUGAUUCUUUCGGUGGUUGUGGUUUAUGAACUGGCCUAGUUGGCACAGGUGAUGGAGACUUCGACGGUGUAACGUAGCUAGAACCACCAGCACACUUGUCCUUACUACAAUCGACUGGACGGCUAAUCACCACCGCACAUUCCUUGGCUGAUCGUUGCUUAGGUCGAUCUGGCAAGCAGUUGCGUGUAUCAUCCAAUGCAAUCUCCUUCUGACUACCUGGGACACAUGAAUCACCUUGCCCGUUGAAGUAAUUGUAGGCGUACGUCAAGUUAACUAAUUUAGGCAACUUGCAGAUAUUCUCUGGCAUGAACCCAGUGAGUUUAUUCCCAGAGAUAUCAAACUCUUCUAGACUGGUAAGCCCGACAAAGCUUGGAGGUAGAACACCGGUGAAGGAGUUCAUGCUAGCGUCAAACACGUUCACAUUGGAUAGCUUCCCGAUCUCUGAUGGGAAACAACCGCCAAGACUGUUGUCCUUAAAGAUAAUCUCGUUGAGAUUCUUCAUGUUUCCAAUACUUCUAGGGAUACAACCGCUGAAUUUGUUGUGAGCAAAGGUCACGACGGAGGCUGAGGAUUCUCCGAGAGAAUCAGGAAUGGUAGACGUGAAUCUGUUGUUGUUCAAGAAAAUGGCAUCGAGAUCCUUCUUGAAAAGCUCAGGAGGGACUUGACCUUCGAAAUCAUUGUAUCUAAGGUCGAUGAACUUAACGGCCGGCCAUGAGAGGACUACGGAAGGGAAAGGUCCAACAAACCGGUUGUUGCUGACAUCGAACUCGUGCAUUAGACUCAACUUCUCGAAACUUUUAGGUAUGAUACCACAGAACCGGUUCGAAUUCAAAUGAAACAUUGCAACAUCUGUCAUCAAACCAAGUUCAGCCGGUAAAUGCCCUGCGAUAUCCGCACCAUUCAAAUCAACCCCCGCCACAACCGCAACGUUAGGAUCAUCAAGAGCUGGGGCGCAGAACACGCCCGUGUAGCCACACACAUGAGGGCCAUGCCAGUUUCCCGUGGUAUUAAACGGGUCUGAAUACACCGCCUUUUUCCAGGCUUGGAGAGCAAUAUACGCUCUCUUAAGCCUAUGGUUGGCAAAUGUCACCUUAAGAUCAACCUCAUACUCAAUAUCAUCAGGAAGUUCGCCAUUUUCAGGUAACGUCAAGAGCUGUCGUUGUGCAAUAAAUGAAGCUUCUGCAUCGGUGAGUGCUAAAACAACAGAAGAAAAGAAGAAGAAGAAAGAAAAGAAAAAGAGGAUGCAGCCAAAGGGCGAGAAAGAAAAUUGGGGUUUAGUCAUGGCUUAGAACAAAACCUUGGACAAUACCCAAGGGCUGCUUAUAGAUAUGGGGCAUAGAAAGGUUCGAUGAAAACACCAAAGGGUUAUUAUUAAUAAUGUCAAACAAUUUUCAUUUCGCAUCACCAAACAAAUCUUUUGCCUAUAUUUAGAAGACUCUUGUUUUCCUUUCAAAGAUUUAGCUUCACAUCCGGAGAACAAACAUAAUCAAGAAUAGAAAUCUCUUCGUAAACCAAAACCGCGUAGUACUAUAAUAGGCACACGGCAUUAAACAAACUGAAAACAUUCGCGAACAUCAAGCAAUAACAACCACAUUUCUAUGGCAAUAUGUUCACAUCUUAAACAAAGAGGACACUAUAUGAUCUAAAGCAAAACCAAGAACUAUAUUUACAUAUAAGUGUGAUAAGAAAACAACUUUCUAAAGGUACCGUAAUCCACUUCAGUCGGUUUCGUGAUCAGGAGCGUGAGAGAACCAAGCAGGGAUAGUUCCUUUAGUUCUAAGCAACCUAGUGAAAGCGGAAUCCGGCAUUUUCGAUUUCUCUUCUUCCUCCAAUUCUUGUUCAGAUUUUGGUAAACCAUCAGGAAUAUGAAUAUGCAACUUCAUUCCUUUCUCUCUAUUUAAACCAUUCUUGGUUUUGUUGUCUUUCUCCAUUGACGCAACUCCAUGUAAACACCCGAUUAGCGAUUUCACACCGCCUGUUUGCAAAAUCAAAUUCUCAACUUCAACCUUAGGCUUCUCUCUCUGCAAUCACAUAGACCAUAACAAAGAGUAAAAGAUUGUUUAAGUGAUUAAAAUUCUCAAGUAAAAUUCACAAAUUGCAAAAAUAUAAAGAAUUAUUUACUUCGAGAUCUUUGAGUUCAAAGUAAGCUCUCCAGCAACUGUAAGAAUCAUCACCUUCAAGCGUCGAACAGUAAUCUGAAAUCAAAAUCAAACCCAAAUCAGAACAUGUUCGUCUGUGUAUCGAAAGCGAAUGAAAUUGUUGAACCUGAGAGUUCGGUUUCGGCUUUUUCGAUUAGAGGCGGAUCUUGAAGAAUCCGGUCGAAUUUUCCGCGGCUGAAGAGUUCAAGCUUAGGGACGUCUCUGGUGCUUGAACAACGAACCACCGGGAAGGAUCUCGCGGGGGGAAACGACGGUGCGGCGAAUUUGGUGUCGUUAAACUCAAUAGGGAGAUGAAACGAGCGAAGAGUCACUGAUUUUAUCAUCUCUGCUGAAGAUAUUAUUAUGAAACUAGGAGUGAAGUGGAUAAGGAUUGAGAUUUUUGUAUUUAUAGAGAGAAGAAAAAGUUUUGAUAGUGACGGAGAUAGUAAUAAAGUGAUGAUUUCAAUAUGGCCCAUAGUAUAAGCGCCGUUGAUUUUUUUUUUUUUUUUUUUUUUGUGUAUAUUUCGGAUAAGAUUAUAAAAUAUCUUAGAUUGGUACACCUAGGCCUGGGCGUUCGGAUAUUCGGGUCGGGUUCGGAUCGGAUUUUUUGGGUUCGAGUUUUUCGGAUAUAUAAAACUAAGACCCAUUCGGGUAUUUUAAAAUUUCGGGUUCUGGUCGGGUUCGGAUCGGAUAUUUCGGGUUCGGAUUCGGGUUUACCCGAAGUAUCCAAAUAUUAAAAAUUUUGUAUCCGACUCUUUGCAAAGUAUUGAAAAAUACUCAAAAAUCUAUAAAACCCAAGUAUUUUUUAACCGAAUCUAGCCAAAAGUAACUAAAACACCCAAAAAUUCUUAACAUCCAAAUAAUUUAGGCACUUAAGUUUUUAAAAAUAUAAAUAUUACUAAUCUAUAUAUAUAAUGGGAGAGUUUUCUCUCCUCUUAGGGUGUCCACAUCAUCACCAAAUUAAUAUUAUGGAUCCUACUAAUAAUUAUUUCAAAAUAUUUAAUUUCAUAGUUAAUUACAUCUCAUUAUCAAAGAAGUAAUCAUCAAUUAAUGCACAGUUUUAAAUAAAGGUUACAUGAAUAAUAAUAACACAAGUGUAACAUAUUUACAUAUAAAACACUUAAAUUAAUUUUUUGUUAAUAUAUAACUUAAAAUGAACAUAAUACCUAAAUAUUUAAUUAAUAAAUAAAAAAAUAAUUAUGAAAAUUUCAUAAAAAUACCAAUGUUAUUAAGAUGGACAAAAAGCUUCUUAAUGAAAUUUAUUAUACAAUUAAAAACAAAUAAUAACUUAUUAAAAAUAAAAAACGUUUAAAAACUAUCAUUUUUAAGAAUAAUAAAGAAACCUCAAAUAUAAUAUAGGAUGAAAAAAGAAUUGAAUUGAAAUGGAAAGCUAUAAGAGUUUUUUUUUUUUUAAUAAUAAGAAGAUAUUCAUAUUUCAUGGAAACAUUAAAUUAAAGAGAUCAUAAUGAAGUGGAAGAAAUUUAUUUAAAAUAAUAUUAUUUUUAGAUUAAAAAAAAGGUUAAAUGUUAUAGUAAAUGUAUGAUUGUAAAAGUUUUUUUAAGAUAUAAGAAAUAAUUCAUAUUUAAAAUUGAAUAUUAUAUUUCAAGAGAGUAAUAGUAUAAAUUCACAUUGACGAAAAAAUAUAAAAAUUAAUUGUAUCUUAAUAUUAAAUUAUAGUAAAAUAUAACAAUAAAAAUAAUAAAGUUAUAUCUAUAUUAUUGUUUGCUUUCUAAAUAAAAAGGUGAAUAUGUUUAAAUAUAGGUAAAAAUCUAAAUAAGUAGUGUUGAGGAAAUUUUAACAAAUAUAUAUCUUUCGUAAAAUUAUAUUACGUUGAAGCAUGAAAACCAUAUAAUUAAUAAAAUAAAAUAAACUAAAAAGAUGAAAAUGAGGAAAUAGUUUUCAGUUAAGAAUCAAUUUAAAGUUUUAUUAAAGUGAGCAUAGAAGAUAAAAAAGAGUAGAUGUUGGGAAGCGAACAAAUGCAUCAUAGAAGAUGACGAAAAAUAUUUGAAGAGAAAUUGAGUAAUGCUUGAAGCAUCGGAUAUAUGUAUGCACAUGACUAAACGAUAUUCAUCAGAUAUAUGUAUGCAUUAUCGGAUAGUUUGGUUUAGUAAACCAGACUAUCAUAUUCAAUAUCAGGUUAAAUCGUCGAGCCAUGUAAGCGUAGUAGGAUAGAUAAGAUUAAGACAUUCAUGAUUUGGUCAAAACUUUCCUUAAGGUAUGAUGGUCUUGCUUCAAUAGGUAAAUUGUGCUCUUCAAACCUAUUGAAGCGGCAUGAAUAUUACGUUUAUAUAUUUUCAUAAAUUGAUGUUCAAACUCAGCAAAUUUACUUUUAGUAUGAGGUACGAAUAGGUCAAAACAUCAAAGACAGUUAUAUUUACAAGAUUUGUUUAUGGAUAUAACUCUCUUUUUGAUAAAAAAAAAUUCAUUGAUGACUACCGAGACCGAUUAAUCUUAUAUAACUUUUGUUAUUACGCGGUACGUACCAAAUAUAUUUUAUAAUUUUCUAUGUUGUAGAUUGUUUUGUAAAACAAGUAUGAAUAUAUAUAUAUAUAUAUAUAUAUAUAGUUUUUAAAAUUCAAGUGAUUAUGAUUAUUCUUAACAUUUUGUAUUAUACCCAGUUGAAAUUUGAUAUUCCGCGCAAUGCGCGGACGAGUAAAUCUAGUAUAUUAUAACUAUGUACUUAUAUUUCGGGUAUGUUCGGGUACUUGUUCGGGUUAGGGUUUGGGUCGGGUUCGGGUUUGGAUUUUUGGGUUGUGAAGUUUAGAACCCGUUCGGGUAUUUUAAAACUUCGGAUUCGGAUUCGGAUCGGGUUUUUUGGAUCGGGUUCGGUUCGGUUCUUCGGGUUCGGGUAAUAUGCCCAGGCCUAGGUACACCUUGGCCAGAAGAAUAAAGAUAGCUGCCACCACUGUUUUCAUUUUCUUAAACUUUUUUUUUCUUUAAAAAAGUGAUAAGAUCAAGGGAACAUUCAAAAACAAAUACAAGAUGAAAAAAAAAAAAAACCAAAACAAAUACACCAAGAUUGCUUGACUUGAAGAAGAAAAAGACAAUCCCAAAAAUAUCUUUUAUCUUCUCUUCUUAUAAAGACAUAUGUACUAGCAGUGUUCAGUGCCGGCCCUGUGAAAGAAGAGGCCCGAUACAAAUUUUUUUUUUUUGAUGGAUUUUGUAGAAUAAAUUAAAAUUUGAGACCAAAUCUUAAAAGUUUAGAAAAAUGGGGCCUAUUUUGGCAAUAACAAAUAGAUAAAAUUUAAAAAUUGAGACUAAAUCUGAAAAUUUCAGAAAAAUAGGGUCUAUUAUUUGCAAUGACAAAUAUUUUUGAGGCCUAAUUUUGACACUAAAAAACUUAAAAAAUAUGGAGGCCCAAUACCCAUGUUUCAUAGAAAUGUGUGGUGGGCCGGGCCUGACAGUGUUGCAUGGAAACGGAAACGAAAACGUGGAAGCGAAACGUUUCGAAAACGAGAAACAAUUUUUUUCUAAUAUUAGAGAUUGUAAACGUUUUGGAAACGUAUACACAUACAUAUAUAUAAUAUAUGUAUAUAUAUAACAUUAUCAUAAAACUAUAAAAAAAAUGGUUUAAUUAAACAAUACAAGUUCAAAACAUCAAUAUUAAAUAGGUUAACUAAAAUUAUAAAAGAUAAAGAUUAAAAGGAUCAAGUUCAAAUAUUUAAUUAGACCAACAUUUUCAUUCUUAUUUUCAUUAGUUUCAUCAUAGAUCAUAUAAAGAUGCCUCCAAAUCUAGUUUGUCGAUAGAAAGAUCUUACAUUAUAUAUAUUAUAAAUCUUAAUAUUUUCAACUUGUUGUAAACCACAUAACGGAUGGACUCCAUAACCGUGGCCCAUGUCCAUGUUCUAGAAGGCCCAUGUCUAGCUUCUAGAAGACUCGCCCAACCGACCAAGGCCAAAGACGGUUUAUGUUAGUCUUAGUGGGCUUUAGUGUUUCCUAGUCCAAUUGGGAUUUGUCUCCCCUAUUGUGUAUAUAUAUAAAUUGUAACCUCAUUCAUUAAUCAAUAAGAAUACACGAGAUUCAUAACACGUUAUCAGCACGACUUGCUCUUAACGAUCCUAAAACCUAAUUCACUAAAAACUCAUGAUCGCCAUUACCACCGUCGGAAUCACCGUCGGAUUGCUGUCGGAUCGCUGUCGGGACAUCGUCGGAUCGUGGCCGUUUCGCGUCGGGCCACCGUCGGAAAACAACAAGUUCGUGAUAAGUUUGAAAACCGAGGUCUUUAGCUCCCGGUUCACAUCCAUACAAGCCCCAUAAGGUGAAAGGUAAAAACGAAACCCUAAAAGCUUAAAGACCAAAAUCGAACUUGAACCUAAUGCAAAGCGAAAUCUUAAAAACGGAUAAUGAUUGAUUAAGUGAUUGCUUUUGCUUGUAUGAUUCGAUUGCUUGACUCGUUUAAGUUGUUAGAAAAGUUAUUGCUUAAACCUAACUCUCAAACUCGAAAACACUUAACCAUGGCUGAAACCUUAAAACCUAAAUCAAAUCAAAUCCGAAAUCCCUAAAAUAUUAAUCGAUUGAUUGAAGUUGUUUAGGUUGUUUAGAUUGAUUGUUUCUAUGAUUGGUUGCAUGCAUAAAUUGAUAGAAAUCAAAACCUAAAAUCGCAUGAACCCUAGACACCUAGAAAAGGAAUAAUCCUAUUGUGAAUAGGAGAAUCCUAAAAACCCUAAAUCUUAUUCUAAAUAGGAAAAGCUAAAUCCUAAAGAAAACAGGAAAACCUAAAUAAAAAAGAAAAAUUCUAAAUCCUAUUGAAAAUAGGAAAUCCUAAAUACCCUAAAUCUUAUUCUAAAUAGGAAAAGCUAAAUCCUAAAGAAAACAGGAAAACCUAAAUAAAAAAAGAAAAAUUCUAAAUCCUAUUGAAAAUAGAAAAUUCUAAAAAACCCUAAAUCCUAAUUAAAUUAGGAAAUUCCUAAAACCUAUUCAAGAUAGGAAAACCUUAAGAAAUAGAAAUCGAUUCAUGGUUCGGUCUUAAAUACCGCAUGACAUUAACGAUUACAUGAUUUUGACUUAAACCUCUUUGCUUGUAGAUGUUGAAUUACAACUUGUAUUUUACUGCCCUAAAUCUCUUAGGAGAUAAUUAUUUGAAAUGGGCAAUGGAUACUAAGAUUAUCCUAAAGUCAAAAGGACUUGGUGAAUGUAUCACAUAUGGCAAUAAUGCCAAGAGAGAAAGAUAGAUACAAGGCAAUUUUAGCCACCAUCUUAUUGAGAGUCUCAGAAUCUAGGACUAUAAGUCUUUGGAUGAGUCUAUUGCUAGUUGAGCAAAAUAAUGACUUACUGAAGGAAAAAAAGUAAAUUAAGACCUCAUAGAUUAACCCCAUUACUUGAUGCCAAUAAGGCCGCAGAGGAUAAGAAAAAAAAUUCCAAAGAAACUAACCACGUCCAGAAUGAUAGACCACACGGCCGUGGCCGUGGUGGAUGGAAAGGACGUGGCCGUUGCCACUAUAAUUCAUCCGGCCGUGGGAACCACUAUAACCGUGGUUGUGAGCCCAAUUUUGGCCGUGGUCGAGGGCGAGGACGCUAUGGUAUUUCCAAACCACAACACUCGACCAAAUAAGUGUGCCAUAGAUAUGGAAUGGGGAACCAUUGGGCUAAGAUAUGUAGGACUUCCAAACAUCAUUGUAACCUCUAUCAAGAGAGUGUGAAAGGAAGAAUCCUAAAGCCCAUUUGGUAUAUAUAAAGAUGGUGAAAAUAAUUUUGAACAUGAUCAAGAUGAUCUAAUGGAGUAUAAAACUUCUGAUUGCCUAAAAGAAUCAAGUUGGUAAAUCUGAUUUCGACAUCAAAACCUUUGUGUGUUCUUUGCCGUUUUAUGUGUUCAUUAAUUGUUAUCUCCUUGAAUUUAUUUUAUAUUACUUUAUGUUUAAAACAUGAUUCUUGUCCAUAUAAGAAAUGACUAAGGACAAGAAGAUACUUGUGAUUGAUAGUGGAUCAAGCCACAUGAUCUUAAAAGACAAGAGAUAUUUUCUAAAUCUCAUAAUGAAAAAUGCCAAUAUUAGCACUAUAGCGGGUAUAGCAAGUCUUAUUGAGGGCUACGGCCAAGCCCAUGUUCUAUUACCAAAUGGCACGCAUCUUGAACUAAGCGAUGCCUUGUAUUCACCCAGCUCAAAAAGGAGCUUAUUGAGUUUUAAAGAUAUAAGAUUAAAUGGUUUCCAUAUUGAAACAAAGAGUGAAGGGAACAAAGAAUUCCUAAAUAUAAUUGAGAUCACCAAAGGACAUAAGAAAGUCCUAGAGACUAUACCCGCAUUAUCCACUGGUCAUCUACUAUGCUAAAAUCGAUAUGAUCGAAGCUAAUAUGGCAAUGAACAAAGAGUUCAUUGAGAAAUUCACUUUAUGGCAUGACCGGCUUGGCCAUCCGGAUCAUAGUAUGAUGCGUAAACUAAUAACUAAUUCAAAGGGGCACACCCUAAGAGAGAAAAGAGUUAUCCCUAAGAAUCUCACGUGUGAAGCAUGUUCACAAGGGAAACUCAUUAUAAGGCCAUCACCGGCAAAAGUUAAUAAAGAAACCUUAAACUUUCGAGAAAGGAUACAAGGGGAUAUAUGUGGACCAAUACACCCACCAUGUGGGACAUUUAGAUAUUUCAUGGUCCUCAUUGAUGCAUCGACAAGAUGGUCGCAUGUGUGCUUAUUAUCCUCUAGAAACCAAGCGUUUGCUAGGUUGUUGGCCCAGAUUAUAAGACUGAGAGCCCAUUUUCCAGAUUUUCCGCUUAAGACUAUACGUCUAGAUAAUGCCGGUGAAUUUACGUCCCAAGCGUUUAAUGACUACUGUAUGUCCAUGGAGGUAAGUGUGGAAUAUCCCGUGGCACGUGUACAUACUCAGAACGGAUUAGCGGAAUCCUUCAUUAAACGAAUUCAAUUGAUAGCUCGACCAUUACUCAUGAGGUCGAAGCUUCCAGUAGCCGCUUGGGGACAUGCUGUUUUACAUGCAUCAGAGCUUAUACGCAUAAGGCCAUCUAGUGAACAUAAAUAUUCACCAUCCCAGUUACUAAUGGGUCAUGAGCUAGACAUAUCCCAUCUUAAGACAUUCGGGUGUGCCGUAUAUGUACCGAUUACACCACCACAUAGAACAAAGAUGGGACCUCAAAGGAGGAUGGGAAUAUAUGUUGGAUUUGAUUCUCCCACCAUUAUUAAGUAUCUAGAGCCAACUACGGGUGAUCUAUUUAAGGCUAGAUACGCGGAUUGUCAUUUUAAUGAAUCCGAGUUUCCUACUUUAGGUGGAGAGACGAACAAGUUGGGUAAAGCAAUAAAAGAAAUAUCAUGGAAUCAAACAUCCUUAAAUUAGCAAGAUCCUCGGACUCUGGCAUGAGAAUCAGAGGUCCAUAAGAUUAUACAUUUGAAAAGCUAGCUAAUCAAUUGCCAGAUUCCUUUGCUGACCCAAAGAAAGUUACAAAAUCGUACAUACCAGCUUGUAAUGCACCAGUACGAAUUGAUGUCCAAAAGGGACUUAGUCAAGUUGCUACAGAGUCUAGACAACGUAUGAGACGUGGUAGACCAAUAAGGUUCCAAUGAUAAAAAAAAAAAAUCCUCGGAAAUUAAAGAAAGGUGCAAUAGGAACCGAGGUUAUUAAGGAAACCAUCCCAGACAUGGAGAUAAGGCCGGCCGGCUCUAAGGUACAGGUACCAAACAAUGUAGCUUGGGUCGCCAAGCUGUAAAGUGUUAAAGGUCUUGAUAAUAAUUAAUCUCAAUCGAUUAUAUCAUGUCUGGAACAUAAUGGAACCCAUAAGGAAUGUCGACAUAAGAUGAUUUAUUUACAUACAAGGUAGCACUUGAAUAUAUGAAUAUAAAUGAGGAUCAGGAGCCCACGUCUAUACUAGAGUGCACUCAAAGACUUGAUUGAUUAAAAUGGUACAAGACCAUAAAACGUGGAGCUAAGAAUCAUUAAGAAAAGGGAUGUGUUUGGUCCGACCUUAAGGACACCAUCUGAUGUAAAACCAGUAGGACACAAGUGGGUCUUUGUGAGGAAGAGAAAUGAGAAUAAUGAAAUCGUGAGAUAUAAGGCACGGCUUGUAGCACAAGGAUUCUCACAAAGACCGGGGAUAGAUUAUGAAGAGACAUACUCCCCUGUGGUGGAUGCUAUGACAUUUAAAUUUUGCUAAGUCUGCUAUAUAAAAGAAAAUGACUUGAUUUGCGGCUAAUGGAUGUAAUGCCUGCAUAUUUAUAUAAGUCCACUGGAUAAUGAAAUAUAUAUGAGAUUACCAGAGGGUAUUGAGCUCAAAGAUAAAGAUAAGAAAGGGUCUCGAGACCAAUACUGCAUACGGCUGAACAAAUCGCUUUAUGGACUGAAACAAAGUGGGCGCAUGUGGUACAAUAGAUUAAGUGAGUACCUAGUCAAAGAAGGCUAUAAGAAUGAUACCAUCAGUCCAUGUAUUUUCAUAAAGAAGUUUGCAAACAAAGGAUUUGUAAUCAUAGCAGUAUAUGUGGAUGAUUUAAACAUCAUUGGAACCUCUGGGGAAAUCGCCCAAACAGUCGAAUAUCUAAAGAAAAAAUUCGAAAUGAAAGACCUAGGCAAGACAAAAUUUUGUUUGGGAUUGCAACUUGAGUACGUGAAUAAUGGAAUCCUUGUGCAUCAAAAGGCAUAUACUGAAAAAGUACUCAAGAAUUUAAUAUGGACUAGGCCCACCCAUUAACCAGCCCAAUGGUGGUGAGAAGCCUUGGAUUGGAUAGUGAUCCAUUUGGUCCAAAGAAGGACGAGGAAGAAGUUCUCGGUCCUGAAGUGCCAUACCUCAGUGCCAGAGGAGCGUUAAUAUACUUGGCUAGCCACACUAGACCAGACAUAUGUUUUGCCGUGAACCUCCCAUCGAGAUUCAGCUCAUGUCCAACCCAAAGGCACUGGAACAGAAUUAAACAUCUUUUACGUUAUUUACAAGGAACUGUUGAUUUGGGUCUAUUCUAUACUAACCAUAACAAAGAAGGUUUAGUUGGUUUUGCUGAUGCAGGUUAUCAAUCAGAUCCGCAUAAUGGUAAGUCACAAACAGGUUAUGUGUUAACACACGGUGGAACCGCGAUUUCGUGGCGUUCAAUGAAGCAAACCAUCUCAGCCACUUCAUCCAAUCACGCGGACAUCUUGGCAAUACAUGAGGCCAGCCGUGAGUGUGUGUGGUUGAGGUCGAUGACUCAACACAUACGAUCUAAUUGUGGUAUGGACGAUGAGAAGGGACCAACGGUCAUGUACGAGGACAAUGCGACCUGCAUCGCUCAGCUCAAAGAAGGUUACAUCAAGGGAGAUCGGACGAAGCACAUCCUACCUAAGUUCUUCUUCACACAUGAUCUACAAAAGGAUGGAGAAGUUCAAGUGGUGCAGAUCCGAUCCAGUGACAAUUCAGCCGACCUAUUCACUAAGGCAUUACCAACAUCGACAUUGAGGAAGCUCACGCAUCAAAUUGGAAUGCGGAGACUUAAGGACUUUCAGGGAUGACCAAAACAGGAGGAGUAAUACGUGCUGUACUCUUUUUCCUUCACCAUUGUUUUGUCCCAAUGGGUUAUUCUGGUAAGGUUUUAAUGAGGCAGCAUCCCCAAGCGUAUUACUGAGAUCCUUUGGCAUCUACACGGUUAUGUCAUCCAAGGGGGAGUGUUGUAAACCACAUAACGGAUGGACUCCAUAACCGUGGCCCAUGUCCAUGUUCUAGAAGGCCCAUGUCUAACUUCUAGAAGACUCGCCCAACCGACCAAGGCCAAAGACGGUAUAUGUUAGUCUUAGUGGGCUUUAGUGUUUCCUAGCCAAUUGGGAUUUGUCUCCCCUAUUGUGUAUAUAUAUAAGUUGUAACCUCAUUCAUUAAUCAAUAAGAAUACACGAGAUUCAUAACACAACUUUUAUUUAUUAAGUUUCCAAAGUCAAUAAAAAGGAUUUGACGUGUCACGUUUCCAUCGUGUUUCCAAACAUAGAUUUUUAGGAAACGCGUUUCCGUGACAUUUUUUGUAUUUCUGAAGAGUUUCCGUUUCCGAAACGUUUCGGAAACGGGAAACGGACCUCGAAGAGAGUUUCCAUGCAACAUAGCAUACUAGGUAAGAACCUAUAUUAUGUUAUUUAAUUUUAUAAACAAUAAUUAAAAAAUUAACUAAAAGUUUUUAUUUUAAAUUGUGAAUUGUCAAAACUAAAUUUUGUAAAUGCGCUAAAAUAUUUUAAAUUAAAAUAAUGAUAUAUAUAUAUAUAUAUAUGUAUAUAUAUAUCAUGCAACAAUACAGUCUUUUGGUCUAUAAAUAAACUUACAAAUUAAAUAUUAUAUGUUAUAUUGGUUUCUUCAUCACUAGCAGUCUUAUAAUUAAAAGUGUUUGACAAGAUUUCUUCUCCUGGUAAAUCUUCAUCUUUGCAUUCUGGUUUGUUAGGAUUCGUUGUUAUUAGGCUCUGUUUGAUUUGGGUGGCUAAUUAGCCAGCCACAUGUUAGCCUUAUGGCUAUUGUUUGUGUGAAUGGUCAGUAAGCACACCUAGGCCUGGGCAUAUGGGUAACCCGUUCGGGUUCGGGUAAAACAUGUUCGGGUUCGGGUUGAAUGGGUAAUGAAGUUAUGGCCCAUUCGGGUAUUUCUAAAGAUUCGGUUCCGGUCCGGUUCGGGUAUUGUCGGGUUCGGGUCGGUUUGGGUAAUAAGCAUGAGAACCGAAAAAAACCCGAAAAAUUUGGUUCCCCACUGGGUUCGGGUCUAAAUGGGUAAAAUUACCCAUAAACCCGAAAUAUGACUCCAAUACCCGACGUUUUAAAUCAUUGUACAUGCUCAAAUGAUCAAAUAAAGAGAACAAAACAUCAAACAUGACAUCUAAAGACUAAAUCCAAUCCAAAAUCACAAAGAUGACUACUUAAGUCUUAAGUGUUAAGAGUAAAUCCAAUCCAAAAUCACAUGACAUCAGAAUGUUUGGUGACGGUAAGGUCGCCGAGAGUGUCACGACGAGGGUUUCCAGUUUCGAUAAUGAGACUCAAAAGGGGAUUUUAAGCAGAGAUUAUCGAGGGAAUAGGGAUUCUAGAAGGAAAUUAGAAAACUCAAUCGUCAAAACUCAAAAGCUAGGGCUAUAUGACUAUAUAACUAUAUAUCUAUAUACAUAUAUAAACACAAGUCUAAAAGUUUCGGAUUUAUGGGUACCCUAAAUGGGUAACGGGUAUUCCCCGACCCGAACCGAUACCCACGGGUAGACCAAAACUCUACCCAAUGAAGUAAUUUCCUAAUACCCUAACCCGCCCCAACCCGGUUUUUUCGGUCUGGGUAUCUGUUCGGGUAUCGGGUCCGGUUUUUUUGCCCAGGCCUAAGCACACCUAUAGCAAUGUCGUUGGUGGUUCGUUUCAACACUAAAACAGGAUUCAACCCAGUUUUGGUUAUGGAUCAUCAACUAUAUCUUUGUUUAGAGUUUCUUGUAACUAUGUAACAUAACAAUGGUGCCCAAUUAGCCGAUCACAUAUUAGCCAUAUGGCUGCCACUUUCUGUGAUUGGUCAGUAUGUCACCAAUAGCACUAUCUUCUUGGUAGCCUUUUCUGAUUGUGAGCAAAUUUGUGUUCUCUUUUCUUGGCUAUUAAAUGUACAAGGUACACAUUAAAGUACUCAUUUUUAUGAACCACAUUCUCUUCAGCUAGUAAGUAGUUCCUAAGUAUUUGUUUCUCUAAAUAACAUCACAACAUUUUAAUAUUGAAAUCUCUCUAUGGGUGGACACGUUAGUUAGCCACAUUCUUUUAUAUGCGGGUGGCCGUAAUGCCCACCCAGAUGUUUUGUUGGUGGCUUCUUGCAGGAAAAGAGAUUUAUGGUUUGACUUCCUAGCUACUAGGCCUGGGACUAAAUAUCCGGAUUCGGCGGAUAUUCGGAUCAGGAUCCGUUAUCCGAUCCGGAUCCGUUAUCUGAUCCAAAAAUCCGGAUAUCCGGAUGACCGGAUCCGGAUCCGGAUCUCAUGAAAAUUUAGGAACGGAUAUCUGGAUCCAAUUAUAAAUUAUAUAAUAUUUAGAUUUUCAUCAGAUCCAUUAAAAUGAAGCCCAAUAUUAUACCAUAAAACCAAAAAUGAAAUUAAAAAGCCCAAUCGAUUAUCUCUCUCCAAGUCACGACAAUAUUAAAUGAAAAGACCUAAUUAAUUAUAUCUCUCUUCAAGUCACGACAAACACUUCUUCUUCUACCUUUGUCUCUUUUUUUGUUCUUCCUUCGUCUCUGAUUCCUUCCGAAAAGACCAAAACAUAGUGUUUGAUUCGUCUCUGCGAGGAUUUGUUGUGGAGGAGGAAGUAUAGUAUUGUUCGUUGAGUGCAAUUUCGGUGACGAAUUGGCGGGAUUGGUGUGAGAUCUAGAAGAUUUUGAUGGCCAUGGCAGAUCUCUAGCGGCGGUGAAUAGAGAACGGAUCAGUGAAAGGAAGCGUGGUGGAUCUGUUAUGUAGUUGAGAGAUCUGGUGGUUGAGCUCGUGAAGAAUCUUAGCAAUCGUGACUUGGAGAGAGAUUGGGAUCGGAUCCGGAUAUCCAGCGGAUAUCCGGUUUUUCUUACGGAUACCCGGAAACCGAAUAUCCGGGAUUCUCGGAUCCGGAUCCGGAUAGUAAUAUGACAGAUCCGCCGGAUCCGGAUACACUCAAUUUUGCUGGAUAUCCAGAUCCGUCUCAGGGCUACUAGCUACCAACUACAUUUUUGAGUUAAAAAUAGUUUUUGAUGGAGAAAUAUCUUGCUUUACCAUCUUAAGUGUACUUUUAUUUUGAGGUUUUGAGAUCUUUAUUCUUUUGGAUAUUUUAGGUAGCAACCUAGGCUGCAUGGAAUCGGAAGCGGGUACGUGGAAGCGGAAGCGUUUAGAAGCGGAGAAACGAGUUUUUUUAAAAAAUUAGGAAGCGGGUACGUAUUGGAAGCGUAAAUAUAUAUAUAUUAUAUAUAUAUAUAGAGAUUUAUUGAAUAUUUAAUUUACUUUACACUAAUCUUUCAUUCGAAUAAUAGAAAAUCAAAUGAUUACAGAAACUUAAUUAAUAAGCUUCUCAAAACCCUAACGCCACCACUACUCUGCUUCUACGGAAAAAAAGUCAAUGACUUUUUGACCCAAGGAUUAGAGAGAGAAAGGCACUGAGUAGAGAGAGAGAGAGAGAGUGUGUUGUGUAGUAAAUGAGACGAGAGAUUGGUGGUGAAAGGAGUCAGCUUUGCAUUUAUUAUCAUCAUCUUCUUCUCUAAAAUCUUCCCAAAAAAAAAAAAAAUACAGAGCAAAAGCUUUCACAAAAUUCAUCUUCUUCCUUUCACAAUUUUGGGAUCUGACUGUUUGUUUGAAAAUUCUGCUAAUUCUCUUCCGUGAAAGUCGUUUACUUUUUUGUGGGUUUUGUGAAAGUUUCCGUUUUUAGUGGCUUCUCUUGAUCUUCUUCAAGAUCUUCACUUUUUAGGGUGUUUUUCCUCUUAUGGGCUAGAGAUCAACACCAGCGACGCUUCCGAUCUACCGCAACGGCGCUUCCAACUCUGAAUCGUCGCUUCCACGACGCUUCCAAACGCUUCAUUUUGGGAAUCGCGAUUCCAACGCGAUUCCGAGCGAUUCCGAUGCGCUUCCGCUUCGCUUCCGCUUCCGGAGCGAGAAACGUAGCUUCACAGACGAUUCCGUGCUUCGUAGGUAGCAACGCUGAACAGUCGAUAGUAUGGUCGGUAUCAGGAGAAAGCAUGUCUCAGUUCGGAAAACUGGGUGCUGUCCUCAUGGUCUACAGGUUAUGCCAUAAGAAAGGUGACCACUGGACAUCAAGGUGCUAACAGAAGGAUCUCUUAGCCUUAAUGGACGAGCCUUUAACAGCACAAACUUCUACACUGACUAUAGCUGGAACUGGAACUGGCAGUGCUGCUUAUGUCUCACCAAGCAUGAGAGAAGGUGCAGACAGAAAAGCUGGUGGUUCAGACAUGAGGAGUAGAAAUGAGGGGAACUGACUGUCCGUGUGACUAAUUUGUCUGAAGAUACCCGUGGACAGGAUUUGAUGGAGUUGUUUUGUCCGUUUAGUGCUGUAACCUGUUGUCAUGUAGCCAUUGACCAGAAGACAAGCAUGAGCAGAGGAUUUGGAUUCGUCAAUUUUGUCAGCAGGGAAGAUGCACAGCGAGCAAUCAACACAUUGAAUGGAUAUGGUUAUGAUAACCUCAUUCUUAGGGUUGAAUGGGCCACUCCUAAACCCAAUUAGAUCUUUUUCAUUCUCUAAUGAUAAUAUUCUUUGUAAGAUGUUAAUGCAUAUGAAUUCUUAACUAUAAAUUCUCGAGAUAAAUAGGAUUCAUGUUGGUCUCUGAAUUUGAUUUACACUUGCAGUAACCAUGGGUCUAAUUGCUGAAUUUGCACUCGUAUGAAAGUUCCUACUAAAUGCAUUUCUAGUGAAUACGUGCAAAAAGUAAUAAAACUCUCUUUAAUACUGCAAGCAUGUUAAAACUUAGAAAAGAUUUAUAAGGGUGAAGUCAUUUCCAUUUUCCAUUGACCAUUUUACCAAUAACCAAGUAAAAAUCAUCAAAUUCAAAGAGAUGGGAAACAAGGAUUCGAAAGGCUCUUCUACGACCGAUCUGAAAGAGGUGAUUGUGGCUACACCUCAGACUCAACAGCAACAACAGUCACCGCAAUUGAUCCGAAAGUCGCAACCACAGCAGCCACAUUCAUCUGAGAUGCCUCUUCUCUAACCCUGUUACAAAAAAGAAUACUACGAGAAAAUGAGCGAAGAGAAAAUCGCUAUGCUCUUAGAGACUUACGGAAUCAUGACAGUCCCUGGUGAUUUGGCUAACAAGAGAAACUUUGCUUUUGAAACCUUUCGUUGGGAUCAUAAGAACAAUCACCCUAAAGCUUAACAACUAACUACUUGUAUAGUACAAUAAAACUAACGUUUUAUGAUUGGACCUAAACACAUUCAUAAUUCUUUCAUCGAUUCACAAGAAAAUAUAAAGAGAAUAUAUACAAAGUAACCAUGGAUUCAAAAAUAAUAUACAAACUAACCAUGAGCUACAGUAACAUGUCUGUAACAUGUCGGAAUGCAUGUGUAAUUACGUAAAUGUCCUUUGUAACACGCUUUCUUUUCGAAUUACAUGUGAUAACAUAAUAUAUCUCUUUUUAUCAUGUAUUUUUCUCGUACUACACGUUAUUUAUAAAGAACACAUAGUAUUUCUUGGAAAAAACAUUCUAUUCAUUGUAAUAUCUAUCUUUAUCAUGUUAUUUUGUAAUAAUACACAUGUUUUAUUAAGAUCACAUGUGAUUUCUUUUAAAAAAGAUGAUUAUUUUUUAGUAAUACACGAUUUUUAUUAAGAUUACAUGUGAUUUCUUUUUAAAAAGAUUCUAUUCAGAUUAAUUUUUUCAUAACAAUAUUUUUUCUUAAAAAGCCACUACAUAACAAUGUUUUUUCUUAAAAAUUCACUAUGUUUUUUGAAAUAUCAUGUCUUUUAGUUCAAUAUAACAUGCGAAGUUUAAAUGUUACAUGUUAUUUUGAAAAAUCUCACGAAACUGUCUCGCAUAUCGUUGAUCUCGCAACAAACAAAGGAUAGUUUUGGUAUUUCACAUCAUCCGACAACGUGGGUCCAUAACUAUUUUGCAACAAAAAAGUUUCUUUCUGCUAUUUUCUUAAUUUAAGUGUUUUAUUUGGCUAUUCCCUAAUAUUACCCAAAUAUAAAUCAUAAUGCUACUACAAUAACGAAUAUUAUAAUCACUUUAGCAUCUCUUGAACAAGUUUCUAAGAAUCCAAGAGAUGUUAAAAUAUUAGUUAGAUAACCAGAAGCAAUAAUUCACAUAUAUAUAUACAUGAAAAAUGUUACUCUUUAUCUAUUAAGAUGAAAUGUAUAUAAUGUAAAUCUAUUUGUAUAAUAUAGUAGAUAGUUAAAUUGUUAUAGAAGAUGUGGAACAAAAAAAUUUGCAUUACAAAAUAUAAAAUGCAUGAGGUUCAAAUCCGGCUCGGGAAAAAUAUGAAUUACCAUUUAGAAUUUUAUAUGUAUUUCCAAAACCUGCAUAUUUAUGUGAGACCUUUAUAUUGUGAUAAACUAUAAAUAAAAGGCUCAUACCAAAAAAAAAAAAAACUAAAUUAAAAGUUUGUGUCAGACUUAAAUAAGGCAGAAUGUGGUGCUUACACUUGAACAAACUAAAUCUUAUUUAAAUUAAUAAAAGCAAAUAAAUAAACUAAGAGUGGAUGUAGUUAUAACCCGUUCAACACCAAUGUUUAUCUUUGAAUAUAUUAGGAUACAAAGAUUUUUAGUUAUUUUUUUUAAAAAAAUGUAUAUCUUUAUAAAUCACUUUAAUAUGUCAUGAGGUUUUGCUAAUUUAGGUUAUUCUAAGUAAAUAAAUAUUUAAAUUAUUUUAAGCUACUAUAUAUGUUACUAUAUACUCCCUGUGUUCUUUAUUAAUGUAGUUUGUAGGAUUUUCACAUAUAUUAAGAAAACAUAUUAAAAAUUGAUUAUAAAUAUAUUAUUUAUGUGAUUAACAAUUUUUCAUAACUCUAAAUCAAUAGUAUUCAAAUAGAUUGUUCUUGAAAUGUACAAUUCAUUAAUAAUAACUAAUAAAUAUUGCAUAGAAAACUUAAAAUAUUUAUUUUUUUGAAACUAAUUCUUUUUUUUUUAAUAAUAAGGAACAAAGGGAGUAUAAAUUAUGAAUUAUUGAAAGAUAAUGUCAUCACUAACAAAUCAUAAUGAUAAACUCAUCUAAAAAAAAUCUCAUAGCCACCAUCUCUUCAAUAUUUACUAUAUGUAUAGUGAUGAUAUAUGUGACAUGCUAUGAAACGUUUUCAACAAGAUGGAGAACCAUUUCCAACUAGAGGGCCUCUUACGACGAUCACGGUACGAAACAAUAAUGACUAUUUGCUUGGAAUCCACCGUAAAUCUAAAGAUGAUAUCUCGGUUUCCACGUUCUCAAAAAAGGUGAAUUAUAUGGUUGGAAAUUUCAUGUAAACGUACGAAAUUCAACACUUUUGUUUUCUGUGGAUUUAGCCAAGGACAACAUAAUAAAGGCGUGUCCGAGAUUUACAGGGCGAAAAGAGAUUUUUAUAGAUGUAGAAACUGUAUAUGGGAUGCAACAAAAGAUGGUCUUUAUGGUUAUAGCAACUUGCCUCAAAAAGUUAUAUGGUUUUUCAAGUGGUUAAAGUAGUAUUAAAUUGUAUUUUUGAUUCAAAUAUAAAUAAAAUAAUGUUUUAAGAACUGUAUAAAAUUUGCAUAUGAUGUUGUUAACCUAAAAAUAAAAAAUUGUUGUGAAGUAUAUUAGAGCAAGUUUUAGCAAGAGAGCGAAUAAGAUAUAUGUGAGCCAAUAAAAGUAGAAACAUCAAGAAGUGUGAAUGGCGGCUGGCUGGCAAAGAAGUUGCUAUGGGCUGGUUGAUCAAAAGAGGGACAUGCUUGAAAACAUGUACUCGCAUAUCCAAAAUAAAAAUUAUCUCUAUCAAACCGAUGAAAGUUCAGUAAAAUAUGGAAAGGGAGAUAGUCUAAGGAUAUAUUAAUUUUAAAUAUUAUAUUAUUAUUAUUUUAUGGAUAAAAUUUGAGAAAAUAUUCAAUUGUUAUUUGUUUUAAUUAACAUGCACCUAAAAUUAAAAAAUCAUAUUAAUCCAUUUUAAUUUUAUUAGGAAGAUCCUCACUUAAUUUAAAAGAUAACUAUAUCCUCAAUUAAUUCUAUUCUUAAUUAUUUUUUAUUUAUAUUUUCUUAUAUUUUCCUUCUGAUUUUCUUAUAUUUUCCUUCUUGUUUUCUUAUAUUUUCUUUAUAGAAUUCAUAGCCAAGCACUAUAUGUACUUAUGUAAUCUCUGAUCCGCUUUCGCUUAAAUAAUCUAGACCUACUUACAAGAAGAAAACAAAUUCAAACCGGAAAACCAAACAUUACCGAAUGAUUACUUAAACCGGUUAUCUAACUUUUAGUUACAUUGGCUUUGAAUGUGAUUUUGGAUGGUCAAAAGGAUAUUCAGUUGGGAGUGGACCGAGACGGCAAAAACUCUUUUUUGGUAAGGCAACCCGCUUGGCCGUUAAUGGUAGCUUCCAACCUGCCCCGGCCUAAUAGUAUUUAGAACCCUAGGACCAAAAAAAUACAAAAAAUAUUGGACCCUUAACUAUAUACACUAAAUUUUAUGUAUAUAUUUAGACUUAUUUAAUUUAAAUAUAUUUGUUUGGGUCGUUUUAAACUUUAUUUCUGAAAAAUGUAUCGUAAUAUACAUUUCAAUGUUAAGAAAUUGGGCUAUAUUUUAAAAUAAAAAUGAGUCUUAAACAUAAGAAAAUUUUUAGAUGGUCCCAUGGACCACUAUCCAUUUGCCCUACGCAUUUGGACCGGACAUGUUCCCACCAGAUAAUGUCGGCAGGGCAGUCUCUCACCCAUGGCAACAUAGGCAUUUGCCAUGGGUCCAAAAUUUUUUUCUAAAAAUUUUUUGAAAAAAGGGCCCAAUUUUUAGAAUUUUUUUUUUAGUAAGAGAACUUAAUUUUUUUUAGUUUUGCUAAGGGUCCUCCCAAAGAUUGAGACGACACUGAAUGUCGGUGAUGGUAUCGAGCAGCUUAAAUGAGCCUUCAAGAUGUGAUCUUCUUCUUGAAAUUCUUUUCACAAUCUUUUCUUCGAUAGUUUUGAGACGGUGGCCGGAGAUAUUUUACUGGAGUUCUUGGAGGUAAAUCAGACCCAGAAAGAAAAGGAUGUGAAAUUAGAUGUUACCUUAAACGAGGUCCUAAAUAAAAAGAAGAGACGUGUGAGAUAGAGAAAGGGCCUUGAUAGUAGCCCAUAGAUACGUCCCUUCAUUGUUUUUUGCCCAAUAGGAAUCUGUAUUUCACGGCCGACGAAACUCACUUUUGUUUGUUUUUUUUGACACGGUUAUGAGCAAAUAAAUACUCUAAUUUUUGACGUCUCAUAACAUUAUUAAACACACAAAAGCAACGAUCUCUUUGCAUUUCUCCCAGAUAUAUAAAAUUGAUUUGAAGUCUCAAUAAAUUAACACUCAAAUAUAAGAAGCCAAUUCAUUUAAUGCCUCCACUCCAGCAAUUCUCUUCUGCAAACAUGUCGAGAAGUGAAAGUGGUAAGAAUUACCUCUCAUUAUACUGCAAAUAUUUUUUACUAUAGUUACUAUUGUUUGAUAAUUAGUAACAAUGUUUAACUAUAAAAAAAAUAGUGGUUCACAACAUUGGUUUAAACCCUAUUAUGGAAACAGUUCAUACCUGGAAUUCGAAAAAAUGUUAACAAGGAUGACUAUGAUAGAUAUAUCAUAUAUCAACACUCAGGGUCGGCCCAUAGCUAAAGCCCAUGAAGCAAGGGCUUUAGGCAUCAAAUAAUUAUAAGUAGAUUUAAGGGCAUCAAUUUUUAAAAUGUUACUAUGGUCUAGUGGUUAGUUUGAAGUCUUUUGUUGUGGAAAAACAGUCUAUUUCUCCCCGAGAAGUAUCGCAUCAUAACAGAUAGAGCCCAAUCUAUGACUACAUGCUAAAUGUCUCCGAAACAAUAUUUGUCAACCUAUAUCUCCCCGAAUCCAUAGUUUUCAUCUAUUUUCCCAUAAAUCUAGGUUAAAUCGGUUUACGAACUAAAUCUAAUAGAAAACCAAUCAAACCGAUACCAAACCACUUAUAUCAAACUUUCUUUUGAUAUAGAAGGUUUCAAUAAUUUAAAAAAAAAAAAAAAAAAAAAAACGAAAAAAUUGCAGCACGUUGUUCGUCUCUUCUUCAUUCUUAGUCUUCAAAGUCCAAAUCUUUUUGAAAACAUUGAAGCACCGUUAACAAUCUCCAGUGCCUUAUCCACGUCUCUAUUUUUGCAAACACCAUUAAUUACUGUGUUGUUAUUGAAGAUAAACUCGUUCAAUUGCAACAUUGCAAAUACAACAAUCUAAUUACCCCAAAUCAACAUCUCUAUUAUUACAUUUGUUUUAUUGAAUUAUCUCUCUGUUUGUUCGAUUUCUCAUCUUAAAAUCAAUUGGGAAACAAAGUACAAAACCCAUAAAAGAAUCAACACAAACCAUCAAGCCGACAAUGGCAGAUUCAACGAUGAAUUUUCAAUUUGGAUGGGAUAAUGUCGGAUGGUCUCGAGUCGGGUUUAAUCAAAGCCGAUGAAGCUCCAAUAGUGAAGCAGAUCAGGGCGGAGAGGAGGAACAAGAAGAAGAGGGGAGCUGCUGCAAAAUAGAUUUAUAGCCACCAUCACCGGCAUCGACAUCACUGUUCACCGAAGGGGAACGAAGAAGAAAGCCAUCGUGUUUUUUUUUUCUUAAUUAUUCAAUAAAAAUUGCCCAAACAUAUUAUACAAUUAAUUAAAUUAAAUGUAUUCGGUUAAAUCGGGUUGUCAACGGGUUUAAUCUGGUUAUAAUUAGGUUUAGUUGGUUUGUUUAUCGAUUUUGAAUACAGUAAACCGAUUAAACCCAGUUCUGUGUGGCUUUAGCUCUCGAACUAUUAAAUCGGGGACAUUCAGGUAUUGAACUUUGAAUUCAUGGGAAAAUAGGAAUAGAACUUUCAUUUCAUGGAUAUUAGGACCGAGGUUAAAGUUUGGGCUCUAUCUGUUAUGAUGCAAUACUUCUCGGGGAGAAAUAGACUGUUUUUCCCUUUUGUUGUACAGGUCACGGUUUCGAAUCCCAAACAUGUUAAAACUUGUAUUUUUUUUUAAUAACAGUUUUUCUUAAUAGGCCAAAUUUUUUUUUGCUUUAAGCACUCAAAUAGUUUGGGCCGGCCCUGUCAACACUAGAGCUACUCUUCCGACAACAGAGAAACAUCAAAACGGUGAUGUAUCAUCAAAUGGGUCAAUUGGAUCAAAAGAGAAAAGCAACGUGGGCCGAGUCAACAACACAAAACCCACGAAGCCCAUUUGGAUUCAUAUGGCACCUUCACCAACGGCUCUUUCACAUUGAGACUCGGAAGUUUGGAGACUCAAAAAAUAAUCUAAUUAGAAACGUGUUUGAACAAAACACAACCACUAUGUUCAAAAUAUAUUUUCAGACAUAGUAAGAUUUUUUUUUUUUUUUGGUAGUAGUAAGAUUUUUUAAUAUGUUCAAAAUAUAUAGAUAUAUUACAAUUCAUAAAAUUAAAAAACUUAACAUUUGUCCUAGCCUAAAUGGAGAGAAGACUAGCCUAAAUGGAGAGAAGACUCUCCCAAAAACGAAUUAUUUAACAUUUGUCCUAGCCUAAAUGGAGAGAAGACUCUCCCAAAAUUUAUAGUAUUAUUUUUGUUAUUUUAACAUCUUAUAUAUUUUAAAUAAUUCGUUUUUUAUUUAUUUAAUUUUUCUAUUAAUUAUAAGUAACAUAAAUAUGCACUAAAUGAAUAUUUUAAAUUUAUUUUAAUGUAAAAUAAAUAGUGUUGCUUAUGUGGAUGAUGAUGUGGAUAGCCUAAAUGGAGAGAAGACUCUCCCAUUAUAUAUAUAGAUUUUCCUUAUAGAAUUCAUAGCCAAGCACUAUAUGUACAUAUGUAAUCUCUUAUCCGCUUUCGCUUAGAUAAAAAUGAAAAAUCUAGACCUAAUUACCAAAAAAAAAAGAAAUUUCAAACUAGAAAACCAAACAUUACCGAACAAUUACUUAAACCGGUUAUCUUAUUUUUGGUUACAUUGGUUCUGAAUGUGAUUUUGGGUGGUUCAAAAGGAUAUUGAGUUGGGAGUGGACCGAGAUGGCAAAAACUCUUUUUUCGUAAGGCAACCCGCUUGGCCGUUAAUGGUAGCUUCCACCCUGGUCCGGCCUAAUAGUAUUUAGAACCCUAGCUAGGACCAAAAAAAACAUAUAUGUAUUGGACCGUUAACUAUAUACACUAAAUUUUUUUGUAUAUUUAGACUUAUUUAAUUUAAAAAUAUUUGUUUAGGUCCUUAUAAAGUUUAUUUCUGAAAAAAUGUAUCGUAAUAUACAUUUCAAUGUUAAGAAAUCGGGAUAUAUUUUAAAAUUUUUAAAUAAAAAUGAUUAUUAAAUAGAAGUAAAUUUUUAAAAUUUUGAUGGUCCCAUGGACCACUAUCCAUCUGCCCUACGCAUUUGAACCGGUCCUGUUCCCACCGGAUAAUUCUGGCGAAGGUAUCGAGGACCUUACAUGGGCCUUCAGGAUGUGAUCUUCUUCUUGAAAUUCUUUCCACAAUCUUUCCUCGGAUAGUUUUGAGAUGGUGGCCGGAGAUAUUUUACCAGAGUUCCUGGAGGUAAAGAAUUUACAAACUUUGAAGAAACUCAUCAUAUUGUUUUUUUCCCUCUAUGUAAUCUGUGUCUGAGAGAGAAAAAUGGAGAGAGAUAGAGAAAGUAUGUUUUGCUCAUACAUUAUUUAUAUUUUUUUGAGUAUUUAUUUUGUUUACUUAUACGAUGGAAAUUACAUAUGUACAUCAGUACAUAUAGUGCUUUCUCGAAUCAUUUACACAAAUUUUAAGAAAACAAUGUUAUUAUUUACAUAAGCAUGGUGGAAUCUAACUAGAAUAUGUUUGUAACCUAUACUGUUUACAUUAUCAAUGAAAUAUUUAUAAUUCAGUAUAAAAAAAUAAUAAAGGAAAAAAAAAAUCUUGCUCGAAGAAAAAUUCAACUUGUUUUUCAUUUUGACAUCAAAAUUUAAUAAAAAUAAAUAAAUAUUCUUUUUGAUUAGUUAAAAAAAAGGUGUUAAGACUUUUUUUUCUUAUUUCUUUAUUUCUUAUUACAUAUCCACAAGGAUCCGUCGUGCUUUUUCUGGAAAAACACCGGUGCGCCAUAAGGAGCCUUCGAUGGUCUCAACAUCCCAGUUGAAAGUAGUUCUUCGAGUUGUUUGCGAAGUUCUAUGAGUUCGAAUGGAGCCAUGCGGUAUGGGGUCAUCACAGGUGGUUUGGCUCCUACUUCCAACUCGAUCCGAUGAUCCACCUCUCUCCUAGGUGGUAGUUUCUCCGGCAACUUAGGCGGCAAUUACGUCUUUAUUCUUUUCAAAGACUUUCUCAAUCACCGGCGGGAUGACAAAUUCUUUUCCAAACCCGUCAUCCAACUUCAAAAACACAAGGAAAGAUGGGUUACCUUUCUUCACGCCUCUUGAGAACUGCAUUCCCGAGAGUUGCCGAACUUCACCAUCCUUCUUAUUUUCAGCUUCCAUGGUGGGGACCAUUCAUGGUGAACCCUUCUCAAGGAUGCUUACCGUACUAAGUGCGGGCAUAUUUGCCGAUACUUGUCUUUCGAAUUCGAGCACAAGUACCACCUUGAAGUCGUCCAUAGACACCACCGAGAAAUUCACCAUUCCCUUCCAAGCCCCGAUACUAAGCUCCACGCCUUGUGCAACACCAUGGAGUGGUUGAGAUUUAGCAUUCACCGACUUCAACCAACCAUCACCCUUUGUCCAUGUUAGACCGAGCCUCCUAGCUUCUCCCUCGGACACAAAUUUGUGGGUAGCACCUGUGUCCACCAUCGCUUGAGUUGCCCGCCCAUUGACAUGGAUAUCCAUGUACAUCAAACCUUUACUCUUUGCCUUAGACGUUGGAGUAGUCUUAAGAGCAUUGAAUAGCUGCAAGGACCCGAUCAUGCCCGUCUCUUCUUGGACAUCCGCCUCUGCUUGCUCAAGGAGAGCGGAUAAUGACCCAAGUUUCGGACAAUCCCUCACAGGAUGGGGUCCCUUGCACACAUAGCACCCACUCCUCGGAAUAAAAGAGCGUUUCUUCGCCUCAUAUUCUUCCAUCCCCGAACUCUUCUCUUGACUCCGAGGGUAAGUUGAUGUUGGCUGGUCCCUCCUCUCUCCAUUGCCCUUAGGCACCACUCUCUCCUUCUUCUUGUAUGUUUCAGGUUGAUUUUGAGUGACAAAAUCGGAAAGAGAUUCCACCGCGGCUAUAGCUUCAUCCACCGACUUCACUCCGCGUAGCUGCAACUCUUGUUUUGCCCACCCUUGGAGUCCAUCAAUCAAAUGGAACACCAACUCUUGAUCGGACAGAUUUGGAAUCUGCAACAUUAGGGUAGUGAAAUUCUUGACAUACUCUCGGAUCAUACUCUUCUGUCGCAAUUCCCUUAACUUCCUCCGCGCUUCGUAGACAAAAUUCUCGAGAUAGAAUUGGCUUUUAAGUUCUUUCUUGAACUCCUCCCAAGUAUCCACCAGACAUGUGGCCCGCUCAAUAUCAGCGUGACGCCUCCGCCACCACAGCAUGGCCGUAUCCAUUAGGUAGGAUGUGGCUGCCUUGCUCUUUGUAGUCUCGUCUCCAAGCCUGAGAUUGUCAAAGUAUUGCUCUAUCUGCCAUAUGAAAUUCUCAACUUCCUUACCAUCUUUUGCUCCAUCGAAUCGAGAUGGUCUCGGGUAAUCCAUCAUACCCGCACCCGCAUUGCCAUUCCCCCCAUUGGCAACCGCCCUUUUUCACAAUGCAAGGUUUUCUUGCAUCGCCUCGAUGCUCACCUGGAAUGCUUUGACCGCCCCCAUCAUCAUCUCUUCAAGUUAAACGAAUUGCUCAUCAAAUCCGCUCAAGUUGUUCUUAACUCCACCGAUCUCGGUGAACACUGUGUUCUCGAGUUCGGUAGUCGAGUGCUCAACACGCUCGAGCCUCUCCCCCAACUCGCUUACCGCGACACCUAAGGACCCAAGCUCAUCUCGAACCCUGCUCUUGUCAUGCUUCCUCUUCGGCGCAUUCGCAUCAAAGGCCUCCUGCCCAUCGAUGUUGAUGCUGUCAACACCAUCGGUAACAUCAUCCUCGUUACGACCCACCAUCUUUCAAUAUCUCGUUUGCCUUUGAUCUAACAUGGCUCUGAUACCAUGUGCCACGGACUUGAACUUUUGGGAACAAAUCUGCGGCCCUAUAAUAUUUUUUCCUCGAGCAAAUAGACUAGGCAGCCUUACUCUCUAAGAAAUCUGGCCCUUUGUGAGAAAAAGAACUCAGAAAGAGUGAAAAAAUCAGGAAAAGACAAGAGAAUACUAAAUUGCUCUGAUAUUGAUAAAAAUGCUGGAUGAUUACAAAUAAGGGAUCUCAUCCCUAUUUAUACAAAAACACCUCUUUAAUGGACGGUGGAGAAUAAAGCGAUCUAAUGGCCGAUAUUGAAGAUAUGGCCUUGAUUAGCAAGAUCCUAAUAAAUGUGACGGAUUUGUAGGGAUAUUUCUUGGGGACAAAGUCUUGAGAAAUAUCCCCCAAGUCUUUCCAUAUCUUCCUCCAAACGUUUCUACAAGAUUCUAGAGAAGAUCCAGCCCAUGAAAUGGGGAAAAAACCCAUAAAGAUGUAAUGUGUCCUUCUGGUCCGGCCCGGAAGUAUGUUUAAGAGAAUGGGCAGUGACAUAAGGCUCUUGUCCCUACUUUGUUUAUGAGGUAAGUCGAAUGUCUCACCGCUUCUCCCCACAGAUAAUUUGGCAUGCUCAUGUGUUUCAAUAUACUUCUAGUCAUCUCCAACAAAUUAAAGUCAUGUUUCUUCUUUCAACCACUUCGUUUUGCUGAGGAGUGUAUGUCGCUGCUAGAUGGCUGUUGAUGCCUUCUCUUUCACAAAAAUCUUGAAACUCAUAAGACAGGAACUCUCCUCCUUUAUACGUUCUAAGUGUUUUGAUUUUAGCACCACUCUCUUGCUCAACUAGCAUCUUGAAACCUUUGAAUUUCUCAACUCCCUCACUUUUCUCCUUGAACAAAAUCGACAACAUGUAACAAGAGUGAUCAUCGAUUAACACAAAUAUGUACCUCUUUUUGGCAGUUGUAGGAGGCGAUAUAGGUCCUCAGAGAUCACUGUGAACAAGGUCUAGGACUUGAAAUGCACGAUACGAAGUUUUCUUUGGAAACAUUUGUCUUGCUUGUUUUUCAAGUAAGCAGGAUGCACAUGUUUCUUUUACCUUUGGAGCACUAGGUAUCCGUAUGACUAGUUCUUUUGCAAUCAUUGUCUUAAUGGUUUCAAAGUUAAUGUGUUCAAGUUGAGCAUGCCAUUUUGUUGAAUUGCUUGAUGCCACAAGCUGCAAACAAUUGGUUUCUUCUAAUUCCAAAUUCACUUUGAACAGCCUGUAUCUUGAUCGUGUUGCUUUUACUAACAAGUUUCCAUCUCGGUCAUGUAAGGUUAAGUAGUCUUCUUUCAUUCUGACAUCACAUCCCGAUUCAGUGGCUUGUCCUAGGCUUAUGAUGUUGCUUUUAAGGUCUGGUAUAUAAUACACAUCGGCUAGGAUCUUUCGUCCUCCGGUUUUGCUUACAAACAAAAUUGAACCCUUACCCUUUAAGUCAAUACGUGAAUCAUCCCCAAAUCUUACUUUACCUGUGACCAUCUCAUUUAUCUUGCAAAUCCAAGCACGAUGUCCUGUCCUAUGAUUACUAGCGCCAUUGUCGAGAUACCAAGCUUUUCGGAGCAUGUAUCAAAGUCUUUUGGCAUCACAUUCUUCUCAUUCAAAUAUACUACCUAAUGCAUCAUAAGUGAUUCAGCUUCAUGAGUAUCAUCUUCUUCCUUCUCUUGCAUUUCUUGAAGCUUGAUUAAUUUGAGAAAUCGAUCCGGACAGUUCGAAGCAUACUGCCCUGUUUUGUCACAUCGCUAACAUGUUACCUUGGACUUGUCUCUCUGUUGAUAGCCAAACUCCCUUAGUUGGUAACCGUAAUCUCUGGAUUGGUAACCAAACCUUCCACGGCCUCUUCCAAAUCGGCAAAUCGACCACGGCCUCGUCCUCUACCACCAUCUUGGGAGUCUGAGUUAACAUACAUGAGCUUGCCUUGGUCUUCUGUGAAUCUUCUUCAUCACAAACUUGAUCUUCUUAUGUUUUAAGCAUUCCUACAAUAUCUUCAAGGUUAUUGUUUUGAGAUCAAGAACUUGUUCUAGGGCUGCAAUUAUAUGAAUGUAUUUCUUCCUUGGCAAGCUCUUGAGAAAUUUCUUAACAAUCUUUGUUUCUUCAAUGUUCUCACCCAAAGAUGCUGCUUUUGUAGUCCUGAUAAAAUCAUCAAUGGUGUCGCUCUCUUUCAUCUUCAAUCUAUUGAAUUCAGUCAUAAGGGUUUACAAUCUUGCUUCUUUGACUCGAUCGGCACCAAGAUUUCUAGCUUUGAUGGCAUCCCAAACGGCUUUUAAGGUUUCAUGGUUGCCAACUUGUAGAAUUAGCGACUCUGGUAUGGAUUGAAACAAGAGGGCUCAGGCCAUCUCGUUUUUCUCUAUGUCCUCUGAACCAGGAUCGUUGUCUCCCACACCCCUUAUUCACUCGGAGAGCAACCUUCAUCCUCAUGGUCCAAACAGUGUAGUUGGAACUGUUUAACAUCGAACAUUGUAUGGAUGAUGGUCCUCCUUCCUUUGGCUUGUUAUCCAUCGUGACCAAUUCACUCAUGCUUCGGAUGAUCUUCGUACUUGUCAACACUUGAGAAACAAAGCUGAAGGCUCUGAUACCAAAUCUAGAAUCGAAUACUUUGAUCAAGGAUUUAUAAAAGUACUUCUUUUAUUAACAUUAGAACUAACUCAAACUAAAGCUCUCCUUAAUCUCUCUCUCAAUUCUCUAGGUUUACCACAAACUUUGGCAACUCUUAUAUAGAGACCCAUAAAAAUUAAUUUCCUAAACAAAGUAUAAUAUGUUUUAGAUAACUCCUAACAUAUAUCAAUGGAUAACUUCCAAAGAUUUAAUAAUAAUCUCUUCAUUUAAAUAAAUAACUUAUUCCUCAAGUUACUUUUUCUUCAAGCUUACUCUAACAAUGAUGCUCUCGCAAAAGUCAGUGGGGGAAAACUCAAGAACCCAACUUCCUUACUUGCUCGAAUGCUAUUGGCUAAAAUAAUACUGCCAUGACUCCAUAAAAAAUAUAUGGGUGUCGAAGAACCCAUGGCUCUCUCUCUUAUUCAGUCUCUUACUCCAGUUGGAGCUGUACCAGAGGAUCAGUUAAAUCUCCGAGUCUCAGACUCACUUGAAGCUGGUACUAAACUCUGGAAUUGGCCUGCAAUAAGACCAUUUCUUACCAGGGAAUGAUCAUAUCGUUAAAUGACUCCCACCUGGUUCUUAAAGAUUUCCUCAUUACCGGUUCAAUAAUAUGAUACGACCGAGAACUUGAAGUAACCAGAAAUGGGGGAAAACGGAGGAAGAGUUGAGAAAGAAGAGAAACAGAGAGAAAGAAAUAUCAACUUGAUUUCUUUAUCGAUGUCUCUUACAAGGUUACUAAAAAUUUUUUAUACUAGGAUGCAUAGGGCAACCCUAAACAGAUGGGGUUCAUAAAAUAGAUAGAUAAAAGGACUCAUUCUCAAGCCCCAUAACUAGCUUCUGGCCCAGCAAUGACAAUUAUUUAUUUAUGGUAUAAGGAUUUUCUUCUCUCGAGUCUUCAUUGCUAGGAUUUGACUUCUUGAAACACUUAGCCACUUUGAGACAUCUUCUUCUCCAGACGGCUUGCUCUUCUCCCUGAUGUCCUAUGUUUCUUCCUGAUGAAAGCUAAAGGUAUAGCCAACCUAUCAUAAUACCAGUUGUCUUGUUAUGGAAUCACUUUAGUUUCAGCGGGCCCCUACCACUCUCAUUCUUCUUUUUAAUUGGCAAUCAAACUUAUGGAGGUUACAGACAGUCCCUAAAAUCAAAACUUCAAGUGCAAAUUCAGCUUGCUCGUACGGGUGUUACUCCUGACUUUUGCUUGUGGCUUGCCGGAAUUAACUUUCCGAAGAUGGAUACACUAGCGACUGUUUGAAAAUCGAGCUUCUCCUUCCUCCAAUCCAAAUUCCAAUUAGAAAAAGUUCGUCGAUUUGAAUGUGAAUUAGUAGCUAAUGUGAGUAGCGCCUCGCGCUUGGUAUCAAGAACUUCGCAGUUUUCUUCUCCAAGCCGGUUUCGCAAAUUCUCUCGCUGAUGCCUCUCUCUUCAUCUAUCAUCGGAACAAUGCCUUUAUCUAUGUCUUGGUAUAUGUUGACGACAUUAUCAUCGCGGGAGAUACUGCUCUUGUCAAAGCUUUCAAUGUUUCACUUGCAGCUCGGUUUUCACUCAAAGAUCUCGGAGCCCUCAGUUACUUUUUGGGAAUCGAAGCAACAAGAACCCGCCGAGGCUUACACUUGAUGCAGCGCAAGUAUAUAAAUGAUCUACUUCAAAAAUAUAACAUGCUUGACACAAAGCCUGUUUCAACACCAAUGUCUCCAACACCGAAACUAUCUCUCCUCUCAGGUACGGCCCUAGAUGAUGCAACGGAGUAUAGAAUGAUUCUUGGGAGUCUCCAAUAUUUGGCUUUUACGCGACCGGAUAUUGCUUUUGCGGUGAAUCGCCUUUCACAGUUUAUGCAUCAUCCCACAAAUGAACAUUGGCAAGCGGCUAAAAGGAUUUUACGAUAUCUUGCGGGCACCAAGUCACAUGGGAUAUUUCUUCGCUCGGAUACACCUCUUACCAUACAUGCCUUCUCAGAUGCUGAUUGGGGUUGUGAUUCGGAUGCUUAUCUCUCCACGAAUGCAUAUAUUGUGUACUUUGGUGGCAGCCCGGUUUCGUGGUCCUCGAAGAAACAGCGGAGUGUGGCACGUUCGUCUACGGAAGCGGAAUAUCGCGCAGUUGCUAACACAGCUGCGGAACUGCGAUGGAUAUGCAAUCUCUUGACAGAAAUGGGCAUUCCUUUAUCCACUGCACCGGUAAUCUAUUGUGAUAAUAUAGGGGCUACUUAUCUAUGUGCGAAUCCGGUCUUCCACUCACGUAAGAAGCAUGUUGCUCUUGAUUAUCAUUUCGUACGUGGCUAUAUCCAAUCAGGUGCUCUCCGUGUAUCCCAUGUCUCAACAAAGGAUCAGCUCGCAUAUGCAUUAACAAAACCACUUCCACGGCCACGCAUUACUGAACUGAUUUGCAAGAUUGGAGUGCAAGAAGUCCCUCCAUCUUGAGGGUGUGUAUAAGGAGUUGUAAAUAUUAAGGAUCUAAUUGUAAUUAGUAUUAGUCUAAACCAUAGUCUAAGUACUAUAUAUGUUGUAAAUCAUUUUCCCUAAUGAAUGAAUUGACUCUCAUCUUACAGAAUCCAUAUUUGGUUUUGCUUGAUGAGUAGACGAACAAUUGGUUUCAAGGUUAUUUAAUGGAAACAUCUAUUACUCUGUUUUCCUAAACACAGGGAGUACUAUUAAUUAUUUUAUAUAUGAAUUAAUGUUAUUUCAAAAAUAAGAAGGAUAAAAUUGGGAAGUAUAGUAGUUUUGGAGAAAAAAAUCUUGAUUAUUGUGGGUUAUUUAAACAACUUCCAUUUAUUGUAAUUAUGAAAAUAUAUCUAGUGAUUUUUUCCUAAUUUAGGUUAAUCAAGAUAAAUAUCUAUUUUCUUUAAAAGCUGAUAUAUAUCACUCUACAAAAUUUUACAUAUCUCAAAAAAAGCUAUCAUUAACCAACAGUCAUGAUAAACUCAUCCAGAAAAAAUCUCAAUUCUUAUUUCUGCUCAAUUUUCACUAUGUCCAUAGUUGUGAUAUCUUUGAUAUGUUCAGAAGCUUUUCCAAUUCAACAAGCUAAAGAACCACCUCGAGGUCAUCUUACGAGAGUCACGAUUCAAAAUGAUAACGACUAUCUUCUUGGAAUCCAUUGUAAAUCAAGAGAUGAUGAUUUAGGAUUUCACAUUCUUGCUAAAGGUGAAUUAUUUGGUUGGAAGUUUCAUGUCAAUUUUCGUUAUUCAACGCUCUAUUUUUGUGGUUUUAGCCAAGGAAAAAUAAAGAAAGGCGUGUUCGAAAUUUACAGAGCGAAUAGAGAUUUUUAUAGAUGUGCAAAUUGUACAUGGAAAGCUGAAAAGGAUGGUGUUCAUGGAUAUACCGAUAUUCCUAAGAAAAGUUAUUUAUUUUAUAGUUGGUUAAAGUAAUGUAAAAUUGAGUUAUUUAAGAAGAAAAAAAUGUAAUGCAGUUGCUUAAAAUAUAAAUAAAAGUAUAAUCUAUGAAUAUUAUUAUUAUUAUUUCUUUUGUGAGAGCAGUUUCUAAAAUUCUUGUUGAACCUCGUUUAAAUUUCCCUCAUUCAAAAAACUUCACCAACAAUUAGAACCUUGAAUCGGAACUCUCAACAUUUAUUAAUUAACUUGAAGUCUUGAAGAAAAUAAAAAGGGCGAGAGAGAGGGAUGCCUAAAAACAAAUUUAUUCAGUGGAAGCGAUCACGCAUGUCCCACACAAAACACAACUCAUUCCAGUAGUCACAAUUAGGCCUGCGCGUUCGGCUAAACCGGGUUGUUCGGAUCGGGUUAUUCGGUUUGAGGGAAAUUCGGUUUUUUAAAAAUCCCACCGAAUAGACCCGAAUUGAAAUUCGGUUCGGGUCGGUUCGGUAAUCGGUUUGUUCGGGUCAGUUAUUAGCUAAAAUUUUUGUUUUGAACAUGAGCCGGGUUUUUUAUUUCUCCGGUUUAUUCGGUUUUUACUUCGGUUUACAUAUUAGAAAAAAAAAAACAAUUACUCUAUUACAAACACAGAUCUUACAAAAUAAACCAUUACAAAUAAUAUUAAAGCCCAACCAGUAAGAGUUGCAUUAGUAUAAUUUUUAACACAAUUUGAUAAAAUAAUAAAUUGUGUUAAUAAAUUGGUAGAGACAAUUGUCUCUACUCCUCCUACCAAAAAAAAAAAUUUGAUAAAAUAAUAAGAUAAUAUUUUUUUUUGAAAAUUUUAUAAUAACAUAUGGUCCAACCAGUAACAUAAAUUAAUAGUAUAAAUUUGUAAUAUAAAUAUAUACAUAUAUGUAUGUAUAUAUAUAUAUAUAAAAAUAAAAUUUAGAGAAAUAUGAUUGUAGUACUAUUUGUUUUUCUUAAAUUUGCAUUAAUUCUUGGUAAAGUUGAAUUUUAUUAUUUUUGCUGCAUCAAAAACUUUUUGAAUCGUUUCCUAGACAACAUUAUUAUUUUUUAACUUGUAAUAUUGGUUCUACAAAGAUGGUUAUUAAAAAAAAGAGAACUUCUUUUCAAAUAUAAGUUUUAAAAAAUUAUAAAUUAGUCAAAUCUCACUAUAAUUUAAUAUAUUGAUAAACUAAUACUUUGAAUAGAAUUUUACGGUUUUAACAUUAUUAGUUUAUAGAUAUUUUACUGUACUUAAAUACAAUUUUGGAAAAUUACAAAUUGUCGAAGGUGCAAAUAAAGAACUUGUAAUCUCUAAAGUCUAAUCGAAUCCGAUACCAAACGACAUCGUAGUUUCGUCCAGAACAAUUGUCUCCGCAGUCUAAUAAGAGAAAAAAAAAAAAGCCAGAUAGGUUGAUGAAGAAUAGAGAAGAAUCCUCCAUGUUUGAUCAUCAUCAUUACUCUUGAUUCAAUUCUCUACGAUCUUGUGUCCAGCUUCACUUGAAUUUCUUCAAUUCCAGCAUCUCGAUUCCAUCACAGUAGCUAGGGAUUGUUUUCAAGAAAUUUGAGAUUGAAAAAGCUCAAAUUGGAUCGAAUUUCGUUGGAAUUAGUCUCCAAUUUCGGCGUUUUUCUCAGUGGGAAGAUGAAGGCGAUGGAGACUAUACAGGAUCUGAUCGAAGAAGCUAAAGUAAGGGCCGUAUGGUGGGCCUUGUGCAUCUUCUCCGUCACCUAUUUCUUGUCCCGUAUGUCACUUUUUGCUCCUUUUUUUCUCUUCGAUUUUGCUGUUUCAGUUUUGGACUUCCUAAUUUUAGAUAACAACUUCUACAAUGGUAUAUUGGUAUUAGUCUAUAGAGUAAUUGGUUACUCUGUUCUUAGUUUAUUUGUUUGGAAUCAAAGUUUAAUCUUUAUAUACAUUGUUUCUCUAUAUAUUAUGGUGUUGGUGUUAAGAUAAUGUUUUUGUUCGACUAUAUUUAUAUGCUAAAUCUCUGCUUUUUUUCCUUGUUUGGGAUUCUUUUGUGGUUUCAUGCAGAUACAAGUAAGAAUAUGUUGAUGAAUUUGCCAAUCGCAAUCCUUGGUCUUGUCGGUGUGCGGAUUUUUCUUAAUCAGGUUGAAUUCACAUGGAAAGUUGUGUCGACUCCUAGAAAAAGUCAGUUGUCUUAUCUUGAGAAGAAGCAGUUGUCUGUGAAUGAUGCACGUCUUUCUGGUAUCCCACCUCCUCCUAGGUGGAAGAAGAAAAUCGACUCUCCUGUAGUGGAAGCUGCAAUUAAUGAUUUUAUUGACAAGAUCCUUAAUGAUUUCGUGGUGAAUUUGUGGUACUCUUUGAUUACGCCUGAUAAAGAAGCGCCUGAACUCAUACGUGCAGUAAUCAUGGAUGCUCUUGGUGAAAUUUCAGUGAGGGUAAAAGAGAUCAAUAUCGUUGACUUGCUGACGAGGUAGCCUUCUUUAUUUCUCUUCCCUUAUAUCAGUUAACUUUUCACCUGAAAAAGUCUCGAGUUUUGAUUGGAUCAUUACUGCUUGAUAAUGAAAUCAAUGCCUAAUUGUGUAGGGAUAUAGUUGAUCUGAUAGGUGAUCAUUUGGAAAGUUUUAGAAGAAACCAAGCUGCUAUAGGUAUUGAUGUUAUGAAGACAUUGUCAUCUGAGGAGAGAGAUGAAAGAUUGAAAUACCAUCUUAUGGCUUCUGGGGAACUCUAUCCUGCACUCGUGUCACCUGAGAGUGAGUACAAGGUAUGAGGGAUAGUUCUGAUGAAAAUUACGCUGCCCUCUUAAUUUGGUUACUCUAUACAUAUAUGCUCUUUGUUUUUUUAACAGGUUCUUCAGAAAAUAGUUGCUGGCAUAUUAUCUGUGGUUCUCAGACCACGAGAAGCUCAGUGCCCUCUUGUUCGAACAAUAGCUAGAGAGAUUGUUACUUCCUUAGUAAUUCAACCUCUUUUGAAUUUAGCAUGCCCCGAGUAAGUUCUCUACAUAUAUCUCUGUCUUCUAGAAAAUUAUUUUUGGUAUCAAAAUCUACCUUUCAGUCUUUUCCUUGACCGAUGUGUAUACUGCAAACUAGCUAGGAACAAGUAUUGAUUCCAGAAUUUCUAUUGAUAAAAUAUAAUGUAUAAAAAGAAUAACUGCAGAUAAAUGUAUCAUUUUUCCUGGGUUCUCUUCAGUGCUUGCCAUUUACUUCAAACUCUGCCUUUCAUUUUUCUAAGGCAGAGAUGCUAAUAUUUUUUUUUUCCUGCCCCAGGCGUAUCAAUGAGGUGAUUGAGAUCGUUAUCAAUCUUAUUAAAGAGGGAAACUUUGAGCAGUUCACUGGGGAAGAGCAGAAUGUCAAUUCUGCCCCAUUGUCAGCCUUCGAUAGUCAAGCAAAAAGUAUGAAUUUCACAAAAGCUAUUGAGCAGAAAUCACCAAACAUAAAUGACAGACACCCAGAUCUACACGUUCAACAGCACUCUGCAGAUUGGGCUCGGUUGCUAGAGGUUGCGACGCAAAGGAGAACAGAAGUUCUUACUCCUGAAAACCUUGAAAACAUGUGGACGAAAGGAAGGAAUUAUCAAAAGAAGGAGUACAAAAAAUCUCUGAAAAAGGGUUCUUCUACUGGAGCAAAGGAAAAUGCAGUGGCGCAGUUACCCCCUAAAGUGAGCAUUGAUAAGCAGUCACAAGCACAGAUGACUGAGGAAUUUAGUACAUCAUCUUUACAUGAUGGAGGGCACCAGAUUUAUGAGGCUGAUGUUAGAAAGGAUUCUCGUUCAGAUGGGAAUAAAAAUAGGCUUAAAAGAUCCAAUAGUACAUCAGAUCUUAAUCUACGUCCUGAAACAAGUCUAGCACUAUUAGGAGUCAGUGAGGGGCCUCUAAUCACAGAAUUUUACACCACAGAUUUUAUCAAGCACAAUGAUAACUACAUUAGUGAUAAUAAAUCCCAAAGCAUUGUUCUUCACAAAGAGGGUCAGCACUGCCUAAAGCUCAAAUGUCGAGUAAGCUCCUGUCUUAAUAUUUACUGUUUCUUUAAUUUUCUUUGUUUCUGUGACACAUCCACUUGACCUUUUCCAUUUGCCUGUGUAUGAGUGUGUGUGUGUGUGUGUGUUUUGCAAAUAAUUAUGCUAUUAUUAGCUUAAGAUUAUUAUUUCGUAUGUCUGUGUGUGGCUGCAGGUUCUUGGAGCUUAUUUUGAGAAGCAAGGAUCAAAAUCAUUUGCAGUAUAUUCUAUUGCGGUGACAGAUGUGGAAAACAAAACUUGGUUUGUUAAGAGAAGGUUAUUUUCUUAGCAUUCUGAUUACGGGAAAAUCAUAUCAGUACAUCAUUGAAAUUCUUUACUCAUGUCACUAGCUUUUGAUAUAUAUUUCCAUCGUAAAAGGCAGAAGAUAGCUGCAACUUGAUUGUAAAAUAUUUAUUUGUUUCCCUUCAGAUACAGUAAUUUCGAGCGAUUACAUCGUCAACUCAAAGAAAUCCCGAAUUACAAUUUACAGCUGCCUCCCAAGCGUAUUUUCUCAUCAAGCACCGAAGAUGCUUUUGUUCAUCGCCGCUGUAUUCAGCUGGACAAGUAUCUACAAGUAUUAUUUAUCCCCUUAGCAACUUUAAAACCAUAGUUACCAUCAACAUUUCUCUUAUAAAGACAUUUUUUCCUUGGCUGCAGGAUCUCUUGUGUAUAGCUAAUGUUGCUGAACAGCAUGAAGUUUGGGAUUUUCUAAGCGCAGCCUCUAAGGUGUGGAUCUGAUUAAAUGCCGCCCACAAAUUUCAUUACUUUCUAUUUUCAUUAGGUGGAUGUGUUCUAAUGAUUGUCUUUUUUUGUUCUGUAGAAUUAUUCUUUUGGAAAGUCUUCAUCAGUGAUGAAAACUCUUGCAGGUAUUGUUCGCUGCUGUUUUAGUAACAUGUAUGUAGCAUAAAAGUCAGCCCUCGCUUUCUAUUCCAUUAAUAAAAUAUUUUUAAUCCAUCCUGUUUUAUGCUAAAAAACUGAAUUCUGGGAAAACGAUCAGAAUGAAGAGAGAAGUGUACAUUGUGUUAUGUGGUUGCUUUACUUUUCCAUUUUACUUAAUUUUGUUCUUGGAAUUGAGCAGUUAAUGUUGAUGAUGCCAUGGACGAUAUUGUACGUAGUUUCAAAGGUGUCUCAGAUGGCCUUAUGCGCAAAGUUGUAGGAUCCCCACUAGAAGAGCAUGAUCAUGCUCCUGCCCGCCACCUCUCCUGGAGUGUAAAUGAAAUAAGCACUCAGCUCUCUAGGGAAAGCGCAACUGAGUCUAUGCACAGCAGCAUUUCUGAUACUGAAGACAUCGACAAACUUGGAGAGAACACCCAAGGGGAAGGCAGAUUUGACUCAGAAGCCAAUGGGUGGCACUCAGAUAAUGAAUUGGACUCAAAGUAUGUUCCACCGAGAGUGGUUAGGCGUCUCGGAGAGCCUGAGAGUUCGCUCUCGGAGAAGGAAAAUGAUUUUAAGGCAAAAUCUCAAGUUAGGGGGUUCACUGAUUUGCAGCAUGCUGAUCCAUUGACAGCUUUAGUCCAAAAUCCCCAUGGCAUGCCACCCGAGGUACACCAUAUACCCCUAAAGUUUUAUAUACAUUGAUUAGACUUUGUAAUUAGGCUUAUGUAUGUUACCUGGCUAAAAACUUUCAUGACUACAUGCACUACUUUUCACGCACCUGAAAUAGAAUUAUACUUAUUGAUACAUUCUCCAAAGAGAUUUUAGCCUACUUUUUUGGAAUCUUCUAAUUUUGAUUAACGUCAUUCUUAUCCUCUGUUUUUCAUUACAGUGGAUGCCGCCCAAUGUCAGUGUACCAAUUUUGAACUUAGUUGAUAAAGUGUUUCAGUUAAAUAGAAGAGGUUGGUUAAGGUGAGACAAAGUAGUUAUUCUUUCUGAUUUUAUUUGUCUUUGAUCAUGCUAUUCUAUUUGAUUAGGUUCCGUUUUCGAAUAAUUUUAAUAUGGUGUCAUUAUAGGAGACAAGUCUUCUGGAUAUCAAAGCAAAUAUUACAAUUAGUUAUGGAAGAUGCUGUGGAUGACUUACUCCUGAGGGAGAUAUGUUGGCUGCGGAAUGAAGACACUGUCGCUCAAGGAAUUCGUUGGGCUCAAGAUGUAAGAAUUGGGGUUUCUCUGAUCUUGUCCAGAAGUUAACUGAAUCUUCUUCUAUACUCUUAGGGACCCUGCCAUCAUGUUUGAUCAUUCGCUGAAAUCUAUUAUAACUCAUGUAGAAAAGUCGGUGAUCAUUAAGGGAAAUCAUUAUGCCAGAUAUUUCUAGUUUACUUUGAUUGUUGCAGGAAGGCAGAUCAAAUAAUAGUACUAGUAAAGUGAUCGCUCUUUUUGUUGCUUACAAUCUUAUUUGCAUUUUCUCUCCAGAUUCUAUGGCCAAAUGGUGUAUUCUUUACCAGAGUGAAUGACAGUCAAGAGGAAUUGGAUGAGACCGACCCUAGUGAAAAAACUUUCCAAAUAGCAGGCCAACUCGGUGGCAUGAAGGUGGCUAAACCCAGUUCCUUUGAGCAGCAACUCGAGGCUGCACGCAGAGCUAGUGAAAUAAAAAAAUUCCUUUUCGGUGAGUAUCUUAGGUUCUCUCCAAUUGACGUAUUGAGUUAGUUUAGUCUCAGUGGAAGUAACAUUUUGAUGUUUGGUCAGAUGGCGCCCCAACAGCCUUAGUGAGCUUGGUAGGGCACAAGCAGUACAGGAGAUGUGCGAGAGACAUUUUCUACUUUACUCAGGUUAGAAUUGAUCUGUGUCUCACAUUUAAAAGCUUUUUUUUUGUUUUGUUUUUGGUGUAAAGGGUUUAACUAAGUUGUUGCAUCAUCAUCCAUCGUUAUGGUCUGACUAAUACUUGACAUUAAUCAUCUACCGCAGUCAAACGUAUGCAUAAAGCAACUCACAUUUGCAAUACUAGAGCUGCUACUCCGAUCGGUGUUCCCUGAGCUGCAAGAUCUGUUAAGAGACAUAAGGGAGAAUCCGCACUGUCGGUCAGAGUAAUAACACAUGUUUAUAUGGAGGAGGUAGCCUAUGAUUGACUUGAACCAGUUUUAUCUCUCUCUAUGUUAAUUUUUGAUCUUUUUGUUUCUUGGGGAUUUUUUGGGGUCCUUCUUAAUAUUCAUCCAUGUGUAUAAAAACAAGUGCUAGUAUCAAUCUGGGAGGGUUUUGAAUACAACAAUGACAAAAGGGUUCUGUAUAUAAAACCUCUUGUGUGUGGAAAUUAGUUCAUUGAAAUGUAGUUUUUGUUUGCAAACAUGGAAAAAUUACUUGGAGGAAUGGAGGGUCAGUUAUUUGCUUCAUCAUUGUAACUUGUUGCGAGGACAUGAAGGUUCAAAACCUAUUUGGGAACCUCAAUUACAUAGUACCUGCAUUACACUUUUUCUCUCUUACAGCAGCCCACCACUCAGAGAAUCUACAGCAUUUGCGUAGAGGUCAGUAAGCGAGUACUGCCUCAGGUUGUUUACCUCGUACCAAGUGUUCAAUGACUCGAGGUUCUUGUCUGUUCCCGAAAACGCCACCUGAAUUCCAAUGUUGCAGUUAGCUUCACCUCCAUUAGCCUUGCACUUUGAUGUUGGAACCGCGCAAUCCGUCCCAUUCAGACACACAGAAGAAGAAGAAGAUCCUAUUCCUUUGCACGAAUCGCAUCCGAAGCUCUUCCAGAACAGAUUCUGCAACACUCCCUUCUGAAAUUCCAAUACCUGCAAUGCAGUUGCCAAUUCAGCGAUUCAGUGCUCUAUUGUAUGCUAUGUUGCUUAUUUGUUUCCAAAAGGGCUUAGGGUUGUUCAUUACAAGUGUGAAAGCUGUGAUUGUGUUGCUUCCAUCUGCGACCUUCACAGGACUAGAUCUUGCUGCAUACUUUGAGCCUGCGAAUCCCACCAUGAAUCCUCCUGCUUCACUCUUCUCACAAGACACACAUCCCACAAAAAGAUGGCAUUCAUAAGCUUUACUUCUUUAUUCUUUGUGAUUUUGUCCCACUUGAGAUUUUAUAUAUUAGUGUAAGACUUACCGGGUUAAACUUACUUGUGUCGAUGGAGAGAAGAGAGAUCUCGUCAACCUUUGGUCUAAAAAGCGCGAGCUGCGCCAUUUUCGCAGCUAAACCAAGACGAGAAUCACAAGGAGAAAGCUGGACUUGGUCAAGAAAGAAAGCUUCUUUGCUGGAGAUGGCAAUACCAAUGGUGAAACCAUCUCCUUUGCUUAUUUGAGUGUCUGAACAUGGACUGUACACCGGGUUAUUAUCUGAUGCUACAACCCAAUCAUCCACCAUCAUCAUCAUCACAAUCAUCAUGAUGGUUGUAAAAUUCACCAUUCUUAGCUAAUGAGAACCUCGUACCUUUGGUUUCUUCUUCCCCAAGAAAACCCUAUGAACAAAUUCAUCACCAAUGGGUAACAACGUUAUGAUGGUAUUAUAUAAUAAUUAGCUUUGAUAGACGACGUACCUUUGAAAUAAGAAUUUAUAUAUCGAUUUUUGAAUCCGAUCUUACGAAGAACCGAUCGGAAUGAGGAUGUUCUUUGUAGGGUGAUCUUUUUCUGGGUUUAGGAUCCUUCAAAAGGAAAUGAAAUUAUGGAGUUUAGACGCGCCAAACGGUUACUUCGGCUGUAAAAUUGGAUCUCUGUCUCCCAAAUUAGUCAAUUCUUAAAAACCAAAAAAAGUAAUUGGUUAACUUUAUUGUCACCAAUAGGGUAUAGAGUGAUUUGAUUACAUUGGUUAUAUGAAAAUGGAAAUCAUGUAAGCACGACACCCAAUGUCUUGAGAAAUAUUUGAUUCCUUGUUAUCAUUGUGUAUCAGUUUACUAAUUGUAACGUUCUUUCAUGAUCGUGAAAGGGUGAAACUUUGUUCCUAAACAAAGAUUUUAUGACCUUGAUGGGCUUGAAACACGUCUCUUACUUAGCUUUGGAUCUGAAGAGUAGUCUUCUUGUCAAAGAACGUAUUGUAGCAGUAUAAUCUUUUAAAAACCAAAACAGAGAGUACUCUAAAUAAUCAAUCGGACCUAAAUGGGGAAGAAAACAUCAAAAAUUCGGUAUUAAUAAUCAUAAACGACCACUAACACAACACAUCUAUUUCCUUGUUUAUCUCUCUCUCUAUAUGUGGUUAAAUGUAAAACUCUGAAAGAUGGUGACACACUUUCAAAAUGCUUUCCAAAACACUGCACAACAGAUUAAUCUCCUCUGCGGUGGUUGUUGAAUAAUCUUCUAUAAUAAAUUCCAUGAGUAUCCUGCAAAGAAUCAGCAUAUUCUCACAUAAGUAAUCCGAAAAAAGCACCAGAAGUAACCCUGCCAUAGGGUUUAAGAUGUAUUCUUCGUGAUUGCAGGUUGCCUUCUUAUCAUCAGUCAUUGCAAAUACUUCAUUCUCUACAUACCGUUAACAACACUAAAAGCUUAUAUUGUUUUGGAUCUUAACUCAAGGACAAAACUAAUAUAGCUCUCCCAACGUUGAGUACAAUUCUGAUAUCGGUAACAUCCAACAAGUCGUAUUGAGAAGAGUAACAAAUAUUCAAGAAAAGCAAGUAAACUUUUUCAUAACAUGGUCUAAAUUUCAAAAUCUAGGAGAAAUCAAGCUUAAGAGCUCACGGCCAUAACUUUAAACAUAAAUUUCUACUUACAGAUGGAUCCUCUCAAUGGGUUAAUAUUCGGAUAAACACGGUUUCUGUAUUCAUACAAGUAAAUAGCUUACACAAGAAUGACUAAGUACCAGCUCAAAAAUGAAACAUAUGGCAAUCAUAUAUCUACCUAAAGCUUAAACAAUUGACACCAAAACCAGUACCAGCUCAAGCAUGACACAUACGUCAACAAUCCAAUAAAGCUUAAGACUACUGGAACCAAAACCAUGUCAAACAGAGCCAACCAGAAAGUAUUUAAGAGCUUUUCAUGAAUUACGCUCCAAUACUAGUAUCAUACUAUCCAGUUUCUUAUUGUAUCCAAUCAAAAUCGGAGAUUUACCUCAGGCGACGGCAAGAGGCUGACGAGUUUUAGGUUCGUUAUUCUUCUUAGUAUCGUUUUGAAAAUCUUCCAUAUUGUAGAUGACGGUGAUAUAAAGCGAACAACUUGGGCAAUUCGCGAUCUCUUCGCCGAGCCGGAGAUCUUCUUUUGUAAUCUGAAACAAGUCGCCACAAGGACAAGGAUACGUGUACGCUUGAAUCUCUUCGUUCCACUCCAUAUCCUCUAUUUCAACAUCGUCGUACGACAUCGUUUACCCUCGCCGAAGUUUUUUUUUUUUUUAAUUCUCCGGCUGAAAUUAGGGUACAAAGUAAUAAGCUCCGCCGCCGCUGCGUUAAAUAUGUGUACUAUAUGGGAAGCUGAGAGACGAGAGUUAUAUACAUUUUAUAAUAUUUCCAUCCAGUCCCCAUAGUUUGUGAAAUAUUAGCAAAUAAGCCCAAAUUAGUUGACAUUUUCACAAUUUUGUCCAUAUACUUUUCUUUUGUUCUUACAUAUAAGAAAACAACCAAACAGUUUUCCGAAGAAAGAAAAAAAAAAAAAAAAAGAAGUGAUGCAAAUCCGGUCACCGUCAUUGUCGCCGUCAAAAUCACCACCGUCUCCGAAGCUUCAAUCGACUUGAUGAUGCAAAGCUUCCACCAUCAGCAGCAGCAGCUGAUUUCGCUGCUCUCUUCGGCUUUACCAACUGACGUCUCCGCUUCUCCUCUACCCUCCACGCUUACUCCUCCGUCCUCAGAAUCCGUCUCUUCAUCGGCGACUGGUAACAAUGCGUCAGUUCCGACGGGACAAAGAGAUAGUAAGUUAGAAAAUAGCAGCGAUUCUGGGCGUCUCGCUGCCUUGAAGUCGCUUCACAGAGCAAUUAAGUAUCCUCCGAAUUCGCUUCUUAUUGCUCAUUCAGCUUCAUAUCUUUCUUCUGGUCUAUGGCAGCUUCUCUCUGACAAGUAAUUAUCUCUGAAUCACAAAUUUUAUUUGAGAAUUGAUGUGAGAUAUAGGGUUUUUUGGGGAGUCUGAAGUUUGAUGUUUGAUUUGUGUGCAGGUCUUAUGAUGUGAGGCAGGCUGGUGUGUCUGCAUAUGGUGCUCUUUGUGCUGUUGUUUGCUCUAUUCCUGUAGAAUCUAGUGGAAGGCAAAACCAUGUGAUGCUAGGGAGUCUUGUUGAUCGUUUUAUUAAUUGGGCUUUACCGUUGCUUAGGCAUGUUAGUGUUCGGGAUGGUAGUACGGUACUUGCAGUUGAAGGUGUACGGGAGUUUGUUUCCGUUGGGGAUGUUAAUGGGAUUGAUAGGUAUGCUUUGCCAAUUCUCAACGCCUGCAAAGGACUUCUUGAAGAUGAGAGAACUUCUAUCCCUUUGUUGAAUCAAGUUUUGGGUGUUCUUUCGUUGAUCUCUUCGAAGUUUUCUAGUUUGUUUCAUCCUCAUUUUCUUGAUAUUGUUGAUAUGUUGCUUGGUUGGGCAUUAGUACAAGACCACGCUGACUCUGACAGACAGAUUGUCAUGGAUAGCUUCUUGCACUUUCAGAAACAUUGGGUUAAUAAUUUAGACUUCUCAGUUGGAUUGCUAUCGAAGUUUCUGGGUGACAUGGACGUCUUGCUUAGUGAUGGUAGUCAAGGAACCCCUGAACAGUUUCACAGGUUGCUUGCUUUGCUUUCUUGUUUCUUAGCAAUAUUGCGGUCCACUGCUUCUGGAUUACUAGAGAACAAUCUGCUUGAUAAGAUGGACGAACCUCUGAGCAAAAUGCUUCCUCGGCUAUUGGGUUGCCUAUCUACCAUGGGGCAGAGGUUUGGAUGGUCAAAAUGGAUUGAAGAUCUAUGGAAGUGCUUGACUCUUUUGGCAGAAAUAUUGCGCGAAAAAUUUUCAACGUAUUAUUCUCCUUCUCUUGAAAUGUUGUUCAAGAGCUUAGAACAGAUUGAUUCUGUGAAUUCUGCAGUCCAUGGGAAGAUGACAACUUUUCAGAUCCAUGGGACCUUGAAAACUAAUCUUCAGUUACUGUCCCUACAAAAGCGAGGCCUCCUAUCAUCAUGUGUGCUGAAGUUGCUUCAGUUUGAAUCUCCAAUAUCUCAGUUGCGAUUGCACCCAAAUCAUUUAAUUACAGCAGGCUCUUCUGCCACAUAUUUAUUCUUGCUUCAACAUGAGAGUGAAGAAGUUGUUCAACAGGCGAUGGAAUUAUUGAUGAAAGAACUUGAGUUGUUGAAGACUGUACUUGGGGAAUCAUCGUGCCACAAAAACAUGACUUUGAAUGUUACAGCCUAUGAAUCCUUUUCAAAAAGUGAAAUUUUGGCAAUCAUGAACUUUGAUAUGAAGGUUCUUCUUUCCUGUGUUUCUCUGGGAGGGAGAAAAAGUUUGAGUGACCUACCCGAACUUGCUGUCUUGUAUCUUAAGAGGUCUGAGAAGUUACUUUCCUUCGUUGUUGAAAUGCUGAAUCCUUUUGAGCCAGCUAUUGAUGCCUGUUUGGAGUUGCAAGUCAGCGUUGUGAGGAUGUUAGAGUGUUUAGCUACAGUUGAGCUCCUUAGCAACUGUUCGGUGCUAAUUCAGCCUAAAAUGAAGACGAAUCAGGGAAAGACACCAUUCAAGUGUUCAUUUUUUUCCAUGGUAAUUGAACAUCUAAGAAAAUACAGUUUAACCAUGGUUAAAGCUCUUCGUUUUUCAUCCCCUCUUGCUGUAAAGCUAGUGUCACUUGAAUGGAUUCAAAAGUUCUGUGAGAACCUAUUUGCAAUAUCAAAGAGUUUGUAUAUGGAUGCCUACUUCUGUGAAACAUUUCCAUAUGCUGGUGCAGUUAGAGAUAUCACUAUGGCGGUUUUAGAUGCUGCAUUUGAUAGUGAACCGAAAGUGAGGAGUCAGUCUGUAAUGGUUUUAGAGCUGCUUCUGGAGGUAAAGCUGAUACACCCAAUUCAUUUUUACUCCCUGGCUGAAAUCCUCCUUGAAAAGCUUGGAGAUCCAGAUACGAGUAUAAAGAAUGCUUUCAUUAAGUUACUUUCCCAUCUUUUGCCAGCUACCCAAUACACUUGUGGCAUGCGGAGUGAGGUAGGAAAUAUGGCUCUUAGGCCCCAAGUUCUUAUGAUAGGAAACGGUUACUUGCACUGGAAGCAAGUCUUUGCACUGAAGCAACCGGACCAACAUUUUCACUCGCAGCAACUGGUUUCUGUCUUGAAUUAUGUUUCCCAGAGAUGGAAAGUUCCUUUUGCUUCUUGGAUCCAAGGGCUUAUCUAUGCUUUUCGGGGAUCAAAGGAUACUGGUGCUGGGCAUCCUGAUGAAAACCUGAUUAAGAAUGGGUGGUUGGCAAUAAAAGCUGAGAAAAGCUCGAUCGAGAGAAUCUGCUUGGCAAAUAACCUGGCAGGCGCUUGGUGGGCUGUGCAUGAAGCUGCUAGGUUUUGUGUUAGUACACGUCUCCGUACUAACUUUGGUGGUCCUGCUCAAACUUUUGCAGCCCUAGAGCGAAUGCUUUUGGACAUCACGACUGUGCUGCAGGUUGAUAGCCAGCAAACUGAUGGAACCCUAAACAUUUUAGGCUCCUCUGGUGCCCAUCUGUUACCAAUGAGGUUACUGUUGGAUUUUGUGGAGGCAUUGAAAAAAAACGUGUACAAUGCAUACGAGGGGACUGCUGUUUUAUCCUCAGCGCCUCCACAAAGUGUCCUUUUUUUCCGAGCUAACCGGAAAGUUUGUGAAGAAUGGUUUUCUCGUAUAUCUGAACCAAUGAUGAAUGCUGGUAUGUCUCUCCAGUCUCAAGAUGCUACGGUUGAGUAUUGUACAUUGCGGCUUGAAGAACUAAAAAGUCUAGCAACUCUAGUGAAGAAAGAUAAAUCUAAAAUGCAGGCUCUUGACAAUGCUCACAAUCCUGGAGCUCGGAUCUCUUCAGACAUCUCAAGGAUUUUACGACAUAUGUCAUUGGCUUUGUGUCAGAAUCAUGAUACACAUGCUCUUCUUGGAAUUCACAAAUGGGUUGCAAUGAAUUUAGCUCCUUUGGUCGCAGAAGAAAGCGACUUUCAGAAGAACAAUGGUGAAUUGGCACUGUUUCCAUGGAUCACAGGGUUGGUUUAUCAGUCAGAAGGACGAUAUGAAAAAGCGGCUGCUUAUUAUGCUCAUUUAUUAGAGGAAGAGGACUGUCUCAGUUCUAUGGGCUCUGAUGACAUACAGUUUGUGAUUGAACGAAUAAUUGAGAGUUAUACCUCUUUAUCUGAUUGGAAAUCUCUAGAGUCCUGGCUUUUAGAGUUGCAGGCGCUUCGUGCAAGGCAUGCAGGCAAAAGCUUUUCAGGUUCUUUGACUGCUGCUGGAAAUGAAAUAAAUGCAAUACAGGCCUUGGCACAUUUCGAUGAGGGUGAUAUUCAGGCUGCCUGGACAUGUCUUGAUUUAACGCCUAAAACUAGUGCUGAACUGUCACUUGAUCCAAAGCUAGCCUUGCAAAGAAGCGAACAGAUGCUUUUGCAGGCAAUGCUUUUCCAAGCUGAAGGAAAUGCCCAAAAGGUUCCACAGACCUUACAGAGGGCCCGAACAAUGCUAGAUGAAACUUCACUGGCUCUGUCAUUUGAUGGAUUAUCUGAGACAGCACCAUAUGCCACACAGUUGCAUUGUCUUUUUGCUUUUGAAGAGGGUCAUCAGCUGAGAGACAGUGAACCUAAACAGAAACACAAUAAUUUGAUGUUAAGCUCUUGCGUCUGGUCACUGCAGUCUAUGGUCAAUAGAAUUCAUCGUGACUGCCGCCCUUGGUUAAAAGUUCUACGAAUAUACCGGACAAUUUUGCCAACUUCCUGGGUUACUCUGAAGCUUUGUAUGGACUUGUUUGGAUUUGCCCGCAAGCAAGAAAAUUACUUGCUUGCAAAUCAUCUUAAAAAUUAUCUGAAUGAUCAUGUAUCCAGUUGUGCUGAGGUUAAGUUGCGUGACUUUCUCAUAUCGAAUUUGCAGUAUCAGGGAGCCUUGCUGACGUAUGCAGAAAACAGAGUUCAAGAUGCUGUUGUGGAUCUUUGGUCAUUUGUACAGCCAGAGGUAACUGCUUUAGAGCCAGUAUGUUUGGAUGCUGGUGUGGCCUUUUUAAAGGCAAAAGCAUGCUUAAAACUUGCAAUUUGGCUAAAAGGGGAUGAUAUUUCUCUGGAUUUGGAAAAUGUAGUCCUUAAGAUGUCAGCAGAUUUUAACAGAACUGAGGUUCCUUCAUCUGUAAGCAGCAAGCCUCUGCUAUACAAGAGCUUAAAACCAAGCAUGAAGGCUAUUAGUGAGGAGAUGAUUGGAACGGUUACAAAAGUGUCCACUCAACUUUGUUCUGCAAUGGGAAAAUCAUGGAUUUCAUAUGCUUCUUGGUGUUUUCGUCAGGCAACAGAGUCUUUUUACAAAUCUAAUGAGUCCACCCUCCACUCAUUCUCCUUUUCAAGCAUCCUGGCUCAAGAGCUCAAACCUGGAAGGUUUCACUUGACUGAAGAUGAGGCUGAAUCAGUGGAGUCUGCUGUUAUGCAGGUUCUUCAGAAAGAUGAUUGCAAGGAUCUUACAAACACUGGACAAGAUGGGAACUGUCAUACAAUUACUACAGACCAUUCUGAAGCUCGAAAGAAUAUAAAAACGUUGCAGCAGCAAGUAAUUGAAACAAUAGAAAAUGCUGCAGCAGCUCCUGCUGCAGACGAUUGUGGCUGGGAUAGUCUCUCUGUCCAUCUAGCUUCUCAAUUAACUGAUUUAUUGCUAUCCGGAAACGAUUACGUGGAAGAUACUGAUAUAGCACCUAUAGUUAACAGGCUGAUUGAAGUUUGGCGGUCUCUGAGAAAAAGAAGGGUAUCUCUCUAUGGGCAUUCCGCACUUGGUUUCACACAUUACCUUCGUUAUUCAUCAAAAGUUCUGCAAACUAGUGAGUUUACAGGUGUAGACUAUGAUCCACUGAAUAAAAGAACCGAUAGCCAUACAUUGAGAUCAACACUGUAUAUUUUGCACAUCCUUCUGAAUUAUGGAGUGGAGUUAAAAGACACACUGAGACAUGCUCUUUCGAUAGUUCCCUUGGAGCCUUGGCAGGUGAGAAGAACUCCCUUGUUUUUUGGUCUCUUCGAUCAACUCCAACUUCUAAUGUUUCUGAUAACAAUUUUGCACAGGAAUUAACACCUCAGCUCUUUGCUCGGUUGAGCUCUCACCCUGAUGAGGUAGUACGGAAAGAAAUAGAAGGCUUACUGAUAAUGCUGGCGAAGUUGUGUCCGUCUUCCAUAGUGUAUCCAACACUUGUCGACGUGAAUGCUUGUGACGAGAAGCCUUCCGAAGAGCUGUUGCACGUAAAAGCCUGUCUGGUAAUAUCUAUUCCUUAAACUUCAUUCAAGUAUAAAUUGGUCCUAGUUUUCAGUUUGAAUGAUGCAUAAAUCGAGGCACUCCUCACAUGUAAGCAAGGCUAAAGCUACCAAAUUUUGUAUGCGUAGAAUUUCCUGAUCAAACACAUGUCAAACGUGGUGAUUUUCUACUCCUAGGGUAAAGAGAUUGCAUCAUCCCAAAUCGUUAAUGUUUUUCUGAUGUCAUGGAGAUUUUUUAUUGGCUAAAUGUUUGUUCUUAUAAUUUUAUUCUCUGAGCAGACUGUCAUAACCUCUGUCUAAAUUGUUUCGUAGGACUGCAUCAAAUAAUAUGUGCUUUGUGAUGUUUGUAUGCAGACUGAACUAUAUCCAAGAUUAAUCCAGGAUGUGCAGCUUAUGAUUAAUGAGCUAGGGAAUGUGACUGUUCUUUGGGAGGAACUUUGGCUCAGCACACUGCAAGAUCUCCACAUGGGUAACCUUAACUAUCUAGCUUAUGAUUUUUAUCUAAUGGAAGUUAACUCAGUUGAUUACAGUGCAUUUCUUUAUCAUUUGAUAUAGACCCUUAGCUCCUCGUAGUUAAGUGGCCUUCAAUAUGCAAUCGAAUAGUUGUCUUCUUUACGUGUAACAUAUGUCCAUUGUAUCUUGAAUAGGCUGAAUAUACUAGAUCAUGACUGUAGUGCCAAAUCAAAAACUUAUAAUGAGUCGGCUAUAGUGUUAGUGGUGCAAUAGCGGAAGCAACAUAAUGUGUAGAUUCGUUCUGGUAAUUAGUGACGUUUUCGGUUGGGUAUUAGGGUUGAGAGGCGGGAAACUCAUGUAAAACUAGUUCAUCCCACGGUGUACUUUUGGUUCAGUUGAAGAACUAGAGGAGGGCUUUACCACAAUCAUUCCUACGAACCUUAACAAAUUUAUGGAUGCCCCUUUAAAGAGAGUUUUUUUUGGUGAACGUAGUAUAAAGAACUGAAUGAGUUAUUUUGUUAAAAAAAUUUGUGGGUUAUAAGUUUGAAAGUAAAUUGAACCUCUGAUGUUGCGUUUUAUUUAGUUUCUCAUGUUGUUUCGAAAUUACUUUGUUAAGAAUCUGAGGGAAGUAGAUUUAAUUGUAACUUCUUUUGCAGAUGUAAUAAGGCGGAUAAACCUGUUGAAAGAAGAGGCUGCUCGUGUUUCAGAAAAUGUAACUCUGAGCCAGACUGAGAAGAACAAGAUAAAUGCUGCAAAAUAUUCUGCCAUGAUGGCCCCUAUUGUUGUUGCAUUGGAACGUCGCUUGGCGUCAACCUCUAGAAAGCCUGAAACACCUCAUGAAGUUUGGUUCUAUGAGGAGUACAUAGAACGUAUAAAGUCAGCAAUCUUAACAUUUAAAACACCUCCCUUGCCUUCUGCUCUGGGGGAAGUGUGGCGUCCAUUUGAUAGUAUCGCUGCGUCUUUGGCUUCUCAUCAAAAGAAGUCAUCAAUAUCUUUAAAGGAAGUUGCUCCGAGUAUGUCUUUCUUAUCAUCCUGUAACAUUCCAAUGCCUGGUUUGGAGAAGCAGUCCCCCUUGUCUGAAUCUGACACACCACUCCAUGGAAUAGUCACGAUUUCUUCUCUUUCAGAUCAUGUGACUAUCCUUCCAACCAAGACACGACCUAAAAAGCUUAUUAUGUUUGGCUCAGAUGGAAAGAAAUAUAUAUAUCUCUUAAAAGGCAGGGAAGACUUGCGCCUUGACGCUAGAAUUAUGCAAUUGCUUCAGGCAAUUAACAGUUUCUUCUGCUCCUCUCGAGCAACAGAUGACGGUACUAUUGGCAUUCGCUAUUACUCGGUGACUCCUAUUAGUGGUAGAGCUGGUCUAAUUCAGUGGGUAGACAACGUUAUAAGCAUAUAUAGCAUUUUUAGGUCUUGGCAGACACGUGUCAAGCUUGCCCAAAUGCUGCCAUCAGUUCCUGGUGGUGCAAAAAGUCCAGAUCUACCACCUGUUCCUCGACCAAGUGAUAUGUUUUACGGUAAAAUAAUCCCAGCUCUCAAGGAGAAAGGUAUAAGAAGAGUGAUUUCACGAAGAGAUUGGCCUCAUGAUGUUAAGCGUAAAGUACUAUUGGAUCUUAUGAGUGAGGUGCCAAAACAGCUACUACACCAGGAACUUUGGUGUGCUAGUGAAGGGUUCAAAGCCUUCACAACGAAGUUUAAAAGGUACUUCAAAGAUAUUAUAUAACACUCGAUUUUUUUUUACAAUUUGCCUGAAGCACUCUUUUGAAAGCAGCAGCAUGCCCUUUCUUAACUAGUUGAACAAGAAAUAAAUAAAAAUUUCUCUUAUUUAGAAGGGUGUGAAAUGAUCACUAUUUUCGUUAGACCUCAUAAAAAAAAAGAUAAAAAUGAUCAGUUUGAGAAACGUUAGGAGAUUAUUUAUGCGUUUUCUGAUUGCCUUUGAACUGAACCUUGAUUUUAAGGUAAGAAAUUUUAGGAUUAAAUUGUUCAAAAGUGACUAUAAUAGAUCAGAUCUGCUGUUUCAGUUCCAUGAUUUUGUGGGCUGCUGUCAUAUAUGACAUCAUUACAUAUUUACUUUGAAAACAAAGUUGAUAAAACACUUCAUUCCUGAUUUACAGGUACUCUGGUAGUGUUGCAGCUAUGAGUAUAGUUGGUCACAUGCUCGGCCUUGGGGACAGACAUUUGGAUAAUAUUCUCAUGGAUUUUUGUAGUGGGGAUGUUGUACAUAUAGAUUACAAUGUCUGUUUUGAUAAAGGGCAACGGCUUAAAGUUCCUGAGAUAGUACCAUUUCGGCUAACUCAGACAAUGGAAGCUGCGUUAGGGUUGACAGGUGUUGAAGGCACAUUUAGGGCAAACUGUGAAGCUGUUCUUGGUGUUCUAAGGAAAAACAAGGACAUACUCCUGAUGUUGAUGGAAGUUUUUGUUUGGGACCCACUUGUUGAGUGGACCCGAGGAAAUUUCCAUGAUGAUGCUGCAAUUGGUGGUGAAGAAAGAAAAGAUAUGGAGGUCGCCGUUAGCUUAAGUUUGUUUUCAUCAAGAGUGCAAGAAAUCCGUGUUCGGUUGCAGGUAAACAUUCGUGACAUUAAAGCAGACAUAAUACAGCCUAAUUGUUUCCGUGAUUAUCUACAACAUUCUUGGUGAACACAUAAUUUUCGUUGCUUGUAUCUCUCCAACAUUCUUGGUGAACGUGAAAUUCUCAUUGCUUAUAUCUUUUAACUAUAUUCAUCAUCGAUCACUUAUUUCACAGUACUUCUAACUCCAUUCUCAUCAAUUUCAUUAUCUUUCCUAGAAAUUUAGAAUCUGACAGAUGUAACAUUAUGUGCCAUUUACUAUGACAAUUGAAAUAGUAAAGCUUGAUUUACAUGCACAUUCUAACCAUACUGGCUUACUUUAUUCUCUUCAGGAGCAUCAUGAUCUCUUACUGGCUACAUUACCAGCUGCUGAAUUAUCUCUGGAGGUAAGAUGGUUUCUUUCAGUGUCUAUGAAUUGAAAUUGGACUUCUUUGUCAGUUUAAUGAUGGUGAGAUUGUAUUUCAGCGGUUUUCCGAGGUUCUGAAUCAAUAUGAGAUCGCAUCAUCUGUUUUUCUCCAAGCUGAUCAAGAAAGAGCAGAACUUAUUCUGCGUGAGGCAUCUGCAAAGAAAACAGUUGCAGAGGCAGCUUGCAAUUCAGAAAAGAUUCGCGCUUCUUUUGAGAUUCAAGCUCAUGAAUUUUCUCAAGCAAAAGCCUUGGUCUCUGGAAAAGCUCAAGAAACAGCGGUUUGGAUGGAGCAGCGUGGAAGGAUCCUUGGUGCCUUACGAAGAAAUAUGAUUCCUGAAAUUACUGCCCCCACAGUUUUGACGGAUAUAUUGGCUUCUUUAUCUUUGACAUCUGCUGUUCUUGUUGCUGGAGUUCCAGUUACUGUAGUUCCGGAGCCAACACAAGCACAAUGCAACGAUAUUGACGCAGAAAUUUCCCUUCUAGUUAACAACCUCAGUGACGGUCUCUCCUCUGCUUUGACUGCACUUCAAACAUAUUCUCUGGCUUUGCAAAGAAUUUUACCUCUUAACUACCAUACAACAAGUCGGGUGUAUGAUUGGGCGCAAGUCUUGCAGUUAGCUGCGCAUGCUCUGUCUUCGGAUAUCUUGUCUCUUGCCAAAAGACAGGCUGGUGAACAAUUUUCAAAAAUACAAGGGGGUGACUUUAAUUCUGUCAGGAACUGCUACAAUGAUCUGUGUCUUAAGGUAGAAAAGUAUGCAGACGAUGUAAAGAAGAUGGAGGUAGAAUAUGCAGAGCUGUCUGCCUCUAUUGGAAUGGGGCCUGAAUCAAAGGCCAAGGAUCGUCUUUUCUAUGGUUUGAUUAAUUAUAUGCAGUCUCCAGGACUUGUGGAAAACACCAAUGCUGGAGUAAACCUUCAGGAUUCUGGAAAGAAAACGUCGAAGGCAUUAGCUGUGUUGCACACUUCGAUUAGUUCACUCUAUGAUCAAUUAAAGGAAAAAGUACAUUAUAUCUUGAAUGCUUCAAUGGAAAGAAGGGAAAGAAACGAAAGCUUAGUAUCUAAGUCUAGGAGUCUAAGCUCUAAUUUAGAGGCGCAGGUAGAGAUGUGUAUGAUAUUGGUGGACUUUCUUAACGAGGUAAAAUAUUAUGUUGGUCAGGAGAUUCCUAAUACGGAAGAAAGUUUGACUGGGUCUGCUCGCCGUGUUGAAGAGAACUGGGCUUUGGUCUUCCACAGAACCUUGCUUUCAUCUAAGAUAUUAGUUGCACAAAUGACAGAAGUUGUUGUACCAGACGUUCUAAAGACGUACUUGUUCUGUAAUUCAGAUCUUAUGGAUGCGUUUGGAUUGAUCUCACAAAUCCGUGGAUCCAUAGAUGCUGCAUUUGAGCAUCUCAUAGAGAUAAAGGUGGAAAGAGAUUCGUUGGUUGAACUUGAGCAAAACUACUUCCAAAAGGUUAGCAAUAUUACUGAGGGGCAGCUAGCUCUUGAAAAAGCAGCUUUGAAAAGCAGGGAACAUCUAUCCUGGGAAGAGGCAGAGGAAUUCGCAGCUCAAGAAGAGGCUUUCCGGACACAGCUGGACCAGCUUCAUCAAUCAUGGGGCCAGAGAGAGUUCCGAAUAUCUUCUCUCAUAAAGAAAGAAGCGCAAGUUAAAAAUGCUCUUAUCUUAGCUGAGAAACAGUUUCAGCUGCUCACUAAUGCAGAUGAGUGCAGGAAGCCUAAUGAUCUUAGAAGUUCAAGGAUAAUGGUUGAAUUGGUUAAGCCUUUCAGUGAAUUGGAACAGCUAGAUAAAACAUUAUCCUCCUUAAGCAGCUCAGCUGUUUCUAUGUCAGAUUGGAUCCCUGCUUUUGGGGAUAUCCUGAGCUGUGGGCAAUCACUAUCUGAGAACAUAUGGCGUUUCAGAAGCAUACUUAAGGAUCAUUCCUUCUUCAUCUGGAAGUUAGGCAUCAUAGAUUCCUUCCUUGAUUUAUGCAUACAUGAUGCUUCCCCGUCUGUGGAUCAGACAUUAGGAUUUGAGCAGCUAAUUCUCUUUAUGAAGAAGAAGUUUGAGUUCCAACUUCAAGAAAGAGUAGAUUGUUACCUGGCAGGAAGCGUUGCUCCUGCAUUUUUAUCUCAGCUGGAUAAAGAAAAUGAGCGUCUGAAACACAUCUCAGAGGAAAACAGUGCCAGAAGGGAUCAAGUCAAACCAGACUAUAGCCAUUUGAAACAAGUCCAUGCAAUGCUCGAGGAAUAUUGCAAUGCUCAUGAAACUGCUAGAGAAGCAAAAUCAGCAGCAUCUCGUAUGAAAAAACAAGUUAAGGAAGUACGCGAUGCUCUUCGUCGGACUAGCCUUGAUAUUGUCCAAAUGGAAUGGAUGAACGAUGCCACAUUGACCCCUUCACAAACUGUUCGGACUGCAUUGCAACAAUUAUUUGCCAGUGAUGAUAACUUACAUCCUAUUUUCUUAGACCUCAAAAGACCCAAAUUGUUGGAAACUAUACAUUCCGCUAUUCCCCAAAUCAGUAGAUCGAUAGAAAGACUACAAGCUUGUGAACAAAAUUCACUCGCAGCUGAAGGACAGUUAGAGAGAGCAAUGGGGUGGGCUUGCGGUGGACCUAGUUCUGUUUCAUCUGGAAAUUCUUCAGCCAAGAUGUCUGGUAUUCCUACUGAAUUUCAUGACCAUUUGUUGAGACGCCAGCAGUUGCUUUGGGAUGCAAGAGAGAAGGCAUCAAACAUUGCCAAAAUCUGCAUGUCUCUUCUGGAGUUUGAAGCAUCAAGAGAUGGGAUUUUCCGAAAUGCACAUGAGGCUCUUGAUGGUGAUGCAAGAUUCAGGGGGGACUCUAGGUCAUGGCAGAAAGCUUAUCUGGACUUAGUUGCUCGACUGGAGGUUACUUAUCAAUCUUUCACACGUAAGUGCUUACAUCAUCUUGCUAGACAAACUAGACAAAAAGAAAAAUAUUUCCAUACAUCUUUCGUUGUAAAACAAUUAGAAAGUAAUAAUUGCAUUGCUUCUUGUACUAUUUUAGAUAUUGAACAAGAAUGGAAGCUUGCACAAAGCAGUUUGGAAGCUGCCUCGACUGGCCUAUAUUCUGCCACAAAUGAGCUUUCUAUUGCUUCCGUAAAAGCUAAGUCUGCGUCAGGUUAGAUUUUCUAUCCUAAUAGCCUAAAGUUCUCACUUUCUACCUAUUGCCUUUGCUUUACUACUAUCUCUGCAUUUCUCCAAGAACAAGAGGUUCUCGUACCGUUUUCUUUGUUUUGUCGAUCAUGGUUAGGUACUGUUGUUGCGUAUAACAUAUAUGAUACCAUAAUUAUUAACUUUAAUAAUUACAGGUGAUCUGCAAAGUACUAUUCUCUCAAUGAGAGAUUGCACAUAUGAAGUUAGUGCUGCAUUAUCUUCUUUUAGCCGGGUAUCAAGAGGCCACACAGCUUUGACCACUGAAACUGGUGCAAUGCUCGAAGAGGUAAUCCUAUGAAGGCAUAUCAUAGCAUCAGCUUUUUUUUUACUGUCUGGUUUAUCUUAAUAUGUUGUUGCUAGGAUACUACUGCUUUACUUGAAAAUUUAGCUGUAUCUCUACUUGUAGGAGAUUAGAACCAUAUUCUAUAAGUUAUUCUGCUUAUGAAGUGAUUGCCUACAAUCUAUUUUUCUAGAGAACAUAAAUGCCACUGGCUAUCAAUAUUCUGCAAUUCUUUUUGUUUGACCCCCCCCAACUGUAGUAUCAGAUAUUUGAUGCUUUAUGUGGCUCUCGGGUUUAGUGGUUAGGUCUUGAGUUUGUACCAAUGAUGGUCUUUGGUUCAAGCUGCGCAUUCUUGACCUGGACUUGGGAAUUCCAUUGUUUUUAUACUCGCAAGUGUAAUUAUGGACUUAUGAAUCUGAUUUUCUUUGAAAGUUUCAUUUGUCUGCCCGAAUUUAGGUUGGGUAUGUGAUAUUUUGUUUAAUAAAUUGUAGGUUCUUGCAAUAACAGAGGAUCUGCAUGAUGUUCAUAGUUUGGGAAAGGAGGCAGCCACUUUUCACCGUUCUCUCAUGGAUGAUCUUUUAAAGGUUUUUACAUCUUGCACUUCAGUGCUUAUUUGACAAUUUUGAAAUCAUAGGCCGUUCUCACACGUUUUUGUUUCUAAUCUAUCAUUGUAAAUCACAAAUGUCAUGGCUGAUUGUUUGAAUGUCUGCACAGGCUAAUGCAAUCCUUACUCCACUAGACUCAGCGUUGUCAAAGGAUGUUGCUCUUAUUGCUGAAGCUAUGACCAGGGAAAGCGAGACAAACAUUGAAGUUUCGUCCGUUCAUGGACAAGCUAUAUAUCAAUCAUAUGGUGCGAAAAUUAGAGAAAGUUAUCAGAACCUUAGGCCUUUGGUACCAUCUACUGUAUAUUCGGUGAAGGGUCUAUAUUCAAUGUUAACUAGGCUCGCACAAAUUGCAAGUGUACAUGCACGUAACCUAAACAAAGUAAGCAAUCUAUCAUCAGAUUGAUCAUCUAAGUUAUCUGUGAAUUUUACUUAUUCAUAAUAAGAUAGGCUUAACUUAUGUGUUCCUGUUCAGGCUCUCGAAGAACCAGGAGAGAGUGAGGAAGCAAAAUCACAAGAAAGUGCUUACUCUGGGGCCGACCUCACUGACAAUGACUUUAAACUGGAUGAACUUGGGGAAGAGAACCAUUUGGAAUCUGUCAGCAAGAGCUCACAAGCUCUUUUGAGUAUUUCCGGAUUUUCUCUGGAGGAUAAGGGAUGGAUGUCUUCUCCCGACAGUGUGUAUAGCAGUGGAUCAGAGUCGAACAUAACCUUAGCCGAAGCAAGCAGUCCUGCUAGUCUCAACAAUUCAACCGAAAUGCUAGAGCAAACCCAGAUGAAUGAAGAGGAGUCCAAUGCUUUUAAGUCUUCAACUCCAUCGUCCCAGUCCAAUUGCGAUGACAUCUCAGACUCUGAUCAACAAGUAUCAGCAGAGGCGCUGAUAGAAAGUAAUGAUGAUUGUCCCCGAAAAGCUUCAGUUGAGGAACCAGGUGAAAACACAGAGUUCAAGUUACCAGCAAGCGAUGUAGCUUUAAAAGUUACAACCGAUGUCUCACAGCCUUUGGUCGAGAGUCCAGAGCUCGAAUCUGGAAGAAAAAAAGCUAUGAAGGGAAAAUUUGAAGUUCAAAGUGAUGAGGCUUCUCCUCCAACACAGACACAGACUCGAGUCACAAGAGGUUAGUCCAUCUAUCUAAUUGCCUACCAUCAUCCCAUUUCCUUUCUCUUUCUUUAUCUCUAUGAAACUUAAGGAAAGCACACUGCAAUUCCCAUUUUUCCUAUUGGCUCAAAAAGUAAUCUCACAGUUACAGCAAAUAUAGUGCUAGAAAAUUCAUGUAACUUAUUAGUCUAUAGUAGUCGCGGUACUUAUUUUCCAAGCCUUCGAGUACCACACCCCCACAAACUUGCAAUGAUCCCUAUGCAUACAUGGUUCCUUGCUAAUGUCUAGUUUCGUAUCUUGAUAAUCUAAGGUGGCUUCUUGUAAUGCUACAUGCAGGUAAAAACGCUUAUGCACUGUCAGUUCUCAAGUGCAUGGAGAUGAAAAUAGAUGGUCGAGGCAUUGCUGACAACAGGUACGUGUUGAUAAUUAACUUCCCAAUAAACUCUUAAAUGAAGAAAUGUUAAAGUCACAUCAACAAGUCUUGUAACCAUUUUGUAUAGGGAGGUUAGCAUUCCAGAGCAGGUGGAUUAUCUAAUCAAGCAGGCCACAAGCGUUGAUAAUCUCUGCAACAUGUAUGAAGGUUGGACUCCAUGGAUUUAGACAAAUGAUUGGAAAUCACACAGAAGCUUAACCAACAGUGCGCUACAAGAGGGAGGCCGCCACAUCUGGUAAUUUCAGACACAUUUGGUAUCUCAUGAAGCUGUUGCACUCAACCAGUCAUUGGUGUUAGAAAGCGGGCUCAAGAGUUUGAAACAGGCAUGUCUACAAAAGGAGUUCAAGAUUCAACAUUGUGGCUGUCGUAUCGAGGUAUGACCUUUGGAAACUCAAGAGACAGAUCCAAUUCCAUAGUCCUUCGUAAUCGAGAAUUUUCCGACUCAUCAUCAUCAUCUUACCAUCACUUUCAGUGCGCCCCAAACGCUAAAGGUUUUGUUGCAAUAAUCAGCAGAACAUGGUGAUGAUAAGAGAUGCGUUUUAAGCUUUCCGGGGCGUCUUGGAUGGAGCUCAGAUCAUCUACCAUUGCUCCUAAGCUUUCCGAUGCAGUGGCGCGACGUUGAACCCCAACAAUUGAUAAUUUAGGUUUAACUGCUUUACGAAAGCAGCAGACUCUUUCAACAAUUGGGAAUUAACAUCUCUAUUUUUAUGUCUUCAUAAUAAGUUUAAUUAUCAUUAGCCUUACAAUAACUGUUCAAUAAAACAAGAACUAGGAAACAAAUGGAUUCAAGAAGAAAUGGAUAAUAAGAGUUGAAAAUUCUAUCAAUCCAGCUCGGAUUACAAUUAUAAAUUAUUUGAAGAUGAAGAACUUUGAAUUUGAUUCACCUAACUAUUGCCAAGUGGGGUUCGAAAGAUUAAAAAUAAGAUAAAGACAUUAUUAGGAUUUGCUUGGGCCAGACCUUAUCCAAUUGCAACGAAUAAAGCAAUAGAUAUUAACGACACGUCACUACAGAAAAUAUCAUAAAGAUAUGAAUUUGUCAAAAAGUGGAAAAAUAAAAUCCGACCUGCCGGAAUCGAACCAGCGACCUAAAGAUUAUCUGUUGUAAACAACUACAGUCUUCCGCUCUACCAACUGAGCUAAGGUCGGUUUUUGUAUUGUCUCAACAAUAAAUUAAUUUAUACAAAACAUUAUUUGAAAACGUGGAAAAUUCAAGAUAGCGAAAGAGAUAUUUUUUGACUUUGAUGAUUUGAAACUAUUGUACAUAUCCCAAAAAGACACAAAUCUUCUAUAAGUGGACGGUCCCAAAGUGUGAACUACAUGUCCGCUUUCGUGUCAAGAACACAAUUAUUUGAGAAAACCAAUCAAACAUUACCAUGGUUUUGUAAGUCAAAAAAGACCAAACACCCCCUUCCUUUCAUUGUCUACAUAAAGCUCACAUGCGUCUCUCUCUCUCGCUCAUAAUUAGAUAUUAAGAUCAACAAGAAGAAGAAUGGCAAAAGCUAUGGAGGUUUGGGUGGGAGAGAUGAAGAAGAUGAGUGAGAAGAUAAACACUAGAAACCCAUUGAUGCAAAGGAACAAGACAUCCUCUGUUGUGUCCAAACAACAACAAGGAUCAGAAGAAGAAAGAGGACUUAAACAAAAGACAAGAGAGAAAGAUGAAGCUGCAACUAUGUCUGAGCUCACUGUUUGUCUUCUCAUGGACCGUUUUGUUCCUUGGUGAUCUUUCAAUACCCAACUACUUCUAGAUCAAUCUCCCUAUUUGGUGAUGUGUAUAUAUAUUUAGAACUACAUGUAUAUCUAUAUAUAGAUGUUGUUGCUGUUUGUGCAGAACAUGUUUUUAACUUUUUUUUGUGAAUCUAUGAAAGUAACGUAUGUGAUGAGAACAAUAUUUUAUUUCUUCAAAGUUCAAUCAAUAGUGUUCAAUUAUUAUUAGCCCAGGAAUCAUAUGAAGAUGGAACUUUCUAUUCACUUUGUAAUUACCAACAAUCAUAGGAUUUUCCGAAAAAUGCCGUUUAUUGAUGGAUUGAACCGUUUUUUGUUUACCAUAUCAUAUAUUGUAGUCUGCACUAUUGCGGACGGAAUCAAUAAAUCCGUAGAAAACCAACUACGAACCGUUAUUACAUAGAAUAAAUUGUCCGCCAAAAUUCUGUAUAUUGUCAAACAAAUUCAAAACCAUAGUUAUUAGAGAUUAUAUCUCUCCGGUUUAAUGUUGAAUAUAGUGCGGUUAUCUUCGGUUAUCUAUCAUGUAUAUAAUUGGUUAUCUCUCAUUUAAGCAUUCUAUGUAUCAGUAUCACACUUUACAUUUAAUGAAGGUUUCACGAUUGAUUGUUGACUUGUUGUGUUAAUAGUGCCUCCCUCCGGAAUUUUGUGAAAGUUCUAUCCCAAAAAAAUCCGAACCAAAUCAAUACAAUAAUAAUAAUAGGUUUCUCUCCUGCGUUGACACCUCAGUUUUUUAAGCUCUUCUCAGCUUGACACAUCAUUAAAAUCAUCCUCCAAUGAAAACAUUUCGAUUAAUACAGCUCAUAUUUUCCAGCCAAUAAUAAUUCUCCUCGUUCCACAUCAUUAUCUCUCUUACUUUUUCUUUAUUAUUAAGUGGCUUGCUAUUUAAAUUUUAAAAGAUAUAUAUAUACAGGCCCGAUAGGAAUUAAGGGAUUUGACCCAUUAUAACUGAAUUUUAGUAGAUAAUAGAAACCCAAUUUAAAAGAGACUCAAUAUUUAUUUACAAGAAAAACGUUGGGAUAUGUCGGUUUAAUAAAGUCACAAUCUAAACCGACUUAUAAAUUUUGAAAGCAAGAAAAUUGCCGUCAGUUUACGAACCGACCGAAAUUUUUAUUAGACAUAAUUUUAUUUGUUAUACUUAUUUUUGUCAAAUUUGUUAAGCUUUCUUCUUUGAUGACUUGCAUUUAUCCAUAAAAAAAAAAAUCAUUGCUUCCAAAUCUUCACUGACGAAAGCUUUACGAGAAUCUCCAUCUCCGCUUCCCAUUUCUUUGAAAUCUCUAAUUGGAUUCAAGAGAAGCUUGAGUUAAUUACGAGCUUCAAGAGAAGCUUAGGUUAAUUACGAGCUUCUCCAUCUUCGCUUCCAGAUUCUGGAUCUUUCAAUUCCAUGCUGAGACAGUGUUGAAUCAGAGAGGAUUGAAGUAAUUAGUUGAGUUUUCACCGGAAAAAUGACGGUGAUGUGAUAGUUUCUUACAAAGGCAUGCUUAUAUGAUUAUGUUCUUCCUUAUUGUAGCUUAAUAUUUUGCAUCUUUUUUUUCUGAUAUUUCGGUGUGGCUUUUGAAGAGGCAACGUGUAGCUUAGUGAUUCAAGAAUAUCAUAGUUUAAAGUUAUGUUCUAUAGGUAUUGUAAGACUUAAGCUUAUAUUUUUAUAAAUGGUAUAUAUUUUGAAGUAGUCAUAAAUUUUAUAUUUAUGAUGAUUUGGUUGUUUGGUCCUGCAUUUUUUAUGUAUAAAUAAAUAGUAAAAUUCCUCACUUCUGGAUUUAUCGGCUGCAUCAAUUCUUGAGAUAUCUUAAUCUCAUUUUAGAGAAUAUGAAAUAAAGGAAGAAGAAUAAUAAUAAACCUCUUGGAGAUGAAAGAAAUAUUGAAGUGCAUAGAAACAAUAAUUAGACCAGUCCCAGUAAGGUCAAACAUACUAAAUACCUAGAGAUGUUAAAGCUGGGAUUCCAAGACUAUUUUUUUUAUAAUCUUUUACAUCUUCGAAGGUAAACAAGAUUUUAUAAUCCUUUACUUAACCUAGACUAAAACAAUUGCAGUGUUGCAUAAUUGAUAUAAUUUGAGAUGAGCUAGAAAAAGUAACUUAACGAUGUUUGAAACAUAUUCACCUUGGUAACAAUUAAAGUAAAGUAAAUAAAUUAACAUCCAAUUGAUAUGAGGUAUAUGCUUUACAUAUUUAAAUGGUUUUGUUAGAGUAAGUUCUCUCUAUUAAUUUAGUUACAAAAUUUGCAAUCUUAUUCUUUUUUUAUCGGUAGUUUGCAUCAUAAGAGAACUAUCUCACUGAAAUAUUAAUUUUUUUGAUUAGUGAGUUUAUGAACCACAUCCUUAAAUGAUAAGUCAUAUUAAUAUAUUCACUAUGUUUGGUUUAAUUUUGAUUAGAAACAAUAUGAUUUAGUUAUUACAAAUCAUAUCUAUAUUAAAUAAACAAAAAAUACUUUAAAAAAAUAUCCCGCAACGUAGCGCGGGUUUCGAUCUAGUUUGAAUAAAUGUAUUAGACUAUUUUAGACUAGACGAGUAAAACCAUAACCUAUUAAGUAGUAGUUCACUUGGUUUGAAAUAAUUAUCUUGGAGAACGUGAGUCGUUGUAUUUGAAUUCGAAUUUUCCAUUGAGAGACGACACUUCAACAAAUAUUUUUUGCGCCUAAGGCUCCUAAUUUUCUUGUUAACCAAAAAGAGAGAAAAAUGUGUAAUACUUAUUUUACUCGUGUUUAUAAAUGAGUUAAUUUAUUUUCCUGAUAUGUUUCAAAUGAUGUUAUCCAAAUUCGAUGUGAAAUUGUAGUUUAGCUCUACCACAGUUUUCAAAAAUAUAUACUGAAUCAAGUAAAUAGAACUAACCUUGAUUAAACUACAUGUGGGUGGGAGGAAUAUACAGGAAGCAGGUAUGUAAGAUAUUGCUACUACUAGCUCUUUUCAAGAUUUUUUUUUUUCGAAUCGAAUAUGGGAAUUGGGAAUCGAUCCUUUUAGCGACCAUUCAAGAUCUUCAACCAGCCAUUACAUACAUAGGCCCGGCUCGUUAAUAUGAUGGACCCUGUGCAUUUUCUAAAAUAGUCCUAAUUUAUUUUAUAAAAGACCCUAAAUUCUUGUAAUUUUGAAAAAUGGGCCCUAAAAUAUGACAAAUAUGUGGCUAAAAUUUUGUGUACAAAUGCCCCACUUGCACUUGCCUACAACCGGGCCUAUUACAUACGAGCAGUCCUGCAUACGAGAUGAAUAUACAAUAACUCUAACCAAGGAUGUCAUUGAGACAUUUACCCGAAAAAGGACCAUGUUAGGACAAUCAGUAUUCUUUACUUAAUUACAAUAUGUAUGAUAAGACUUCAAAUAUUGAUAGUUAAGUUCCGCAAAUUAAGCAUAGAAAGAACCAAAGAAUUACAUGCAUCAGAAUUUGGUCAUCGAACCAGAGCCGGCCCUAGCCACAAGCAUGUGAAGCAUCUGCUUGUGGCCUUCAGAAUAUAUAGUAACUCGGCCCCAAUUUACGAAAACUUUAUUAGUUCAGAUGGUAAUAGCUGAGAGAUUUAAUCUCAUUUAAACCCUAGCAUAACGGGUUCGACUCACACUUCCUUCCUUUUAUCUCGUUUGUUAUUUUUUUUUAAAAAAAAAAUUCUUACAGGCCCAAAAAAAACAUGUGGGCUUGUAGCCCCAAAAAUGAUAGCGCCGGCUCUGCAUCUAACCGAACCGAGUAACAAUUAGCUGAGCCGUACUUCAUUACCACAACGAGAGAUACAAUUUUGGAGACAAAGCAUGAUACAAAUAUAAUGGUAAAACAAAGCAUAUUUUAAGAAAUGUGGAUGCAUGCCUACUACUUAUAAUCAACUGUUUGCAUGAGAUCAUAUCAAAUUUGAUGACAAUAACGUUAAUAAAGAUAUGAAAGCUAUUGCUAAUUACAUAUGCGAUGUAUAAAGUUUUAACUGAAAAUGUCGCUGAAGCGAAGGUCGACAAGGCUUUGUUUGUUAAACAUCUGGAAAAAUUUCACAGCUCUAACAUAAUGACGACACAUUUUUUACCAAUGAUUUUUGACAUUCACUUGAGGACGACCGAGUGACCUUAAUCAGAAACUUUUUCAGACCAAAAACAUUUGAUGGAAAAGUUAAAUGAGACAAAUAUUUGUCUCAUAUCCCUAAAAUGGAGAAACCAAGAGGAAUGACAUAACACAUAAGUAACUAACUAGGCUGAUAAAUUUUUGCAGAGUGUUUAGUGUGAGCUACUAGAUUAUCUUAAAACUUUGUUUGCUUAAAACUAAAAAAAGUUAUGUCAAAGUUAUUUCCAGAGAUCCAAAUUUACCUCGGAAACAAAACAAAACAUUUAAAUGUCACAAGAAUUUUUUAUUUUAUUUCUGAGCCUGUUACAAACAAAAAUGGACAAAUUGGUAGUGAAACAAAACUCCUUUACAUUUUCAUCUUUUCUUUGGCUGGUCCUACUCAAGAAAAAUCCUCUGCCGACAUCAAAUAAUCAUAUACUAAAAUAAAUAAAAAUAAAACAAAAAAUAAACCAUAGCUUCUGUCUUCUGCCACUCUGUUUUUUAUUCGAUAUUAAUGUAACUAUUAACUGAUUGGAUUUUGAUCCAUCUCUAAAGUCCACUAUGAACUAGUAUAUGAUUUUUAGCUCAACAAUUUACUUACACAUUUGUUGGUUUUAUUUAUACUCACACAUUUGAUUAUCGAACUAGUAUCUCUUUAUAAUUAAGUAUUUAUGGUAUGUUAUAUUUAUAAAAUUUAAUUUUCAAUGAAUCCAGACAACUUAUUGCUUUUUAUUUUCUGUCUCAUUAUUGGCUACAUAUAAUAAUUCUGGUUAAAACAUAUUCUUAUAAUCUAGUUGGAUUGACGAUCUCUGACUUUAUAAUAAAUAUACCGACAUACCCUAUGUUUUAGAUGCUGAUUUUUCCCAUCUUAAUNNNNNNNNNNNNNNNNNNNNNNNNNNNNNNNNNNNNNNNNNNNNNNNNNNNNNNNNNNNNNNNNNNNNNNNNNNNNNNNNNNNNNNNNNNNNNNNNNNNNNNNNNNNNNNNNNNNNNNNNNNNNNNNNNNNNNNNNNNNNNNNNNNNNNNNNNNNNNNNNNNNNNNNNNNNNNNNNNNNNNNNNNNNNNNNNNNNNNNNNNNNNNNNNNNNNNNNNNNNNNNNNNNNNNNNNNNNNNNNNNNNNNNNNNNNNNNNNNNNNNNNNNNNNNNNNNNNNNNNNNNNNNNNNNNNNNNNNNNNNNNNNNNNNNNNNNNNNNNNNNNNNNNNNNNNNNNNNNNNNNNNNNNNNNNNNNNNNNNNNNNNNNNNNNNNNNNNNNNNNNNNNNNNNNNNNNNNNNNNNNNNNNNNNNNNNNNNNNNNNNNNNNNNNNNNNNNNNNNNNNNNNNNNNNNNNNNNNNNNNNNNNNNNNNNNNNNNNNNNNNNNNNNNNNNNNNNNNNNNNNNNNNNNNNNNNNNNNNNNNNNNNNNNNNNNNNNNNNNNNNNNNNNNNNNNNNNNNNNNNNNNNNNNNNNNNNNNNNNNNNNNNNNNNNNNNNNNNNNNNNNNNNNNNNNNNNNNNNNNNNNNNNNNNNNNNNNNNNNNNNNNNNNNNNNNNNNNNNNNNNNNNNNNNNNNNNNNNNNNNNNNNNNNNNNNNNNNNNNNNNNNNNNNNNNNNNNNNNNNNNNNNNNNNNNNNNNNNNNNNNNNNNNNNNNNNNNNNNNNNNNNNNNNNNNNNNNNNNNNNNNNNNNNNNNNNNNNNNNNNNNNNNNNNNNNNNNNNNNNNNNNNNNNNNNNNNNNNNNNNNNNNNNNNNNNNNNNNNNNNNNNNNNNNNNNNNNNNNNNNNNNNNNNNNNNNNNNNNNNNNNNNNNNNNNNNNNNNNNNNNNNNNNNNNNNNNNNNNNNNNNNNNNNNNNNNNNNNNNNNNNNNNNNNNNNNNNNNNNNNNNNNNNNNNNNNNNNNNNNNAGCGGACAUGCCUGGCAUAAAUCCGAGUGUAAUUUGUCAUGAACUAAACGUAGAUCCAAGCUUCAAACCGGUGAAACAAAAAAGAAGAAAACUCGGAGUGGAGCGAGCCAAAAUAGUAAAUGAUGAAGUAGAUAAACUUUUGAAGAUAGGAUCCAUAAGAGAAGUGCAAUACCCGGAAUGGAUAGCAAACACUGUCGUUGUCAAGAAAAAGAAUGGGAAAGAUAGGGUUUGCAUCGAUUUUACAGACUUGAAUAAAGCAUGUCCCAAAGAUAGUUUCCCGCUCCCGCAUAUAGAUCGACUUGUGGAGUCCACCGCUGGAAAUGAGCUGUUAACGUUCAUGGACGCCUUCUCGGGUUAUAAUCAGAUAAUGAUGAACCCCGAAGAUCAAUAAAAGACGUCAUUUAUCACAGAUAGAGGUAUCUACUGUUACAAGGUAAUGCCUUUUGGUUUGAAAAAUGCAGGAGCAACUUACCAACGGUUGGUGAACAAAAUGUUUCACAAUCACCUCGGGAAGACUAUGGAAGUCUACAUAGAUGAUAUGUUGGUUAAAUCGUUGAAGAAAGAAGAUCAUGUUAAACAUUUGGAGGAAUGUUUCGAUAUUCUCAAUAAAUAUCAAAUGAAGCUGAACCCGGCGAAGUGCACAUUUGGAGUCCCAUCCGGAGAAUUUCUUGGCUAUAUCGUGACAGAAAGAGGGAUUGAAGCCAAUCCAAAUCAAAUUAACGCCUUUCUAAACAUGCCAUCUCCAAGAAACUUCAAAGAAGUACAACGAUUGACUGGGCGGAUUGCGGCUUUGAAUCGUUUUAUCUCGAGGUCAACAGAUAAGUCGUUGCCUUUCUACCAAAUUCUAAAAGGGAACAAAGGAUUCUUUUGGGAUGAGAAGUGUGAAGAAGCUUUUGGGCAGCUUAAGGCAUACUUAACCACUCCGCCUAUACUGUCCAAACCGGAAGUGGACGAAAAACUUUAUUUGUACGUAUCAGUUUCAAACCACGCGGUUAGUGGAGUCUUGGUUCGGGAAGACCGUGGAGAGCAGAAGCCAAUUUACUACGUGAGCAAGUCAAUGACGGAUCCGGAAACCAGGUACACAAUGAUGGAAAAGCUUGCACUCGCGGUGGUAACUUCGACUCGGAAGCUGCGUCCAUAUUUUCAGUCCCAUCCGGUUGAAGUAUUGACUAACCAACCACUCCGAACAAUACUUCAUAGUCCAAGUCAGUCCGGACGUUUGGCGAAAUGGGCGGUGGAAUUAAGCGAGUACGACAUAGAGUUCAAAAGCCGAAUCAGUAUGAAGGCUCAGGUCUUAGCAGACUUCCUGACCGAACUACCAAUACCUGGAACGAUAAAGCAACCGGAGAACCAAAUUUGGAAAUUACACGUAGACGGGUCUUCAACAAAACAAGGAUCUGGAGUGGGAAUCAAGUUGGAAUCUCCAACAUCAGAAAUUCUAAAACAAUCAUUCCGAUUGUUAUUCAAUGCUUCCAACAACGAGGCAGAAUACGAAGCCCUUAUUGCCGGACUUCGACUAGCACAAGGACUUGGAGCUAAGGAAAUAUUGGCUUAUUGCGAUUCGCAAUUAGUAGUUAACCAAUUUAAUGGAGACUAUGAAGCCAGAGAUUCAAGAAUGGAAGCGUACCUCGAAGUGGUGAAGGAUUUAUCUAAAAAAUUUUCGAAAUUCGAAUUAAUCCGCAUACCUCGGGGAGAGAAUACAACUGCGGAUGCACUUGCCGCAUUGGCGUCAACAUCAGAUCCCGAGUUAAAGAGAGUUAUUCCAGUGGAAUGCAUUUCGGAGCGAAGCAUUCAAGACAGCAAAGAGACCCUCGUCAUUACAAGAUCUUGAGCAGCGGCACGCGACCGCGGCAAACCAGAUAUCGAACCGUCUUCAAACAAACGAAGGAAGUCAAAGGGAUCAAAUACAUCUAACAAGGAACCCGUUGUCUUAGCUGAAGAAGUGAUUCCAGAAACGAUGUUAGAAACCGAGCCAUUAAUCGAGGAGAAUAUUCUUGAACCAAACGAACAUCCCGAACCAGAGCCACGGAUAUUUCACAAAGUUGACCAAAUUCCGGCUAAAGACUGGGGGGCUGACUGGAGGGAGCCAAUAAAGCACUACAUCAUGACAGGUGAGCUCCCAAAGAAUAAAUGGCAGGCCAGGAAAAUGAAAGUCGUUAGCGCGAAAUUUUGUCUGUCAAAGGAUGCGUUGUAUAGACGAGGUGUCAGUGACCCUUACCUAUUAUGCAUUUUUGGGCCCGAAGUCGAAAUCGUCAUGAGCGAGGUGCACGAAGGAUUAUGUGGGAGUCAUUCAUCAGGAAGAGCUAUGGCUUUUAAAGUUAAAAGAAUGGGGUAUUUUUGGCCCACUAUGAUCACAGAUUGUGUUAAGUUCGCCCAAAGAUGCAAGCGCUGCCAGCUCCAUGCACCAUUGAUCCAUCAACCGUCGGAAUUAUUCUCCUCCAUUUCCGCCCCAUACCCGUUUAUGAGGUGGUCAAUGGACAUCAUUGGACCAUUGCACAAAUCAACUCGAGGUGUACAGUACCUUUUAGUCCUUACGGACUACUUUUCGAAAUGGAUUGAAGCUGAGGCGUAUGUUGGUAUCAAGGAUUCGGCGGUGAAGACCUUUAUUUGGAAAAACAUUAUAUGUCGACAUGGAGUUCCGUACGAAAUAGUCACUGAUAAUGGACCACAAUUCAUUUCACACGAGUUUGAUGCCUUUUGUGCGGACUGGGGAAUCAAAGUUAGUUAUUCUACUCCACGAUAUCCGCAAGGAAACGGACAAGCUGAAGCCGCGAACAAGACAAUAUUAAGCAAUCUCAAGAAACGCUUAAGUCAUCUAAAGGGAGGAUGGUAUGAAGAACUCCAACCCGUCCUGUGGGCCUAUCGUACAAACCCUAGGCGACCUACAGGAGAAACUCCAUUCUCUUUGGUUUAUGGCAUGGAGGCGGUAGUACCAGCUGAACUCAAUGUGCCCGGACUUCGUCGAACAGAAGCACCGUUAAAUGAGGAAGAAAAUUCAGCAAUGCUUAACGAUUCACUAGAUACCAUAAAUGAAAGGCGUGAUCAAGCUCUAAUUCGGAUCCAGAAUUACCAACAGGCAGCAGCCCGGUAUUAUAAUUCAAAGGUUAAAAGUAGGCCGUUCUUCGUGGGAGAUUACGUAUUAAGGCGCGUCUUUGACAACAAAAAAGAAGAAGGUGCCGGAAAACUCGGUAUUAAUUGGGAAGGACCUUACAUUAUUACCGAGGUGGUUCGAAACGGUGUUUACAGGUUGAAAGAUUUAGAAGACAAUCCAGUCAAGCGACCUUGGAAUGUGAUCAACCUAAAGAAAUUUUAUGUUUAAAGCUACAUGCAUUGUUUAUGUACAUGAACUACGGUGUGGCUUGAUCCCGAGAUGGGUACGUAGGCAGCUCGAAAACGAGUUCAGCUAUUAAUAAAAAUUUGUUUUAUUUCUUUAUUAAAGGAAAAAGUUUCGACUAUGCGAACAAGUGAAGCAAAUAGAAGGUUCGGCUAAGCGAACAUACAAGAAAUUGGAAAUAGAGCGUUUAUUCAAAAGACGGAAUGUCCCUCAUCGUACACUUCGGACUAUGAAAAUCUUGUUGACGAGCAGAACACUUCAACUCCUUGACCAGCAAGAUCGAGGAUUGGCAUCAUGCAGUCCGGAAUUCGAGCAAAAUCUGAAAUUCCAAGCUCAAUCCACUCUCCGGGGUGAGACUCAAGGAUGUGAAGAUCUCUUGACACUGUAGUAAGCCUGCGUUGCAUCCGGUUAAUCCUCUUCCGAAGUCUCCUCUUUUCCGACAUAAGCUUCCGGUGUUGAAGCUCGAGUGCCUCUAUGAACGCCGUCGCUAUUCCUUGGUCUCUGAUUGGGAGAUCCCUGAUCAAAGCACAUGGGGCUCGGAUCUGAGAUCUCAAGAAGCCGCGAAGUGGAGGAGGCUGCCUGCUUGGCUCAUUUGGAACAUCUUCGUUUAUCAUUCCGAUUCUGGAGAAGUCGGGCAUAGAUUCUGAACAGCGAAGAUUGAACUCCAUACCUGCUAAAAUAAAAAGAGUGGUGAGGAGUAAAGGGAAAUUGAAACUAUAAUUUAUAGGAACCCCAUAUCCUUAGCAAGCUGCGGAUUCUAUCCAAAGAAUGGAGUGAUUCGCGGAGAGAUUUAUGCCCUCGAGCAGAUCCUGUAUUAAAAGACGCAUCUCCGAGAUAUUCGAAAAGAAAGGAAAGUUGCGAAUAUUUCCAUAAAUAAAAAGGGGCCGAAGCCCAUUACGAGUUUUAAAAAAAAAAAAGAGUGAAGAAGUUAAAAAACAUUUAUGGAAGAGGCUCAGGAACAGGCUCCUUCAUCGCCGGUUUAGUCUUCGAAGUGGACGCCUUGUUCUUGGCAUCCACUUCGGAACGAUCCCGAACGCGUUUCCGACAGUUGCUGGCCUCCUCCUCCAAAUCGUCUUCCUCUUCACUGUCAGAUGGAACGGCGCAGACAGGGGUGUUCACGGGACCCGGGACUCCUUUAGCGCGGAGAUACAUCCGAAGCAUCUUCGGGAUCUCAGCGACGGAGUCAAAGUUCCGCCACUCCCAUUGAAAGGGAUCACUCUCCAAGGCCCGUAUCUUCCUCUCCACCCGAGCAAUACGAGUCUCGAGUGUUUGCCUUUUAAGGCCCAGCCGUUGCCUCUCUUCACACAAGCAACGGUGCUUGUCGACAACCUAGCGUAAAGAUGAAUGAAUAAGAUAAAACAAAAAGUUUUUAAGUCAAAAACUUUAAAUAUUUACCUUGUCGACAAAGUCGCAAGCCUCUUUCUUCUCCUUUGAAGGAAAGUGAAAUACGGCGUGAGGGAAGAGAACGCCGGCCGGUUCAAAGCCGUCGCCGGACAAGAAGAGUGGGCUGCCGGGAUCGAUGGGGGCUACUGUUUCGUUUUCCAUUCUCGAAAUAUUUCUCAAGUAAGAUUCUAAAAUCAUGUUUAAAUAAAGCUUGGAGGUAGGUAAGCCUUUAUUUAUAAUGAUUUAGGGUUUGUCUUGGAACCAUAGAGCCAUUAAUGGUAGCGUGUCCGAAUGGAUUAAACCAUUUUUGAAAAAUCGAGAAAAGGCAGUUAUUGCAUUAAAAGACGAGCCGUUUUUCUUACUUAUAAGAAGGGAAAGCGCAACUGUCGCAUUAAUUACAAAAGUUUCUAAGGCCCAAGCCCAGUAAGUUUAUCGAGUUGACUAAACCCGAAGUGGGGAACUCGCUUUAAGCCGAGCUCAGUUCUCGCAUCCUAAAGAGAAAGGUCUGAUCAACCUAAAAAUCUCAAAAGCAUAACCACAAGGCCACAAAAGGUUAAAAGCAGACUUUGCAAACCCGCGUAUAAAUUUAACCAAACCCCCUUGGGUCACAACCUAGAAAGGUUUAAAAGCCUCCUCAGGCAAAUAUCUUGUUCAAAAGAAAAUAAUAAAGCCUCCUUAGGCAAAGACAAGUUCGAAAUUAAGUCUUAAAAUUAAAGGGACAAUUCCCAAUUUAAGGUGGACACAGCCACUACGGAGCAGCAGCCACCUCGGAAUCCGGCUCAACAGUCGAAGCUUCAUUCGCCUCCUUGGCAGCCGCUUGGUCAGAUGAAACUCCUGAUCCACUCUCCACGGUACAACCAACCUCCGGAGUGACCUCCGGUACCAUAGGAACUACGGGCGGGACAACAUCUUCCGUCUCACUUGAGCCUAGGAAUAAUAAUUCCAGUCAAUCAAAGGUACAAGGUAAGAAAAGGUAAUAAAUAUCAGGAGCCAAGCAUUACCUGCCCAGUCUAGACCUGAUUCACUUAUAGGAGGCGAUUCAGUGAAGAAUUCCUCGAAGUCCUGAGGGUUGAAGGUCGAAGUAGGAAGAGCUGCCAAGCGACUCCGCUUUUCAGAAAGAUUAGCCGACAGUUCGGUUCUCUCUUGCUCCUCGGAGAAAUCUGUGUCAUGGAUUUGAUCCAGCAGGAUCAGGUUGCUCUCGUGCUCCUUGAUGUCUGAUUCCAAAUCAGACCUAGCCUUCUCAGUCUGCAUGAAUCGGAUGGCCCCUUGGAUCAACUCCAUCCCGCGUCCCUUAACCUCUUUUCUGGCUUUUGAUGCCGACCUCGCCAACUCGGAGUCACGCAAUUUGGCAAUCGCCUUGUACUUCGCGUUAAGCUCGAUGAGUUGGUUGUUCAGGGAAUCAGCGUUUGAUUCGGACUCUUGAAGCCUACCCUGGACACCAGAAAACUCUUCCUGGAGCUUGAAGUUCUGGUCGUACUGACCCUGCAGCUCCCCCUUUAUCUGCGCAAGCUCGGAUGUUAAACUGUCGACCUUGUCCUCCAGAUCGUGCUUGGAGCCGGCAGAAGAACUGAGUUCAGCCUCAAGGGCAGAGAGUUUCUUUUUCCACAUGUCAAUCUCCUUCUCCCGUCCAAUGACCAACCCUUCGUAAUGUUCGAUCAUAUCGUUAAAUUCGCUAUGAGCCUGGCAUUAUACAUGAACCCGGGAUGGCGAGUCAGUUUGCAGAGUGGCGUAGCAAAAAAAAAAAAAAAAAAAAAAAAAAAAAAAAAAAAAAAAAAAAAAAAAACGGAACUAACCCGAGAUGAGUGAUGCGCGUGAAGCAAAUAGCGUUCACGAAUCGCAGGGCGCCAUUUGUCGAAGUCUGGCAAGAUCGAACCCGAUCGGGUCUUGAAGCAUCGGAAGACGCUGCCCUCUUUCUCCAUAGCUGCGAAGAAAGAAGAGUUGUAAAAAUCGAAAUCUUAAUGGAAAUAAAAAAAAAACGUUGAAGACUGUAUGAAUCAACGAACCUGAAAGCGAUUUGACUUGAGGGACAAGAGCAGGUUUUAACCUCGAGGAAGCAUCUCGAGACUCAGAAUCCCCCUUUUUCGGAGACGCACUCCGGGCAGUCUUUCCACUAUCAGGCUGGGAAGAGGAAGACAUAUCAACCGGUCGUGGAGGACCCAUUGGUUCAGGAGGAGGGGAUGAUCGAGGUGAGCGGUCAGUCCGGGCCCUUGACUUUUCCCUCCGCGGGGAAGAAUCACUGCGAGAGGACUUGUCUCUCUUCCAGCGAACCAAGUUCUUAAUUGGUUCGUUACUAAAAUCAUCUCGGGGAGGACGAGGUGAGUCACGGCGAGGAGAUUGAUCCCUCCGAGGAGAACGUGAGUCGCGACGAUCGCGACGAGGAGUUAAUCUGAAGGAAGCGACGGAUCGAGCUCCCUCGGUGCUGCCAUCAUCAACCAGCAAGGUCCUACUGUAGUCCUUCUUGUCUAUAGAAGUCGCGAGAAACUUUUUCUUCUCCUCGCAAGCCUCAGCCAUCGGCUUGGAAAGCAACUUACGCUUGGCCGCAAGGGCCCGAGAUGACAUUCCCUGAGUUGAGGGAGGAGGCGGAAUCUGGUGAAGAUGACCAGGUGGACUCAUCCUGAGUCUGUGGUUAGCUUCUAGGAAUCGUUCAAUAGUGAAAGAAUUCCAAAGGGUUUCCCCUUCAAGAAUUAUUUUGAAGAAUUCGAUGAACUCUUCAGAUGGGAGAGUGGAGGCGACGAAAGCUGCGAAAUGAAACAACGUUGUUAGUCAAUAAAGAUAAAGAAACAACCGGGAAAGAUACGGGCGACCUAAUCACUACCGGGUUUCGCAGACCACUUCGAAGGGAGAAAAUCUGCAAGAUUUCCAAUCGAAGCGGGAGUUUUCUUAAUCAGAAACCAAGGAUGAUGCCAAUUUUCAUCCUUGUUCGGAAGAUGUGAAAUGAUGUUCCUGUUGGCAUUAGGAUAUGCUGAGAAAUACCCCGUUUUCUUCGAUGAACUUCUCACGCUUAGAAGCUCAUUUAGUUCAGUAACUCCGACAACGUAACCGGCCUCCGCCGCGAUUGUUAUAAUUCCAAGAAUAGUACGGAGGAGAUUGGGGGUUAAUUGAGGAAGAGCGAUUUCAAGAGCCGCUAGGUAUAGAACUAGGGCUUCGGGAAGAGGAAAGGUCAGCCCGCAACCCUUGAAAUAAAUCUCGUACACACAGAAGUAACCAUCGCGAUGGUUCUCUGGGGAUUCUGUGGGGGAAGCUAUUUGUGCUUCCGCCAUGAUUUCCGGCGGAAUCCGGCAAAGCUCUCUCAACCGCUCGAGGGAUUGAAGAGUACAAGUGGACCUAUAGUGCGGACCGGCAAUAUCAUCAGAGCAGGUGCACUCAUCAUUGCUAGAACGCCUCUCAUCGAAAGACGGAGACUCGGGUCUAUCAGAAUCGGAAGUCAUUGGGAAGAAGGAAAAAAUUCAAGAUCCGGCGAAGAGGGGUUUUUGUGAACAAAGAGAGAGGUUCCGAUUAAAGUACAAAAGAAAAAGAAGAGAGUAAUGGUGAAAAGAAGUUACCUCAAGCUAAUGAUGAAACCGCCUCAGAAGUUGUGUGGGAAGUGGGAAGGUUUUUUCCCGUUUUAAUAGUAAUUAAUCAAUAUACGGUCAUAAUGAUGACAUAUGUCACUGGGUUAAAAAUGGCUAGUGCCGAAAUUAAAGGAGUGAUGAGAUUUUCGGCGGGAAAUCAGAAAGAUUCUCGAGCGCAAUCUUUGGCCACUUGAGCAUUUAAAGUCCUCCGAAUUGGAAUAGCACUUCGAAGAACUUGGGGGGCUAAUUGUUGGUGUCGGAUCCCGCACCAGAAGUCCGAGACCAACCAAAGAUUGCCACGUAGUCAAGAUAAUGGCCCAUAAGGGAUAAAGCCCAUUGGACCCAUGAGCCGAAGGAACGGUCGAGGUGGUUGUCACCACCUCGAGAAUUCGAAGUGGCUGCACUGAGACACGAGUUCGGUGUGAAAGAAGCGGGCAAGUCGGUUUGGGGACGCUUGGGCCAGAAAGGCGAGGCCCAUGAAGAUCAGAGUCAACUCAAAUUCAAACGUUGAGCAUUAAAGUCAAAGAAUCAAAACGGACACAUUUAAGAGGGAAUAAUUGUACUUAAUUAUUCAUUUUAAUGUCAAUUCUCUAUGUAUAAAUAUAAAGGUCAAUGGCCAUGUAAAAGGAUCUUCCUCUCAAGAAAGAAAUAUUAUAGCAAUUUUUGUAACAAUUCACAAGCUUUUACACAUUCAUUUUUGUCCCUCAAGAAUAAUCUUUCCCACUUAAUAAAAUACUUGAGUGUGUGAAUCCGACAUCCACAGAAACUAUUAAUCCAAUAGGUGUUUCUGAAGAUGAAUGGCGCGUCCCAAAGGUUGUUGAAUCUGCAAAAGUUUUACCACCUGAAACACGAAGACAACCUGGUAGACGAAGAAAACGAAGAUAUGAAUCAGCUGAAGACAAGAUAAAAGCAUCACAACAGUCACAAUUAUCAAAAAAGCAUAAGUGCGGUCGUUGUGGUAAAGAAGGCCAUAAUCGAGUAACAUGUGAUGUAGCAAUAUAAGGUUUGUGAUCGUGAUCUGACUACUAGUUUAAAACUUAAGUAUAGAUUCCUUACUUUUAUAUUUUGUUUUGAUAAUUGUUUUCUUUAUCUUUUUCAGGAUUAUGUUGCAACUGCUCUCAUUGAACGUUUCUAGUUACCACUAUAUGGAUUUUGAACUUCUUUCUCAUUUCAUGAUUAUUUUCGCAUUUUUUAUUUCAGAUUUGAAUUUCCUAGUACUCUAUGUUUGAAUUUUUGUUCUCAUAAUUGGAAUCCCUACUACUCUUAUGUUCGUGGUUUUGCUUUGAGUUUCGGAUUGACUUAUCACAAAAUUAAGUAUAUACAGCAUAAGUUCCAAGACCAAUUUAACAUAAUUUAAAAAGAAACGUAAGAACCAUAGUCUCAACCUACCAAGUAGGAAUUUUCAUUUAGUUUAUUGUUUAUCGAUGAGGGAAGUUGAUAUGUUGUGUUUUUAUCGAUUUUGAGUCUUUUGUUUUCUUUCCUACAUCAUAUGUUUUAUAGAUUCAAAGUGUGUUUUUAGAGUAUUUUAGUCUUUUAUCGAGUCUUUACAGGUUUUAGGAUGCUUUGGAGGAAAACAAGCUGUUUUGGGUUAUAAACACACUUUUGGAGAUGCAGUUUCGUUUAGAAGUGUCAUACGUUUGGUCUCAGAUGGAAUACUUCACACCUUUAGAUCUUUCUGAAUUUUUGUCACAAGCUAGAUGAAGAUGUUAGCUUGAUUUUCCAAGUUUUUUGAAGGAAAUCUAACGGUGCAUUCAAGAGUUAUACCUAAAUUAGUGAAGAUAGGUCAAUCUAGCGAAAGAAUGAGGGUAUCUGAAUUAUGUAAAUAAAAUAGGAAAUAAUUUUUUAAAAAAAGUUGUUUCCAGAACAAUACUGUUAAAAUUUAAAACUAAACCUAAAAGAACAUAAACAAUGCCAAAAGCAACAUCUUCAACAUUAAUUGCCUCGUCAUAAAUCAUACAAAAUAAGUCAUUUCAAAAAUAUGCUAAAUACUACUUUACGAUCUAAUCCAAGUUAUCAAAUGACUUAUUUUGGCACCUGAUGUUCAAAAUAACCAGACACUUUGGCACCUGAUGUUCAAUCUUAUCCUAUACUAUUGGCUGAGGAGUACACUUUAUAAGAUACCCUUAACUAACAUUCUCUUUUGUAAAAAUUUACUUAAAAAUACCAUUAGAUAUAAAAUUUCAAAGAGUAAAUUAAUUCAUCUCAUUAAAGAUAAACAAGUCAAUUUAUACAAUUUAAUUAAUUUAAUUUAAUUAUAAAAACGAAAAAUACAUUAUUAUUAUUAUUUUUAAAUGACCAAUCAAAAUGAAUAUAUAAGAUUUGAUAUCUAACUUACAUUAUUAAUUUGUUAUUAAUCAUUAUAUUUCACCUCUCAUCUUUAUAUGAUUCUAUUAUUGUGAAACAAAUAAAUCAUCAUAUCAUCCAUAUAAUAAUAAAAAAUAGAUUUUUUCCGCAUAUGCCAUGAUUUGAAUUUUUUAAAAAGAAUAUAAAUUAUUCAAUUUAUGAAAAAAAAAAUUAACGAGUCAAAAAUAUAGACUUGGAUGAUAUAUUUCUUUAAACCAAAAAUAAAUUCAACAAAAAUUCUGCCUGAAUAACGGGUCAGAAUUUGAGUAAUUAUAUUCAAUUUCAUAUAUUUUUUAAAAAUAUAUAAUUUUAUAUAGUACGAUAAAAUUUUAAAUAUUUUAAUUUGGAAUAUUUAAAAAUAGCUUUACUUGAUAUUUAAAAACAAAUAUCAUCAAUAUUUAAUAAAUAAAUAAAUUAAAAAUUAUAUAUACACUAAUUUGGUUUUCUUAAAACAAAUAUAUUUAAAAAAUAUUUAUAAUAGACGGUGGGUUAAAUAUAGGGAGACUCACAAAAAUGCCUUUUUUUCAAUACCCCUUUUCAAAACUGCCCCCUUUGGCUGUCCAUUUUUAAAAAUACCCCUUUUAUGUACAAAAUGACUAAAUUACCCUUCUUUUAAUAAAAGAUAUCACAAAUAUAUAAGGAAAUAUAACAAAAUUAGAUCCACAAAAUACAAAAUAUUUUUUGGCGGGAAAAGUGAUCCCGCAAUUUUUCCCGCCAAAACACUUGUAAAUCUUUUAAAACCUUUAAAAUACCUUGUAAAAUUUUCCCGUAAAAUUUUUCCCGCCAAAAAAUUUUCCCGCCAAAAUUUUUUUUUUGCGGGAAAAGUGAUUCCGCAAUUUUUUUGGCGUUAAAUUUUUGGCGGGAAAAAUUUACAAGGUAUUUUAAAGUUUUUUUACAGGGUAUUUAUAAGGUUUUAAAAUGUAUUUUAAAAGGUUUUACAACGUCUUUAUAAGGUAUUUAUAAGAUAUUAUAAGAUUUUACAAGCUAUUUUAUAAGGUUUUACAAGUUAUAAGGUUUUACAAGUUUUUUAUAAGGUUUUACAAGUUAUAAAUACCUUAUAAAACCUUAUAAGUACCUUGUAAAACCUUUUAAAAUACAUUGUAAAACCUUACAAAACACUUGUAAAUACUCCGUAAAACCUUUAAAAUACCUUGUAAAUUUUUCCCGCCAAAAAAAUUGCGGAAUCACUUUUCCCGCAAAAAAAUUUGUUUGGCGGGAAAAAUUUUUACGGGAAAAUUUUACAAGGUAUUUUAAAGGUUUUUACAAGUGUUUUGGCGGGAAAAUUGCGGGAUCACUUUUCCCGCCAAAAAAUAUUUUGUAUUUUGUGGACCUAAUUUUGUUUCAAAUAAGGGUAAAAUGGUCAUUAAAAAUUAACAGAGGGCAAACUUAAAAAUAGACUCUCAAAGGGGGCAUUUUUGAAAAGAGGUAUUGAAAAAUGAGCAUUUUUAACAAUUUCUCUUAAAUAUAAUGUAUUAUAUGAUGGAAUGAGUUAUGAUCCUUAUAACUAUUUGAAUAUUUAUAUUUAAGUUCAUACAAUUAUUUUUAAAAAAUUCUUAAUUUUAUAUUCUACAAUAAAAAAUAAAAAAAUAUUUUAAUUUGGAAAAAUUUAAAAAUAGUUUAAUAUAAUAUUUUAAAGAAUAUAAUAAAUAUUUAAUAAAUCAAAAGAUAAAAGUUAUAAAUACUCUAAUUUCAUUUUUCAAAGCAUAAAUAUUUAAAAUAUUUAUAGCAAGCAGCAUGUUAAAUGUAAUGUAUUAUAUGAUAAAAAGAGUUAUGAUCUUUAUAACCGAAACCAUGUUAAGAUUAUAGGAUGGGAUGAGUUAAAUAAGGUUUGACACCUCUAAAUAUUUAAAAUUUUGAUUCUAUAAGUAUAUAUGAAAAUAAUAAAUGAUGGAUUGUGCACACAAUUUUUUCAUUGAGAUUCUAAAAUAAAAAUAUAGGUACGCACGGGUUGAAUUUAAUCUUAUUAUAUACCAAAAUAUGUUUAUUAUAUACGCAAUUUUUUUCACUUACUACUAGCAUAUAUCAAAUACAUACGUUUUAUUUUUAACCAAAAAACCGUAAAAAUCGAACUGUAACUAAACCGAAUUACAUAUGGUUUCUAUAUGGUUUCACUUUCUACAAAACGAAAAAAAUGAUACUAAACCGAAAAACCGUACCCCACCACUAAUAUUUUCUCAUAAAAAAAAAAAAAAAAAAAAUCCUUAUAUGUCAUUGUAUUAUGUAAAAAAUUAUUAAAAUUGUACUAUAAAACAAAUAAUAAUCCAGCUUUAUAUAAAUAUUUAAAAAUUAAAAUUUCAUCCGUGCUGUUCCAGCACGGGUUAUGAUCUAGUUAUGUUCUAUAAUCAGAUCAAAAUGUAUGGGUUCCUAACUUUCUAAGUAGGUAACAAUAUUUAAAAUAACACUAUUAUAUAUGACACUUAUUUAUGAUUAUUGGAAUGUUAUUCAAUAAAAAUAAGUCAGAUUAAUACAAAAUAAAUUAAUUUCACAUAGUGUUUUUUUUUUAUUAGUAAAGAAAAAACUAACUCAAUUAAAUGCUAAUAAAGUAGAAAAUUAGCCUAAAAUUAACAAUCACCUUAUGACCAUUAAAUGUUUGUUAACUUUAUCUUAAAAUUAAUUAUUUUCACUAUUAUUAACAUAUAUUUUUAAAAAACUUGAGUGUUUUUGCUUUCAUUACAUCAUGAAUAUAUUAAAGUAAAUAAUCUAAAUUAAAUUAUUUAAAUAGAAAUUAUUUAUCGGUAAUUAAUUUAUUUUUUAUAACAAACAUUGUCUCAUACUUAACUUCCUUUACAUCAAGUCACAUGUUAUCAUUUCAUAGGUCCAUUAUUUUUGACUAAAAUAUUUAUUUAAACAUUAAUGACAAAUAAAAUUUCACUUCUAAUUAAGCAUUUACAAAUGUCAAAUUAGUGUAAUUAAAAUUACGUGUCACAUAGAGUUUCAAUCAAUUUUUCUCCGGUUUAAGCCGUCUAUUGUACCAAACCAUAUCAUUCAAACAGUGUUACAGCCUCGACAUUCAAGUGGAUUGGGUUUUGUAUUUAACCCGAACCAAUUCAAUUCAUACAAGUUGCUGGAUCUUGACUUGUUCAGCCCUAACCAUUCAAUCCUCUUCAAUAUUGAUCAUCAUAGAGACUCAUCAAAUGAAUUAGUUCGAAUAGAUGUUUAUACCUAAUUUUUCAAUAUUUUUAUACCUUGUCAUGGCCAUGCAAGAUUUGUGAUGCUCCUUUCAAAAAUUGAGCAAAACGCAACCAACCGAUCAUAUGUCAAACCUCAGGACUGUAUUUCAUUGAAUCAAGAAAUAUUUGCGUAUUAUAUAGCCCAUGUCCUAAUAAUUGUUAUUUUUAUACGAAUUGUGCUUGAGAAUUUCUCUGUUUUAAUUAGUUUUUAUUAACACUAUUACGUAUAUUCUGAGAAAUUACUAUUAUUAUAUUAGUUCUUUAAAUUAAAAUAAAAAUGCUACAUUUUUCUAAUUCGCCUAGAGCCUUAGUAUGCCUGAGCACGACAAUGUGUACAACAAUGUGAUGACCAGGUUCGUAAGAUGUUUAACGAUUGCCUCUAAAUCUUGAUCACGAUGAAGUGUCUCAAAGUCAGAACCCGUAUCACCAUCGGUAAAAUCAAUAUCCUUGGUAGAAAUUGAAUACCGACAAUAAUGUAUCUCAUCUUAUUUUAAUCCUUGGUAGCUUAUGUUUUCUAUUUGCUAUUCUGUCUUCAAAUACAAUUUUGAGCAUAUUGAAAGAGAGUUUAUGUCAAAGGAGAUCAUUGUGAGUGAUAGGUGUCGUCUCUACUCGUAUGAACUUGACCUUGUUGUUAAACAUAAAAGCCUCAACGCAUCUCUCAUUUUGUUUCAGUCUAAUUUAAGAUUUCAAAAACAAAAUUGUUGGCAUAACCAAAAACACAAACACAUCUCUCAUUUAAUUUAAAAACAAUAUACUACUUUCUAAGAACUAUAUCUCUCAAAUUUUAUCUCUAUAUUAAUAUUACGGAAGUACCUUUAAAAAACUAACCUUCCAUCAUAAAUAAAAUUUCGAAGACCAAAUUAAUUAAGUUUAUUAAUUAACAAGUCAAUUAACACAAGAUGCAUUUGUUAUUUUUUUGCGGGUAACGGAUCUUACAAAUGAGUUAUUUCCUAUUUCCUAAUCGAUAUACAUAAUAUUUUUAAGAUUUUCUUAACAAAAUACAGAAUAUUCUCUUAACAACUAUCUCAAUAUUAUGUUAAGAUUCCUUAAACAAUAUAUAGGAUAUUAUCUGUAGUUAUAACUAUAUUAGUUUUUAAUAAUAGUAUUGUACCACACAUAAUUAUAAUUAUAUAUUAAAUAAAACUUAAACCUUGAAUACAAAACUAGAAUUUAUCAUGCACUUAUUAUGAAAUUAAUAAAAUCAAAAACUAUAAAACAACAAAAAUAAGGUAUAAACGUGUUAUUUUCACUAUAAUAACAUCAUUUAUUUUUCAAUAUAAAUUUACAAUUUGUAAUUAAAAAAAUAUCAGCCUUUGUUGUUGCACAUGUAUAUGUCACUGUAAUAUGAAAAAAAAGGCUAAGUAAAUUAAAAAUAUAUAUAUAUAUAAUCAAACUUCUCUUAUUUGUCAUAAGUUUAAUUUGUUAAAAGAGUUUAUAAAAUAUUUGUCGUGUUUUCCUUACUACUCUUAUUUACAUCUAUAUCUUGCCCCAUCCGUGAUUAGACGAGCGUCACGAGCCUAAGAGUUGUGUUCGGGCGGGUCAACCGUUAAAGUAUCGGUCCGAACUAUUCAAUUUGUAAACGAACAAAAGUCAACAUGGUGACACGUGGCGUUCUUUUAUUAGUUAAUAAUAAAUUUUACAACGAUAACCUUUAUUUAUUAAUGGUUAGUGGCUGUCAAAAAAAAAAAAAUUUAUUAAUGGUUAGUUAGCAAAUUUACAACAUUUUUUUUUUUUUUUUUUUUAAAAAAUCAUGUUCUCGAAUUAGAAGAUUUUAAUUAUAAAUUUCCUAGAACUGUUUACGGAAAAAUGCCAAAAAGUUUCACAUGAUAAGGGGUUUGCGAUUAAAUAAAAGAAUAGACACAAAGUUUACAAUUCAAAAGGACCUCACAACAGUUGUUGUAAUAAGUUUCCUAAUUUCGUGGACAUAUUAUAAAUUUAUAAGUAUAAAACGUGGAAGGUUUAUGUAGGCAAAUGGUUUAAGUUAAACCACUAAUUAACCAGACACUUUGGCACCUGAUGUUCAAUCUUCUUCUGCUCAAUAAUCAAAUCAAAAUUAAAAUGUAUGGCUUCCUAACUUUCUAUGUACAGUAUGUGUAGAGGAACAAUAUUUGAAUAAAACUAUUAUAUAAGACACUUAUUUAUGAUUAUUGGAAAUGAAUGGACAAACUUUCUACAGAAAUUGUUAUUCAAUAAAUUUAAAUCAGAUAAAUACAAAAUUAACUAAUUAGUUACACAUAGUUUUCUUUAUUAGUAAAGAAAAAUUUAACUCAAUUUAAUGCUAAUAAAGUAGAAAAUCAACAUAAAAUUAACAAGCACCUCUUCACCAUUAGUUGUUUGUUAACUUUAUCUUAAAAGUAAUUUUUCACUAUUAUUAACAUAUAUUUUAAAAUAACUUGAGUGUUUUUAUUUUAUUUAAAUCAUGAAUAAAUGAUAAAAUAAAUAAUCUAAAUUAAGUCAUUUAAAUAGAACUUUCCAAUGGGAUAAUAUAUUUUCUUUUUAACAAACAUUGUCUAAUACAUACAUUUCCUUUAAAUCAAGUCACAUGUUAUCAUUUCAUUGGUCCAUUGAGAUUUUUUACUAAAAUAUUUAUUUAAACAUUAUGACAUAAAUAAAAUUUCUCUUCUAAUUAAGCAUUUACAAAUGUCUAAUUAGUCUAAAAUUAUGUGAAUAUGACGUUUCACAUAGAGUUUAGUUUAGAGACAAUAACUUGAUAAGUUAGAGUGUAAAAGGGAAAAGUUAUCAACUUUAAGUAAAAGAAGCAAAAGAUGGUAAAAGAAUUAGAUAUUUUCGGAUUUGUUAAAUUUGGAUUUUCCCAUUUUUAUUUCCAGAAAAUAACAAAAGUGAUUAGAAUCAAAAUGGGUUAUUUUUGGAAUUUACUGUUAAUUAAUGCUAAAUUAGCCUUAAUUACUUUACUCUAGAAAAACUAAUUUAUUCACUGAAGUAGAAAGAGAGAAGAAAUUAAAAGAAAACAGAAAAAAUAGGUGAAAAAUAUAAAAGAUGAAGAUUUAUGAUUUCUUCAUUAGUUUUUUUUUUUUUCUUCUAUAAAUUUGCUCAAAGGGUUUUAAUUUAAAGCUUUCACACAUAUCUCUCAAACUCUAUAAGAUACAAAUCUCUUUCUUUCUCUGAGAAUCUAUUCUUUGCAUUCACACUCUUGAGUCAUAUAGAACUCGUCUCUAGCUCAAGCAAGUGAAUGAUUCUUUGUUGCUACAGGAUUCUAUCUCUUGGGUUUCUGAUUUGAUUCAUCUCCGGUGAAAAUGGUACUUGUAAUUUUCUGGGUUUAUCACCGUUUCAAUACCAUUUGAGCGUUUCUUUCGUUUUGUUUUUUACUUUUUUUUGUUGUUGUUUCAAACGGCAAAUGUGUUAACUUUUGUUGGUGCAGAAUUGAAUGAUCUUCUUUUGAGUUUUUCUUCCAAAUUUUGUGUGUUUGCUUCUUCUGGGCUUCAUUUAAUUAUGCUCUGUUGUUUAUACAGAGAUUGAACAAUGGUCUUUAAGGUUUCAUCAUUUGUUGCUUUCAUGGUUAUUAUUAAAUUCUCUUUAUUCAGAAACCAAAGUUUGUGGGGUCUUAGUUCUUGGACUAUUGAAUGCUGUUUGUGUCCUCUCACAUAGUUUGAAGUUUUUAUAUUUCCUAAUGGUAGUAUGUAUUUGAUUUGUUGGUUGUUCUUCAGGCUUGUUCUACAGUUAAAGUUGGCUCAAUUGUUUGGGUGCAAGAUCUGGAGGAGGCAUGGAUAGAUGGUGAAGUUGUUGAGGUUAAUGGAGAAGAUAUAAAGGUCAAAUGUACCUCAGGGAAGACGGUAUGUAUAACCAAAUUUAGAUGUACUUGACUAUGCUUAAGGAUGGAAUCUGUAUAUGUUUGUCCCUGAUAUGUUAAUGGGUUUGUUUCUCAUAACUUUCUGUUGAAUUUUUUUUCAGGUUGUUGUCAAAGGUUCAAACACAUAUCCAAAAGAUAUGGAAGCUCCACCUUCUGGAGUGGACGAUAUGACAACGCUAGCGUAUUUACAUGAACCAGGAGUCCUACAAAAUUUGAAAUCAAGAUAUUAUAUAGACGAAAUAUAUGUGAGCUUCCUUCUGUUCGCUGGUUUUUCUUUUUCUUUUUGCUCUGUAAGAUUGGCCUAAAAAUUGCUUUCUUUUUGCUUACUAGACUUAUACAGGAAAUAUUUUGAUUGCGGUAAACCCAUUUAAACAACUACCGGAUCUUUACAAUGACCAUAUGAUGGCACAAUAUAAAGGAGCCGCGUUGGGAGAAUUGAGUCCCCAUCCGUUUGCAGUUGCAGAUGCAGCUUACAGGUGCUUGCCAUUCAACUUUGAACUCUUGUUCCAUUCAUCAUUGGUUGAUUCCUGUUUGACAUUUUUGGUUUCUUGUUUUCUGUUGGGUCUAGACAAAUGAUUAAUGAGGGAAUUAGUCAAUCAAUCUUGGUAAGUGGUGAAAGUGGAGCAGGGAAGACUGAGACUGCUAAAAUGCUUAUGAAAUAUCUGGCGAAAAUGGGAGGUCGAGCUGUUUCUGACAGAAGGACUGUCGAAGAUCAAGUUUUGGAGGUAACUAAUGGCAAAGAUUUUAUUAUAGACCUUGUGGAUUGUCAAAGACUGGAUUUGUAGAGUUUAGUAAAAGAUCAUUCUUUGACAUGAAUGGUUUAUGUUUUCUUUGUGAGCAGUCCAAUCCUGUUUUAGAAGCAUUUGGAAAUGCAAAAACCGUCAAGAACAACAAUUCAAGGUGAAUGUAACACAGACACACAUGCACACAAACUCACAAUUUUUCAUCACUUAACAUUCAUUGACCAAAUAUUUCAUCACUUUUUCAUUAUCAUGCUGCAGUCGAUUUGGUAAAUUCGUUGAGAUUCAGUUCGAUCAAAGGGGAAAGAUAUCAGGAGCUGCUAUCAGAACGUAUUUGCUAGAGAGAUCACGGGUUUGUCAAGUGUCAGAUCCCGAGAGAAACUAUCACUGUUUUUACAUGCUUUGUGCUGCACCGCCAGAGGUACAUAUGGCUUUUCUUUCUUUUCUAACAUGCCAAGAGUUGUCAGAGAUUCUUCUAUCUGGAAGCUUCAAUAUUUGAUAUAUCCAUCAAUCAUCAGGAUACACUAUUCACGAACAACUAUUUUGAUAAAUAUUAAAAAAAUUCCAUUUAUCUUCAGUCUCUUGUAUCCUUGUUCCCAUUUACUGAAAGUUUGAAAACUGCAUUGAAAUUUGGCAGUGUUUUCUAAGCCCAAAUCUCUGAAAACUAUUGUCCUGAUGCUUCUCAUUUUCCUUUCAUUAUUUGACAGGACAAAAGAAAACUAAAGUUGAACGAUCCAACAGAAUUCCGUUAUCUGAAUCAAUCUCAUUGUAUUAAGUUAGAGGGGGUGGAUGAUUCGAAGGAGUAUACUAAAACCCGAGAAGCAAUGGGCAUUGUUGGGAUAAGUUUAGAGGAGCAGGUAGUUUUCUUACCCUUCUCUUAGUAAAAAUGGUGAUAUUAGUGUAUGAGUGUAUUUGAUAUCACUUUCUUUUCAGGAAGCUAUAUUUCAAGUUGUGGCAGCUAUUCUUCAUCUAGGUAACAUAGAAUUUGCAAUAGGAGAAGAACCAGACUCCUCAGUUCCAACUGAUGAGUCUAAGAAACACCUGAAGAUUGCGGCUGAGCUUUUCAUGUGUGUAACUAACUGAGUUGAAUUUUAAUGUUAAAUGCACCCUUUCUGAUACUUGGUUUAUCGAAUAUGUGACAAUGUGAAAAUAACUCAUUCCUGAUUCCAUGAAUUUCUGCAGGUGUGAUGAGCAGGCACUGGAAGAUUCUCUUUGUAAACGUGUAAUGGUGACACCUGAAGAAACAAUUUCCAGAUGUCUGGAUCCAAAUUCUGCGGCACUCAGCAGAGAUGCCUUGGCAAAAUUUGUCUACUCAAGAUUGUUUGAUUGGUAUAUAUAUAUAGUAUUUCAUAUAAUUUCUUGCAGCUGGAUGAUUCUCUUACUUGUUUCCAAAAGUUACUUUCAAUACUGUUUGCUAACUUUUUUUAUUGCUCUUGUAGGAUCGUAAACAAGAUCAAUAAUUCAAUUGGGCAAGAUCCUGACUCAAAACACAUGAUCGGAGUGCUGGAUAUAUAUGGGUUUGAGAGUUUUAAGACAAACAGGUGCUUAAUCGGUAUGCCUUAUGUUUGGUUAAUGCAAUGAAACCGGUUUAGUGAAAUACGAUGGAACAAAGGCUCACAUGAAACAUCAGGCACAUGCCAUGAAUCUCUUGUUUUGGAAUGGGGUACUAAAGUCACUAUUCUCAUUGGUAUUACUGUAUAUCAAGUAAAUGGAAAAUGGGAGACUUUUGACUUUUGGAAUCCUUUAUUCAUAAGACAGUGUUUGCUUUUGUUAAGAAUAUUUUCAUUCUGAUAUGGAAGAAAGGUGAAAAUUUUCAAGUGCAUGUUGCUUUUGAUGCAUACUAAUGCAUGGUUUUUUUCAGUUUCGAGCAAUUUUGCAUCAAUUUGACAAACGAGAAACUUCAGCAACAUUUUACUAAGGUUUGUCUGAGGCCUGCUCCUUCUUCUGAUAGUGUCUUUUUAUUCAGCCUUACUCCUUUCUUAUCCAUGACACUUUUUCUGGGCAGCACGUCUUGAAAAUGGAACAAGACGAGUACAAGAAAGAAGAAAUUGAGUGGAGCCACAUUAAUUUCCCAGAUAAUCGAGAUGUUUUGGAACUUAUUGAGAAGGUAACCAGUUUCACUACGAUUUACCUGCGCGCUCUUAGUGUAUAGUUUCCAUUUUAAGUCAAACUCGCAUGUUCAUCAUUGUCUUCUUACGUUUCAGAAACGUGGUGGUAUUAUCGCUCUUCUGGACGAGGCUUGGUAAGCCUAAGAGCUUAAAUUGCUAUUAUUCCGCAUAUCUUGUCUCUCCUUUGAUUUGAAGUUGUAUACCUGUAUCUUGCAGCAUGUUCCCAAGAUCAACACAUAAAACAUUUUCUCAGAAGCUGUACGAAACAUUGAAAGAUAACGAGUACUUUAGCAAGCCAAAAUUAUCUCGAACUGACUUCACAAUUUGCCACUAUGCUGGUGAUGUGAGUAAAAUACCUGUUUUAGCAUUUAUAAAAUGCAAUCAUGUCCUGAAAUACGAGUUGUUUAUAUAUAUCCUAAAAAUAUUGAGUUAUCUUUUCAGGUCACUUAUCAGACCGAGCAGUUUCUGGAAAAGAACAAAGAUUAUGUUGUUGCUGAGCAUCAGGCUCUGCUAGGUGCUUCUAUGUGCACUUUUAUUGCAGAUCUAUUUCCUCCUCUAAUGGAAGAUGCUAACAAACAGUCAAAGUUCUCUUCUAUAGCUUCACAAUUUAAGGUGCCGUUAAAUGAGAUAGUUUCUAUGUAAAAAUCGCUCGUUCCAUCACAGGAUUACUAAAUUCACUGUCUUACUUUAUGCAGCAACAAUUGGCAUCAUUGAUUGAAGGUCUUAGUACUACUGAGCCUCACUAUAUUCGUUGCGUGAAGCCCAAUAAUCUCCUGAAGCCUUCUAUCUUUGAGAACCAAAAUAGUCUGCAACAGCUACGUUGUGGGGUGAGAUUUACUUACAUUUUUGGUUUGUCUGUGCACAUUUGCUUGUUAUUAUUCUUUGCGAGUUUAAAAAUACCGUGUAAGCAUAAUUUUAGGGUGUGAUGGAGACAAUCAGGGUUUGUCGUGCUGGAUAUCCUACACGAAAACAUUUUGAUGAAUUCCUGGACAGAUUUGGUAUCCUAGCUCCUUCUACUUUGGAUAAGAGGUUUGCCUCUCUCAAUUCAGAGGUUGAAAGCUUACCCAAUACUGUAUUGAAAUUUCUGACUUUUGGCUUGUUCCUAUUAGUUCUGAUGAGAAAGCAGCGUGCAAGAAACUUCUGGAGACAGUUGGACUCCAAGAAUACCAGGUACUUAUAUUGUACACAUCAUGUUGAAUACUUUUCUGAGCAGCCAAGUUUGGGAAUUUGAUGAAUCCUUUGUUUGAUUUAUCCUGAUUUUAUGUGGAGCUUAAUAUGUUCUUGUUUUCACAGAUUGGAAAGACAAAGGUUUUCCUCAAGGCUGGGCAGAUGGCUGUGUUAGAUGAUCGGAGAACUGAGGUAUUAGGAAGAGCAGCCUGCAUUAUCCAGUGGAAAUUCCGCUCCUACCUGACCCGCCAAAGCUUUAUUAUGCUCCGCAACGCUGCAAUAAAUAUACAGGCUGCGUACAGAGGUAUCUAAAAGUUGUAGAGAAUAUAAGUUAACUUAACCAUUCAGACGAAUAAAUGUGACUGUUUCAUUUAUUAUCUGCUUUGUUAUCCAUCAUUAACAGGUCAAGUUGCUCGAUAUAGAUUUGAGAACUUGCGCAGAGAAGCUGCUGCUUUGAAGAUCCAGAGAGCUUUGCGGAUCCACCUUGAUAGGAAGAGGUCUUACAUUGAAGCUGUUGUUACAGUUCAGUCAGGUUUGCGCGGUAUGGCUGCUCGUGUCGUACUACGAAGGAAGACCAAGGCCACAACUGUGAUUCAGGUGGAGAAAUCUUUUUUUAGUGGAAAAAUUAAUGGAACAAAAAAUGUCGCUUCAUUUGUCUUUUCAUCUUUGAGCUUCGCAGGCUUUUCUCAUUCGUCAAAAUCUCUUCUAGACUCUGAUUUUUAAUUUUUCAUUGCAUAUACCAGAGCCAUUGCCGUAGACUCCAGGCCGAGUUGCACUACAAGAAGCUGAAAAAAGCAGCAAUUACGACACAAAGUGCAUGGAGAGCAAGGCUAGCCCGUAAAGAACUGCGAAAGCUUAAGACGGUGUGCUUUUCUACCUCUCACUUCUGUCUGUAUCUGUUUAUUUUUUACGUUACAUUCUAAGCAUUUCACAUGGAAAUUGUUACACCUGAGAUAAUGUUUGGUCUUUUGAUGAGUUUAAACAAUGGGAUUAGAUGAGUUUACAUGAUGUAACUAGCAGCUGGAAAUUGCCCUUUCCAUUUGAUUGUCUUGAACACAGAGACGGAACAUGCACGCUUUUUCCCAAAAAUGAAAAGCUGCAGCAAUGAUGCCUUCAUAUUUCCUGCAGGCUGCAAGGGAAACUGGAGCCCUUCAAGCUGCCAAGAGUAAGCUUGAGAAGCAAGUGGAAGAACUCACAUGGAGACUGCAGCUAGAGAAACGCAUGAGGGUCAGAUAAAACACAGCUCUUUAUCUUUUUCGGUUUUUCACCCAUCCUCAAACGUUUUCUUUUCUCUUGAUUCUGAUUCAACACAUCCUUCACCUCUUUUGUGGCUUUUACAUUGUAGGUGGACGUGGAAGAAAGUAGAGCCCAAGAAAACGCAGAACUGCAAUUAGCAUUGGAAGAAAUACAACUCCAGUUCGAGGAAACCAAAGUGUCGCUCUUAAAGGAAGUGGAAGCUGCGAAAAAGACUGCAGAAACUGUUCCUGUAGUAAAGGAGGUUCCUGUUGUUGACACCGAGCUAAUGGAGAAACUCACAAGUGAAAACGAAAAACUCAAGGUAGAGAGUUUGCCUAUUAUAUAUUUGUCUUUUGCUUCUUACUAAGGAUUUCAAAGCUGUGGAAAACAAAGAAAUAUUUAAAAUUUCAUUUCUCUUUCAUAUGCAGUCCCUGGUAAGUUCGCUGGAGCAGAAGAUUGAUGAAACAGAGAAAAAAUUUGAGGAGACAAAGAAAAUUAGUGAGGAGAGGCUGAAGAAGGCUUUAGACGCUGAAAACAAAAUUGAUAAUUUGAAGACCGCCAUGCACAAGUAUGCACUAUUGGUCUUUUGACUAUUGAAUUUCCUCAGAGAUAUUAAGGCUUUCUUUAUCCACUGACAGUCAACAUAUGUGCUUUUUCUCCAUUGCAGUCUUGAAGAGAAAUUAAAGGAGGUGAAAUUUGAGAAUAACUUUUUGAAGGAAUCUGUCUUAACCACUCCUGUUAAGACAGCAUCAGGACGAUUCCUUUCUACUCCAUUAAAGGUAGACAUGCCCAGAGAAAUAUUUGGAUGUCUACAUCUGACUCUCUCAAUCAUCCUAAUUAUAAUAUUGCUCUUAUUUUGUGCAGUACUUGUAAAUUAUGUCUUUCCUUUUCUGUCUACUUUUAUUUGAAGUUCUGCUCCAUUUCUUAAUAUAUCUAUAAAAGCCGUCUUUGCAGGGAGCGGAGUUUACAACACCGCCAAGGAUACAAGAAUCAGGAUCUGACACUAAGUCAAGGGGAUCCCAUACUGAUCCUCAACAUGUAUGUUGUUUCGUUAAAUUACUCUUUUAUGUGCCUCUCAUCUUUAGUAUAUCCCCUCUUUGGUUGAAGAGAGAUUUGUUGUUUUUUUCGAAAAGGAGGAUGUCGAUGCCCUUAUCAACUCUGUCACAAAGAAUGUUGGAUUCAGCCAGGGGAAGCCUGUAGCGGCAUUUACCAUCUACAAAUGUCUUCUUCAUUGGAAAUCCUUUGAAGCAGAAAGAACCAAUGUCUUUGAUCGUCUCGUUCAAAUGAUUGGUUCUGCUAUAAAGGUACUAAAAUGAGAUGCUGUCUUGUCUACGUCUGUAUAAAUCUGGUUAUUAUCAGAGUUGAAUGAUUAGUGAUUCUUAUUAUCAGGAUGAAGAUAACGACACAAAUUUGGCAUAUUGGUUAUCUAAUACGUCAACCUUAUUAUUCAUGCUCCAACAAAGUCUGAAAUCUGGUGGAACCGGGGCCACUCCACUUCGACAUUCACCUUCCUUAGUCCGAUGGAUGACCAAGGUAAAUAUACUCUUCUUUUUUUUUUUUUUUUAAUAAUCUUGUGUUGAUGAGUUUCUGCUCCAAAAACUAAACAAUCCUUACCUUAUAUUUUACAGGGUUUCCGUUCUCCAGCGGCUGAAGCUAUACGACCAGUUGAUGCCAAGGAUCCAGCUUUGCAUUUCAAGCAGCAACUUGAAGCAUAUGUUGAAAAGAUUUCUGGAAUCAUUUGGGAUAACCUGAAAAAGGAGUUGAACACUGUCCUUGCUCUCUGCAUCCAGGUGCUAUGAUCCACAAUGCUUCUCUACUUUCAUCUUUCCUUUGUAUGUAUGUGUUGUAAGCUGACAUGAGAGAAUCUUUCUAGGCACCAAAAACAUUUAAGGGGAAUGCGCUAAUAUCUAUAACCACUGCUAAAUACUGGCAAGACAUUAUUGAAGGCCUCGAUGCACUGCUAAGCACACUAAAAGAGAGCUUUGUAUGUGAAACUCGUUUCCACUCACUGCUCUUAUCUUUCUAAAUGUCAAGAAAUUCUUAUAACUUAUUAUUGUUACAGGUUCCUCCGGUUCUUAUCCAAAAGAUAUUCUCUCAGGCUUUCUCACUCAUCAAUGUCCAACUAUGUAACAGGUGAGAAAUUGUUAUUGUCUAUAUGAAAUAUGCAUCUCUAUGAUAAGCAGACUCUAAUCGACUUCGUCUUUCAUAUAUGCAGCCUUGUCACGCGUCCAGAUAACUGUUCAUUUAUCAAUGGAGAAUAUCUAAAAUCUGGUUUAGAAAAGUUAGAGAAAUGGUGCUCCGAAACAAAAGAAGAGGUAUUCCCAAGUACAGUUUCCUUUCUCUUCUUUCUUUAUCGUCAAUUGGGUUUAUACAUAACACAAUAUCUCUUCUGAUAGUAUGCUGGCUCAUCCUGGGACGAACUCAAGCAUACCAGACAAGCUGUUGGAUUCUUGGUAUGUUUGAAAUUAGGAAAUGUCGUUUAAGCAAAUUAACUUAAACUUUACUUGAAUCUAAGUAAGAGUUUGCGUUUCUCACGUAUUUCCCCCUUGCAUUUGCGUCUACAACAGCUCAUCCAUAAGAAAUACAACAUCUCAUACGAUGAGAUUGCAAAUGAUCUGUGUCCAGUAAGUCUCUCUAUCAACCAACUCUUUUAGCGAUAACUUGGUGAACUUUGACAUUGUGAUUAUGCUUACACCAGUUUUCCUUCUCUCAGAACCUUCAAAUACAGCAGCAUUUUAAACUGUGUACUCUGUACAAGGAUGAAAUCUACAACACAAAGAGUGUUUCCCAAGAUGUAAGCUUUCUGAGAAAAUAGUUCUCUUCUCUUGACAUAUAUUCUCUUUAAGAUCAUCUGCUCUAGUAGUUUAAUGCUCGCUCAUCAAUCAAUAGGUAAUUGCAAGCAUGACAGGAGUUAUGACAGACAGCAGCGACUUCUUGUUAAAAGAGGAUUCUAGGUAAGUGUGGCUUUGCAUCUAUCUUUUGCUUCGAUGAUUCAAAGUCAUGAUGAACUUUUUCUUACUAGAAACUAACAAAACCGUUCGUUUUGGCAACUCGCAGCAACAUCAUUUCCUUCUCGAUCGAUGACUUAUGUAGUUCAAUGCAAGAUAAGGACUUUGCCCAAGUGAAACCUGCUGAAGAACUUCUGGAAAAUCCAUCUUUCGUUUUCUUACAAUAGUAAUUCAGAGAAACCAAAACUGCCACCCUUCAAGAACACCAUCCAAAAACAUGAAGAAGAAUCUCAGAGAAAAUAGCUGCGAAGAAAUUUUUAGAUUCGCCGAUUUGUUUAUUUGUUUAUCAAUGUAAUUCUCUAAUCAUCCCAGAGAUUUCAUAAAGAGUAUAUAUGUUGUUUUGCUGGGAGUAAACAAAAAGAGACAAGCUUGGCUAAUUGGUUUGUUCUUGUUGGUGUUGUGCAGUCUUUCUCUCUUUUUUUGUUUAUGUUAUGGUUUGUACAAAAGGAAAAAAAGUUAAUAGAAAAAAAUGCAUAAUUGUUUUUUUUUUUUUUUUUAAUUUGACAUUUUCUGUCUUUAUUUGUUUUCAUACUUCCUACUGCAUUUUUUCAUUCUUCAGAUUUGGAAAUCUCAUCACAUUCACAAAUGUAUGUUCACUCUUUUCACCAAAAAAAAAUGUUUGUUCACUCUAGUCCGACGAUGAGCGGAUGAAUGACCUAAAGUUGGGCCUUAAAUAUGACUAUAAAUGGGCCUUAAGGUAGGCCCAUUUAUAUAAAGGUGAGCCCAACAAUAGUAAAAGCUAGUGUUUGUAUCAGUAGACAAAUGGCUGCUAAUAUCAGGCAAAUGUUGUACCUUUGUCUCAUCUCCUAUUAUCUUCGAUCGGUAAUUUUCUCAUUAGGGUCUCUCUGUUUCUGGGCAAUUUUUCUGAAUCUCCGCCGUUUUGCUUCAAUACAGAUUUCUGGGAUUUCUUCGUUUUCUACCGGUUUUCUUUUUCACUCAGAACCUUAGAAACCCUAAUUUUGAUACAUUAACCUUCCAUCGAUCCGUGUACAUUAAAAAAGUUUGCUUUUUUUUUUUCUUUUCUAUUAUCGAUUCAACGUGUUUGAAGAUGCCUCCAAAGCAACAACCAAAGGCUGAUUUGGCGAAGAAGCAGAAACAAGUGGAAGACAAAACUUUCGGAUUGAAAAACAAGAACAAGAGCAAGAAUGUUCAGAAGUAUGUUCAGAGUCUCAAGCAAUCUGUGCAGCCUAAACCCGAUGCAACUAAAGCUGCAGCUAAGGUACACCCUUGAAUCUUGAAAUGGGUUUUGAGCUUUCUUGAUGGAUUUGAAGUUAGUUCGAUAGUAGAGUUAGAUGUUUUGAAUAUGUCUAAUGAGUGAGUGUGAGAGACAAAUCUUUUUUGAAUAAGUUCUUACAAAAAAAAAUGUUUUUUUUUUGGUGAGGACAGAAAAAGAAAGAGGAAGAGAAAGCGAGAGAACAGGAAUUGAAUGAGUUGUUCAAGGUAGCUAUUAGUCAGCCGAAAGUUCCUGUAGGUAUGUAUGUUGUUGUUGAUACUGUUUCUCUGGUUUGUUCACUUCUGUUUCGAUAGUAUUUAUUGAAUACGGUGUGUGGUUUUUGGCAGGUGUGGAUCCAAAGUCUAUACUGUGUGAGUUUUUCAAGGCCGGGCAGUGUCAAAAGGGAUUCAAGUGCAAAUUUUCUCACGAUUUGAACAUUCAAAGGAAGGGUGAGAAGAUUGAUAUUUACAGCGAUACGCGUGAUGAAGGUAAAAGUGCUUGUGUGGCACAAUGUGUCUUAUAUUUCCACCCCUUUGGUCCUUUGGAUGAUGGACUUAUUUUGCUUUUGUUUAUAUGGCUUUAGAUGGAGAUAUGGAUGAGUGGGAUCAAGAGACCCUUGAAAAGGUUGUGGAAUCAAAGAAAAAUGAAUAUAAUCAGAAUAAGCCAACAGAUAUCGUAAGUUGUUUCUCUUAUUUUCUGUUUCUCAGACUUUUUGUUGUAUACUUGCCGGGACAUGCUGCUUGAGGGCUUCCUGUUUCAUAAACACAUGCUUAUCAGUAGCUUUUCUCUUUUUUAAUGCACUGUGCAAAAGUCUGAACUGGUUUGUGUUCAAAUUUACAGCCUUUAACGUUUAUUAUGUGAACUGAUGCAUUAGUUUUGGUUGCAUUUGCUCGUUUUGUUGUGAUAAAGUUUUAGCUGAUAUGGAUUCACCUUAUGAUGUGCUUCCUUUAGCUAAUAGCACGGUUCAUCUUGGGAGCCAUUAGGGUCUAAGAUGUUAUUUUGCCUCCCGUUGUUCCCUUGUGUUUUUCUGCUCGUUUGGAUCAUGCUCACAUGAACUCAUGCUUUUGGUGAUGAUAGUGCUAAUCAUAAUUUGAAAAUAAUUUUUUCUUAACUAUAUAGUUAGCUAAUUCUAUGCUAAAAGAAGUAAUAUCCCUGCGUGUUAUCUCAAUAUAUCAUCUUACAUAAACCUAUCCUAAACACAUGAAUUAUUUGUCUCGCUGAGUUUAUUGACUUGUAAUUGUUUUUGUGUUUAAUGAUAUAUAAUAGGUUUGCAAGUAUUUUCUGGAUGCCGUGGAAAAGAAACAGUAUGGGUGGUUCUGGUCAUGCCCCAAUGGUGGCAAAGAGUGUCAUUACAGACACGCGCUUCCUCCUGGAUAUGUCCUUAAAUCUCAAAUGAAAGCCCUCUUGGAAGAGGAGUCAUCGAAGAAGCUGGCAGUUGAGGACGAAAUCGAAAACGAGGUUUAAUACCCUUCUGGUUUCCCAAUCCGGUCAUAGCUGCUAGGACCGUGUACUUGAUUUUUGAGACCCAUGUUUUCUUGUUCUAUGUUUCAGCGUGCAAAACUGCAAACCGCAACACAAAUGACUCCUGCACUAUUUAUGGAAUGGAAGAGGAAGAAAAUAGCUGAGAGAGAUGCCGGUUUGGCUGCUUCUCAAGCGGAGAGAGCUAAGAACGACCGUAUGAGGUAAUCCCAUUCAUCAUUCUGUUCCAUACCCAUCCAAUGUGACUCUGUUUUGUCCUUGUAAGCUGAUCCAUUGUGUGGAUUUGUAACCUCAGUGGUCGGGAGCUGUUUCUGUCCAAUGCAAGCUUGUUUGUGGAUGAUGCUGAGGCUUGUGAAGAAUACGAGAGGGAAAGAGAGCAGGAAGAGACUGAACAAAAGGUGAGCUCUCUCUCACUCACCAUUUAAACCAACCAAGUCAUGUUAAUGGAAUCUUGAGUUUUUUGCUUUUCAGGCAAAGAACAAAGAAACGGAGGCAGGGACAAGCAAGAGUAGUGGUGAUGCUGAACAGAGUUCGAAAGAAGUCAAUGAAGAAGAAGAAGAAGAUGAAGACGAUGAUGAUGAUGACCUAGACAUGGAUGAGCUGGAUGAAUUGGAAGCAAGCUUGUCGAAAACAUCGAUCCAGAUUCGUGAGCCAAACAAUGAAGGGUCAUCUUGAGAUGAAAAAUGGUCUAAGAGAAAGAGGUGGAGGAGGAGAGAAAGCACAUGUUUUGUUUUGUGUACUUUCAAUAGAUUGGAUUUUGCAGACACAAAUCCCAAUUUGGGAUGUUGAAUAAUCUCUGUUACUGUUUUAAAGUCUUAAAUGUCUCAUCAAAGAACUAGUAGUAUCUUUUUCUCCUAUCCUCUUCAUCUUUUUUUUGUUGUUGUUUAUGUUACAUGAUAUAUACUGUGUAAAAGUCUAAACUUAUUCGAUGAAAUACUACAAAAAUCUUUUAAAAAAACCUAGGCCUGGACAAAUAACCUAAACCGAAUGUAUCAAAUCAAAACCGAAGCAAAAAGAACCAAGCGAACCGAAAAUUUGAAAAUAUCCGAAUGGAUACUAAAUUCUAUAACCGAAAGAAUUGUAAUCGAAAUCGGUACCGAACCGAAAUAUUUCGGAUAGCCGAAAAUACUCGAGAUACAAUUAUAUUUUCAAAAAUAUUAGUUAUUUAUAGACAAAUAAUCAAAAAUACUUGAAAAUAUAUAUAAGAUAUGUAAAAAUACUCGAAAAUAACCGAAAAAUAUCCGAAAAUAUCCAAAGCAAAAUAACCGAAUGGGUACUAAACUUUUAAACCGAAAGAACCGGAAUCUAACCGAAAUUUCAAAAUACCCAAAUGAAAACUAAAUUUUAGAAUCGAAAGAACCGAAAUCGAAUGGAACCGAACCGAUAACCGAUCGCCGAGGACUAAAAAAAACAUAUUGAGUUUUAUUGGUAUUUAACACUAAAAAUAUCGCUGAUAUAAAAUGGGAACAAAUUCUCAGGGGCUCCUCAAGCUCCAAAUUUUGUCUCAAAUACUCCUCAAUGGUAGAAAGACAAAAUUACCCUUAAUGAGGGUUGAUUUCGGGUGAUAAAGGUUAAAUACAAUUAAAUCGGUAAGUGUUCAACGAAAAACACAAUAGCUCAGUGGUUGCGAGCUCCAUGCGCACGCGCGCGCCCCCAGGGUUCGAAUCCUUUUAUACGGGUUGUAACUGGUACAACUAGGGAAUAUUCGGGUACAACUAAGUUGUGGUACAACUAAGGUCUGGUACAACUAGGUGGUACAACUAAGGUCUGGUACAAUUAGGAGGUGGUACAACUAGGAUACCAGUUGUACCACCUAUACCUAGUAAAGGGGUAGUUAUGUGGAUUAGAGGAGAGUAUGUAGAUUAAUUCUUUGACUCUGAUGAGCAAUUGAGAUUAGUCUCCUAUAAAAUGAGGUAAAAGAGUUUGAGGGCAAAAUAAAAAAAGAAAGCACAUCCUAUUCCAUCGGAAAAUCGCCAUGGUAGCCGCAUCAGUUAACCUCGCAAACAUGACAUGGACGUCGGUAAAUUCAAAUCCAGCAAUCUCUUUCUCCAUGUUAAGCGGAAUCAGAAGCUUGGGCAUGUUACCUUUGAGGAGAUGUCUAAAGCCGACAGUAAUCGGAAUCGCGUCGUGGCCACCACAACGUUGUUCUUCUGUUAGGGCCAUGUCUUCAUUCGGAUCGACAUUGGAGGAGACUGUUAAAACGACUGUGGCAGAGAACCCUGUCGUUGUUUACUCCAAAACCUAUUGCUCGUAGGUUCACACUUGUUUAUAUUAUAAAUCACAAUGCUUUUUUGUUCAAUUAGAGUAAUGGGUUUUGUUUAUAGAUGACCUAGUUUGAUUUCCCGAUAUCAAUAUUGGUACUUUUGCUUAAAUUUGAAAUGGGUUUGUUCUUGUGGUGAAGAUACUCGUCUGAAGUGAAGUCCUUGUUCAAGAGUCUUCAAGUUGAGCCACUGGUUGUUGAAUUGGAUGAACUCGGUAUGCUUACAUCACUGCAGGAAAUGUUUGUUACAAGUACCUACCUAUUGUUUCAACAUUUAUAUACUAGAUGAAGUUGAUACUUGUUUCUUGUUCGUCUUCCGGUUGAUUUGGUUUCUUCAUGUUUCUGGAUUAGAUUGUGAUGGAGGAUUGAUGGUUAGGAAUGUCCCUUGAUUACAUUUUGGAGUUUCUGUUACAAAAAUUAGUUCGAGUAGUUUUGAUUGGACAAAAGAUUGGCUUGUUGAUGAAGAAUCAACGUGGUUAGGGUAGUACAUCUAAUGGCUUAAACCUUAGAUAUUGAAGAUACACUUGCCUUCCUUUGGAUCUUUGACUGUAUCUUUCUGUUUCUUACAAACUGUUAUCCAAUUGCUAUCUUUUUAGUAAUCUUAUCUCGUUUCAAGAUUUGGUGACUUUCCAUAAACAUUUGUUCUUUCUUGUCUUGUUUAGUUUUUCUGGGUAAAUCAUCUCUGCCUUCAUGAUAUUGGUCUGAAACAUUUACAAAUGUUUUGGUCCAGGUUCAGAGGGGCCGCAGCUACAAAAUGUGUUGGAGAAAAUUACUGGACAAUACACUGUUCCUAAUGUUUUCAUCGGUUAGUUCUUUCAUCAUUUGCGUCUGUUACUAACUACACUCUGAUAAUUUUUCUUGAUUCUUUGCCUGAAAACAAAACAUUCUCAAACACAAAACUGCGAUCAAAUCUUAGCCAUUGCAUUUGCUAUGACCAUCACUUAACAAAUCUGAUUUUGAUAUCAUGUUUUUGUUCAUGACUAGGAGGCAAGCACAUUGGUGGCUGCUCAGGUACACUCUCUCUUCCUCUCUUACCUCAACACCCAGAUUUUUCUAUCUCAUUAUGUAAAUGAGAUUUUCUUUGUGUAUAUUGGCACCAAGAUAGUACUCAAGAUCUUGCUCGAUGUCUUGUGAUUUUUCUGGUAACUUGAUCUGCAUAUCAUUAUUGUUGAACAGAUACAUUGCAGCUGUACAAUAAAGGAGAGCUGGAGGCAAUGUUAGCAGAAGCCAAUGGAAAAACCGGUCAGACCUAGAGAUUUUUACUGAUGAAACUGGUUGGUGAUUUCUUCAUGUUUCCUUAUUAAAGUCGAGAUGAUUGGUGUUUGAAUUCACUGUCUAUAUAGAGAUUUUCAAUAAGAAUCAUGUGUUUCUUUCUACGUGGUACGUAAUAAACAGUCAGUGAGUCAGGCCGGGUUCUGUUACUAAACCGGAGUUGCUAAGUUUGAUCAACAGUACUUGCCACUUGGAAUUUGCAAUCGAUUUUCGGUGGCUAAAUGCAUAUUGGAAAUCGAUCUUGAGAUUGUAAAAGAUAGAGAUGAAUUGUUGGUAAACUUUUUGGUACAUACGGUUUUGUUCAAGAUUACAAACAGACUAACUGGUUCAGAGAUAAACCAUGUCUCUCAUUUUACUUCUUCGACCUCGUCCAAUGCGUAGUUGUUGGUCGAUAUAUUCGCGUAAUUCACCUUCGAGAACCGAACCACAACCGGAUAUCGAGUCUUCGGGUCCUGUCAAUUUAAACCGGAGUGUAAGAUGAAACGAAAUCGAAUGUAAACUUGGAAAAUAGAUGCAUUACCUGAUCAACGGCCACAACUGAUCCAACGUUUUUGUACCAGUAGGAUUCUUUCCUUAGAAUCUUGACCUGUAAGUCCCCAAAAUUGUAUACAAAUUUCACAUUAGCCCCAACCCCAUAGCUCUUAAGAUGCCCUAAAAUAGACACAGAACUUAUUGAUGACACCCAAUUUGGCUGAAAUAUUAGUCCAAUCUUCUCUAAUAACAUCUAAUCAAACUUGAAUUUUCUUCUACCACAAGGAUUAUUAUUUCCUUAUAAUGAUCUACAGGGGCCAAAACUUCAUAUAAGUUUCACAUUAACCCCAUAAUUAUAAAAUUAUUCUAAAUAGUCCAAACUUGUCUAUCAAUUAACUCAAAAUUUCGAAGUAGAAACAUGCAUCAUAGAUUUUUUUUUUUUUUUUUUUUUUUUUUUUUUUUUUUUUUGACAGCUCAUGCAUCAUAGAUUAUGUAUGGAUAAGUGAAGAAGAGGUGACCUUGGAUCCUCUCUUUGGGCCAAUCGGAGGAGGUUUAGGUUUCGCGGCAGGAGCUUCCGCCGGAGCAGCGGUGGUGGAAGAACCCUCCGAUGAGGCGGUUGCCGGAGAUGCAUCUUCCGCCGCUCUGACUACUAGCCUCGAACCGAAGCUUCUCAUCGGCAAGAAAGACACAACGGUGGCGCUCUUUGAAGAACCGCCGCCUACUGCAGCCGGGGCGUUGGUCGUCAGAAUAAAUCCGGUAGCUGCUGACGUCAUCGCCAUCUGUGUGUGAUUGUUGGCAGUUGUGUGUGUGAUCCGAAAAGGCUAAGCAAAAAAAAAAAAAAGAGAAAAUGAAGACAAAAAGCUUUAGAUUGUUUGGGGUUAAAACGAAUCGUUUUCACCACUUGUGAUAUGACACGUGUGAUCACAUAUCAGUAUCAUCUGGAUAAUGUGAUGACGUGGUAACCUUUAAAAAUGAAAUACUUAAUUCGAGCAAAGAAUCUAUAAUUAGGGUUAAUUGAUUUUGCCGCCAAAAUUCAUUUCUCUAUCUUCUCCGAUUUCAAAUUCUUAUGAAUCGCCAUGGACGCGUUAUGUGAAAUCUCACCUUCCGCCACGAUUCUGUAGAACGAUAUCAGAUACUCGGUGAUGAGAAGAAGGAAUCAGCGAACGAAAGCGGACGAAACCCUAAAGAAGACCGAUCCACAAAUCGGAUUCAAGUUUACUGAUCCUUGGAGCUCUCGAGCAAAUUCAGGUAAUUUCAAAUCCUCGAUUUCGAUUUCGUGAGUGUGUAUGUUUGAAUUUUGUAUCCUUCUGGUUUAGAUUUGAAACGCAGGAGAAGGGUGAGUUUCGACGAUGUUGAUCAUCGGAGUCCCUUGAACGAAUAUCAGGCCGGAGGAUGUAAGUGUUCGCGUCUAGUUCACCUGAAUAAGCUUAGAUUUUUUAGAAUGUUGAAUUUGAUUGUAAAUCGCCUGGUAUUGGUUUUUUGCAGCGAUUGAUGCCAAGACCUCGGAGUUUGCGUUCUUUAACAAGUUAAAGUCUGGUUUUGGUCACUGCUCUGAAUCCUAUGAUUCUAAACCAUCAAAUAAAGUUCAGAAAAUUCCUAAAAUCUUCGAAUCUAGAGUCAAGCCAGUAGGUAAAAAUCCACAAAGGGUUUUUUUGAGCUUUUUCUUUGUGAUGAUGGUGAUAGUGUCUGCUUGGCUUUCCCCUGGAUUUUCAUCUCUACUGUUUCAUAAACCAGAACAUGCAGGAACGGACUGCGACGAUAAUGAUAGAUCCAAGAGCUAUAGCUUCUCCACACCCAUUCAUAGUGCCAGACGUGGGUCGUCUAUGUCACAUGCCAACUUGACUCAGAGGGAUAGAGGUUGUGCCACAUGAUAUAUAUAUGAUCUCUUGUCUCUCAUCAAGAUGCAUGUGUCAAUUUUGUUUCCAUUACAUGUUUAUACUCUCUUACAGGUAUUUGGGAAGUAGUGAUCCAUAAACAUUCUUCUGAUUUCUUUUUUUUUUUAGGAAGAGAUAAUGGGAAAUCUUCUUCAUCAUUCAGUGGAGAUAAGGACACAGUUCCAAGUGGUAACAACCUGAGAUCUGGAAGUGGAGGUACAUUUUUGAUAUCCUAGUUCUUAGAUUGAUCUACAUUUCAAAGAUGCAAAACAUACUAGUCAAAAAUUAAGAGAGAUAAUUUUGUUGUUUGAAUUAUCAGGAAUCAGUGAAGAGAAAGGAGAUAUAUUCUCUGUGAAGAGAAAGAAACUGCAUCAUUUGGUCAAAGAUACAUGGUUUUCUGAAAUCCCUGAGCUUACCUCAAACGGGUACGAAAUAGUUGUUAAUCUAUCUUAAUCUCAAUACUUGUUUCUAUAAUGCACUCAGAAAAUAAUCAUUUUUCAGGCAUGAUUUAGUUUCUAUACUCCUAACUCGGCUGUUCCCUAGUACGGAGGAGACACAGGUAAGCUUGAUAGAAUCCCUGAGUACUUGUCAAUUGCUUAUCUUGAUCAAUCCUAAGCACUUUUUAUUUCAUCUCAGCCUUCUAGGUUUUCCAAGGAGAGGACGGAUAGAGUUAAAAGAAGAACGUUUGUUGAUUCUCCUGGCUCAAAGUUUCUCAAGAGGUCUUAUGAAAGCUAUACAGAAGUUGACCACAGUCUGCAAAUGGAUAGGGACAGAUUGAUCUCUUGGCAGGGAUGGCUGGAAAAUAACAUUACCCCGAGGCUGCAGUAUCCAACAGGUCAUGUUCAGAGCAGUUUCAUCCCAAGAGAUCCCGAAGAGAUUAGCUUUCCCAUCUUAUAUCCUAAGGAAUCGGUUUAUCAACCUCUACUGUUGAAACAGAAGGCGUGUCUGUCGCUUCCUUUUGAAGAAAAUUUUGACUGUUCUCCCAUAUCUAGCCUCCAUUUUAGAAACUACAAGCCUCUUUCAAUGGAUUAUCACAGAGGAGAAACUGGAUACAGCUCAGAGGACUUAUCACACGAACAUAGAGAGCCUUCAUCGGCAUUACUUCUCGAGUGGAAUACUGAAACCGCAAGCACCAGAAAGACAGAUGAUUUUCCACUUAGUUAUCGCACAAGACUCAUCACGUAUCCAACUGCAUCAUCCUCAUCUUUGACAGAUAAUCCAUGGAACUCUGACUUUUCUUCAUCCCAUGAUUUGGUUACGAAAGAGCUGUACCCUUUACCUCUGCUCUCUCAUUACACUUCAGGCAGUUUCCUCUUACCAGCAACGAACCAUGCCAGCCAUUUUGAGCAUGAUGAACUCGAGAGGUAUAUUAUUGGUGACGAAGACGUGGUUGCUGCAAACCAGAAUCUCCACACAUCUCACCGCACAAAUAGCUCAGAUUGUUUAACAAGAGACUACAUAAACUAUCAUAAUCUUUCAAACUCUCCUGUGGAUCAUUGUCCUUUUAAAGUCCCUGGAUGUGAAAUAGUAUCCUUUCCAUUUUCCAGCAUCAGCAAUUCAAAUAUGUUGGAAGCGUCAAGUCCUAGACAGAGUGAUCGUUUUAAGUCUCAUGACUGGAUCCCCUCUCAGUUUCAGUCACCUCAAGUUUGGAUUGAUUCAUAGAGUGGCUAUGAGCUUAAGGCAGCAAAAGAAGAACUACUUGAACCGAGUUUGAUUGCCACAGGUCAGCAUCACUCUUACUUACUAACACUGAUUUUUGAAGAUUGUGUGGCAUGUCAUAGUUCUGCACUCCUUUAAGUAACACAUUUAUGUUAGAAGACAUAGGAAUCGAUAGUAUCAGAUCUUGUCCGAACUACAUUACUGAUGAAUUGAUUGAAAGAGGUGUAGAUGAACGAUAUGAAUCAAACCAACAUAGACUGAUUAUAUGGUUGAGAUGUUAAAAGAUCUUUAUACCAAAGUUAUUCAUGGGGACAUUAGUAAUUGGUCACCAUUCUUGACAAUUUCUUUGUUUUUGUUCUCUGUUUUUUGAUGAACCUCUUAGACCCUUCUCAACUACACCGAAGUAGUUGGAACUCAUUUUCUUAAAAAAAAAAAUCACUAAGAAGAUUGAGAAAGGUGGUAUUUAAAAAAAUGAAUAAUAGGAGGAAUGUAAUAUGUAAAUGCAGAUAUAUAUGGUUGGUUCUUUAAUAAUUGCUUUUCCCUAUUCAAUUUAAUUUGAUGGUACUUUUAUUUCACAUCAAUUAUCAUUACUCUCCCCAAUAAAUAUUGUAAUUAUGAAUUCUUUUGUGUGUAUGGUCAGCUGAAAAUCUGUAGUGUUUAAAGUUGUGUCCAUUGGAAAUUGAUUUUUAGACUGAACUAAUUAAUAGACAAUAUUACUUGGCUUACACAAUUUGGUUCGACAAAAUUUAUUUUAGUCAUGUAGAUCACAAUGCAUAUUCAAAAACAAGAAGCUUCAGGUUCCUAAACUAAAACUUCUUAAGCCUCUGCAAAAGAAAUUCUCGAGUGCAAUAUGUUUCUUGCUUUGACAAAACUGAUCCGAGACACUUAGAACCAUCUUUAAUGUUUAUGAUUUUGUCGCAACAAUCUUCAAUAUUCAAACUAAGAGAAGAAUAGUAACGCAUUAUCCCAAAAACAAAACAAACUAUAUAGAAAUUAUAAGUACAACAAAAACAGCUAGUUUCUUAACCCAACUUCGUGUGAAUGUACCACCACAUCAUUACCAUCUUCUCGUUUGCUGACAACUUCCUGACCCGAAUCAGUUAAUUUAUAUUUAUUUCUUAUAGUUAUACUCUUAAUUUUCAUAAAUACAAACACCCUAUAACCAAAAAUAACAGUUAGUUUGACCAAGAGGACAUAGAAUUGGGUCAAAAAGUUAGCUCCUACUUAAUGCAACGGAACCGAAAUUCUACGAACCGGUUGAAUAGUUGAAAGUUUGAUGGCCGUUUGGUUAUAAAACCCGGUUCGACGUGAUGUGAAGUCUAACCAGAGAAACGAGAAUCAAAGCGUGGAUAUGUGUCCACGUUGUCUACACUCUAUAUUGCUAUUAUGCUAUAGAAGGUUUUAUAGUUUUUAAUACUUUGGGAUAUAUAUGUUUGGCUGUUAUCUUUGGGAGAAUAGCAAAAAGUUUUCUUAUCGAAAUGUUAAGACUUAAGAGUCUUUAAGGGCAUGACUGGUUUAAACGCAGCGGUUGCAGUUGCGGGAGUUUGCGGAAGCGGGCGGUUGCGGUUGCGGGAGUUUGCGGAAGCGGGCGGUUGCGGUUUCAAGCGUUACCAAGCGUUUUGAACGACUGGUUUAGCGUUUGAAAAUGGAUGCGUUUGCGGAAGUUUUAUGACUGGUAAACCAGCGGGUGCGGUAGCAGUUAAAUAAAAAAAUAAAAAAUAUUACAAAAAAAAAGAAAUAAAAACACCAAUAUAUUAUUAUGAUAAUAUUAGAAAAAUUGAACAUGCUUAAUAAUUAAAACCAUAAAUAAAGUACUAAAUAAUUAUUCAAAAAUAAAGAAAUUUUAUAAUAAGAUAGUACUUUAUGUUGGGUUAACACCAAAAAUUGUAUCAAGUAAUGGGACAAACUGUAAAUAACGUUGAAUUCAAUCAAAAAGCAAAUAAUUUUCUAUUCGAGAAAACAAAUCGAAACAUAUAUUCAAUCAAAAAGAAAAGCAAUAUAUAAUGAAAAUAAAAAAAUAUUCAAAUUGAUUUUCAUCAGUUUGGGUGGAAGACAUUGAGAAAAUAAGGUUUUAGAAUAUUGAUUAGGGUUUCUGAUGAGAACGUGAUACAAAGAUGAAAGAUAUAUAUAAGAUUAAUAUAUUUUAUAAUAAUUAUAAGUAAACGUUUGAAUUUUUUUUUUUUUUUUUUUAAAUCCAACCGCACCGCCCGCAACCGCAAACGCUUGCGGGAAGGAGCUUUUGAAAUUCAGCGAUUUCGAACAGUUUGAAGCGGUACGGAGCGGUUUCUAUGAUUGGUACCAACCGCUAACAACCGCAACCGACCGCUAGCAACCGCUAGGAGGAUGCUAGCGGAAGAACCAAUCAAGCCCUAAGUGUUGUAGAUACAGAGGGAUCCCUAGAUACAGAUAGGAUAUCAGAAAAAAAAAAAAUUGUAGAUAUGACAUGAUAUCUUAUUUUAUGGCAUGUAUAAGCAAUGUUUGUAUGUUAACAUGUAAAUAUUCUGAUGAACCUAUUUGUUUGUAGAUUACAAUAGCCUAACUAGAUAAGUACCACUACUAAUUAGUGAUAAGUACAAUAAGUAGACCACAAGUGACAUUUCUAUUAAAAAAACACAAAUACUUAAUCCGUUAACAUAAUCAUACAUUCUUUCUUUCUUAAGAAAAUCAUCUUUAUAAACGGAAUUAUAAAAAGAAAUAAAUGAUUUUGAGAUCCAACCAAACAUUUCUAAACGGAGUCUAGCAUAUCAACUAUAGAGAACUAAGAUGAGAUCGAUGUGUUUACAAACAUAGUAGGUAUAAAUAAAAAUGACAUGCAAUCAUUAUUUAUAGGUGUGACAAUUAAAUGAAAAAGAUAAAAUUAUCCAAAAUGCUCAAAACUCACUCUUGUCCUUGAACAAAAACAAAAUGAUUGUUUCCUAAAUUUGAUCAUUGGGUGAAAUUACUCUUAUCUUGUAGAAUGCUGGGUUACUAAAUUUCAAAAUAAUUAAAAAAUAUUGCAUCUCAACGUGUUUUUUUUUUUGGGGGGUUACAUUUGGACAAGAGAAAAGACAUUAAGAGAAUAAGUUAGUUGGUCCAUUUAAGAUAUUCCUGGUCCCAAUUAUAUUGGGUACUAUAUGAAAUUACAUAUUAGAGUAGAUUAUCAUUAUUCUUUUAUAUUUGCUCGCGUAUAUAUGAUAAAACAUAUAACAUGCUAUUGUUUUAUCGAUUCUUGGAUCAUUUAUUAGCAAUUGUGAUAUUUAACCUUUAUAUAAUGCCACCUAAAUUUAUUUGUAGCUUGCAAGAAAAAAUAAAAUAUUUCAAUAAUUUUCUUUAUUUUCAUUGUUUAUACGGUUUGAACCAACUACAUUUUUAUUUUAUUUUCUCGUAAAUUAACAAUAAAUUUACGAUAAACAUAUCAAAAUUCUACGUACUAAUAGUAAUUAUGUUCAUCGUAAACACGCAGAGACAUACGUCUCUUUUUUUUUGUUUUGGUGCGAAGAAGACCAUCUAUUGUACAUAACUUUAUCGAUUUAGUGAAAAAAAAGUUUAAUCCAUAAGAAAAAGAAAUAAGAAGACUUAUCAAUUAUAGUAAUGAAACUAGAAUCAAAAUUUUAGUAAAUGCAUCCUCUUCCUAAUUUCGCCCAUUAGUUGAGACAAACCAUAUAAUAUGCAUCCCUGCCAACAAGCUGAUGUACUUCAACCAUAUACUCCUCUGUUUCACAAAGAGUGUUAUUCUAGAGUUUGAUUUUUGUUUCACAAAAAGUGUUAUUCUACAUUUUCAAUGUAACUUUUACACAAAAUUUCUUAAUUUACCCUUACCUUAAAGAUACUUUUUAUUAAAUUUAAAUCAUUAACCACUUAUUAAAUAGGAGCAUAUAUGUAUAAUUCAAUGUUUUUUUAAUUUGUGUGAAAUGUGUCAAAAUGACACUUUUUGUGAAACGGAGGGAAUAUUAUUUAAUUUUGUAUAUCAUUACUAGUUCAUUUAAAAACUUUAUAAUAAUUAAAUGAAGAAGGGUAUUAUCAAUCUGUACCCAUAGAAGACUCAAAAAUUAACUGACACAAAUGAACACUGUUUUGUCAGAUGUUGUGUAAAGGAUUUUACGUUGUUGUCCUCAUUUUUUUUUAAAAAAAUUAUUUAAUUUUUCAGCUUUUCUCUCUCCUUUCCCAUUCUCUGUCGAAGUGUUCAUCAAAAUUGACAUGAACAAAAAUUCUAACAGCCAAAUACAAACAAUUUUCAAUAAAUCGUUCUAAAAUAAAAUUGUAGAACUUGAUGGUGAUGACAACAAAAGAGUAGAAGACGGUGGUGAUGAUGUAGGAGGAAGAGAGGAGACAAACUUGUGUGUUUAAAAGAUGCAUAGUCGAUUUGAUUUUGUGGUGGUUUCUAUUCCGAUUCAGUGACGGCCGCUGCGGUGGUGAUUGUAAGUGGUGCUUAUUCCUAUUUAAACUAUUGGGUUCUUAACGAUGGUGGAGAUGGUAUUUACGACGAUAGUGAUGAUGAUUAUAUUAUCGGUGGUGGUGAGUUUGGGAAAAAAGAAGGUGCUGUGAAUAAAAUCGUGGAUUGAGAUAACGUCAGAGAGGUGCGAGAAGCUAAAGGGAUUUUAUGGUGAUGGCGUCGGUGAAGGUGAGAUGGCUUAAGAGUUUUAUAAUCAUCGCCUUUUCCGUCUAUCUUAUCGGUGAGCAGAUCUACAACAAAACUUGUUAUUUUUUAUUGCUAGUUAUUUUCAUCGUUAUUACGUUAACCUCGUUAUCAAUUAUUGUUGGAUCAAAUGGAGUGGUGAGUUGAGACGAAGAUAGGAACGGAGGAGCUGUGAUGAUUGAAGAUUUGACAGUGGCGGCCAAAAAACUUAAUUAUGUUGUUUUCUGGGUUUGCUUCGUCGGUGACCAGAACUAGAGUAACACUUGUUACUUUUAUUGUUAUCAUGUUAACAUCGUUAUACACGUUAAUAUAAAUAUUAUCUAUAUAUCUACUAUCUUACCAUAAAUAUUUUCUAUGAUAAUAUAAACUUUAUCAUAUCAAUUAUAAACUUAUCGAGAUACAAUAUGUUUUAACACGAUAUAUUUAUAAACUUAUUGAUAUAUAUUUUGUUAUCCUGUUAAACCAAUAGAUAAUCAUUUAACUUAUCACGAUAUUAUAUUAUUUAUCAGGUAAUAAAAUAGUUAUCUACACAAAUCACAAAUGUUUUACAAUAUCCUACGAUGAACAGUAUUAUCAACUUCGAAAUGAACAGUGUCAUCGACGUCUAAGUGAACAGUAUCGAUGAGAAACUGAAAUAAUAAAACAAUUUUUAAUUCAAUGACACUUUUGUAAUAAAUCAACAGAAGAAGGAUAUUUUUGGUUUGUAGUUUCUUUAUCUUUCAUAAUUACUUAAUUUUGAAAUUAUCAUGUUCUGAAAUCUAAUUUUUUGGUCAUCCGUGUAUAAAUAUUUAAUUCACCCGAAGAAGAAUCGCUUUUUUUUUUUUUAUUUAACAAUUAUUUUUUAUAUAUUAAAAUUAGAGAGAAUUGAAGCCAUGGAAAAAGGUGAUUUGCAGAUUUUCCCUCUAAAUAAUAAAAAAGCCCUUUUGGUAUCAUCCCCUGAAAAGCUCUUCCUGUUAGAUUCACACAUAAAUCUUCUCCGGCCAAGCUAUUUCUCCGGCGGCGUCAGAGCUUGACAAUGUUUCUAAAUCAAGCUACCUACUAACAGAGUAAGAGGUCUCUCUCUCCCUCUCCCUCUCUUUCUCUUUCUCUUUCUCUUUCUCAGUGAGUGAAGCAGAAAUUGUCUGACUUAUAGCUCCGAUCUCACUUUCCGAUGCUUUUUUCCGUUUCCCUCGUUGCCGGAAUCUGAUCUCUGUUCCCUUUAUCUGCACAUUAGCUUCUUUGCUUUGUUACAUCGAUUUAGCAAGAUUCGUUACCCAUUUCACGAGCUCAUUGUUCAAUUUCAUGAUUUUCGAAAUCUGGUAAAAUGCAGAUUCUGUGAGUAACUAGGAAGAGUCGAUCUGAUGCUGACGCUGAAUUGAGAAGCUUUCACUGAGUUUAUAGCCUGAUUUGAGGACAAGUACUGAAUCUAUGAAAAAGCUCAUUGCUCGAGAAAUGUCGAACGAGGUUGUUGAAGAUAGACAGAGUUCUAAUAAUGUAGUUGCUAAACUAAUGGGUCUAGAGACUUCUACACCAAGGAGCAGAUCCAGAAGCUCUUCACGCUGUUCGUUGACUUGUGUGGGUAGUAGUAAUGAAGCUGGUAAGUUUCAUAAGCAUCAUAGAGAAGAUGAAAUCUGGGAUCAGAAGAAGGCGAGGAAAGGAAAGUGUGAUGGAAGUAUGAGUGAUAAACACAUGGAUCUUGUUCGUCGAAAGUUCAUGGAAGUGACAGAUGACAAGCUUCACAGGUCCAGUGAGUUCCAAGAAGCACUCCAAGUUUUAAGUUCUAACAAAGAUUUAUUCGUGAAGUUUCUCCAGGAAUCAAAUUCUUUGUUAUCUCAGCAUCUUUCUGACUUUCAUCAUCCUGUUCUUCCUCAUCCAGAGGCUAAGCGCAUUACGGUAUUGAGACCUUCAAAGGCUGUUGGUGUUCAAAAAUGUUUGGUUGAAGAUAGUAAGAAACCAGUUUCUUUGAAUCAGGAAACUGGAUGGAUCGAUGAUGUGCAGCCAACUCGAAUAGUUGUCUUCAAGCCUAGUCCUGGGAAGUCUCUAGAUAUAAAGGCUAUUGCUUCAUCUCCUCCUUAUUUUGAUGAGGCUGGAGAUGCUGAGACUAGACAAGUGGCAAAGGAAAUUACACGUCAAAUACGUGAAACUUUUGAGGGUCACUGCAGAAACGAGACCAUUUCUUCUUCUUCUUCUUCAGUCUUGUCCAAUGGCUAUAUCGAUGAUGAUUGCUCGUUAAACAGGUCAAAUUACGAAUAUCCAGUGGGAAACAUUACCAACUCUGAGAUCAUGUCAACAUCAUCUAGGCAUUCAUGGGACUGUGCAAAUAGGUUUGAGAGUCCUUUUUCUUCCUCUUCGUUCAGCCGAGUCUCGUUUUCUCCAGACUCAUCUGUCUAUAGAGAGGCAAAGAAACGGCUUUCUGAGAGAUGGGCAAUGAUGUCACUAAACGAAGACACACAACAACCAAAAAACAUCCCAAAGGUCUCAACGGCCUUAGGCGAAGUGCUUGCACUUUCAGAGACGAAAGUACCUACCGGAUCCAGUGAAGAGAGCAACAAAGUGAAGCAAGAAACGAGACGAUCAAUCUCAUGCAUAGGCAGUGGUCUAGAUCAAGUAGAAAGCACAAGUGAUUCUCUGAAUACCCUUGAAAGGUCAAAAUCAGUCCCUGAGAUUAGGCUCAAUGGUGGAACUUCAAAAGCACAAGCUCCCAAAGAGCUUACUGAGUCAAGAAGCUUAAAGUCAUCAUGGAAAGUUUCAAGCUUGUUCUUCUUCCGGAAUAAAAAAUCAUACAAGGACAAGACAGAUGUACCUUCUCAGUUGGCUAUACACCGUGAUGCAUUUCAACAAAAAAAUAUUUUUACAAGCGAGGUAAAUCACAAUCCAAAACUGGUUGUGAAUUUCAGAAGAUGCUCGGAAAUCAUUCUUGGUUUAAUCAUUGGCCAUUGAUUUGUUUGCAGGGUGAUGUGGAAAAUGAAAACCAGGACCAGCCGAGUCCAGUUUCGGUUUUACAGCCGGCUUUUGAAGAGGAAUGUUCUGUGUCAGCAAAGCCAAGAACCCCUCAAGGUUAAUUUUAUCUCUCUGGUGUUAAACAUUCUAAGAGUUUUAUCAAUUGUAACACUUUGGUAUUGUCACAUCCCACAGGAGAUAAAAUGUCUUUGAAAUCUAAUCUGAUUGACAAAUCGCCUCCUAUCGGAUCAAUCGCUCGGGUUUUCUCAUGGGAGGAUGAGUCAUACACAAACACAACUAAACCCGCAAUGGGAAUCGAGGAAGAUGAAAACUGGUAUGGCUUCGUCAAAACGCUCUUAACAGCGUCUGGUUUCAGCGGUAGUGACUCGCUUAUGACCCGUUGGCACUCACCGGAGAGCCCACUAGACCCAUCAUUAAGAGACAAAUUUGCCAACAAGGAACUCAUCAAACGUAGGAAACAGAGAUCAACCUGCAAACUCGUUUUUGACUGUGUUAAUGCCAUCAUAACAGAGACAACAUCAACACUUGCGCACACCGGCUUGACCAAGGGAUUUAACAUGGUGGAACAUGUUUGGACAGCGUUACAGGACUCGGCGGUGAGUGACGAGGUUGUCGGAAAAAUGUGGAGUUAUGGUCUACAAGUCGAAACAAACAACUUGGGGAUUGAAAUUGAAGUGAUAUUGCUGCAAGAGCUAGUUGAAGAAGCAGUCUUUGAUCUUACUCGAUGAAACAACGUAUAUACAUUAAUAUAAGCUUUUGUAAUAAUGAAACAUAUAUAGAUGAUAUAAUCUAAGAAAGAGUUUAACCUAUAUUAUAUAUUUACUUUAAUCUGUUUCUGAUGUCCAAUUCAAAUUUUAGUUUUGCUUUUUUUCAUCAUAAAUUGAAUCGAAACUUUCUAGUGGAAAUGCUAAUUUCAAACUGUUCACAGGAUUGUUUAUACAAGCAAACACACAAACGAAGAUGCUUAUGUGUAAACAUAACACGGCACCGUUUUGAGUAAAUGUUUAAUGUUAUGCACACUCGAGAAGUUGCAAAGAGCAAACAUAGAGAAAGAGAGCUUCAGAGAGAGACCAUAUUGACACAUGCAGUUUUAGAAACAUGUUAAUUUGGCUUCAUCAACCUUUCGGGUUCACCGGUGGACUCUGGUUCAAACCAUACUGCAAAAAGAAAAUUUCCAAACGAAACCAUUGUAAUCAUCAACAGAUUCAUAAAGCAUUAUCUGAUGCGUAUAGUAUCAAGAAAAUGAAAAAAAAAAAUGAUCAGCCUUACCCUUUCUCUGAUUCGGGAGCUCCAGUUUUCAAUUUUGCUUGACCCAGCAGGCGCUUGGUUUCCUUGCGAACCAAGAAGUGGGUCCCAAGUUCUACUCCUCGGGUUCUCAUAAUCUUCCUCUUCGUCAAGUUCGGGUUUUGGGGUUGAAACCAUAGCUCUGAGAACCAUGGCUAGUAGCAACGACAGUAGCUGAAAAAACACAAGAAAGAUUCAUGUUUUGUCCUUACACUCUCUAAAAACAAUAUACAUCAUGAAAAUGCUCAAAGUUAAAAAGGACUGAUUUGAGUUACCUGGAUGGCUACCACAGCAAUCCCGACCCAUUUGCAUAUAUCGAUGUUUUCUUCAAUGAAGGCCCUAAGACUACUGAGUUCUCCAGUUGGAUCAUACGGAAGAUCCUACAGAAGACAGAUACUAAACAGUUAGAAACAAGUCAAGGACACAAGAAACAAGAUUAGAACAUAAGAAAGAUCUCACCUUUUCCCAGUGACGGUCAAUAGCAAUGUAUGCAACAAGUGCAGCUUCGAGUAGAAUGAGCAGAGUUUUGAGGAUAGAGUACUUUAAAACUGUCAAGGAAAAAACCGCAACAAACCCAUUCCAAUAACUCUCAUGCAGGUUAAUAAACUCAAUCUAUUAACAGCGAUAGGAAAAAAGUGAAGUAAGGUCUCUGUAUAAAGGAUACAAAACACAAGCAACAGCCAUUGAUUGCUUCAGCUGCUAUGAAACCAAUGAAGGUAACAAUGCAGACCAAUAUACCAACCGCCAUGAAAGAGUAGAUGAACCUGCAUAAACAAGCAUGACAAAAACCGAAUCAACAAACAGAUGAGCUGAAAACUUGCAAACAUGAUAAAUCUAGCAAAAGUUCUUUCAGCUGAAUUGAGACCAGUCAUCUUCAAGCAUUUAGAGCUUGCCCUUUUCUUUAGCUACUUCAUUAAUAAUGGAAAAGAAGUCAAAGACCAAGCUUGAGGCCUUGACCUGAACUAACAAAUUGAAGAACUACAAGUAAUAACCCAAGCUUGAGCUCCAUUUAUAGAAACUAGAUCCAGCUGAAUUACCACGAAUCUAACUAAAACCCUAAAAUGUAGAAACUUUUUUAAGUAGAACCCUAAACUUGGAAACUAAGUGAACUAACAUGAAUCUCUAAAAUCGGAAUCUUUACAAGAGAUAAAACAGUACCAUGGAGCAGGAAGAUCCAACGAGCGUAGAUUAAACCCAUGAUCACCACCAUUAGACCCGAGAACGAUACUCGCCAUGAACUCAAUAGGAUUCUUCAAGGGCUCAGAUAUACUAGUAGCGAUCUCGGUUCCGGAGCUUGAUGAAGCUGCCGGAGGUGGGUCGACGGGAAGGUGACGGUUGUAUUCAUGGAGCAUCCAAAUGGAGUAGAUAAUGAUGGAAACACCGAUGAAAGCUUGAACACAAUUGAGGAUCUUGAGAGUUGAAGCAAACGAAACAUGGCAGCAAUUACGCCGCAUUUUUGCUCAGAAUUUUUCCAAAAGAGAAAAAGCUUGAAUUUUUGGGGAUAAGGAGAAAAUCUGAGAAGCUUUCAACGAUGGUCGUCUUGUCUCUAAAGGUGUCGCCGUUGUUCGAUAAUUAUUGUUUUUGUUUUCUUAUAAAAUAUCUCAUUAGUCGACGCUUGGAAGACAUUAUUGUGAUUCUAUUUUGUAAUUUGUUUUGCUCUUAUCUUGUUGAUGAUGCUUAUUGGAAGUGUUUUUAAAAUUUUUGGAAAUUUUUAAUUGCUCCUCACACUUAUGUUUUUGGCUGCAUGUGUGUAAUGAUUUACAUGAUCGUGAUAUUUCUUAGACUUUUUAUUAUAAAUAACUAGGUUAUUAGUUUGUUGUUAUUAAUUGAUUUAAUAUUUUUUUGGUUUUAGUAUUUGUUUAAUUAGCUAUACAUUAAAAUUACUAAUACAAAAAUACUAUAAUGUUUAUUAUUUAUUCUAUUUAACAUAAAUGUUCUUAUUUAUAUUUUUAGUAUCCUUUACGUUAUUUAAAAUUUUGUUUUAAUAAGAAAAAAAGUUUAUAGGGUAAAAUUUAGUAUAAAAUAUAUUACAAAUAUGAUGUGUCAUUAUCUUUUACUUUUUUUAUACUAUUAAAGAUUUUGCUAUUAGGAAAAUAAUUAUAAUAUUUUGACAAUGGCCUCAUUCAUCCUAAAAGAUCAUCAGAGCAUCUCUUAUACAAAAAUGGCUCAUCCCAACACAAUGAGAAACUUCGCCAUCAAGUUUCAGCUACAUAUGAACAAAACGUUACCAUAAAAAGGUCAUGUCAUUACUGUUUUCUCACUUUCUUUCCAUAUUUGAUAAUCCAAGUUUGUCUUAUGGAGUUAUGAUGUCAACCGCGUUUCUCUCUUUCUCUUUCAUUUUUUUACUUGGAGAUCAACCUUCUUUGUUACCUAAUUAUGACGCCAAUUGUUCAUAAUGCAAGGAAACUGAUCUCAUCAAUUAAAUUUAUUACCUUUCUUACGUCUUGCUAAUUCAUGUUUUUGAUUGAAAUUGGUAUUCUAAGAAGAACAACUUUUUCGAUAAUUUCAACACAAGUCUUCAUAUCUUUUUUCUGGUUAGAUAUCAUCCAACUGAAGAAAUAUACAACCUAAGUUUCAAAAAAGAACCACGCAAUAAGUUACCUCAUUAGCCAUAGACAUCUUUCACAAUAUUGGCUUAGACACUUUUCCCAAGAGAGCUUCCUUGCACGGUCUUAGAUGUAUGUUUCUCAACUCUCACCGCAACCACCACUUUCCUAGAUUUAUUGUUGUAUGGGGACUAACUUUGACGACUUUCUCAUUUUGGUAUACGCAAAUUCACUAUUGUUCUUUGUCUAUCUUUACUAUAUUGGUUAGUGUAGCUCUUCUAAAUAUAAGAUUCUAUACAGAAGUGUACUCAUAAGCUUAUCUAUACUUUAUUUUUAACAAUUCAUAUUUUUCUCAUUAUUUUCAAUGUGUAUAUGAAUUUCCGUCUUCACAAUUUUUUCCAGAAAGCUAUCACUCUUUCUAUCUUUUUGCAAGCACUCAUUUCAUGUGUUUCAUUCUCUAUUUCAUUAGCACAUCUACCAUUCACAAACUUAGCCGGACUCUUUCGAUACUACUCUCACCAAAACAAUAAAAACUACUCUCAGUCUCAAAUGACAAACAAUCUAACAAACAGAAGUAUAAUAUACAUAUUAGGUGGUGGUGCAGAUAUCCAAGUAACAAAGUUGUUGAUUUCUAUGGGAUAUAGCAUCUCGGAAGGAGGAAAGUUAGAUCCAUUAGAUGUGGAUGUAAUGCCGAGUGAAUCACACACACAAAAAAAAAACGAUCGUAACAAUCGAUGAUGAGAGUAAAAAAAAUAUAUAACUUGUGAGUAUAUUAAAUUAUGAGUAUGAGAGAAAAAAAAAAUAGAAGUCCAAAUGCUACAAGUGGCAAAAGCGAUAAAAAAAAAUUUAAUAUGCGCCAUUAAAAGUAUUAGACUGUGGGCUUCUAACUCAAAACCAAUUGGCUAUGAGUGGAGAGACUCAUAUCUUAUAUAUACCACUUAAGAUCCUAUUCAACUUCCAGUGUGGGAUAUUACUAUCCCUAAUACGUCCGCUCGAGAUGAUGGCUCUUUUAGCCAUUGAUCUCGAUAUGUUCGGGCAUUGAUCGGCGGACCAAUUAUUUGGUUGGGCCGAUGUAGAUUGGGUUGAGCAUGUGCGGAUCGGGCUCUGAUACCAUAUUAGACUUUGGGCUUCGAACUCAAAACCAAUUGGCUAUGAGUGGAGAGGUCCAUAUUAAAAUUCUACUCAACUUCCAGUGUGGGCUAUUGUUAUCCCUAAUAAAGAGUAGUAAGCAACCCUACCUGUUACCGACGAUUCAAAAUAUAUAACUUAAAAAUUAUGAUAGAAUAGGAUGCAUCCGGUUAUUAUUUAUAAUGAAAAGAUGUAGGGUUAAUCGAAUAUAGUUUUUGUUAAUACUCUUUUUUUUUGGUUGGAAAAUAAGAAACUUAGAAAAAUAAGAAUAUAAGUUUAAUGUAUUCCACAUAUUGUUUUUCAAAAAUUUACAUUUAUUUUUUCUAUAUAUUGCUUUUAUUUACUUCCAUAUGUUGUUUUUUAAACAUUUACAUUUCUAUUAUUUUCAUAUAUAUAUAUAUAUAUAUAUAUAUAUUUCUUUUUCAUAAAUAUUUUACUGUAUAAAAUAUUAUAAUUUAAUAAUGUUAAUUAACGAUGAGUAAUUGCGAUUGGUCGUUUAGAAAAUAUGAAAAUAUAAUCAAAUUUGUGAGACUAAUAUAAAUUAUUUUAUGUAUUAAAAUUACAAAAUUUAUAUACAUCUUGCUUCAAUAUAUUGUCAUAUUUCUUCCUAUCUAUAAAUACUUUUAGAAUAAAAAUCAUAAAUUUUUAAAAUAUCAUUCAAUGAGAUAGCUAUUGUGAUUAAAUGGCUAUUGUUAUUGAAAAUGAAGUUACUAAUAAAUGUAGUGAGACUAAAAAUAAAUUCUGUAUUUUCGUUUAAAAUUGUAUAAACUUAAAAAAAUAUAUAAUUUAUAUUUUGAUAAUUUUUAUAUUAUGUAUUUUGUCAUGACAAAAUAUUUAGAAAAUUUUCCAUAUUUUUGAAUAUUUCUUUUAUUUCCAUAUGUUGCUUUUUGCAUUUUACAAAAAUUUUUUAAAAAAAUAAAAAAUAAUAGUAAUUUCAAAAACGUUAACUAAUGAUAUGUCAAACAGCGAUUGAUGGUUUAAAAUUCCAUGUGGACUGCCUCAGAAGCUUAUAGCCUCGACUUUUAGAUAUUACUACAAUAACAAAAUUUAUAUGUCUUUUGUGUGAAUAUAUAUAUAUAUACUUUCUACCAAGAUAUUGUUUAUAAAUUCAUAAAUUUAAAUUCGUUAAUAAAGAUAUUUUUUGCAUAUUUUAAUAAUUAAAUUUUACAUUUUUUUAUUUCCGUAUGUUAUAUUUUCAAAAGUUUACAUAUCUCUUCUUUCCAUAUAUAUAUUAUUUUCCAUAUAAUAAAUAUCUUAAUAUAGAAAAUUUGUAAAACUUAGAAAAAUUAAUUAAUGAGAUGGUAAAAAAUGUUAAUUAGCAAGAUGGCCAAUCCCGAUUGGUCGUUUAAAAUCCUAGGUGGACGGUCUCAGAGGCUUAUAGCCUUGACUUUUAUAUAGUAUAAAUUUUAUCAUUUAAUUUUAGAUGACAAUGCUCAAAAUAAUAUUUAUGAUUUACUAAAAGCAUUUCAAUUUCAUUGUUAUAAAAAGAUUAUUGAUGUGUAACAUCCGUCAAAUUAUGAAAAUUAUUUUGUGUUAUUUGAUCUUAUGAUCAUCUUCCAACGAACUUUCUGUUUAAAAAACAAAAAAUAAAUUUCUCAUAUAGUUUUUUAACUCGUCUAAAUUGUUAUUGUUCAAUAAAAUUUCCUUAAAUUUCCAUUUUUUUUCUGUAAAUAAAUUUCCAUAUAAUAUUAAUAUAGUCUUUUACCAAAGUUUUUAUAAAGUUAAAUUAUCUUCUUCUUUUUUUUUUUUUUUUCUAUCUAUGCAUAAUUAUGAAUUGGGCCAUAGUAAUUGGCCCAUUAUUAUUAUACAUCUUUGCUUCUUUGGAAGAAGAAACAGCGAGAUCAGCUUGCAGCGGGAAGAUUUGGGUUGCGUAGAGCGAUUCACACUCUCUUCUCUUUGUUAGGAUGACGAAAGCUCCUUCUCUUGCGUUUCUCUGCAUCCAAUCUCUCAAACUUCAGCUCCUUCAAAGUAAUUGUUGUAGAUAUUCACUAUAUUCGAACAAAGCUCUCAGGUUUUUGUUGCGCCAAUUUGAUUCAAAAUAUACUGAUUUUGAGUUUGGGUUUUGUUGUAUAAUUCCAGGCGAUAAUCCAAUUCCAGAUUUAUACGAGCUUCCAUCGGAGUUACUUGAUGCUGUUAUCGCUCACUUGCCUGCUCUUGCGUUGCAGAAUUUUCAGACCAACAUGUCAGUACUAAGAGAUUCUUUGGUUUAGGGUUACAAAUUAUAUGGAUGAAGAUGAUACAACUCUUAUUUUAUUUACAUUUUUCUAUUGGUAUAGGCCGUUUAAUUGCUUGGAUGAUUAUGAAUCUGGAGAUGAUUGCUUGAUUAAUGGCAGAAAACGUUCAAGGUUUGAUGAAUUCUUCUUUUGAUUUCUGUUUUGUUAUUCGAAUUUGAGAAGACAGACUGAGAAAGAUUGAACUUAUAUUCAUCUGCAGAAAUGAUCCACUUGGUAGCUCUUGGAAGAUGUUGUUUAAGCUGCGGUGGCCUGAUUUUGUUGACCGUGUGGAAUCACCAGCUGAUUGGCAACAGCUUUACUGGGAAAAGCAUCUGCAAAAGUAUGCUACUUCUAAUGAACUGACCGAUGAUUUGUUUUUUCUUUUUAUCUCGCUUCGUUUUGAGUUUUAUGUUAAUCCGAGUAACAGUUGUGUUGAUGAAGCAGCUGAGGUUGCUCUGCGUCCGACAUUUAGUGGUCGGAUUCGUUCUAUUAAUGUAUCAGGUAUGUGUUCUAAUUAACUUCUUGGGAUUGAUUUGUCAGUUGUGUAAGAAUCACUAUUCAUUUUUUUGUUGCAGAUAACAUACUGAGAUACAUUUGCCAUGAAGAGCAUAUGAGUUGUCAAAAAUGUGUCUGCAAGGAACUAUCUUUUCAUUUCCAAACUUUUGGACCGUAUCUUAGGUUGAGUAACAUUUCAUGUUUCUCUGAUUAUUAAUCGUUUCAUAGCCUCACACGUUCCUUGUAUAUACGGAUACACUGUAUUGCUUUCACCUUGCUGAAGUUUUAUAUCGCUCAUGACUGGUUGUGCGUGAGAUAUCUGGUUUGGACUGAUUUAACACUCUAUCAUACUUAUGCUUCUUUGUGUUCAUUCUUACCUGUUGCAGGUGUCUGAGGCUUCUGAAUGUGCUCUGCGUUACAGAAACUUCUGUAAGCAAUUAAACUGUGCUCUGACGUUGUAAAUAAAGUCGUCUGUUUUAUUUUUGUUUCAGUAUCACUGAUCGCCGUGCUAUUUUGUAUUGCUUUCGAUGUUUACCUUUCUCUUAGAACUUCAAAUUUGUAUCUCUGUAGAUGAAUCAAUCAUUCAACCUCUAGAGGAAGGACAUAAAUAAUCUUUAGGCUUUGUUACUGUAGGAGUUAUUGAUGACAAGUAAAUUGCAAAGUUUGGUUCUACGUUGGAUCAGAUCCGAGAAGCAUGUAAGGAACUUUCUAUAUUUAGUCUCAUAGGUUAUAGGAAUUAUAUUCCUUUCUUAUCGAUGAUACUCCAGGUUGAGCCCUUGUGCAAGCUCUUGAUCCAGACCCGAGACACGUUAACUUCGCUUGAGUUUAUUCACUGCAAGCUUUCUUCGAGUUCCAUCAGUGCAAUAUGCGCUUCUCUUCAUGAAAAGGGUAUCCACACAACUGGGAUGCAACGUUUCUGUAUAAAGACAUCUAGCAUUGAGAUAGAUCCACUUGCUGCGCCUUCUGCUUUCGUUUCAUUCCUGAUGUCGGUGAGGUAUGUAUGAACUGAUGCCAAAGCGUGUCUUGUUAGAUGUUUGCUCAUUUUGCUAUCAAAUUCUCUUCAUAAACGUUGUAAUAUUAUUAUGCACUUCUUUUUUUCUGAUUUCUUUUAGUGAGCAUCUUUUUUUCUUUCAGGACCUUACAUUCCUUACAUUUUUGCGAUAGCAACCUCGAUAGGCAUAUCGCGAGGAUGGUUUUCUCUACACUUCUUGAUUCUUCUUCAAACCUUUCGUCCCUUGACCUCUCUGAAAACAAUGUGGGUACCACCGCGGUUCUUCUUGUUCAAAUUGAUGUGUGGCUUGCUUUUCAUGACUGACCAACCUACGCUAUAUAGAUUUCAGGAUGGCUUUCUACGUUUAGCUGCAGAUCUGUUGUUGGUUCUCUGUCAUCUGGAAAGUUUUUACAGUCCCUGUGCAAGCUCAACUUAAGGUAUUUUCUAGUAAAGAGACAAUUCUUAACAGUUUUAAGCCUGGAAACCUUGUGAUACCAAGAAAUGUGUUUCUAGGGGAAAUGAACUCGACAGAUAUGAUGCAGAGAAUCUUGCACAUGCUCUACUUCAUAUGCCCGGCUUGGAAUCUCUUGACCUGAGCGGGAACCCCAUUGAAGACAGUGGGAUCAGGUGUGUCGUCUAAGUUCCUGCUUUUUUAGUCUUCGAGAAAAUCAACAGAGUUGCAUUUCUCUUACAUGCUUUUCUUGGGUGGUACAGAAGCUUAAUAUCUUACUUCACAAAGAAUCUGGAUUCUCGUUUAGCCGAUUUGGAUUUGGAAAACUGUGAGCUGUCAUGUUGUGGAGUUAUCGAGUUUCUUGAUACCCUCUCAAUGCUGGAGAAGCCUAUAAAGUUCCUAUCUGUUGCAGAUAAUGCCCUCGGAAGGUAUUCAUAAAGUCAAACUCUUCACUUUAUACCGAUAUGAAGUUUGUCUAUUUUCUUAUUGUUCUUGUUCUUCAGUGAGGUUGCGGAGGCUAUAGUAAACUCUAUCACAGUCUCCAUCGAGUCUCUCAACAUUUCGGGUGUAGGACUAGGUCCUCUCGGGUUUCUUGCGCUAGGCAGAAAACUUGAAAAAGGGUUGAAGAAGCUCCUGAGUAUCAAUAUAAGGUUCAAAGCAAAUCCAUAUCCUCUGUUUUCUGUAUACAUUGGUUUACCUUUGGUGUCCUCACGUUCGUUUUGCGGUUUCCCACUAUAGCAAAAACCGUGGAGGACUAGAGACUGCUAGAUUCAUGUCAAAGCUCAUACCCUUGGCACCAAAACUCAUCUCAAUCGACGCAUCCUACAAUCUUAUGCCACCCGAAGCCUUGCUCAUGCUAUGUGAAUCCCUGAGAACUGCAAAAUGUAAGGAUUUUCUGGGGAUCAGCUUGAUUCUUGGGCCAUUUGCGGAUUUUUUUUGCGUUACUAAACGUAUGAUGAUUGUGUUCAGGUGAUCUCAAACGUCUUGACAUGACCGGGAAUAGCUGCAUCAGCCAUGAAGCUGACCAUUCUUCCCUACACCGUGAAUUUCAACACAACGGAGAACCCAUCUUCGUUUUACCUUCAUCCUCGGUUUCACACGUUCCUUAUGAUGAUGACCCGUAGAUAAUUCCUCUAUACCUGUCAAUUUUGUUGUUUAUCCUUUAGUCUGGUUCUGUUUACUGGUGAAUUCAUUGGUUAUGUAUGUGCAUUAGGUUGGUUCAACGUUCACAUGAAAUAGCAUCCCAAAACAUCUAAAAGCGUCGCCCAAAAAAAUAGUCAGAGAGCAGUGAUUUAAAUCAUUAAAUAGGGAAUGAGGAGCUGUGGUCUUAUUUCAUUUCUUAUUAAAACUCGAUGACUAGAUAUUGCUUAUACGUAAUUUGGAUAUUUCAAGGCGCCAGAGGCGGACAAGGGUAGACGCAAAUACAUUCUCCACCACCACCAGUACUAGUACUGUGGUCGCAGAAGCCAUUAGCCUUAUCUCCAAACGUAGCUCUGCAUUUGGCACUACAGCUCUUAUCCUUUUCGCACAGUCCCAUACUCGCUGUGCAUCCCAUAUUUUGCUCAACUACAUCCAACAAAACCAUUUAAACUACAACAUUUGAGAUGUUAUACCAAAGAAAGAAUAACACCUAGACACUAUGUGAAAGCUUUUGAAAAUUGCUAAGUGAAAACUUUAAGAGGUAAAUAUAGCGAGGAACUACAGUAUUUGCGGGAUAUGACAAAUUGACAAUGAAUAGAGCGAAACUAGAUUAUGGAUUACAUAAUUUCAUAAACAAACAUGAAGAUAAGUGUAUACCUAAGGCAAACAUAACAAGGAAGAUGAUUGGGAGAACAAGUGUAGAAGCUGCUUUCGCCAUAUUUGUUUGCUUAAUCAAACAAAUAAACAAAAAUUACAAAUAGUGCUUUUAUCUGAUAGACCUAAAAAGACAUAUAUAGAGAAUUGUGAGGUGACCAAUUUCAGGAAUAUAAAUAUUUACCAUUUGACCACAAAUAUUGUUUGACUGUAACUUAUCAAUAUGGAAGUUCACUCAUAUCAUGUUGAAUAUGCUAGUUUGGUAUGUUAUUCAAGUGUAUGAUAAACUUUUUUUAUUGAUUUAUUGUAUAUAUCAGUCAUGUUCUUGUCUAGCUACCAAAGUCACUAAUACCUAAACUUUACCCUCAGUUGUCUACACGGUUCAAAUUUAAUCUGUUAGUAGAGUCGUAAUUCUUUAUUUUCAUAAUUUAUCAUUUUAUUGCCUAAUCCAAUUGUAAGUGAUGUUGUAAUCACUAAUCAGCAUCAAAGUAAAUGAUUAUUUUGGGAAAUGAAAAACAAAUAGAAAAAGAAAAAAAAAGGUGGGAAAGUUUUAAGGCAUGAUUUACUUGUCAAUUACGCUCCGCCACUUUGGCCCGCACCAGCUGUUUAAGAUCGCCGGCGUGACAACAAUUGGCCACGUGUGUGUGUAUAUGCUUUAUUAUCUCAAGUUUCUAUAUUCUCAGCGAAUAUUAAAGAAAAAAAUUGAACUUGAUAAACUAUACGAACGAGAGGGGAUGCAAAUAAAAUAAAAAUAUAUAAUAUAUAUACAAACUCUCACGUUUGCCGGGUUAUUUUGUGUAUUUAUCAAGUUAUGUAUUUUGCAGCAAAAGAAAUCAAUUUAUGAAUAAGAAGUGUACGUCCUCCAAGUUACGACACACAAUCUGGUAAAUACGCAAAACAACCAAACUAUCCAAAAAUUAUUUGUUAUGUUUGCCAAAAUUUAGCAAAAUGUAUUCAAAUAUAACUAAAUUUCUUAAAAUUUAACAAAUUUUUAAGGUUUUUUCGGGUAUCCGAUAUUUUACGUAUAAAACCCGACAUUUUACAUAUAAAACACCCGAACCGAACGGGUACCCAUAUUUUUCGGGUAUUUAUAGAGUCUAAAUUUUUUUACCCAAACCGACCCGAACCCGACGAUACCCGAAGCGGACCGGAACCGAAUGUUUAGAAAUACCCGAAUGGGUCGUAAAUUCAUUACCCAUUUAACCCGAACCCGAACGGGUUUUACCCGAAUCCGAACGGGAUACCCAUAUGCCCAGGCCUAGUUUGAAGGAACUAACCCAGGUUCGAUCCACGCUGGAAACAAAAAACACAUCUGUGUGGAAAGUCUGGGUUUGGGCUAAAGGCCCAAGUAGUUUACUUGGUAGUCCAGUAACAGGCGAUCUGGCUACCCCCUGACAUUAGUCGGAAAACAUUUCCAAACUCGGGACAGACAUUGUGGUGGCCCUUCGAGAAGAAGUCCACUCUGAAGCACUUCAGUGCGUUUUUACCGGGGUUGACCGGAUUAACCGAUAGGGUUUAUAAAAAAAAAAAAAAAAAACAAUACGGAAAAUGGGUGAUAUGAGCUACGACAAGAAUCUCCAACUUUAGUUCAAAUCUAAAAGUUAAUCCUCAAAAACUUUUUAAGUUCUAAGAAUUUCAUCAAAUAAACAGGUCCAUAUAGUUAUUUAAAAAUUCAAAAAAAAUUAUUAUCUUAUCUAGUUUUGUUAAUUUUCAUAUUGGUCCGAUUUGAGACCGAAUUUUUAUUAUUAUUUUAUAGUGUAUUAAUUUAUUGAGUAUUAAUUUACAAAGAGUUUAAUGUAUCUAACUAAAUUAUACCACUUUCAUGUUUAUAAUUAAUCAAUCUAUGAACCGACGUCUUGUACUAUAUAUUAUCACUGGAAUGGUCUAAUUAAACUAAUUUCACAAUAAUUGAUUAGAAUUUAGAGUUAUUAUUAUAACAUACUAUCUUAUUUAUUAUAGUCUUUUAAAAUUCCAAAUGACUGGAAAUUGAUGAUGCUACAUAAUUUGGAUUUAUUCCAGCUUUGUUAGGUUGGUGAUAGACAUGAGAUUUUUUUUUAAUUAAUGUUGUUUAAUGAAUUAAACAUUCUCUAAAUUUAAUGAAAAGUAUUUUUUUGUCCACGGAUUUAGUUUAUUUUACUAAAACUCACUUUAUUUUUGUUAUUAUAUGAUGUGGUUCGAUUGCACCAAUCAAACAUAUCAUAUGAGUUAUCCAAAUUAAACACUGGUUUUUAUUCUCAAACAUACAAUUUGGUCGAUAAAAUCAAAAUUAUUUGUUUUACUCCAAAUUAAUACACAUUAUUUAACGUGAAAAAUAAAUUCUUACACAUAGUUUCUCAGAUAACUAACAAAGUACAGAAUUUUAUCAUCAUUUUUUCAUAAAAUAAUUGUUAAAAUUCCUGUAAUUAACUCAAUUCUUUUGUUACUAACCUAACCGGAUUAAACCACUCCGAAUCGGAACCGGCGGUUAAGUUCAGACCAUUACAUAAUAGUGGCAUGUAACAGUAAUUAUUAAGAAACACAAGGGCAAUUCCAAAAUUGGCCAGCCAACCACAUGCUUUUGUUUAUCUUCUUCAAAAUGAGAGUUUAGUCUCUCUACUAGUCUCGCCUUUACUCUUUUUCUUUCUUAGUACUAAAAAAUUAAACGACACUUCUCUCUCUAAACACAUUUACACAGAGAACACAACACUUUCUCUCUCAAUCUCUCUCACUGUUCAUCGAAUCCAUCAUUGGAUCGAUUCGAUUUCGGUUUGUGUUGUUUUCCGAUACCUCUGAUUAGAGAUUUCAGCAGAUCUGAACGGAGGAGCGUCAGAUCGGAAUCGUCCGUCGGUGGUUUCGGUAAAAAAUGGAGGAAGCUUUAGAAAUGGCGAGAGCCAAGGAUACAAAAGAGCGCAUGGCGGCUGUUGAAAGGCUACAUCAACUUCUCGAAGCUUCUAGGAAGAGUUUGAGUCCAUCGGAAGUGACGUCACUUGUUGAUUCUUGUUUGGAUCUCCUUAAGGAUAGUAAUUUUAGAGUCUCUCAAGGUGCGCUUCAAGCUCUUGCUUCUGCUGCUGUUCUUGCUGGUGAGCAUUUGAAGCUUCAUUUGAAUGCUCUUGUUCCUGCUGUUGUCGAGCGGCUCGGUGAUAGCAAACAACCUGUUAGGGAUGCUGCGAGACGUUUGUUGACGACUCUAAUGGAGGUGAAAGAUUUUUACUUAAUUUGAAUGGAAUUUGAAUUGGUUUGUGUUUGCUUAGAAGAGUUUCUUUUGUUUUUGUUAGGUUUCUUCUUCAACGAUUAUAGUUGAAAGAGCGGGUUCUUAUGCUUGGAUGCAUAAGAGUUGGAGAGUUAGGGAAGAGUUUGCGCGUACUGUUACAUCGGCCAUUGGUCUUUUUGCAUCUACGGAACUUCCUCUUCAGCGUGUUAUACUUGCUCCGGUAUCUAUCUCCCUUUGAUAGCUAUUUGGUUUGAAUGAAUCAUGUUUUUGUUGUAUCGGAUUGAAUUUGAUCUCGGUUAUUUGUUUGUUUAUCAGAUACUUCAGAUGUUAAAUGAUCCCAAUCAAGCAGUUAGGGAAGCUGCAAUUUUGUGCAUUGAGGUAAAGUUUGUACCAUCAUUUAUGUAACUCGUUUUCAACUACUCUAAGUGAUGAUUUCUUCUUUGCAGAAGCUUUCUAUUUAAUUAUUCAUUAAGGCAGACUCUCACAGCUAAUUCUAUUUUUAUGACUGAGAUAGUAGUGAACCCAAUCAAAUUUGAGUGCAGUUUGAGUAGAGAAUUUCACUUCCUCCGUGGAGACCUGUUUAUUUGUUCUAGAUAAUUCAUAGAAUUCAGAUGCUCUAUUUCGUGUUUGAUUUUAAAUCAUAAUUCUGUUUUUCUCAGGAAAUGUAUAUGCAGGGUGGGUCUCAAUUUCGAGAAGAGCUUCAACGCCACCAUCUUCCAUCAUAUAUGGUAAAUCUCAGAUUACGAUUAAUCCAUAUACAGUGUGAGAAUGCACAUAGCAUUUUAGUAGUUUCCAUAACUUAGUGUACUUUGACAAAGAAUAAUAUGAUUGCAGUCUUGGGGAGCUCCUUGCUUGAACUCUUUCUCUGUUUUAAUCAGGUGAAGGAUAUUAAUGCUAGACUGGAACGUAUUGAGCCACAACAGCGUUCUACCGAUAGCCGUAGUGGUCACCAUGUUGUUAAUGAGGUUAAGGCAUCAAGUGUCAAUCCCAAAAAGAGCAGUCCCAGGGCAAAGGCUCCCACGCGAGAGAACUCUUUAUUUGGGGGUGAAAAUCUUUUUCUCAAGGAUUAAAGUCUAAAAAUUGGUGUUGUAAUAUUUCCAUCUCGGCUGAUUGGUUUCGUAUAUUUUCAUUUCAGGAGAUGCCGACAUCACUGAGAAACCCAUUGAGCCCAUCAAAGUGUACUCAGAGAAGGAGCUGAUACGAGAAUUCGAGAAAAUUGCUGCAACACUCGUCCCAGAGAAAGAUUGGUCAAUGCGUAUUUCAGCUAUGCGAAGGGUUGAGGGACUCGUUGCAGGAGGUACUAAGUCAAUACUUAUUGUCUGUUUAUCUUCGAAACUAAGUUUCAUUUGCUUUGAUUGCUAUCCAUGAUAUAUUCUGCCAGUAGUGGAGGAAUAUUCUUGUAUUUCAUCUCAUGGAAUCGUUUUCUGUUUAAGGUGCGACCGAUUACUCUUGCUUUCGAGGUCUCCUGAAGCAACUUGUUGGUCCCUUAAGUACACAAUUAGCUGACCGGAGAUCUACCAUUGUUAAGCAGGUUAGCUAAAUUUUCGAUUUGCUAUUUUCAUUAUAAGGAUUUAGAAUGUACUGUGAUUCUUCUUUUCCUGGAAAUGGAGACAACUCGGUGAGGUAUUCCAUUUUCAUUGAGUACUUAAUUUAUAGGAAGUACAUCUUUUUCUAUGCCAACACCCUUCAUCUUAGUAAAACUUAUAUUCAUUUUAGCCAGAAAACACAUUUUGCUAGUAGAUACAGUUUCAAUAGGGGUGAACGGUAUAUUAGAUUAAUGCAUCCUAUCUUAUGUAGUUUCGAUUACCAUUUUUGCCAUUGCCUUUUCCUUCAUAUGCUGUUCCUCGUGUUCGUAGGCCUGUCAUCUCUUGUGUCUCUUAUCAAAAGAACUACUGGGAGAUUUUGAGGCAUGCGCUGAGAUGUUUAUUCCAGUAAGUUUAACCUCCUGUCGUUUACUACUAUGACAUUCAACACAUACACAUUCUUGUUAAUAUUAGUAUAUGGUAAUCAGGUGCUUUUCAAGCUGGUUGUGAUUACUGUGCUUGUAAUUGCAGAAUCUGCUGAUAACUGCAUAAAAACGGUAAAUUAUUAGCUCGCUUAUUUUGGUUUCUAGAACCUUGCCUGCUCGGCUAAGUUUUGCGCUUACACAGAUGGUUUCUUGCUAUUCCAGAUGCUGCGUAACUGCAAAGCUGCCCGUGUACUUCCUCGCAUAGCUGAAUCAGCAAAACAUGACCGUAAUGCAAUUCUGCGAGCAAGGUAAACUGGAGCAUUUGUAUCAAACGUAAGAUUUAUGAUGUUCUGGAAAUUGAUCCCAUUUUUUGUAUACAGAUGUUGUGAAUAUGCAUUGUUAACACUCGAACAUUGGCCUGAUGCUCCAGAAAUUCAACGAUCAGUUGAUUUAUAUGAAGAUCUGAUUAGAUGCUGUGUGGCAGAUGCUAUGAGUGAGGUAGGUUUGUGGUACCAUUUUCCAUAAUACUAGAUGUUAUGUUGCAGAUGCUAUGAAGUAGGUUUAUGGUUCCUUGUUUAUCUCUGUGGUAAUGCAAUGAUUAGGAUUCCUUGCAAGUUUUAAUGGGAUGCAUGUUUUGCAUCAAUAGUAUCAAAUAAUUUGUAUUUGUUGUAUUGCCCAGCAGUCUCUCUCCUAUGUGCCAUUAAAAGCUGUUAAUAUAUUGAAUAACAGGUACGGGCAACUGCUAGAAUGUGCUACAGAAUGUUUGCAAAAACUUGGCCGGAUCGUUCUCGUCGGUUGUUUUCCUCCUUUGACCCUGUCAUUCAAAGGGUAAGGCUUCUCAACUCUCUAUAUUCUGCUUAUUAGCAUCAAUGAGGCUUGAUAAGGCAUUCCAUAUGUUCUCAGCUAAUAAAUGAAGAAGAUGGUGGAAUUCAUAGGAGACACGCCUCACCAUCUGUCCGUGAGAGACAUUCCCAGCCUUCAUUUUCUCAGACGUCUGCUCCUUCUAAUCUACCUGGCUAUGGAACAUCAGCUAUAGUCGCUAUGGAUAGAAGUUCAAAUUUAUCAUCUGGAGGAUCACUUUCUUCUGGGUUACUCCUUUCGCAAUCAAAGGAUGUCAAUAAAGGUUCUGAACGUAGUCUGGAAAGUGUGUUACAAUCAAGCAAGCAGAAGGUCAGUGCAAUUGAAAGUAUGCUCCGAGGACUGCAUAUAUCUGACAGGCAAAAUCCUGCAGCCCUUCGUUCAAGUAGUUUGGAUCUAGGUAUUGAGUUUCUUUCCUUAUGAGAGUAUAGUUUGUUUUUGAUACGUCCUUUAACAUGAGCUAAGAUAUCCUUGCGCAGCUAAAUUGUCUUCUUUUUCCCCUAGUGCAGGAGUUGACCCUCCAUCGUCUCGUGAUCCUCCUUUCCAUGCUGCUGUUCCAGCAUCCAAUAAUCACACAAGUAGUGCAGCUGCUGAAUCAACACAUAGUAUCAACAAAGGCAAUAAUCGCAAUGGUGGCCUUGGUUUGUCAGAUAUCAUCACCCAAAUUCAAGCUUCAAAGGACUCAGGAAGAUCAUCUUACCGUGGCAAUCUGUUGUCCGAGUCUCAUCCGACCUUUUCAUCCUUGACAGCUAAACGGGUCUCAGAGAGAAAUGAGAGAAGUUCUCUUGAGGAAAGCAAUGAUGCCAGAGAGGCGAGGCGGUUUGUGGCAGGUCAUUUUGACCGACAGCAGAUGGAUACUGCUUAUAGAGAUUUGACUUUCAGGGAAUCAAAUGCUAGCCAUGUUCCGAAUUUCCAGAGGCCACUUUUGAGGAAGAAUGUUGGGGGAAGAAUGUCCGCUGGCAGGAGGAGGAGUUUUGAUGAUAGCCAACUGCAAAUUGGUGACAUAGCAAAUUAUGUUGAUGGUCCAGCUUCCCUGAACGAGGCCCUUAACGACGGACUGAACUCAAGUUCUGAUUGGUGUGCCAGAGUUGCAGCUUUUAAUUUUCUCCAAACUCUGCUGCAGCAAGGCCCAAAAGGUGCUCAAGAAGUAAUUCAAAGUUUUGAGAAAGUAAUGAAACUAUUUCUCCGGCAUUUGGAUGAUCCUCACCACAAGGUCGCACAAGCAGCACUGUCGACACUCGCAGAUCUUAUAUCAUCUUGCCGAAAGCCUUUUGAGAGCUACAUGGAAAGAGUCCUACCCCAUGUGUUUUCACGGCUAAUCGAUCCUAAAGAGGUAGUUAGACAACCUUGCUCCUCAACCUUGGAAAUUGUCAGCAAAACCUACAGUGUGGAUUCCCUUUUGCCUGCAUUGCUUCGUUCACUGGAUGAGCAGAGAUCACCAAAGGCUAAAUUAGCUGUGAUUGAAUUUGCCAUCAACUCCUUCAACAGGUACGCUGGUAAUCCUGAAAUUUCGGGUAAUAGUGGGAUCUUAAAGUUGUGGCUGGCAAAGUUGACGCCAUUAACCCGCGACAAAAAUACCAAGUUGAAAGAAGCUUCCAUUACUUGCAUCAUAUCUGUUUACAAUCAUUAUGAUUCUGCGGGACUGCUAAAUUACAUUCUUAGUUUGUCGGUUGAGGAGCAAAACUCUCUGAGAAGAGCCCUCAAACAAUAUACUCCCCGCAUCGAGGUGGACCUAUUAAACUAUAUGCAGAGUAAAAAGGACAAACAGAGAAUAAAGUCUUAUGACCCAUCUGAUGCCAUUGGGACAUCAUCUGAGGAAGGAUAUGCUGGUGCCUCCAAGAAGAAUAUAUUCCUUGGCCGGUAUUCUGGGGGUUCUGUUGACAGUGAUAGUGGCAGGAAGUGGAGUUCUUCCCAGGAGCCAACAAUGAUCACUGGUGGUGUUGGUCAAAAUGUUUCCAGUGGAACCCAGGAAAAGCUGUAUCAGAACCUCAGAACUGGGAUCAGUUCAGCUAGUGAUCUGUUGAACCCCAAGGAUUCUGAUUAUACAUUUGCUUCAGCUGGUCAGAAUUUGAUAUCAAGAACUAGCCCUAAUGGAAGCUCAGACAACAUCGAAAUCUUGGAUGGCUUAUCUCCACCACAUUUGGAGAAAAAUGGUCUGAAUCUGACAAGCGCUGAUUCCUUGGAAGGAAGACAUGAUAAUGAGGUCUCCCGCGAAUUAGAUUUAGGUCACUACAUGCUCGCAUCUAUAAAGGUCAAUCCAACACCGGAAUCUGGACCUAGCAUUCCUCAGAUUCUACAUAUGGUUAGUAACUAGUUUCACUUCUGCUAAAUGUCGUUAUCUUUUUUUCUCUGGUACUAAAAAGCAUAUCUGAUGAUUAUGCUUUCACAGAUCAACGGGAGUGAUGGAAGCCCUUCUUCGAGCAAGAAAUCUGGACUCCAGCAAUUGAUUGAAGCCUCUGUAGCUAACGAGGAAUCAGUUUGGACCAAGGUAUACCUAAUGAACCCUGGUUCCACUAGUUGGAAUAAUUGGUCCUGACAUUUAUAUCGUAUAUGUAAGGCUAUGAAACUUACUAGGCUAAUUAAGAUUGGGUAAGACAAGAAAAAUAUGUGUUGGUAAACAAACCUGUUGUGGGAUAAAUAUCACAAUUCUAAAUGGAUCUGAACUUUUAAGUAGUACGACUAAAAACUUAGCACGCCAUGGAUUCACUGGUUGUGAUUUUUGCUGGUGAUUCUCGUUCGUUUUGUUGUUCUGAAUCAGAAGUAGUCAAUUGUUCAUAGUGGAUUUACCAUGUACACUUGUCUAUCAAUCCUAAUGGAUAUUCCUCCUACUUUUCUAUUCCCAGUACUUCAAUCAAAUUUUGACGGUGGUUCUUGAAGUGCUCGAUGACGAAGAUUUUUCAAUCAGAGAGCUUGCUCUUUCACUGAUUUCUGAAAUGUUAAAGAGCCAGGUUUGUUCCUUACUUAGACUCGUCAAUCAAUCAUCUCUAACACAUUAUGGGUGGCUCUGUGAAAUUACGAACACCUUUUCUUACUUGUAUAUAUCUUGCUUAUUAAUUUCAGAAAGAUGCCAUGGAAGAUUCUGUUGAAAUAGUGAUCGAAAAGCUGCUUCAUGUCUCAAAGGACACUGUUCCAAAAGUAACGAUUGCACGCUCAAACCUUAUCCUUGUGGAUCAACCCCUUUCUGAAUGUCUCCAGAUCUCAUAUGAUAAUAUCUUUUCAGGUUUCCACUGAAGCUGAGCAAUGUUUGACCACGGUCUUGUCCCAAUACGAUCCUUUCAGAUGCCUAAGUGUAUGUACUUAGGGUCCACUUUUCACGGCCUCAUUUUGGUUUUAUGCUUUCGUUUCUUUUAGUUGAUGUAAUCUAAGCGACAUGUCUUUGCUUCAGGUUAUCGUCCCAUUAUUGGUGACGGAAGAUGAGAAAACUCUUGUCGCUUGCAUAAAUUGUUUAACAAAGGUAAGAUUUCUGAAUUUUACGGUAUAUUUGUGGUUUUCCGAGAUUGUUAAUACAAAGUCGCAUGUAGAUAUAAUCAUCAGGUUUCACUGAAACAGUAUCAUUGGUUCUUGUGUACAGCUUGUGGGUAGGCUCUCGCAAGAGGAAUUAAUGGAUCAAUUGUCGUCUUUUUUGCCUGCGGUUUUUGAAGCAUUUGGGAGCCAAAGCGCAGAUGUCCGCAAGGUAAACAAAUUGAAUAAAAACUUGACUUUUCUACUCAUACCAGUAACUUUAGAUUUUAUGAAAUUGGACAAGUAAUAACUCUCUAUGAGGCUCUUUGUUGUCUAUUGCAGACGGUUGUGUUCUGUCUGGUAGACAUAUAUAUAAUGCUUGGGAAAGCAUUUUUGCCGUAUUUGGAAGGUCUAAACAGCACGCAGGUUCGUCUAGUGACUAUCUAUGCAAACCGGAUCUCGCAGGCUAGAACCGGUGCUCCUAUCGAUGCAAACACCUGACGAACGGCGUGUACUUCUUGGUUCAUUGGGUUCAUAUUCAUUAUUGUUUAUUUUGUAUAUGGGUGUGUUUCAUUUUUUUGGGUGUAAUUUUGCAAAUUGGUUUUUUCCGUUCUGUUAACGUGUGUGGUCUAUUUUUUGUUUUUGUUUUGGGGGAAUGUAUUUAUUGCUUUCCUCUCUCGUAGGACUAAAAAAUGUAUCUUCUAAAUUUUAUAAAACUUUGCAACUGAUGACUAAAAUACCUUUAUUAGUGAACAAAACGAAUGUAUAUUUUUUUACAAAAACUUCUCAUUUUGCCGUGACUUAACAUUUUUGGUCCGAAGUUGAUGAUUCGUAUAAAAUUCAAUCAAAUUCUAACAUAUUAAUCUUUUUUUUUUUGGGCAAAAUCAUAUUAGUCUAUAACUAAAAUAUUAUGGGCGUUAAAAAUAAUUUUAUAUAUGGCAAAUUUGCCCUAUAAAUACUACAAGGGUCUCAUCCAACCGUUUAUCUUUUUCGUUCUAUUAACAAGGUUAUCCGCAAUCGCAUAGGCUCUUUUUGUUACCACGAUGCAAACAAUUUUAGUGAUUUUUUCAUAUGUUGGUUUACAUUCAUAUAUAAAACCCACUCAAUUUAUUUCCACACUUGUUUAAACCAAUGUUUUCUAUCCAUUCUAUUCUUUAUUUCUUUUGUACAUAAUUCUUUUUUGUUGAGUAACUAAAUUUGCAUUUCAACAGAAGGAAAAAAAAUUCCUCUGUUGAACAAUAAUUCUUUUUUGUAGAAAACGUUCGAAAAUAGCAUAAACUUUAAGUUUGAUAAUGGUUAAAGUUUAAUAAGGUUUACUAAAAUCAUUUAAAAAUUCUUCCUAAACGGUAUGUAACAUCUUUUGAAUUAAUUAUAAGAUUUUGAUUUUUUAUAAUUUUCCUGAAAUAUUUUACGUAAAAUGGUCGGAUAUAUCUAAGGGAAAUUUGCCACUUCUACCACAUUUCCAAGUUUAUCCCACAAAAAUACCACAUUUCCCAAAAGUUUUCUCUCAUACCACUUUGCAAAAAUUGAAAAGACAUGAUUACCCUUCUUUUAUUUCUCUACAAACACAAACAAAUAUCUUCAUCUUCUUCUCUUCUAUAUCGUUUCAUGCUCUCUCUCCUAUUCCUUGCUCUAUCUCUCCUCUUCCUUUCUUUUCUUCGUCUCUCUUACAACUAUUGUUUAGAUCUAAAAUUUGUUUUCAAUUGUUUAGAUCUUUUUGCAUACCCACCAUCGUCUUAUUCUCUUUCUAGAUCGAAAAAUUCAGAUCUGUGAUCCUCAAGAAUACAUCCUUUUGAUUUUCCAUCUAAAUCAAAUUCAUUUUCGCAUCUAAAUAUCAUAAUUACUGGUUUUGAUUUUGUUUCUAAUUGGUUAUUCCACUUCAACUGUGCAGAUUAAGUGUUUGUUGUCUACGAGGAAGUCGAAGACGAAGAUGUCUACUAAAAAACUGAAGACGAAGAAAAAGAUGUCUACGAGGAAAGACAAAUAAGAUGUCUACGAUAAAACCAAAAAUGUAUUCUUGUCCAUACCUUUUGUUACUUUAAAAAUUUUGUCCAUUUACCCGAUUAGAGAUUAUGAGCAGAAGUUACAAACGAUUGUUGAUCCACGAUGUAAGACAAUUUUACCAUUCUUCUUUCUUUCCACAAAACCAAUGUCUUUUUCAUCUCCUCUCUCUACUACUUUUGCAAAACUAACAAAAACGAAUAUAGAAAUUCCAAAAAAGGUGAAGAGCUUUGGUUUGUUGAUAAUUAUUGUCCACAACACAAUAUUUUUGUCUACAAUCUCUAUAUAUGGUUUUUUAGUUGCCAUGUAUAUUCACGGUAUAAUUAUUGUCCACAACACAAAUAUUAUUGUCUACGGUCUGUAUAUACGAUAUUUUAGUCCAUGCUAUGUACAGAGCCGGCUCUGAAGAUAUUAAGGCCACAAGCCCAUUUUUUUUUUUGGCCUACUAUACAUUACUUUUUUUGAAAAAGACUUGAAAAACAGAAAAAAAAAUGAAAUGGGGAUUCGAUCCCUUGACCCUUGGAAGAGUAACUCUUAGUCUUAACCAGUAAAACCAAUGAAACUUUCAGAAAAAUUCGGCCGAAUAUCAACUAUAUAAUUUGGAGGCCACAAGCAGAUGCUUCAUCUGCCUGUGUCAAGGGCCGGCUCUGGCUAUGUAUAUUCACUAUAUAUGUUGUCUACGAUAUCUAUACCCGAUGCCAUUAUUUUAUUUUAAUGGACAAACUUAGUCAUUUCAAUUAUAUUUACAGUAUAAUUAUUGUCCACGAUAUAACUCUCUUACUUUUUUACUUUAAUUAUACACAAAAUGUUUUUUUUUUUUUGUUUUGUGACUUUAUUUCAAUACGCAAGAAAAAUACGUUUAUUAUUAUUAACUGAUUUUUUUGUUUUACUUUUCACCUUCUUUUUUUUUAUAAAAACAUCAUUUUUUUUUAACAGCUCACCAUGUAUAGAAACCAAAAUUCUCCUUCUCUCAUGGGGGCAUUUUCGUCAGAUCACGUUUUCAUUACCACAAGAAUGGUGGCAUAUCUCAUAACUUUUUGAAAAUGUGGUAUUUUGCAUAAGGGACCCAUGGUAGAUAUGAUAGUUUUCCUAUAUCUAAUAGAAAGAGAAAUUAUUGCGUUGGAUUGGGGAUCACCAAUUAUUACCCUCUCGUGGAGGAACAUAACACGAUGAGACAGCGAUCUGCUUGUCUUCCCAACGAUAUUGCUUUUUCUAUUCAUCGAUUGCUAAAUUACUUAUUUUACAAAUAUAUUUCACAACUGAUCACUUAUCUAUAUUUUUCAAUUUUUCACAUAAAUAUUUUGCUUUCUCUGCUAUGAGAUAAAUUUUAAAAUGUAUACAUAACAUAGUUCUUAUUUUCUCGGCAUAUAUAAAUAAAAGAGUACUAGAAAUAGAAGGUGUGGGCAAAUGAGUCCCCAACCACCGCCGAAAUCAUUUGCAAUUUUUCUAAAUAAGAAUAUUAUAAAGUCAGAUCCAAGAUUUUAAUAAUUACUAAUAUUUGGGUCCACCUUAUCUUAUUGUAUUUCUUAUUUUAUUAUUAAUAUAAAUAUAGACAUGUCGCCAUCAAAUAUAAUUUUCGUAAUCAUUUUUUUUGUGAACCAAUUCAUCAUCAUUUCUUCUACUUGUAAAUUUUGUUGUCAAUCAUUUCUAGCAGUUAUUUAAUUCAACAUUAGUAGUCUAUGAGUCUAGGCUAUAUAUAUAUAUAUAUAUAUAUAUAUUACAUCUAUAAUUUAUUUGCACAAAUGUUAAAAAUUACUAGUUUGAAGCUUUGAAUAGGAGGACAGGAGAACAGAACAAGAUGGAGAUUAUAGUUUACAAGUUUAUGUUAAUGCUUUUAUUAUAUUGUAACCGAUAAUCAAUUUAGAUAUAUAUUAUAUAUAAAAAUAACGUUUAAAAACACAUUUAAAUUAAUAGUCGUUAAACAAUAUUUAAAAUAAUAAUUGAUAUGAAAUUGGAGUUUAGAUAUAGAAUAUGCGAUUUCAUAUGUAUUUUCUUUCUUCCCUACUUGGAAUUAUAUAUAUAUAUAUAUAUGUAUGUGUGUGUGUAUUCCCAUAUCAAUGAUAAAUGCUCUUUAUCCAAAGUAAAAUGAUAAAAUGCUUACAUUGGUAGAUAUAACAGAUAAUCAUCAGGAUUAAGAGAUAAAUUAAAUAUACAGAAACAUAGGUUCCAAUUAGUUCAAGUUCUUUUUGUAGAAGAGGCGACUCACUUAAGCUAAAACGUACUUUAAUAUCAUGUUUGCAAGAUAUGUAUACGUAGUCUUUAAAUCCAUAAUUUUGGGGUAUAAAAAAUAAAGCAAUUUUCAAAAAUACCACUUAAGUUUUGGUUUUCAAAAAAUAUCACAUAAGUUUUGGUUUUUUAAAUAUACCAUAAACCUAAAGUUUAGCUUACAACCUUCAAAACUACACCAUAAAAGAUAUAUAGAAAAUCUGAAAUAGUCAACUGAUCAAAUCUAAAAUUUUUAAAUUAUGAACCUUUGAAAAUCAAUUUUUUUUGUUUGUGGUAUUUUUGGAGAACAAAACUUUUGGUGAUAUUUAUAGAACAUUAAACUAAUAGUGAUAUUUUGGCAACAAAACUUGAAAUUUGAAAAUAUGGUAGUUUGAAGAAAUUCUCAAAAAAAUUAACCUAUAUGACACUCAAAUGAUUUAGAAUUAGGCAAAAAAAAUUUAUUAUAACCAAAACACUUUGUAUGAGCCUAAAUACCUUCUUUAUAUGGAUAAAAAAAAUAAUUGAUAGAAGAAGCACCGUAAAAAUCAAUUGGAAAGGUUUUGGACCGAUACAAAAAAACAUUUCAUGUCAGUCUAACACUAUUAUAGUAUGUCAACACUUUUAUAGUAACCGAAAAACAUUUUGAUAGUUCAACACUUGCUACUUAAUGUCAUUAACAUGCUACUUCUGUACUUUUUGGUUUAUUUCACCAAUCAACCCUGGAAAUAUAUUAUAUGCUAAUUGUAAAUAUUACCUCUAGUUUAAACUUGGGUCGAAUAUUUCACUUCAUAGAUGUUGAGAAAAAAAAAACAUAUAUCAGACGGACAAAAAAAAACUCUAUAAACUAGGUAUCUAUAUCCAUUAAGACUUGAAGAUAAUGCCAUGAAAACAAUUUAUAGUACGGAUGAGAAACAAAGAGGCUGAUUAUUUUUAUCUCCGUCAGCUACAAAUGAUCUCACACAUUUUGUCUUUAUUGUUCAACUUGUUUUUUUUAGUCAGAGGUUAAAAAAUCGGCACAAGUUUCUAUUCACACACACAUACACAUAAAUAAAUAGAGAUUUUAUUACUGUUUAAAGUUAGUUGAUACUACAAUAGUAAAUGCGACACACACUAGAGUCACGAAGAGGCAAAAACAAGAGACAUGUAACAAAAAAGACAAGAGCCAAUACUAGUUCCCCAGAAAAUAAAGGUGAUAACUUUUUUUUUUUUUUAAAGUCUAUCCAGUACGAAUCAAUGGCUGGAAAGCCACUUUUGAGAAAAAAAAAUGCUGGAAUGCCACUCAUCUAAUUUUUAUUUCUGAGAGAAUUAAAAAUAAAACAAUUUAAAUCAGAAAAUUAUGAAAAGACCAAAAACCCAAAAAUCAAAUCCCUAAUUUCUCAUUUUUUCCUUUGCUCUUGGAACAGAGGAUUCGAAACUUAAUCGUUUUUUGAGUUUCUCAUUUUUCCCCUUUUACUCAAAAAUCAAAUCCCUAAUUUCUCAUUUUUUCCCAAAUCGAAAAACAACAAAAAUCUUCUCGAAUUCGUGGAAUCGAAUUGAAAUUUUGUCGAGUUCGUCGCCGUGGGAGUGUUGUUUCGUCGAGUUCGUCGCCGUGGGAGUGAAAUUAAUGGAGUGUUCGUCCCCCGAUAGUAAUCCUUUGAGAAUCCUGCCACCGAUAGUAAUGGCUCGUGUAAAGACGGUGAUGAUUUGGUAUACGAGUCGACGGAGAGGCGUUGGAGAGAAGAAACCGCCGGAGAAGAACCACCAACAAAUGCUUCGGAGUUUGAGACUCCAAAAGGAACCGCGGAGAUGGAAGUUGAUCCGAUAGAACCACCAACAGAUGCAUCGAAGAUUGAGAGUCGGAAAGGUACCUCCGACAUGGAAGAGGAUUCCGAGAGUGAAAAAGAAACUCCGAAAGAAACUAAAAUCGAUAAGACCGAGUUAGCCCGAGAGGCUGAGCGAGAGAAUGAUCCAACAGAAGGAGUUGGUGGCUUGAAUGGUUCAGGAGAAGCGUCCAUAGACGCAGUAGAAGGAAGAGAUGGGCCAGAAACAGAAGAACCUCCCAGAGAAACGGAAAAUGUAAUUGUAAUGGAAAAAGGGAUAGUCUCCUCACGAAGCGUUGCAUGCGUCAGCAGCAGCAGCCUCUUGGAGCUGGCCUCGACGAUCCAAUCAACCUGCAUAUUCUAUGGAAGGUGAUCUGAAAAAUGAGGUAUGCGUUCUUACUUGGCAUUGUGCACUCAUGGUCAUGCCAAUUAGAUAGAAUUUAAUGUCCGUUGUUUCACAUGUUUUAAGAAUCCUCUGUUCCUUUCCAUGAAUUUUCUUAUGUUUUCUUUUCCAAUAAUUGCAGAAAUCGUUUUCAUUUGCAGUGAGAGAUUCACUAGUUAAUGUUGGUCCAAUAAAAGAUUUUGCGUAUGGCUUAAGGAUUAAUGCUGAUGCAAACACCACUGGGAUUUCCAAACAGAGCAAAUAUGAAUUGGUGAGCCGUUUAUUUGGAAGUUUUAUAUUAUACUAGCUGCGGAAAUGUUUUGUACAAAAUAUAACUUGCUUAGGGUUGUUAUUUAGUAAUGUCUAUUUUUGAACUAUUCUUUUAAUUAACAAUGAAAUCCUUUGUUCUACAAAUUUUGUAGUUGACAUGCUUGCCUCGUAUUUGUGUAAAAACUGUAAACGCCAUACUAAAUUUUUGUAUUUUGGCGUUGAGGUGUGCUGUUCUAUUCAUGGGAAGAAGUGGAAGGAAGAACUUGAUCAAGAAAUGGAAAGAAAGCGCACAAGUCAAGUCUUGUAUGCAAUCGUUUAUUUAGGUACAACUGGUAUAUUUAGGUACAACUGGUAUAUUUUGGUUUUGUAGUGUUGCUCUGUCAAAGAUAGAGGAUAAAUGGAAGGAAGAGCUUGAUCAAGAACUGGAAAGAAAGCGCACAAGUCAAGUCUGCACGUACUUGUGGAUUAAGAUUGCACAUGACUUAUGUUUUUGUAUUUCAUUUUUGUAUUUUGUUGUGUUGUGGAUUAAGAACAUAUGACUUCGUAUUUUUGUAAACCAAAAAAAUAUUUAGAUUAUAUUUAUGUUCAAUUGGUUUUGUAGGUACAACUAGUCUAUUUAGGUACAACUAUGUGUAUGGAUUACUUAUAAGAAAGUACAACUAGAUCACUUUGGUACAACUGAGACAAUUAAAAAUAACAUUUUAAAAAACAAUUUUUAAUAAAUUUCAAAGAAUUAAAAAAUAUAUAUAUAUAUCCACGUAAGCAUCAUUUUUGGCGGCGGGAUAUUAUUUUUAAUCCACGUAAGCAUCAUUUUGGCGGCGGGAUAUUAUUUUUAAAUCAUCACACGUGUGGUAAAUUGUUUUGUUUUAAACAUAGUUGUACUAGUUGUCCAGUUGUACUCACAUGUUCAUAGUUGGACUUUGGCGAUUUUUGCGUAUUUUCAGUUGGACUUUAAUAAAAAUUAGUAAUUUUAAGUUGGACAUAUGUUGUUACACUAUUAAUUAUCAUCUAAGAAGUUUUCAUAAUACAAUUUGUACGAAAUCAUAAUUUUCACCUAUUUUGUAUCAAAAGAAGUGAUCACCUACAAAGUGUUCCUUGUACUAUAAGGAGUGUUUCAUAUGAAAACAAUAGUAUGCACUAGGAAAAUGAUAAAUUCAAGUUUUAUUUAUUUAAAAUUGUUUCUUUUUUAGUUCAACAUGUUUUUGGAAUCCUUGUUAACUCUAAUUUAUCGUUUUUCUUAUUUGUUGAAUACACAUACGGAUACAUUUAUGGUCUUAGUUGUACCUUGUCAAAACCUAAUUAUACCUAGUUGAACAUAGUUGUAUGAAUACGACAAGUACAUAUACUGAUACAUAUAUGGUUAUAGUUAUAGUUUUAGUUGUACCCAGUAUAUUUAUGGUCUUAGUUGUACUAGUCGGUCCUAGUUGUACCAGUCGAAUCUAGUUGUACCCGGUCGAACAUGGUUGUACAGAAGAAAUACGUAUACAUUUAUGGUCUUAGUUGUACUCAGUCGAACCUAGUUGUACAUAUACGACGAACACAUACAUAUACAAAUAUGUUCUUAGUUCCUUUAUAUUUACUUCCUUUAGACCAACACUCGAUUCCAUAACCAUCGUAUCUUCCAUUGAUCCAAUCUACUUCAUAUCUUCCAUUAACGAAAUAAUAGUACACUCCACUUCCGUUACACUUCCCUCUGUUGAAUUCACCUUCGUAGAAAUCUCCAUUGCUAAAAUAUUGAACUCCUUCUUUGACGACCAGUCUCUGUUCUUCUUCUUUGAUCGGUUCCGGUUUUGUAUCUCCGAUGUACCAUUGAACCGGUUUCGGUUUGUGUUUGAUUCGAGACCUUACGCGAAUCUGUUUGAUUGCGAUUACGAUUUGGUUAAUAACCGCCAUGUUUCUCGAUGCGAAGAACAGAGCAAGAGCGACGAAAAUCAAACCUAGUAACAGAUUCUCCGACGUAAAAAUCUCAUCAACGAAGAAUAGUAAGAAAGACGAGAGACUUAGGAAAGAGAGACAAGCGAGUGUGAAUGCGAGACCCGGUUUAAUUCGGUUAAUAGACCCGAAUGAUUGAACCGGUUUUCUUCUCCUCUGUUUCUCUUCUUUCUCACCGGCUUCUAGAUCUUGUUCACGGCGGGGGUAAGAGAUUUCGUUGAAGUCAUCACAUUCAGUGAUUGAAGAAAGGCUUUGAAUCGACGAUCGAAUCGUCGGAGAUGAUCUGAGUAACGACGAUUGAGUCCUCGUCAGUUUCUUUUGGCUCAUCUCCGUGGAAUAAAAAAAUUGCAAAACAGAACAAGAAACAAAAAAAUUUAAGCUUUUUGAUUUUGAAGGCUUGAGAGUAGAAUCACCACUUUCUUUCUCGAUUUUUCCGGCCAAAUCUUAAACGAUAAUACGUUAACCACCACUGCACCACCGUGCCAAGCAUCGCAAAACGGAGAAGAACACGAGAGAUCUCUCAACUCCAGCAAAAUCUUGUUCUUGUUCGUCGUUUUUGUUCUCCGAUACCGGAGAGUUUUCACGGCGAAGCUCGAUUUCAAUUUUGUUUUAAAAAAAAAAAAAAUAAAUCAGAUAAAUCAUUAAGGGUAUAAGGGUAUUAUCCACUCUAUGGAUGGCAUUCAGACUCAAAAAUGGCAGUCCUGAUUCAUUUUUCUGGUUUAGUGGCAUUCUAGCCUGUGGCUCAUCCAGUACCCACCUCAGUUCUCCUAGAGAUUACUUCACUGAUUAGUAAUCUCUCUGUGUAGUACACUUAGUCACUAGUACUUUUGGAUCUUUCUGUUUUUUUUUUUUUUUGGUUAUAAAACCAGAAGAAGAAGAUAACUGUUUUUUUUUUUUUUUUUUUUUUAAUUUAAUACUUACCAUUAUCAUCAUCUUUGUAGAGAGAUAUGCAUCAUUUCGUCCCUGACUUCGAUACCGAUGAUGAUUAUGUCAACACCAACAAUAAUAAUUCAUCUUUGAAUCAUCUUCCUAGAAAAUCCAUUACUACUAUGUAAGUUCUUUUUCUCAAACUUUUUUUCGAUUUUUAUUUAUUAAUAUUUUAAGAAGAUCUGAGUUUUUAUAGUAUUGAAAACUUUAGGGGUGAAGAUGAUGAUGAUCUUAUGGAGCUUUUAUGGCAGAACGGUCAAGUUGUUGUUCAAAACCAGAGACUCCACAAUAACAAUACGAAGAAACCUUCUUCUUCUUCUUUUCCGACGAAGCUUCUUCAACCUCCGAUUCCUCCUUCUAUGGAUAAUCAUCAGCAGCAGCAGCAACCGUCGUCAGAUCAGAAUCUUUUUAUUCAAGAAGAUGAAAUGACUUCUUGGCUUCAUUAUCCUCUUCGUGACGAUGAUUUCUGCUCUGAUCUCCUCUUCUCCGCCGCACCAACUCCUCCCUGUGCGACGAGUCAUGUGGUCACCGCCGUAAGACCGCCAGUACCAGUACCGUCUUCGUCGAAUGAGUCGAGGCCACCGGUGAGGAAUUUCAUGAAUUUCUCGAGGCUGAGAGGGGAUUUUAGUAACGGUAGAGGUGAAUCUGGACCGAAGACGAUUGUGAGAGAAUCGACUCAGGUAAGUCCUAGCGCAACACCGUCGUCAGCGGCGGCGAGUGAAUCUGGUUUAACACGGCGGACGGAUGGUACUGAUAGCUCCGCCGGACUUAAUCGGAAAGGAAAAGCAGUGGCUAUGACGGCGCCGGCGAUUGAGAUUACCGGUACAUCGUCUUCUGUAGUGUCAAAGAGCGAAAUCGAACCGGAGAAGACGAACUUCGAUGACAAGAAACGAAAAGAGAGAGAAGCCACCACCGAGGAAGCUGAGUGCCGUAGCGAGGUGAGUCAUUUGAAACUAUCGUGCGCAAGUAAGAUUCGGCGCAUUUUAGUCUGGCUUCAUAGAUUUCAGCGCAUUUUAAAAUAACGUUUUCAUUUGGUGGUGUUUUUCUUGAGGUGCAGGAAACAAAACAAGCACGUGGAUCAACAACAUCUACCAAGAGAUCUCGUGCUGCUGAAGUUCAUAAUCUCUCUGAAAGGGUUUGUGUUUUUUUUUGUUUUUCUUAUGUUUUUGUAAUCUUUUUCGAUAAAGAUUUGACAUCGAAUCUAAAGAAUGACGCGAAUUUGGUAACAGAAACGGAGAGAUAGAAUCAAUGAGAGGAUGAAAGCUUUGCAAGAACUCAUACCUCGCUGCAAUAAGGUCUUCGACGAUCUUUUUACUUUCUCAUCAAGUUAGUUUUUAUACAUAAAAUUUGUUGCUGAUUGUUGUUUCUUUGAUUCUCAGUCGGAUAAAGCUUCAAUGUUAGAUGAAGCUAUUGAGUACAUGAAGUCUCUACAGCUUCAAAUACAGGUUCAUUUUCUUGAACAUGUGAUUUUAUUAGUCCACCCAACCGUACACGAUCCUUGAGUAAUGAUUCUGAAGUUUUUCAGUUGUAAAAAUUUAGGAACCAAUAGAUGAUUGUAUUUUUGUUUAAGUUCAUGAAAAUUUAUACUUUACCAUGAGAUUAAUGCAGGUGAUGUCAAUGGGAUGUGGAAUGAUGCCAAUGAUGUAUCCCGGUAUGCAACAGUACAUGCCUCACAUGGCAAUGCGUAUGGGUAUGAACCAGCCUCUUCCUCCUCCUUCCUUUAUGCCAUUCCCAAACAUGUUAGCGGCUCAAAGACCUUUGCCUACACAAACUCAGAUGGGCGGCUCAACACCGCAAUACCCUGUUCAUGCUUCUGACCCGUCAAGAGUCUUUGUACCGAACCAGCAGUAUGAUCCAACUUCGGGCCAGCCUCAGUAUCCUGGUUACAUGGAUCCAUAUCAGCAGUUCCGCGGUCUCCACCCGACCCAACCACCUCAGUUUCAGGUACUUUACUUACCACCCUUCGUCUGUUUCACAAUAGCCUAGUUCCUUUGUUUACAAGUCACAAGAUCUUAUCUUUUUUCUUGUAGAAUCAAGCAACAUCGUACCCAAGUUCGAGCAGGGUAAGUAGUACCAAGGAAUCUGAUGAUCAAGGAAACCACAAAACAGGUUAAUGCCUAGAGCAACAAGAUGAUCUGUUUUCACAAGCAAACACAAUUUUGAGAAAUUGACAGAGAGACCUAACAUGUAUAUUGCCAUCUGUUUCUUGUUUUUGUUUUGUUUUGUUUUGUUUUGUUUUGUUUUGUUCUCUCUUCUCAGGUUGUUAUACUUAGAGAGCUGUACAUGUAAUGAUCCAGAGAUCUAGGAAUCAAUACAUAGAGGUUGCAGAGGCUUAGUGCAGAGAAUAGAUGAGAAAGUUAGGUUCAUAUACAACAAACCCGAUCAUUAUUCUUUCUCGUCUCUUAUUAUUACUUUUGACAAAGCAAAUCUUGAUAAGCUACUAAGGAAUCAAUAUCAGUUAAUAUACACAUAUAUUCCACUCCCAUGGAUUUAACGAUACAAUGCAUGCGCAAACAAAUCCAACAACAAAUGUUUAGUCCUUGCAACUAAGCUGACACAAAAAUGUAAAUAGACUGACAAAAAAACGAACAAACAAAAGUAUGAAAAGUUAAUGAUCCAAUUGGACAAGCAUUGCCCAUUUUGUACUCUCUUUCAUAGGAUUUCUUCAUCUAAAAACGUAGUGAUGUCAACUAAUAUGAUAUCUCCAUGAACAUAAUAUCCAAAAAAUAAAGCUAAAAGAAAAAAAGCAAACAAAUUUCUCAAACCGUUAAGACUUGAUAUCUCCAUGACCAUAAUAAGACUUGAGAAACAUGCAUAUGAAAUAUUGUAUUCGCUAAAUAAAGAAGAUGUAAAAAGAAGUUUUAACAUUAUAGGCUUAUAGCAUUUGAAAACAUCUGUUUUACUCUUUCCUUAACACAUAAAAAUAGAAGAUACACUUGAAGAUUUGUUAAGUAAUUAUGCAUCCUCCUGGUCCUCCAUAGUAAAUUGCACUAGACCACUCCUCACCAACCCCUGAUUUUGUUUCGACUUUAUAACAUUUUGGAGUGUUUGCGAAUAAUAUUAAAUCUUUAGUUGGUGGACUUCUAAUUUUUUCUACUUCACGAUCGAUCACUUUAAGACCAUUCACAAAAGCUGCCUUUUUGAAACCUUCUUGUGGGAAAUGUCCACUUCCCAUGAUUGGGUUUGUGCUCUGUCUCACUGCAUUGAAAACUUCUCCUCCCCAAAACACCCGACUUGCUCCAUUAGCUAAACCAUCAACAUGAAACAAUGAUCUUGGCCAAUACCCAACUGGCUCGUUCUUUAGCAAAAACCACCAGUUUCCUGUAACAUUAUCCUGCUUAAACCAAAAGCAGUAAAGAUUUGGAUUAGAGUUUUUUUUUUUUUUUUUUUUGGUUUUAUAAACCAAAUGAAAACAUUUGUAGUUCUUUGGUUUUGGUUCAUGAAACCAAAUCAAAACCAAAAUUCAUAAAUUUUUGUUUAUUCUUCAUUCGAUUACACAAAACUAAUUUUGGGUUGUUUCCGACCUGUUGAGUUAUAAGUAAACAAAUAUAAUCAUCGAUCUAUAAACAAAUUUGCAUUGGGUUUGGUUUAAGUAUUGCAGUUUGGGCUGGUCGAUAUUUUUAUUACCUUUUUUGUGUCAAUAUACCAAACUGUUACUAGUCAAUAUGAUGGGAUUUGAGAAAAUUGGUGCUAUAUACCUGAUAAAUGAUGGCUUCUAAAUAAUAUUGUUCACCACCAUAAGUGGAAACUGGUUUGGCAAGAGUUCCAAGUGCCGACUUGCUACUCACUUGUACAAAUCCGGGACAUACUGUAUUGUAGCAACCUGUCUUCUCAUGCCCAUCUGCCUGUUUCCAAUCAUAAUUUAAAACCAAUUUAGCCAGUUUGGCUGGACAAUGUAGUGAACUAUCAAACUUUAAAUAUGUUAGAAGAACUUACCGUCCAAUAUGUAAAUAAGCCACUAUGAUUUUGAUUUAGUUUCGGGGACACCUGUGAGAUAUUUAUUUUUUUACAAUUUUACAGGUUUUCUUUUUGAAUUGUUAUGAAAUUUUGAAGUAAUAUGGUUUUGUGACUUACUAUCCAUCCAGCUGAAAUGCUUUGUAAAUUGUUUCUAAGGCCGUUCUCGACAUAUAUACUUGCAAGACUAAAUUGAUCAGGUUCGACAGGCGGAUCCCAUAUAUUUAUGUUUCCCGUUGCUCCAUAAUUGUCUUUAUAGUAUUCAGCUAUCGCAAACUAAGAUAAUCAAAAGACAAAGAAACAAAAAAAAAUCUAAGCACUUGUUAGGGUAUUAAAUGGUCUCAACAAUCUCAAUAAGAAGUGUUUCUUACAUGACGGCUGGUCAUAUUGAGGACGUUAUUGUCUUCUGAAGUUGUAUACUUAAACCCUAAAGAUUUCAUACGUUGAAUUUGUAUAAGUUCUUCAAGUGUAGUUCUUUUAAUAAUCACUGUUCCAAGCGGACAACUUAUGUCUUCAUCUUGUCGAAAUGGUAGAGAACUUGAUUUUUGAGAAGUGAUUUUAUCUCUUGUCCAUUUAGGUAUGGUUGUAGGCUUCAACUGCAUAUGAUAAUUUAAUCCAUUAGGGAAGAAAAAAAGAGUCUUGAAGAGCUUUAACUUGUAUUUUGUAGAAUAAAACCUGAAUAGAAUGGUUUUUGAGCGAAGGAUGAUCAAAGGCUAGCUGCUUUUGAAUGUCGAUGCAGUCUAAUAUAUAACCAUGUUUCGUCUGUCAAUAUACGAGGUAAAAAGAACAUUAAUGUGCUCUGAAAAAGGAAGAAAAUGCAACUUCAAUUGUUGCACUCUUUAAAAAACAAUGUCGAUUCAAAUAUUACUGAGAACCAAAGCCGUUAAGAGUUUUGACCUUUCAGUUUUUUCUUAUCCAAAAUGCAAAUUGGCUCAAAACAAAUACUAUAGCUUUAUUAAAAUAGUUUACAACAACAAAUACUUAUAUCACAGACCGUAUUUGUAGAAAACAACAUAAAUUUUAUCGUUCAACAUAGAAAGUUUAAGAAAAAAGCUCAAUUUACUUGGAAACUUUUUAUUGCUGGUUUAUUAAUAUGGUUGAGUAGUUUCUCGAGCUCUUGUUUCUCCUUUUUCAAUGGUAUUGUUCUUCGACUCUCUGUAACUAAAAUGAGAGUUAUUGUAUAAAAAGUCAGAAGGAUAAGCUUAUUAGUGCAUGACCUCAUGAUAUCAAGGAUCAUAAACUGUUUUUUACAAAAGAUGAAUGAAGCAUAGCAACUAUAUAUAUGGUGCACAUUAAUAUGAAACUAUUAAUUAAAUAAAUUAAAAAUCUGAAAAAAUUAAUGAGGUAUAGAUAACAUAUGAAAAUCAUUAAUAAAGUAAAAUAAAGUCCAUCGUCCACCAUUGGAAAGACAAAUGGUGGACGAUGGACUUUUAAAAUUGUAGGGGAUUUAGAUUUUUACAAAAAAAAAGUAAAAAAACUUUAAGAACAUAUUUUCCCAAUAUCACACUUUAAUUAAUUUUAUUUUUAAUAACAAAGGUUUUUUUUUUCUUAAUACUGACAUCCAUUUUUCUUCUUGUCAUAAUUGUUUUUGAAGCCAAUUAUUUAUGACUUUAUUUUAGUUUUAAAUCAAAAGUCUUAGUUAUUUUAAAGUCUAAAAAUUUUAAAUUAAGAUCAUGUAAGUUUAAGUCCCAACCAAUCAACCUCAAACUUUCAAUGACAAGAGUUCCAGUUUAGGUUUAUUUCAUUCACAUACUAGAUACUACAAAAUAAGAAUUAAUUUGAGUUCAAUCAUAGAUUCUAACUCAUUUUCAUUAAUAACAAACAAAAAAACUGUAAUAAUGUAACACAAAUAUAACAAACAAAUAAAACUGUAACAUGGACUUACCCAUUACACAGUGCUCACAGAAACCUAAUUUCUUGACAUCCUUCUUGUCAAGCAGGCCUUUGCUAGAUAAUAUCUUCAUGUUGUUGAAACUUAAGUGUCCAAGCUUGUUGUGCCAUAAUGCAGUGUUAUAUCUCUGUUCUUCUCAACAUUACAGUUCUCCUGCAUCACAGUUUCUCCUUCCAGCACAUAUAGACCGUUCGUCAGAACUCCACACAAAGCCGUUGUGUUGUUCUUAAAAUAUCCCGCUUUUCUUUUAUCACCUUCAUCAUGUAAAAACGUCUCAUGUAUAAUUUGUUUAUCAUAACCCACAAUUUAGUUGUUGUAUAUAUCACAGUGAUUUAUGAUUAUAUUCUUGGCCUGCUUUGACUGCUCAAGUUUAUUAACUAGUUGCUAACUUUACAAUCUGACUUAUUUUACUAAUAUAUAUUUUCAUUUACUUGCCAUAUUUACUGAAAAUAUUUAUUAAAGAAGAUUCCAACUAAUAUGGUUUGUUGUUAUUGAAUUCUCCACUUUAACUGUUGCUAAGUGUUGAAAAAGUAAAUAUAUUAGAACAAAGUAAAUGUCAUAGAAACAAUUUUUUAUAAAAUUUAUAAACAAAAAAUCUCACUAUAUAUGUUAUACAAUAUCUUAAAAUUUACAUUGAGUUGAUAAGAGAUACCAAAAAUUAAAUUUUACUUUAGGUGAAAUUCAAUCUUAUCUAUAAUUGUAACAAUAUAUGGUUAAUAAUUUUUUAAAUAUUAAUUAAAUUACAAUAUUGGUAUAACAUCUAUAAAAUCUAAUCAAUAUUAUUUUAUUAGCAUGUGUGUAGUAUAUGGAUCAAAUAUUAAAAGAAAAUAAGAGCCUAAUUAAUUAAAUUAGGAUUUUGUUAUAUAUAUUUCCUAAAUUGAAGAUUUGACCCCACUCUCAACUCAUUAUAAAAAGAGAGACUUUCAUAGCUUCUUCAAAAAUCUUAUUCUUCGUUUAACCAACAAAACAAAAGAAAUAUGUCUUCGAACAAGAUUGUGUUGACUAGCUCCGAUGAUGAAUCUUUCGAGGUUGACGAAGCGGUGGCUCGUAAAUCGCAGAUCAUAGCGCACAUGAUCGAUGAAGAUUGCGCCGAUAAAGCAAUCCUGCUUCAAAACGUCACUGGAAAGAUCCUCGCUAUCAUUAUCGAGUAUUGCAAGAAACACGUUGAUGAUGUUGAUAGUGAAGCAAAGAAUGAGCUCGUGAUGACUUGGGACGCAGAGUUCAUGAAAAACAUUGAUAUGGAAACAGUCUUCAAACUCCUUAACGCUGCUGACUAUCUCAACGUCAAAGGUCUUCUUGAUCUCACUAGCAACACCAUUGCAGAUUACAUCAAAGAUAAGAAGGUAGAGGAAAUACGAGAAAUCUUUAACAUCGAGAACGAUUAUACACCUGAGGAAGAAGAAGAGCUUCGCAAGCAGAAAGCAUGGGCAUUUAAGGAUCAAAAUUAAAACCCUAAAGUUCCGUUUUCUAAGUGUUGAUCUCGAUGUUCUUUAAUCUUUGUUGAUGACUUAGCUUUUGUCUCUUUCUUUAAGUGUGUGAUUGCCUUCGUCUCUUUGAUUUCAUGGUUUGUGGCCGGUUCCUUUUGAAUUUCAUGGUGUUAUAAUGUUUAGUAAUCUUUACUUAGAUAUAAUAAGCCAAUGUCUUUUGCUAAUUUAUUUCCAACCAAAGAUCCUCCGGCGAUUCUGAAUUCUUCGCCACCGUUUGGGCACUGAAAAGUUAUCAUAAUACAUGUGUCUUAACUCUUAUCUAGGGUUAAUUUCUCUAUUCCCAAUCUUUUUCUCAAACAUUUAUUAUAAAUUACGAUUUCUUUUAGCCACGUAGUGAAAUUCAUAAUGAAAUGAUAUUUCAAUGCAUAUUUAGAUCAUAUAUCCCAAUGUAUUAUUUACAUUAACUUAGAUCAUGACACGUGUUACAUCACAUAUUAAAUUUUAUUUAUUAACGAAAUCUUAUUAUAUAAAAUAUAGUUUUUAUAGUUAGUAAGUCAUAGAAUCGUGCCACGUGUCAAAUUAAUGGAUUUCAGAUUUUGAAACGUGUAAAUAAAAAAAAUUUCCUUUUAAUAAAAAAAAUAAUUAUAAAAAAUUAUAAUUUAAACAGUUUUAAAAUGUAAAAAAACUAAUUAUAAGGAAAUUGUACCUAUAAUUCCAUAAGAUAUUUUGCCAUCUAGCAAACAAAAGUUUUGUUUUUAACAACUUAAAAAUUGUUAAAAGAAAAAUACAACAAAAUUAUAAAUUUAAACAGUUUUAAAAAUAUUAUAAUAAGAAAACUAUAAGUAUAUAUUUGUUCUUUUGCUUCGGAAUCACGGGACCAUCUCCUCCUCUUCCGCGAGUUUUCCUCUCAGGUUUGGCGCUUGGUUUUCAGCAGGUUAUGCCCUCGUCAGAGGCUGUUUUGCUCCUGGGCAGAACUACUCUCCUGGUCCCGGCGAGCUUCAGCCUCUGCUCCUUCUCUCCUCAGAAAAGUGGCAGCUCAGGCAGUGGUGUAUACUGUGGCGGCAGCGAAAUAAUGUCCUCCACAACUCUCAACGGCUUGCUCCUUCAGUUGUUUUCAAGCUGGUGGAUCGUGAUAUGCACAACAUCAUCUCUUCCAGAAGACUUCGGCGGCGUUGGUGUUAUCUGAUGUUGCUUUGGACUCGUUAGAUUGUUCUAUCUCUAUCUUAGUUGUUAUUGUACCCAUGUUUUUGUUUUUUUUGACAUGGUUGCUCUUGUGUAGGUUUGCUCUCUUGUAAAGCCUCAAACAUUCAUUCAUUAAUGAUAUUUACUUCUUUAGCAAAAAAAAAAAAGUAUAUAUAAAGAAAUUAUAUAUAUUUUUUCCAUAAAAAUAGAAAUUCUAAAAUUGUGCUAAACUUUUUAUUUAUAAGUUACCAAUUGGAUAACAGGUCCUCGUCUUGUCGAAAUGGCAGAGAACUUCAACUGCAUAUGCUAAUUUAAUCCAUUAGGAUCAACGAAAAGAGAAAAUCUUGAAUAGUUUUUACUUGUAUUUUGUAGAAGAAUCCUGAAUCGAAUGGUUUUUGAGCGAAGGAUGAUCAAAGGCUAGCUGCUUUUGAAUGUCGAUGCAGUCCAAUAUAUAUGUAACCAUGUUUUCGUCUGUCAAAAUACAAAGCAAAUAAGUAAAUUGAUGUGGUCUAAUAAAGAAAAUGUUAUUUUGAUUCCAAAGUGAGGUUAAAAGUUGUGGCUAUUCGGGUUUUUUUUACUAAUCUAAAAUGCAAAAGUAUCUUUGGUUCUAACUUCUAAGCAAUAAGUAUAGCCUAGUUUUACAACAUCAAAUUUGAACAGAUAAAACAAAAAUGAAAGAAACUUAUUGAAAUAUGAGUUUUUUUAGUUCUUUCCUAUACACUGUUAUAAUAAUUGAGCUAAUUCAUUUAAUUUCUUAUGACAUAUAAAUUUCCUAUAAUUUUUUUCUUUCACUCAUCCUAAAAAUAUGCUUUUAAAAGUAAUCGUAUACGAUUGCUUGUAUCACAGACCAUAUCAGUAGAAAGAUAAUAUAAAUUUUGACGUUCAACAAUUUAUUUGUUUAAGAGUAACAUCAAAAGUUUUAAAAUUAAAAAGUUAAAUUUACUUGGAAACUUUUUACGUACUACAUGUGUUUUUUUUUCUUUUGAUGGUAUUGUUCUUCGGCUAUCAGUAACCAAAAUAAGAGUAAUUGUUGACAAAGUCAACCAGAUAAGCUUGGUGGAGGACCUCAUAGAAAAUCAAGGAUCUUAAACUAUUAUUACCAAAGAUGAUUGAAGCAUAACAAGUAUAUAUAUGGUCUCACAUUUAUAGGAAAUAAUUAAUAAAAUAAAAAACAAAAUCUGAAAAACAUUAAUAAAAUAUGAAAAAGAUGUUAAAGAUCUGUUAACUAAUUGUGCAUCCUCCUGGUCCUCCAUAAAAAAUUGCACUAGACCACUCCUCACCAACCGUUGAUAUCGUUUGGACGUUAUAACAAGUUGGACUGUUUGCAAAUAACAUUAGACCCGAAGUUGGGGGACUCCUAACUUCUUUUGAAACAUGAUCGAUCACUUUAAGACCAUUCACAAAAGCUGCCUUUUUAAAGCCCUCUUGUGGAAAAUGUCCACUUCCCAUGAUUGGGCUUAUCAUGUUUUCCACUGAACUAAAAACUUCUCCUCCCCAAAAUAUCCGAUUUGCUCCAUUAGCUAAGCCUUCAAAAUGGAACAAUGAUCUUGGCCAAUACCCAAUUGGCUCGUCGCCUAGCACAAACCACCAAUCUCCUGUAUAAUAAUCCUGAUUUAACCAAAAGCAUUAACUCUUUUAGAAAUGGCGAUUCAGAUUUUAGUUUUGUUUAGUUUUAUUUUCUUUUUGGAUUAAUAGAAAUUGAAACAUAAUGAAAACAUUUGUAGUUUCUUUUGGUUUUGGUUUUAUUUAAUGCAAUUUCGGUUUAUGAAGCCAAAUCAAAACAAAAACUCAUGACUUUUGGUUUAUAUAUAUACUCAAUUCGGUUUAGACUAAAUAAUUUUGAUUUGUUGGCGGUUUAAGAAGAUAAUACUCAGCGAUCUAUAAACAAAAUUGUGGUUUGGUUUAAAUUAUUAAAUUUGGGUUGGUCAAUAAUUAUUUUAUUACAUUUUUUGGUAAAUAUAUCUAACUAUUACUCUCUCCGUUUCGUUUUACUUGUCGUUUUAGAGUUGAAAUUUUGUUUUAUAAUAGUUGUCGUUUUAGGUUUUCGAUGCAAAUGUUUGGUGAAAAUUCCAGUUUUAUCCCUACUGUUUUAAUGUUUCGGCCAAUGAAUUUUUUUAUAAAAUAUAUUAAUAAAGGGUAAAACAGAAAAUUUAAUGUUUUUCUUAAUUUGUGUGAGAAAACCUUAAACGACAAUUAAAACGAAACGGAGGGAGUAUGUAACUUAUGAGAGUAGUUUGAGAAAAAUGGUGCUACAUAUAUACCUUGAAUAAGCUGACUUCUAACUGAUAUUGUUGACCAUCAUAAAUGGAAACAGGUUCGGCACGAGCUCCAAGAGCGAACUUGCUGCUUACUUGAACAAACCCAGGACAUAAUGUACUAUAGCAACCUGUUUUGUUAUAUCCAUUUACCUAUUUUAAACAAUAAAAAACAAGAUAGUUUAUCCAGUAUAACUAGACUAUAUAUGUAAUAAAUUACCAAAAUUUAAAUAUUUUUGAGGAUCUUACCGACCAAUAUGUAAAUAAGCCACUAUGAUUCUGGUUCAAUUUUGGGGAUACCUGGGGGAUUUUGUUCUUUUCAAUUAUAUAGAUAUUUUGAAUUAUUAUGAAAUAUAAACUAUUAGAUUUUUGACUUACUAUCCAUCCAGCUGAGAUGCUCUGUAACGUAUCUUUAAGACCGCUCUCGACAGAUAUACUUGCUGGACUAAGUUGAUCAUCUUUGACAAAUGGAUCCCAUAUAUUAAUGUUUCCCCUUGCUCCAUCAUUGUCUUUAUAGUACUGAGCUAUCGCAAACUAAGAUAAUCAUAAGGAGAAAACCAAAAUAUAAGCACAUAUGUGUUAGGGUGUUAAGGUCUCAACUAUAUGAGCAAGAAGUGUUUCUUACAUGAUGACGGUUCAUACCGGGGCAGUUCCCGUCUUGGGGUGCUGGAUACUUGAACCCUAAGGAUUUCAAACGUUGAAAUUGUAUAAGAUCUUCAAGUGUAGUUCUUUUAAUAAUCACUGUUCCAAGUGGACAACUUAUGUCGUCAGCUUGUCGAAAUGGCAGAGAACUUGAUUUUUGAGAAGUGUUGUUAUCUCUUGUCCAUUUAGGUAUAAUUGUAGGCUUCAACUGUAUAUGAUAAUUUAAUCCAUUAGUAAAAAGAAAGAAUCUUGAAUAGCUUUUGGUUGUAAUUCAUAGAAUAAAACCUGAAUCGAAUGGUUUUUGAGCGAAGGAUGAUCAAAGGCUAGCUGCUUUUGAAUGUCGAUGCAGUCCAAUAUGUAACCAUGUUUCGUCUAUCAAAAUACGUACAAAGCAAAAAAAAAAAAAAAUGAUGUGGUCUAUAAAAAUGUUAUUUUGAUUCGAAAGUGAGGUUAAAAGUUGUGGCUAUUCGGUCAUUUUUUAAAAUCUAAAAUGCAAAAAUAUCUUUGGUUCUAAUGUAAACAAUUAGAAUAGUUUAACAACAUCAAAUUUGAGCAGAAUAACAAAAAUGAAAAGAGUAUUAUUGAAAUAUGAGUUGUUUUAGUUCUUUCCUACACUGUCAUAACAACUGAGCUAAUUCAAUAUUUAAUAUCUUAAUUAGGACAUAGAAAUUUCCCAUAUUUCAACAAUUUAUUUGUUUAAGAAUAACAUCAAAAGUUUAAAAAGAAAAAGUUAAAUUUACUUGAAAACUUUUUACUGCGGGUUUAUUAAUAUGGUUGAGUAGUUUCUCUAGCUCAUUUUUUUUCCUCUUUUGAUGGUAUGGUUCUUCGGCUCUCGGUAACGAAAAUGAGAGUUAUUGUUGACAAAGUCAACAAGAUAAGCUUGGUGGAGGACCUCAUAGAAAACAAAGGAUCUUAAACUAUUAUUACCAAAGAUGAUUGAAGCAUAACAACUAUAUAUAUUAUAUAUGGUCUCACAUUUAUAGGAAAUAAUUAAUAAAAUAAAAAAACAAAAUCUGAAAAACAUUAAUAAAAUAUGAAAAACAUUAAUAAAGUAAAAAAAAAAUCUGAAAUUAUUGAAAACCAACAAAGAACCUAUAUAUAUUAUAUAGUGACUGACAUACACAAGAUGGAUGAUGUUACUUAAAUUGUUUUGGGGGAUUUAACUUCUAAAAAAACUUCUAAAAUAUGUGAUAAAUAUGAAUUUUGUAUGUUUAAAGUAAAACUUAAAAUUGAAAAAAAUUGUAAGAACAGAAGAGAGAACAAAUUAUAACAAAGUAAUGAGUGUAUCUAUAAUAUACAACAAGUAAAUGAAACUAAUUAUCUAGAUCUUUUGAUCAACAAAGUACAAAGUAAACCUAACGCAAACAUGAUUGGCCAAACCGAGAAUUUGAUGGGAGUGUCAUCUCUACGUGUGAUGAAUGAAUAGUUAACGGCAGUGAUAGUCGUUUGGCACAAGGCGCAAACCAAGCCAAGCAUCUCUGGAAAGCUACCAAAUCUGUUUGAUCUUUGAGUUUGAUAGUGAAACCAAGGAAUGGGCCAAGUCCACUUCCACACAACUCUCUCAACUCUGCCUUUGUGCAAGAGAUCUAUGAUGCAAAGUAGACAUGAUAACAAUGACAUUGACAUUGCAACCAAUGCGUAUAAAGGUUUAUGUGCAGAGGAGAUCUGGUCGAAAACAGAAGAAGCUAUCUCCAACAUGAGGUUUGUGAUGACUAGAGACCACUCAAUUAUAAUCUGCUAAAAAAAAAGACGGAAGUUUCAUUCGAAUCAUUUUCGCCAACAUAUUUGUUAGUAACAAGGCGGUUUUUUGAUCUAAAAGACCUUCAUUCUUGAGGCUCUUAGCAGCUUGUUUUCGAUUUCCCGAGCUAUUUCAUUCACCAACAUCUCCUCAUCACUGGGAAUAUAAGCAUAAGCAAAAGCACACUAUUUACAAGUAGAGAAAGCAGUGAUCAUAAUAUUAAUCCCAGAGCUUAAAACAUGUAUAAUGCAUCGUUUACAAACAACAACAACAACAACAAAAAAAAAAAAAUGCAAAAGAGCUAUAUGAGUAAUUGGGGAUAUACCUCAAAUAGGCAGUACUCCAUCCAGGGAGGUUAAUGGCUUCUGUAAAACCAUCUUUCCAUUCUUGAAGCUUUUCGGCUAUAUCCCGUCGCUUAGCAAAGGCAUCUCCAAAACUUCCUGUCUGAUUUUCAAUGUCGAGAGGAUCCACAUGGUAAAGGACAGGUAUCACAAUCUGACCAAACUUUUCUUUGCAUUUCAAGAUGGCUACAACUUCAUCUAAACACCAUUUCGAAUCCCCAAAGUUUUCCGAGAAAACAAUGACUGAAAUUCUCGAUACUUCGAUUGCUUUUAACGACUCUUCGUAUCUCUCUUCAGCCGGUAGUUCGUCAUAUAAGAAGGUUUUGAUCCGCUUCCUACGUAGACAGCCACAGAGAUGGCUCACGAAGUUGUCACGAGUGUCUUUGGCCCUGAAACUUAUGAACACAUCGUGUUUCAUUGUAAGACUUGAUGAAUUUAUUUUUCUAUUUUUAUCAUACAAGUCUCCCUUCUUCUGUAACCAUCUUUAGUUCUUUAUAACUUUCUUUGCAAUUUCCUAGAAAUUAUUAUCUCUACUAAAGUACAAAAACACACGACGUAACUCCUUUUUUCUAUUGCAAUUUUCAAACUUUCUUCGUAGUUUCUUGGAAGUGUAUGUAUUUAAUAUUUGAUUUAGACAUCAAUCUGUCGACAAAUAUCGACAGCAACUUAUGCUGACUUUCAUGUCAUGUUAGUACAAUCAAAUCAGUUUUCACUGGAUUGAAUUGAUUUUCGGAAGCACACUCGAUUAUGUUCUGUACCACUCCAACUUUUUUGUUGUAACCAACAGAAGCUUAGAAUUGCAAAUUGGACUAUAUUAGUAAUAACCAGAGUAAAAAUAAUGGAAAUUUCAAAUGAAUAUAUCUAUGAGGUGGUUCUGAAGAAUGCAAACUAAUAAAUUGCUAAUUUCUAAGCAGAUUAAUAAAGAGCAAACGAUUUUAUAUGAUCAGAAAAAGCUAAGCAUGGAGUGAAAUAGUAAAAUCGAGAAAAAGAGAGCAAACUCGAAAAAGAGAUUGAAAUAGUCGUUUGUGCUUCUUUCACAUGUAAAGACCUUCAGGGACUCCUUCUUUCUUCUUGAACAUAACCUUCUCCUUGGCCUUCUUGAAGUCCACAUGCGUCACCUAAACCAAUAGACCAAAUAAGGUUAUUCAAAGAUUACGUAGAUGAAUCAAGUGGUGAGAAUCAGAGAAUCUUUACUUUCAUCCGACGCUCUCUAAGAGCAAGCAGACCAGCUUCUGUGCAUAUCGCCUUUAUAUCAGCUCCUGAGAACUCGUCUUUCGUCAUUACAAACUCUUCUAAGUUCACAUCUUCAGCCAAAGUCAUCUUUGAUGUGUGUAUCUAAUAAUGGAAUGCAAUUAAAAACCCAUCAGAGCUUUCUACAAAACUCACAAAAUUAAAGAAAAGUUCAGGAUCACCAAUUGUGUGGUACCUGGAAGAUACGUCUCCUUGUUUUGAUAUCUGGAAGAGGGAACUCGAUUUUCCUGUCGAUCCGGCCUGGUCUAAGAAGUGCCGGGUCUAGACUUUCAAUUCUGUUUGUCGCGAGAAUAACCUUAACAUCUCCUCUUGAAUCAAAUCCAUCAAGCUGGUUCAGUAGUUCCAACAUGGUUCUUUGGAUUUCACGUUCACCACCUGAGUUUGCGUCAUACCUGUUUCAACCACCAUUUUAAAUCACUGAUUAGAUACCAUCUCCGAAGCAAAGUCCAGAACAUUGUUAUCAAUGGAUCAUGUUUGUGUAGUAUUUAGGCAUACCGCUUGGUGCCAACAGCAUCAAUCUCAUCUAUGAAAACAAUAGAAGGUGAAAGGUCAUCAGCAACCCUGAAAAGCUCCCUCACAAGCUUGGGACCAUCUCCCAGAUACUUCUGAAUCAGUUCACUACCGACAACACGCAAGAAAGUAGCUGAUGUAGAAUUCGCCACUGCCUGAAAGAAUAACAAGAAAUAAUACUUGCUCAUUUAACAAGCAUAAGACACAUUAAAAAGAGCCACACAGCAACAAUCCAUGCUUGCGACGUAGACAAAACAGAAAACGAAGACAUUAGAUCAGUAAAAUGACUCUGAAAAUCUUCCUCCAUCUGCACAAGUACUACUAUCUAAUAUCUAAAUUCUAGGUGAUCAAACCAAAGAAGCCACUGUCCUGACUAAUUUAUCUUUCUAGGGACAAAGAAUUACAGCUUAGCUUAGUGAAGAUUGCUAAAAGACUUAAUUGAGUAAUUAACAACUAGGAAGCUUCUAAUACUUGAUACACUAUAGGCCAAAAGACGAACCUUAGCAAGCAAUGUCUUCCCAGUGCCUGGCUCACCAUACAAGAUCACACCUUUUGGUGGCUUAAUACCGAUAUCUUCAUACAACUCGGGAUGUGUUAAAGGUAGCUCAACAGCUUCCUUGAUCUCCUGAAUCUGAGCUUCUAAACCUCCAAUGUCAGCAUAUGACUCUAAAGGAGCUUUCUCCACUUUCAUCACAGACACCAUUGGAUCAACUUCAUCUUGAAGAAUCCCAACAACAGAGAGUACCUAUCACAAAACAAUAUCACAUAGAAGAAGCAUUGUAAAAUUAGAUACUCUUCCAACUAAAUUCCUAUUUCAAUCUCCCAGAAAACGAAUCCCGAACUUCAAUACCUUGUUAUGCAUCAAAAUUGAACAACCAGGUUCAAGCUGAUCCUUAUCAACGAAAGACAAAAUCCCAACGUAAUACUCAGGACCAACAGAAGAAGAAACAAUGGCGUGAUUCUCAUCAAUAAGCUCUUCAAGAUUGCCAACACUCAUAGGUGUACCACGAAGAUCAUCAACUUUAGAUCUAUCUUCCUCAGCUUUCUCUUCCUGAGGUUUCAAUCUCUCCUGAUUCGCUACGAAUUCUUCUUCCAUAAGCAAAUAGUCCUUGAUUCGCUCCAGUUUAAGCAAUCGAAGCUUACAUUUAGUAGAAGGAGUCACCGUCGGCAAUCUCGCCGCCGCUUCAGGUCCUUUCUGCUUCCGUUGCUUCCUCCCUACACGAGCAGGUGGUGCGGCUGGUUCGAACUUCUUCUCUUUCUUGUCACCACCAUCUGGUUUCCGAUCUCCUUGCCGAUUCAAUCCGCCGGAAGGUCCUUGACCCAUUGGAGUUUCUUCUUUCUCUUUUGCUUCGUCUCUCUCUCUCUCAGAGGUUUCUUGCUCUCGGAGAAACAAAUCUUCAAAUUUGAUAGCGGAGUAGAGAAUAAAAAUGGGCUUAUUAGUUUGGGCCUUUUUAACGAUGUGAGAAGCUUAAUGGGCCUAGAGGUAUCGCAAUUUUUUCAAAACGGAUUCAACCUAACCUAUUACUUCCUCCAUUUCGAUUUACUUGUCGUUUUAGAGUUAAAAUUUUAUUUCAUAAUAGUUGUCGUUUUAAGUUUUUGAUGAAAAUGUUUGGUGAAAAUUCCAGUUUUAUCCUUACUGUUUUAAUGUUUCGGCCAAUGAUUUUUUAUAAAAUAUAUUAAUAAAGGGUAAAAUAGAAAAUUUAAUGUUUUUCUUAAUUUGUGUGAGAAAACCUUAAACGACAACUAAAACGAAACGGAGGGAGUAUCUAUUAUCUCAACUUAUUUAUUCAAAUAAGAAUUGAAUUUAUUCAUAUUGUUUGUGUAAGUACACAAUUUGAAAUGCAAAAACAAAAGAAAGAUACAAUCGCGGAAAUAUCAAUCAAAUCUUUAUAUUAGUCUUUUUAUUAUUAAAUUUGUGGUAUUUUGGAGAUUGUUAGCUAAAUUUAGUAGUAAAACUUAUUUUUGUGUUAUUUGUGAGAAUUUAUUAUGUACAUCAAAUGUAUUUAUUGCAUUAAUUUACAAAGAUUUAUUAAUCUUUUCAUCUUUUGAAAAAAAAUUUGUAUACACUAAUUUAAAAUAAAAUAAAAAAUAAUAAUCAUGUGAUUAGGAAAAGAUAAAUAAAACAAGACAAAUAUAAAAAGAAAAAUCGAAAAACGACAGAGAACUUCAAGUUGGAGUUAGCUAGCUAGCUUGCUUUAUGCACAGAAGAACAGUCGCCGGCUAAAGUCUCAACCUUUUUCCUCUCCGCCGUUCACAUUCACCUGCAUUUCUCCCUUCUUUCUUCUUCUCCGGCUAGAUUUCAUUGUCGCCUGAGUUUCUCGGCGAUGGGAGACGAGAAGCCGGCGAUUGUUAUGGCCAAUCGAGAAAGAGAUCGAGAGCUUCUGAUUCCCGUUGCUGAUUCCGGCGACAAAGACGAUGGUCCUUCUUCAAAGCCUUCUUCUUCUUCUUCCUCUUCUUCGCAUCAAUCCAGCCAAGAGGUCUACUUUCCUGAUAUUGAAUCUUAUACGAUCUUCUUCGUUUUCUCAUUUCAAGAUUCAUGCGAAAAUAACACUAGAAUUGGAUUGAUUUUAAGCUCUUAGUUCCUUUCAAGAUUUAGUCUUCAGAGAUUUAGCCGAUUCUGUUUCCUCUUAGUUCAAAAUCUGGGAACUUGUUUUACCCUAGAUUCAAUCUAUUUCAAGAACACUUGCUUAGAUAAGUUUGGUAGUGUUUUAACUAGCCAAACACUGAUCUUAAUUCUUAAGAUGCUUAUAAAAAUUUGACCUUUUUCUGAUUGGGUAGAGUAUGAAUUUGCAUUCCAAGUGUUUUGGUUGUGAUCCGUCAGAUUCUUGAGUCUUUAUGUUAUGCUAAUUCAUGUUUUCAAUUAUAUAUAACACAUAGAGCAUUGUGGUCUGAUGCUUUAGCUAUUUUCUCCAGACGUUUAGCUUGUUCAUUAGGGGUUGGGCGUCAAAGAAGUUCAUGACAGGCUGGUAAGGAGGAGUUGAAAUUUUGGCAUUCGAUGAAGUUGUCACAGAUUCAGCAAAACUUGUGUUGAUAGUUUUAAAUCUCAAUUGCUUUGUGCAGUGUUAUCCUACUUCCUAUUGCAAUUACUUUCUAUAUAACAUGGUGGUUUAUUCACUUUGUCGAUGGAUUCUUCUCUCCAAUAUAUGCACAACUUGGGAUCAACGUAUUUGGUAAGAAUUUGAGUGGCUUCUCUUUAUUGUAUUAACAACUUGAUAUCGGUUUCUCACACGAGUUUGAUUUUGGUUUUAUAGGUUUCGGUUUUCUGACUUCCAUUGCAUUCAUCUUCUUGGUCGGGGUGUUCAUGUCCUCGUGGUUGGGUGCAUCGGUUCUGAACUUGGGAGAGUGGUUUAUCAAGCGGAUGCCCUUUGUUCGUCACAUCUACAACGCCUCCAAGCAAAUCAGCACGGCCAUAUCGCCUGGUCUAGCUUUAAAAAAUCUUAUUUUGCUUCUCAACAGUGGAUCAAAUUUUCCAAUCUCAACUUGUUCUUAUCCAUUUUGUUCCUUCUCAUUUCAGAUCAAAAUACACAAGCUUUCAAGGAAGUUGCAAUCAUCAGGCACCCCCGUGUAGGUGAAUACGCAUUUGGCUUCAUUACAUCAACUGUUGUUCUCCAGGUGAGUGAAAAUGCUUGGCUCAAGGAUUUGGUUAUUCUUUUCAGAACUUCUUAAGGAUACAGAGGGCAGAUACAAUUUCGUGGCCAUGUAAUAAUGCUCUUCAUCCUUGCAGAACUACCCAACCGAGGAGGAACUCUGCUGUGUAUAUGUUCCCACGAACCACCUGUACAUUGGAGAUAUACUACUUGUCAACAGUAAUGACGUUAUCAGGCCAAAUCUCUCUGUCCGGGAAGGAAUUGGUGAGAUUUCAGAACCUAUUGUCUGUCUUAGAUACAUCUAUUGUUAUAUGGCAUUCAAAUUUAUUUGUGGAAAGCUACUGAACUUUUUAUACUCAUUCUUCAUCUGCAGAGAUUGUUGUCUCGGGUGGAAUGUCAAUGCCACAGAUUCUAUCGACUCUUGAUAAACCUUUGGCCUCGAUUGAUAGAGCUACAAGCUUAUAGUUUCAAGUAGAAGAUUCUCUUUUUGUUGGGAUUUGUUGAUGAGUGUGUGUCUGUCUCUGGAGUCUCUUCAAUAUUGUUGUAAUAUUUCAUUUGUGUUCAGAAAAGUGUAUAAUGUAAGAUAGGUCUCUCUCUUCUUAGAUAUGAAUCUUUCUCCUGAAAAUAUUAUUUUUCUUGAAAAAGUAUUGAGAAAUUCCUUCCAUUUUUACAAGAAUUGACUAAAUCCUCUAUCAAAAAAAAGACCAAAAUUUGAUUUUGUUUAUUUAUUCUUCAAAUCUCAAGAUGAAGUUAACAUCAGGUUCCUAAAACAUAUAAGAAUCAGACAAUAGCAUGUAUGUUCCACAGUAAGCAUCACUGUGAUUGCCAAUGGUAAGUAACAAUGUACACAAAUAAUGACAACAAUUUGUAAAGAAACAGCUCUCUUAUGAAUCAAAGAGAAGAAUUUGGAGGAAAGAAAAGAAGAAGAAAGCCUAAUAACACAAUCAAAAUUGUGUGAAUAGUUAUAUAGUAAUACUUUCUAAGCACCUGCUAAUGCGAUGAAGCCGCAACCUCUCCUCGGUUUUAGAAUAUGUAAGAGGAAGAAAAAGAAGUGUUGGUGGCAUUACCUCGUAAAUCAGGCACAGGGAGGUGGAUGCAGCUGCAUUUCUGUAAAGUUAUUGUUUCCUAAACGAGUAAAUAUUGAUUCAGAGGUCUUUCUUCUCAGACAAAGCUGGAGUUUUAUGAAGAUGAGUUUGUGAGGAUGUGUUUGGUGUUGUUGUUGUUGUGGUUGUUGUUGUUGUUAUUGUUGUUGUUGUUGUUGUUGUUUUUGUUGUUGUGGUUAGCUGGGAAGGUUGCUUUGCGGUUUGUGAAACUCCAUUUGCAACUGGUCUUUGAUCAACCACUGGGUCGAUUUUGACAGCAGUGUGUACAGGUGUAUCUAGAUCCAUUCUUGACAUCAGACAAUUUGAUUCUGCAACAAACAAACAAACAAAAAAACUAGGUUUGAAAACGUGAAUCUUAUGUUUGGGCAUAUACUCCAUUUUCAUGAUGAUAUAAGAAAUGUCUACCUUUUACUUCUCCGCAGGAGAUAAUUCGGUUAAGGCAGUCACGGAACUUGGUUAAUACUACUUUCUCUUGUUCUGCAUAAACCUGGUCUUGCCCAUUUGGUAGCUGUGAGGGAGGCUCCACCGAACAAUUAGGUGAAGCUGCAACCAUUAACAUUGUGUCCCGUUCGUCACACAUCAAUGCCAAAGUUUCUGGAGAUAGUGACCUCCCUUUGGAGCCAUCUGGACCAGAUUUCUCAGCUUGAUUUCCACUCGCAGCUUUUUCACCCUCGGUACCUUUAUUAUUGCUGUGUCCUUGAUCUUGCACAGAAGAAGCUACGGAAGUUUCUUUCUGAUCUGCUAACCUUUCUUCUGUUAAUGUCUUUGCAGCUUCCCCAGCUACAGAUACCAGAACAGAACAGAGUGCUUUCACAUCCUUCGGUUUAAUUAUGUCUGCCAAAAGAGACCUUCAAAAGAAAUCAUAUUUAUAACUCAGUUUCUGCAAUCUCAGAGAAAAGAUUUAGCUUUGUAAACACAUCAUAAAUUUACCUAUAUACAACUUUGGAUGGGCGUAACGACGCAUUGCCUCCAGCAUGAGAACCAGUUUUCGGAGAUGUGGUUCUUCCACUAUUUGCCUGAUACCAGUACUUAAACAAUAAGAUCUCUCAUUUCUCUAACAAAGGAGGGCAGAUAAGGAAAUCAUAUAGAAUAUUGACACGACUAAGCAAAUAAACUUGAGGUUUUUGCGUAAAUGAUGUACCUGGCCAAGCCUAUGAGUGGAUGAAUCUUUGGGUCCUUGGUUAAAAAAAAUCUCCUGACCUUUCCUUCUCUUAGGAGCUGGAGCAGAUGCAAAGCCAGAGGAACCAAUAGCUCCGGUUAUGGCAGCAUUUGCGUGUUGAAGAUAAGCCACGUUGUGGGAAUGUUCACCGUGAAAGAGAGAUUGUCUAACUUCACUUCCUUCAAAGUUUUUGCAAUCCAAGCAUUUGCAGUUCUCAGAACAAAGAAUGUUAGCUUGAAAACACUCACAAUACUUCUUAAGACAUCCAGAUUUCUUGCAGUGACAGCCUUUGUUGUGUCUCCCUAACAACACAACUUCACCAACCUCCUCCUGCAAAUCGAGUGAAAAUUUAUAACUCAUCCAACAACCUUAAGACCAACAGUUUGAAGAGCAUAACACCAUAAGUAAACCACGUACCCUGUUAUCUCGUCCGCCGUGUGGACUAGCAGCAAUCUUAGGCCUGAACGCAUUCGGAUUCCGUUCCAGAGUUGAUCCAAUCGCUUCUCGUCUCUCUGGCUCAUUUUCAACGUUGUUGUGACAAUUUACACAGUUGCAACCAUCACAAUAAGAGCCAGAUGCAAAGCAUUCACAAUACCUGAUCAAAAAGAUAUUGCACAAUGUUCAAUUCAUAUUUACAAAGUCCACAAAGAAACAAAGAGUUUCUCAUCAAAUGGUUGAUGAUGAAGACUUACAGCUUCAAGCACCGUGAGUGUUUACAGUUACACUGUUUCUUCUUCUGAGGUGUUCCAUCUCUAGCUUCCCCCACAGGCCUUACAAAAGAGAAGAAACAAGUGUCAACUCUAGAAAUUCAAACCUUGCCCUAUUCAUUAUGAAAUAUCAAAAUGUCAAUUUCAAUAAUCUCUAUGUAAAGAUCUAUACUUUAAUCCCAAAUCUGACUUCAGCAAUAUAGAAACACAUAUCUAAUAACUAACUUCUCAAAAGUUCAAAUUUUUGAAAACUUACGGAUGUCUAAUUGGGACGUGAAGGAUGCCCUGAGAUUGUGGCGGCGGUGGAAUCGGAGUCCCCACCGUCGCUGUAACCGGUCGUGCCUGACUGGUAAUUGGCCGCGUAACCGGCGAAGGGAUUGAUGCAGCAGCAGUCGAAGAAGAUGCAACCGGAGGUUGAUUAGACUGUGAAUACUCCACACCAGUAAAAUCGAGUUGCCUCGCCGACUUCAUAGACUCUAGUGUAACCUCAUCCGUUUUUGGCGGGAAUUUUUCCCCUUCUUCACCUUCUCCCAUCUCAAAAAAACUUCGAAUUUCUCAGAAGAAACCCAGAAAUUUUCCCUAUUUUUUCAAAAAAAAAAAAACCCAAAAUUUAUAAUCACCAAAUACAAAUCAACAAAAUUUAUAAGAUCUGAAUCUACCCUUAAUCCUGUUUCUACGAAAACCCAGAAACCGAAUCGGCGACUGCUAAAACUCAAAAAUUGGAUUUUGAAAUUCGAAUUUUUGAUCUAGACUUAAAGAGAUAGAUAGAUGAAAUUAGGGUUUUGAAAGGUUUUAGCUUCGGAGGAAGAAGAAGAAGAGAGAUUUGGUAACCACAGAGGAAUCAAAAAAAAAAACAGAGAAUUUGGGGUUUUUCUUCUUCUUCUUCUUCGCGAGAGCUUAUUGUUUAACUCUGCUCUCCUCCCUCUCUUAUACAUGUUUUGAAAUUUCAAUUUUUCUGGAUUAUAUUAGACGGUUAGAUUUCACUGACAAUUUGAUCCUACGGCUCUUAUUGAAUACGUUGAUCCGACGAUUACUAUUCAUAUCAGGUUUGAAGUUUCGUUGAUCUUUCACCGUCCGAUCGUCACAAAUUAUUUAAACAAAAAAAAAAGCAAAUUUAUUACUCGUGAGGACACAAGAGAGAAGUAAAGUUUUAAAAUAACGGUUUUGGCCCAAAUUAUUUGGUUCCUCACGAAAAUGCCCCAAUAGUUUUAAAUAUUCAAAAACAUAGCAAAAGAAAAGAAAAAAAGAAAUCUACGUAAGAAAAAGAAUCAAAACUGACGAUUUGUUGAUGUUGCGUGAUGAAAAGGAAUCGAUUUUCUGUAUCUAUGUUCUUCCCCAAAAUUAGGAUUUGAAGAGCUUUUUUUUUGUAGUUUAAACAAGAAGAGUCAGGUUUAAAAUUGAUUUUGGGGAUUUAUAGAAACUGAAAAUGAUUUUUAUCUUUUAAUUAAGGUUUAGUUAACAUUUUAAUUAUCUUCUGACAAUAAUUAAAAAGUUAAUGUUUAGUUAUUAAAAUAGCAUAGUUAAAGUUGACUAAUUUCAGGUCUAUUUUGCAUAGUCAACAAAAAAAACUUUGAUAUUUAUCUUGCUAUAUAAAGUUGAGAUUUCAUUUUUAACAUGCGUUACCAAAAAUAAGAAGAUUUGUUUUAAAUAUUUUCUUCUUAAAAUAGAUACGUAAAUUUUAGAAGAGUAUUUAGUUUUUUGUUAAUCAAAUUCCUCGUCAGAAACAAAAUUUAUACUCUACAUAAAACUAAUUCUUUCCUCAUAAAUGUUGAUAAAGCUUGAAGAGUAACUUGAGCCAUAAGUUACUAAAAUAAAGGAAGAGAUAAUAUUGAGAAUAUUUAGGAGUUAUCUAAAUAUUGUUUAGGAGAUAUCUAAACCUAGUCCUAGCUUGUUUUGGGAGUCAUCUAAGAUCUCUAUAUAAGAGUUGCCAAUGUUGUGGUUAACCUUAUGAGUUUUAAGAGAUUGAGAGAUUAGAGAGCUUUAAGUUUUGUGUAAGUUUCUUAAAGGAAUAAAAGAGAGAAGUCUUUUAUAGUUCUAAUCUUCUAAAAUCUCAAAGUGUUUAAAUCAAUAUUUGGUAUCAGAGCUUUAUUGAUUUAAGCAUCGGAGACGACCAAGUUGUGUUCAUACGUGUUUCUCGUGAAAUCAUACCAUGGCUGACAUAAUACCUGUACCGGACAAACCGAAAGAGAUUAGUAUGGGAUCCAUAAAAUGUCCGAUGCUCAACAAUGUCAACUAUAUUGUAUGGGCGAUGCGUAUGAAGGCAGCUCUUAAAGUUCACAAAGUGUGGGAUACCAUUGAUCCCGGUUCUAAUGAUGAGGAGAAGAACGACGUGGGGAAGGCUCUUCUUUUCCAAUCUAUACCGGAGUCAAUGGUUCUUCAAGUCGGUGAACAUGAUACUUCAAAAGCAGUUUGGGAUGCUAUAAAAACUAAGUAUGUAGGAGCUGAACGUGUUAAAGAAGCUAGGCUUCAAACUCUGAUGGCUGACUUUGACAGAUUGAAGAUGAAAGAUGGAGAAUCAAUUGAUGAUUUUGCCGGGAAGCUUUCAGAACUGUCUACCAAAUCCGCAACUUUAGGAGAAGAGAUUGAAGAGUCGAAGCUAGUUAAGAAAUUUCUUAAAAGCUUACCAAGGAAGAGAUUCAUACACAUCACCGCCUCACUUGAACAAGUCCUAGAUCUGAAAAAUACAAGUUUUGAAGAUAUUGUCGGGCGAUUGAAAGUUUAUGAAGAACGUAUAGGUGACGAUGAAGAAGAUCAAUCUAACGAUCAAAGUAAGCUUAUGUAUGCUAGCUCCGACACACAGAUAUAUCAAGGAAACCAAGGAUUUGCUAGAGGCAGAGGAGGAAGAUUCUCUCAACGGGGAAGAGGACGUGGCCGCUACGGGAACCAACAGAGAGAUGCUUCGAAGAUAGUGUGUUACCGGUGCGACAAGACCGGACACUAUGCAUCAAAUUGUCCCGACAGGUUACUCAAACUCCAGGAAGCACAAGAAGUUGACGACAGCGAUACACAAGAGGCUGAGAAUCUGAUGAUGCACGAGGUCGUAUACCUCAAUGAGAAAAACGUGAAGCUAAGUGACUUUGAAACUUCAUCAGAUGAAAGCAAUGUUUGGUAUUUGGAUAAUGGGGCCAGUAAUCACAUGUCAGGAAAUAGGUCCUAUUUUCAAAAGAUUGAUGAAACAGUCACAGGGAAGGUAAGAUUUGGCGAUGAUUCGCGUAUAGAUAUCAAAGGAAAGGGUUCAGUCCUCUUCAUUAGCAAGAACAAAGAGAAAAAGGUCUUGGCAGAUGUUUAUUUCAUUCCAGAAUUGAAAAGUAACAUCAUAAGCCUUGGCCAAGCAACAGAGGCAGGAUGUGACAUUAGAAUGAGAGAGGACUACUUGACGGUACACGAUCGUGAUGGAAAGCUGCUAGUGAAAGCAAGAAGGUCCAAGAAUCGCUUAUACAAGGUACUCAUGGAGUUGGAAUCUGCGAAGUGUUUACAAUCAGAAGUGUUAAGUGACUCGGAGAUUUGGCACGCAAGGUUAGGACACAUUAGCAUAGAGACAAUGAAAACCAUGUUGAAGAAAGAAUUAGUAAAUGGAAUGCCAAUGAUGUCAAUUCAAAAGGAUACAUGUGCUUCUUGUCUGCUAGGAAAACACGUAAGGAAAGUGUUUCCCCAAGCAACCGCAUAUCGAGCAACCAACAAACUUGAACUCAUACAUGGAGAUAUUUGUGGACCCAUUACGCCGUCUACAGCUGCACAAAAAAGGUAUGUAUUCGUUCUAAUUGACGAUUACUCUCGCUACAUGUGGUCCAUACUUCUAAAAGAAAAGAGUGAAGCGUUCGAGAAAUUUAAAAGGUUCAAGAUGUUGGUUGAGCAAGAAACCGGCACUACCAUCAAAACUUUUAGAACUGACAGGGGCGGUGAGUUCUUGUCCCAAGAAUUCCAAAGUUUUUGUGACAAUGCCGGAAUACAAAGACACUUGACAGCACCAUAUACUCCUCAGCAAAACGGAGUAGUCGAGAGAAGAAACAGAACGCUAAUGGAGAUGACUAGGAGUAUCUUGAAACAUAUGAGCAUACCGAAUUACUUGUGGGGAGAGGCAGUGAGACAUGCAACAUACUUGAUAAACAGAGUGGGUACAAGAGUGUUAGCUACACAAACUCCAUAUGAAGCUUUCAAGGGAAGAAAACCAAACAUAGAACACUUGCGGGUAUUUGGUUGCAUAGGCUACACAAAAAUUGAGAUACCACAUCUAAAAAAACUUGAUGAUCGAUCACGUGUACUAGUUCACUUAGGGACAGAGCCUGGAUCAAAGGCUUAUCGCAUGUUGGAUCCAACAACCCGUCGGAUAACAGUGAGCAGAGACGUGGUUUUCAAUGAAAACAAGAGAUGGAAGUGGAACAGCUCAAGUAACGAAACUGAAGAUAGCCCUGGCACGUUUAAACUCAGUCUUGGAAGCUUUGGAAAUAAUGGUUUGAGAGAAGAGGAGGAAGAAGCUGCGGGAAAUAAAACCAGAGUCGUAGAAGAAACAGAGGAACAGAGCGACGAACACGCUAACGAUGAUCAUGGUUCCAUAGAUGGAGAAAAUUCUAUGUCUGAUCCUAGAGAAACAGAACGCAUCAUCGAAGAAGAGCAAAUCCAGCAGCCCAUUCAACCUAUUUUAAGAACUUCACAACGACAGAUUACAAAACCAAAGUAUUUAGAAGACUAUGUCUUGUUAUCUAGCAUCGAGUGCGAGCAUCUUCUGAUGGUGCUAAAUGAUGAACCAUGGGAUUUUAAUGAGGCUAAGGAAUCUAAAGAGUGGAGAGAAGCCUGUGAAGAAGAAAUCUCGUCGAUUACAAAAAAUAAGACAUGGAACCUAGUUGAACUUCCAAGUGGAGCUAAGGCAAUUGGACUAAAGUGGGUCUUUAAAAUUAAACGAAACUCUGAUGGUAGUAUAAACAAAUUUAAGGCGAGACUUGUGGCUAAAGGUUAUGUUCAGAGACAUGGUGUGGACUUCGACGAAGUGUUUGCUCCUGUGGCACGUAUCGAAACAAUCCGGUUCAUUAUAGCCUUGGCAGCCUCAAAUGGAUGGGAGGUGCACCACCUCGAUGUAAAGACUGCGUUUUUACACGGUGAACUGAAAGAAACAGUCUAUGUCACUCAACCAGAAGGGUUUGUAACUAAAGGAAGCGAGGAGAAAGUUUACAAGCUGAACAAAGCUCUUUACGGGCUAAGACAAGCACCUAGGGCAUGGAACAACAAGUUGAAUCAGAUUCUUAAAGAAUUGAAGUUUGUUAAAUGCUCAAAGGAACCAUCGCUUUAUCGGAAGCAAGAUAGCAAGCAUCUCCUCAUCGUAGCUGUUUACGUGGAUGAUCUAUUAGUUACUGGUUCAGACCUAAGCUUGAUACUAGAAUUCAAGAGAGGGAUGGCGACAAAGUUUGAGAUGAGCGAUCUAGGACUGCUGACUUAUUAUCUUGGCAUUGAAGUCAUACAACAUGCUAAUGGUAUAAUCUUAAAGCAAGAGAGAUAUGCAGCAAAGAUCUUAGGAGAAGCUAAGAUGGAGGAGUGCAAUGCGGUUCAUAUACCAAUAGACCCGGGGUUGAAAUUGUCGAAGGCACAAACAGAGAAAGGCAUUGACGAAAAAGAAUAUCGGAGAAACAUUGGAUGCCUUCGUUAUUUACUUCAUACUCGACCGGAUCUCUCGUAUUCAGUCGGUGUGCUAAGUAGGUACAUGCAUGAGCCAAAAGAAUCACAUGGUGCAGCGUUGAAACAAGUUCUUAGAUACUUAAAGGGAACACAAAGUUAUGGUUUAUCAUUUGCUCGUGGAAUAAAGACCGGACUUGUUGGAUAUAGUGACAGCAGCCACAACGUGGAUGAAGAUGACUGUAAAAGCACAACUGGACAUAUAUUCUAUCUUGACGAGUAUCCUAUCACUUGGUGUACACAAAAGCAAGAGACCGUAGCUUUAUCUUCAUGUGAAGCUGAGUUCAUGGCAGCCACCGAGGGAGCUAAACAAGCAAUUUGGCUUCAAGAACUUCUUAGUGAAGUUGUCGGAAAACCAUGUGAAAGAGUGAAGCUACUGAUUGAUAACAAGUCGGCAAUUGCUCUUGCCAAAAACCCGGUGUUCCACGGACGUAGCAAACAUAUUCACAAGAGAUACCAUUUUAUUCGUGAAUGUGUGGAGAAUGAGCAAGUAGAAGUGGAGCACGUUCCAGGAGAGGAACAAAAGGCCGACAUUUUGACAAAAGGACUUGGAAGAAUCAAGUUCAAGGAAAUGAGAAAUCUUGUGGGAGUUCAAGACGUGUUGAGUAUCGACUUCAAGCUUAAGGGGGAGAAUGUUGAUAAAGCUUGAAGAGUAACUUGAGCCAUAAGUUACUAAAAUAAAGGAAGAGAUAAUAUUGAGAAUAUUUAGGAGUUAUCUAAAUAUUGUUUAGGAGAUAUCUAAACCUAGUCCUAGCUUGUUUUGGGAGUCAUCUAAGAUCUCUAUAUAAGAGUUGCCAAUGUUGUGGUUAACCUUAUGAGUUUUAAGAGAUUGAGAGAUUAGAGAGCUUUAAGUUUUGUGUAAGUUUCUUAAAGGAAUAAAAGAGAGAAGUCUUUUAUAGUUCUAAUCUUCUAAAAUCUCAAAGUGUUUAAAUCAAUAAUAAACGAUUUAGUUUUGGUUCUUUAGUAAUGAGUGGUUUAUGUGUUUAAUUCCUUUUUCUGUAAAUCAUCUCAAACCCUAUAAGAGUUUUUUUGAUGGCUUUAGCUCCAUGCUGAACUCGCAAAGAGUGAACUAUGAUGUUCAACUUCAGGAUUUGAUCCUUUCCUAUGGGCUUUUACUGUUUAGACUUUUGUGAUGGUUUAAUUUUUAGGUUUUACUCAUUAAGCUACUUUGCAACUAGGCGUAAGAAUUUUGUAAGACUUAGGUACCAUGAAAGCUUCAUUGCAGGUUUGCUUCCUACUUCAGAAUCGAAAGCUUACAUAAUAUUGUGAUUCUAUUUUUAAAAUUUGAUGUCACUAAUAAAUGAAUAUAAAAUUAAACUUAUUUUCAUGUAAAAUCAUAUAUUUAAUGGCACAAAAUUUUAUGACAUCAAAAAGGAACUUUUUUUUUUUCGGGCGCUCUUCUCUCUCUUCUUUUCUCUCUCUAUAAAGGGCGAAAUUGUCGUCGUUCUCUUCCCACCUCCGGCGUCUCUCACGGCGUCGGAAUCCUCUCCCUCCUCUCAUGGGGAAAACCUCAAAACCAAAGAAGAAGCCGCCUGGGAAGAAUCCCCAAUCCGUCUUAAUCUCUCCGGCGUCUUCAACCUCGAAGUCAGAUGUUAACAGUAACAGGCAGUCGCUUCCAAGGUCGCCUAUCGCUCCGAUCUCUCCCGAAAUCGCCUCAGUUCCUUCCAAUGUGAAGAGCUCAGCCGUUAUUGCAACAGAAUCCACUGUGUUGGUAAAUCUGGAAGGGAAAAUGAAGUAUUUGCCUGAGGCUUCAUCUUUCUCGCCUCCAGGGUCGCCUCAAUCACAGAUCCAAGUUCAAAAUGCCUCAGCCGUCCCAGUGACUUGCUCAGCCAUUAUCGAGAUUCCAGCCGCCGGUGCUCCGGACUUAGGUCAAAAAAUCUCCGUGAAUGUGGCUCCGAAUCAAUCUGAUUCCGACCCAUUGAAUACUUCGAUUGACGGUGAAUCUGCUCAAUCCAAGUCGGCUGUUGAAGCCUUAAACCCAGUGGCGACCCAAAUCACCACGCCUGCUCCAAAAAUUGAUCCAUGGCUGGGUCUCUUUAAAGGGCCUUCAAAGAACCUCUCCAAAAAGGGUAAAGCUUUCGUUCUACCUUCGGGAGAGUCUUGUGUCAAAAUCCCAAACUCUGUAAUAGAGAAAAAUCUAAAGGCUUGGGAGUCUUUCAUUAUCGGUCAAUUCUAUGCCGACCCACCACCGCAAGCUCUGAUUCAUACGAUCGUAAAUGGUAUUUGGAGCCCUUGUUUCAAGGAUAUCUCUGUCUCAAAAUUAGAGGGGAAUGCUUUCCUUUUUCGAAUUCCCAACGCCCAGACUCGCCUUAGAGUUCUGAACCAGCGUUUGUGGCAAGUGGAAGGCCAGACAUUGUUUGUUGCGCAUUGGGAGCCAGGCAUCGUUCCAGUCAAGCCUGAAUUAACCUCAGCACCAAUCUGGUUGGAGUUGAGAGACGUCCCUUUGCAGUACUUUAACGAGGAUGGUCUCGAGCGCAUUGCUGGUUUGGUUGGAGAUCCCAAAUUCCUUCAUCCUUCAACUGCAAAUAAAACCAAUCUGGAAGUCGCCAAAGUCUUUACUUUAAUUGACCCUAGGAAGCUUUUGCCUGAGGUUGUAAACGUGCAAUUCGAUACAGGCGAAAUAAAGAGAAUCCUGGUAUCUAGCCCAUGGAUGCCUCUAAUCUGUUCGCAUUGCAAGGAAGUUGGACACAGCUUGAAGAGAUGUCGAACAGCCCCAGUGUUAUGCAAGAGCUGUAAGUCUACUAGUCAUGCUGCGGAGAAGUGUCCUCGAAUCAAAGGAAAUGGUGCGAGAAAGCCAUCUUCUAUGAAAGGUAAGGCAAAGGUUACUGCUCAGGUGGAAGUUGAAAAUCAGGUUCAUGUUGUGGCUCCGCUGCAGACACAGAGGGUAACAGCAGUGCAACAAUCACCUACCAAGAACAAGGCCUAUGUAGCUAAAGCAAUUCCAGAAGCUGAGACUGUGGUUCCUAUUGCUAGCCAUUCAGUCCCUCUUGUAGGUGAGUCUAGUAAGGCUACAGGAAAGAGAGUGCUGGUUGAGGAUUCAGAUACAGAUAAAGGGAAGGUUUCUGAGGCUGAGCUAGACUCCUCUGAUACCUCGUCAAGUGAAGAAGGAGAGAUUUCUGAGGAUGUAUGUACCUCUGAAGAAGAACACGAGUACUUGGAAGUUGUUUCAAAGAGAAAUCGGAGAAAUUCCAGGGGCAAUGGCCCCAAACUCCAUUAAUGUCUAUGUAUAGAGACAUUUUUUGUUGGAACGUCCGCGGAUUUAAUAAGCAAUCGCAUUGUAGCGGGUUCAAGAGGUGGUGUUAUAAGAAUAAACCUCUUUUUGGGAGUCUUAUCGAGACUCAUGUCAAGCAGGCAAAGGUAGCAAAGUUUGUGAAUGCCCUUCUGCCCGGAUGGCUUUUUGAUAAUAACUACUUUUUUCUGAAUUAGGAAAAAUUUGGAUCCUUUGGCACCCAAGCGUGAAGGUGGUAAUCCUUUUCAAAUCCCUUCAAAUGAUUACUUGUGAGGUUGAGCUUCUAGGAAGUUCUGCGACAAUUGUCGUCUCUUUGUUUAUGCUUCAAAUGUAGCUGUUGUGAGGAGCUCUAUGUGGGGAGAGAUUGUCAGUCAAGCUGCAGAUCCCAGUCUUGUCGGAAAACCUUGGGCGGUUUUAGGUGACUUCAAUCAGAUUCUGAAUCCAGCAGAUCACUCUACUCGGACAAAUAUGAAUAUGGACAGAGCUAUGAGAGAGUUCAGUGACUCAAUGCUGGCUACUUCUUUGAUGGAUUUGAAUUACAGAGGCUGCUCCUUUACUUGGUGGAACAAGAGAAGAGCGAACCCUGUGGCUAAGAAGCUUGACAGGAUUUUAGUAAAAGAUGAAUGGCAAACCAUGUUUCCUCUCUCAACAGGUUAUUUUGGAGCCCCAUGUUUUUCUGAUCAUUCUCCUGGAUCUAUCUCCCUUAACCCGGCUGACCACAGAAAGAAAAAACCAUUUAAGUUCUUCAACUUUCUUCUAAAGAAUCCAGAUUUUCUUCCAUUAGUUUGCGAAAACUGGUUCUCUUUCAACAUCUCUGGCUCCGACAUGUUCAGAGUUUCAGUAAAGCUAAGGGAGCUCAAAAAGGUAAUAAGACAAUUUAGCAAAUCAAAUUAUUCUGGUAUUGAGCUGAGGGUACAGGAGGCUCUUGUUGUGUUAUCAGAAAUGCAAGAAAAGAUGUUGUCGAACCCAAAUGUGGCAAAUGCUAGUCUUGAGCUGGAGGCUUCAAGAAAAUGGGAGAUCCUCUCCAAAGCUGAAGAGAGUUUCUUCUACCAGAAAUCCAAAAUUACAUGGUUGGGUGACGGGGACAAGAACACAGCCUAUUUUCACCGUAUGGCAGCAACUAGGCAGGCCAUAAAUCAUAUACACUACCUUGAAGAUGAGAUGGGAAAUCGUUUUGACACUCAGCAAGGCAUCCAUUCGCACUGUGUGGAGUUCUUCAAGAAUCUUCUAGGCAGCUCUGAAACUCAACCCCUGUUCAUGCAGGAUGACAUAACGGCGCUGUUGAAUUUCCAAUGCUCUGAUGCUCAAAGGUCUCUCCUUGACUCUAUGUUCUCCAAAGAAGAGAUCAAAGAAGCUUUCUUCUCUCUCCCUAAGAACAAAGCUAGUGGACCUGAUGGUUACUCUUCGGAGUUUUUUACUAGUUGUUGGAGUGUGAUUGGGGCAGAGGUGACGACAGCUAUUACUGAGUUCUUCUCCUCGGGUACUUUACUUAAACAGUGGAAUGCUACUACAUUGGUGUUGAUUCCAAAAAUUCAGAAUGCGUCGAAGGUAUCUGAUUUCAGACCUAUAUCUUGCCUCAACACUUUGUAUAAAGUCAUCUCUAGGCUCUUAGCAAAUAGGCUGAAGUCCAUCCUCCCAUCUGUUAUAUCCCAUGCUCAAUCUGCUUUCUUGCCUACUAGGCUGCUGUCAGAAAAUGUUUGUUGGCUUCAGAGAUUGUGCAAGGCUACAAUAGGAAAAAUAUAAAAGCAAGAGCAAUGCUAAAGGUCGAUCUAAGGAAAGCUUUUGAUUCUGUCAGAUGGGACUUCAUGCUUGCUACUCUGACAGCUUUAAACAUUCCAGAAAAGUAUAUUGGAUGGAUUCGAGAGUGUGUUUGCACCCCAUCCUUCUCGAUCUCAGUAAACGGAAUGUUUGAUGGGUUCUUCCAGAGUACAAGAGGCUUGAGGCAGGGAGACCCUCUUUCUCCAUACCUAUUUGUGCUCGCCAUGGAAGUGUUUUCAAAGAUAAUGCAAUCAAGAUUUGCUUCAGGUUCUAUUGCUUACCAUCCAAUGACAUCUGAGUUAGAAAUUUCUCACUUGAUGUUUGCCGAUGACGUAAUGGUUUUCUUUGAUGGUAGUAGUUCCUCCCUGCAUGGUAUCUAUGAGGCUCUGGAUGACUUCGCAGGCUGAUCAGGACUUACAAUGAACAGAAAUAAGACUACUCUCUUCCAUGCUGGUUUAUAUCCAUUGGAGGAGUCAGCGAUUGCUCAAUAUGAUUUCCCCAUUGGCACGCUGCCCGUAAGGUACUUAGGACUUCCCUUAAUGUCCAGAAAGCUCACCAUUGCUGAAUACUCACCUUUGCUUGAGAAAAUCACUAACAAGCUGAGAGGAUGGGCAACUAAGUCACUUUCUUAUGCGGGGAGAACCCAGCUCAUUGCCAGUGUGAUAUACGGAACUAUUAACUUUUGGAUAUCCACCUUUACGCUUCCCAAGGGUUGUAUAAAGCGAAUUGAGUCUCUAUGUGCUAGAUUCCUCUGGUCUGGGAGCACUGACUGUCACACCAAAGCAAAGGUUGCAUGGUCUUCUGUCUGUAUGCCAAAAAAUGAAGGCGGUCUGGGCUUAAGGAAAUUAUCUGUUUGGAACACCACCUUGAAUCUGAAGCUUAUUUGGCUCAUGUUCUCUAACAGUGGCUCGUUAUGGGUGGCUUGGCAGCAUUACCACCACGGGCUUGCUUCUAUUAGCUUCUGGGAUAUCAAAGCUAAAAAUACCGACUCUUGGUUUUGGAAAUCUCUUCUAAAAUUAAGGAGCCUGGCCAAAAGAUUCAUAAACUGCAGAAUUGGAAGUGGAAACAUAGCUUGGUUCUGGCAUGAUGUAUGGACUCCUUUUGGUCCCAUGUUAGAGUUUUUGGGAGAUUCUGGUCCUACCAUACUAUGGGUUCCUAGGAAUGCGAGAGUCUCUGCGGCUUGCACUUUGGAGGGUUGGAAUAUUGCCUCUCCACGAUCUGAUCAGGCACUUGCUUUACACAUCUACUUGUCUACUAUUCAAUUACCAACUAUUUCAAAUGAGGAUGAUUCUUUCGAUUGGUUAAUUGAAGACAAGCCGUGCGGUGGUUUCUCCUCGAGUAAAACCUGGGAGAUUCUCAGACCAAAGGCUCCUGCUGCGGACUGGGCAUGUUUGGUUUGGUUCAAAGGUGCCACUCCAAAGCAUGCGUUCCACAUGUGGGUAACAAAUCUUAACAGGCUACCCACCAGGGAUAGGCUAGCUUCAUGGGAACUUCAAAUCUCCACUGACUGCUCCUUUUGUGUUGGCUAAAUGGAGACCAGGGAUCACAUCUUUCUGCAUUGCACAUUCGCUCAAUCACUAUGGAAUCUCAGCCUCGCAAGAUUGCGUUUGGCUCCGACUGUAUUUGCAAACUGGGCAGCCUUAUUGGCUUGGCUAAAGGUCAAGAACACUAACUCGCCUCAAACACUACGACUAUUGAUUACCCAUGCUCUAGUCUACGGGAUCUGGAGGCAGCGAAACAACCUGUUCCACAAAAAUAUUUCAAUCUCGCCGCUCACCAUCUUCAUUGACAUUGACCGGCAAAUUAUCAACUCAAUCACAGCUAGGAGGAAGAUGAAGAAAUUCAAAAACCUUAUGGCGCUUUGGCUCACCUAAUGGAUGCUCCUGUUUCCGUUUUCUGAGAAUGUUUAUAAUCUAAAUGUAACCUUGUUUUUUAUUCUUUUUUGCCAAGGUUCAUUUGUUCUAGGUCUUCUAUUGUAACACCUACAUUUCAUCUAAUGAUAUUUACUCUCUUAGCAAAAAAAAAAAAAAAGGAACUUUUUAAAGCUCAUUUUUCCCAGUAAAGCUUUGAAAAUUUUGAUUUCACAAAAUUUUAUAGUAAAACUCAUUUUAAUUUGAAAACUUUUUUUUAUCAAAUAUUAUAUUAAGAACUCGCCAAUACCUAUUUUGUUUAAGAAAUUACACAUAUUUUAAAAACAAACAAAAUAUACUAGAUCAAGUUAAAUAGAAAAAAAAAGUUAACACUUAUCGUCACUAGAUUUGGGACACAUGAAACGUUAUUUUGCGAGAGACCAACUACUACGUUUUUUUUCUUAUAAAAGGUUUUCUUUUUAAUUGCAUGGAAAAGAAAGAUAUUUUACAAGUCUCAAACCAUGCUAUAAGGAAUUGAUACUAGGAUUUUUACUAUCAAUUACCCUAAUAUACUUUCAUGUCAUUGCAGUAUAAGAGGUUAUCAAUCCAAUCAGGUGCUCUCACUAUCAAUCAAGAUAUGCUCAGAGAUAACUAAGUCAAGCCAAGCAGAAUAGAGGUUUGUUUAUCUAACAAUCCUAAGCGAUCAUGCAUAAAAACGAAUAAACUACGGAACAGGAAUGAACAUGCAUAAAGAGAAACAACUAUCAAAACUAAGCAGUAAUAAGCAAGCAGGUCGAGUAGAACACAGAAGCUAACAGAAACGAUAAACGAGCAAGCAAUAGAGAUAAAGGGUCCUGAGGAAUGGGAUAAUCGAUUAUAGCAGUCUCUUUAGUCUAUCCAGGUAGUUAACAAACUCAAUCAAGCUAUCCCUAGAUAAUAGAUUCGAAUACAAAUCAAUCCACUCUCGUGACAGAGAUUCUCAAGCUAAAUCACUUUCAUACUCAAUUCUCAUUGAAGAAAUAUAACCUAGCAGGCAUUAUGAUUCAAUCUAAUAUAGUCAAUAAGCAUUCUAAACAUCCAAUCUCUUGGGCUAGAGUAUGCAAAUCUCUGGAAAAGUUUGUUCAGACAUUUCAUCAAACACCUUGUGGGCGUGGAAAUGUCUGAGAUCAAUUUCCAAUUGAUCAGAGAAGAAAUAGCAUUAAGAUCUACUAAACCAGAAGGGAAAUCAAGCAAUUCUACACUUAACCACCUAAAUAUACUAAGGAUUCCACACCUAAUCUAACCCAUCCUCAAGAACCCUAAUCCACUACUCAAGAACACAGAAGAACAUCAUGCAUAAAAACCCAGAAAACGUUUCAAACCCAUAAAUCAUUAAAAAGCAAGUAUGUUAUAGAUAAGAAGGAGAUCUACAACUUUGAUGAAGAAACGAAAUUCAAAAACUCAAAAAUUCAAAGGGAAAAACGAUUACAAAACUAGGGUUUUUAGAGAGAGCAGCGGAAUAUCUGCUGGGUAAAAGGAAUAUCCCCUGGACAAUAGCAUGUACCCCUAUUUAUAGGAAAUACUAGGUUGCCCUAAUUAGCUACAAGACAAAAUAGAGAGUCGGCGGAGACCAACUCGACGUGACGUCGAGCCUGCCACGUCGAGUCCAUGUGAUCUUCAAAGGUGGCGCCUUGACGUCCAACUCGACGUGACGUCGAGUCCGUCUGGUCGAGUCUGCUCCCUGGUCAUCUUGAACGACUUCAAUCCUCUCCAACUCGAUCUCAAGUCUAGCUCCUUGGUCGUGUUGGUUCCUCAUUACUCCAUUAAGUCCUAAAUAAGCUCCAAAGUACCUGAAACUCAUCCAAUAUGCAACAUGCUAUGCUAUGCAAUGCAAAUCGUACUAAGCGAUGAAUAAUGUUUUAAAAAGGACUAUUAAUGCAAUGAAACAGAGAGAAAACUAAGCUAAAUGUAUAAGAAAUGUGUGCUAAAAAGAGGUAAAAUACAGAGAUAUCAGGAAUUGCCAUGGAACAUCAACUACUAAUAGUCUAAUACGUUGAAGGCCUCUUCACUGUAAGGAAUUGCAAAAGUUCAGGUCACCGAUCGUCUCUUGGGCUAAGGUAAUCUGGUUUCGAGAGCAUGUGCCUCGGUUCUCUUUCAUUACUUGGUUGGCUAUGCUCUCACGUUUAUCCACUAGAGACUGAUUGAGGAGAUGGGGCAUGAGUAUCCCAGCAUCAUGUGUUCUUUGCUCAAGUGGUAUAGAAAGUCACGAUCAUCUCUUUUUUAGUGUGCAUUCUCUCUCGAUGUUUGGGUCUUAAUGGCUGGAAGUUUCUUUCCCAAUCCGCCAAAUAAAAUCGCUGCUCAUAAUCUCCCUACUCAAACCAAAUUCAAAUCCAUCUUAAAGCUCCUCCUUCAAUCUGUCGUCUAACACUUGUGGAAGGAACGGAACAGGAGGAUCUUCACCGCUGUGAGCUCUACCGCUGCUUCUCUCCGCCUCGCCAUCCACCGUUCCAUGUGUGAUUGGCUCCUCUCCUUCUCGGAGCCCAACUUGCACUCUUUGUCCCUCCUUAGUCUAUACUUUAGUCGUUUCUCGUUGUAAUUUUUUCUCUAUUUUCAGUCCUUUGUUCCUGUCAUAAUGGGUAGCUUUUGUAAUAGUUUAUUAGCUUGCAAUUUUCCUAUGGAAUGAAAUCUUCACAUUAAAACCAAAAAAAAAAAAAAAUUUAUAUUAGCAUUCUCAUAAAAUUUUAAUCCAACUAAUGCUUCUUCCUCAAGUUCAUUUGCAUAGCACUGAAUCACUGACCAUGUGAAAUUAAGGCUAAGCUAAUGUCCUAAAUUCCAUUUUAGAUAUCUAAGACUCAAUCCAAGAGUUAUAGUCUUUCAUCAUUGAACAUUGACCGUUAAUAAGUAGCAAUCUAACAUUUGAUGAACUCUACAAGCCAUGCACCAACCAAAUUAUACAUUAUGUGACCUAAAAAUAGCUACCCUUUGCAAUAUUGAUUUCUAAUAACUUAUCUGCACCACUACUAAUACUAUCAACAAAUGCAGUCUUUGUGAAGCCACCACAAGUUUCUCCACAUUGAAAUUUUCAUAUAUUGACAAUGCCAUGUACUGAAAACUACAUCAUAGUAAAAUCAACAUGGGCUUGUAGAAUUUGAUUCAAAGUCCAUUAACACAGUUAUAGUGAUGGAGCAAAAGGCCUAAAAUAAGCCCACCAAUUGAGCACUACCAAUUCCAGUACCAUGGUGAUUAAAAAUAAACUGAGCUACCAUGCACGAGAAAUUAAAGAAGACAACUAAAACAAACGAAACUUUAAUUUGAACAAUUUAUAGAAGAAAUCAUACAGUCUCUAAAUUAUUAAGAACCGAAAAUAUCUAUAAGUACAUAUGUUUUUGACUUUCGUUUCCCAAAACAACAUUUCUUUGCAUCUUUAAAACAUCUUAAACGGUUAAACCUAGUGGUGGAAUUAGUAUGAAACCAUCUUAACUGGUUAACCCUUUCAACUAAAACAAUAAUAAAAUUAAAAUAGAAGCAUCAUAUCACAUAUACAUUUAAGAGAAUUAAUAAAGUUUCCUAUUAAAGCAAGAAAACAUGAUUCAACAUACCAUCUCAUACUCGUCAACAGAAAAUGUUCAAAGGCCAAACGCCAAAACCAAUAUGUGUUGGUACAGCAUCAUGAGCAAUCAAAUUUGGAAACUCAUUUUGUUGUUUUCUCAAUAGAUUGGUUGCUCAUGAUGUUAUAACAUCUACUAAUUUUUUUGGCUGACCCAAAAUAAAAUAACGGAAAGUGAAUAGUUCACUGGAGAGUGAAUCCCAACGCCGGAGCCCAAUAGUCGGCGCCAUUGUCGCUGCCAACUUGGAGUGUGCAUGAGAUUGGAACAAGACAAAGUCCCCUACUUCUUAAGUCUUUCAUCGGUUCUUCGUUAGGAUUUGAUUUUUGAUUGUCCGUCGAUGACAAUGAAACUCCUCUUUUCAUGCAAUACUCAUUCACAAGCUGAUCAACCAAAUCAGAAAAGAUUUCUUUAGCAUAGAUAUUUUAAAAUAUAUAUAUAAACUGUGCUCUAGUGUGAGUAUUGGUUACAAAACGGGUCGGCCUACUUCACAACAGACCAAGUUCUUUUGCGGUGGGUUGGCCCGUACUACUUGUAAAUAACAUAUAUAUGGAUAGGAUAACCUAAGAUAGUUCGUGAAUAUUUACUGUUUUAUACACCAAUCCGCGGUUUUAAUACCUUUGAGUGUGAGUAAUAUCAUUAAGUAUUUGAUUUUCUGAAUUUGAAUAGCGAUAAAUUUUGCAAUGAAAAACAUUGCUAAAAUUUUCAGUUACACUAGUUAAUUCAUUUGUGGGACAGGUAAAUAUAAAACCAUUUGUGGGACAGGUAAAUCGUGAUAUCUUGGUUUGAAAAGUUGAUUUAGAUCGAUCAUUUGCCAAAAAAAACUUUAGUGACCAAAGCUACUUUCAUGAAGGAAAAUAAAUAUAAUAAAUAAUUUAAGUGGCUUUUCUAGGUUUAAUAGAGGACUGGAAAGGAAAGUUGGUAAUGUCAUCUUUUUAUUUUAUUGACCAUACUUUAUCUUGGUCAUUUCACUUUUGAGAGAACAAUAGUAGAGAAAAAGGGUAAUUUUUUGGAAUAAAGCUGGCAACUAUUUUUUUUAAUUAAUUAAGAUUUGGGUUUAAUUGAUCCAAUAAAAAGUAGAGUGUAUAAAACUAGAAAUGAACAAAAAUAUGUGCGUACCUGACCAGGGUCCUCAGGAAAUAUACCAUUCAUAUUUCCUUGUGCCUGUAUACACAUAAUUACAAAUUAAUUAUAAUUAGCAAUCAGAUACAUUUUAAUGCCCCAUUAUAUGAGUAGAAAUUACAGUAUACAUGGUACUAAGGUGUAUGUUAAUUUAAUACUUACAUGUUGGUGGUGCAUCAUAUUAUUCCUCGAGGGAGUAGCAAAGUAUGGUAGACUUAAAGCCUGUAAUUUUGAAAAACAAACAAAUUUUUUAAAGACAACAAAACUAUAUAGAUUUUAACUACAAUUUUAGAGUCAAAUUCAAAACUAAUCUCACAAAAGACAGUCGUUAAUUCAUCAAUGCUAUAGAAAUAAAUAAACCUAAGCUAAUGGCUUCAUCAGUAAAUUACUAUUUAAUUAUACUAUGAAGUUCUUAUAACUAUAAAAAAUCCAAAUAAAGAACAAAAAAUAACUCCAAAGAAUCCACACUUGGGUUCACACAAGAUUGUUUUUGUUUUAGUUGUGAGGGAAGAUUCGAAUAAAUAUUUGUCUUGAACUAAAUGAAAUAAGAAGCAUGGUAGUUUGGAAAAGACAAGUCACCUCAAUUUGACUGUGGAGGAAUCUAAUGUAUCCAAUAGCCUCCGACAAGACAGAGGCUGUGUCAGUCUGAAAUAAAAGGGAUCAAUCAACCAAACAGUGACUAAUAUAAUUCAAUUUUGAUUUAGAAAUUUGAUUAUCUUAACCCAGUGAUUAGUAAAGGGAAUUAAUCAGUAAUUAUACCUUGCCAAAGGGAGAUACUAGCUGGUGAAGAGAUGCGAUUCUGCCUCCAAGUUUCUCCUUUCUCACCUUUGAUAAAACAAGAGAUCAUAUAUAAAUAUACUACAUGUGGUCAUUUCGUUAUUUAACGAAUGUAAUUAGAUCUAUGAGCCAAGAUCCAAAUAAAAAAGAAGAAGGACAAAGGACACAUUUUGAUAUAACUGAUCAAAUAAAGAUAUAUUUUGUUACAAACAUAACAAUAUCAAUUUAGACAGAACAAAAUAAACAGAGCAAGAAGAAGAAAACAUAAUUAACUUCAAUAAUUUUAAUUUUAAAAGUUUUGUUAGAAAAUGAAAGCUGAGCUAAAACUGAAUCAAACUGAAAAAACAGAUUUAGUUUCUAUUUUUCAUUUUAAAAUAAAAACUAACAAAAAAGGAUUGCGUAACUACCGUUGAAUCAUAGGAAAGAAAGAGAAAAAGAAUAAUGAGAUCAAGAAGAAGAAGACACAUAAGAAAGACAAAAAUGUUACAAUCACACACACAUGCAGCUUAUUCUGUGCCCAUUCUCUUUUGUUUUUUUCUACUUCUCCUUUAUGUUUGUGCAUUUGUUUUGUUAUUUAAAAUGUCAGCAAUAGAUAGAAACAAAGACAUAUGGAUUUAGUUAGUUACCUUGAGAGUUGAUUGUGAUGAAGGAACUUGAAGUUUUGGUUUCUUAUUUGCAAAAGAAGACCCAAUAAUCUCUGAGCUAUUACACUUCAUGACACACAGACAAAAAAAAAUAAUAGAAAUAUUCAUAUGGAGAGGUUACUUAAUCUUUGGUAAAGAUUAAAUAUUGAUCUGAUGAUAUAUAAUUAACUAUUUUAACCCACCUCGGACAAGUUAGGACCAUUGUGAAUGUUAUUGUUGUUUUCUUCAUUGGUGUUGUGAAUUGUAUCACAAGACUUGUUUGGAGGUGAGUUUGGUGAGGCCAUUAUUCUAUAACCAUUAGUAUUGUUACUCUCUUGUUUCAUGGAAGCUUGGUGCCUCAAAACUUGUUCUUCCCAAUUCUGUAUCUUCUUCUCUUGGUAACUAUGGUGUUGAUUUUGAAGAUGAUGAUGAUGGUUCAUCAUCUCCAUUUUCUCUUCCUCUCCCAUCAUCAAUCCACCCCUUCAUUCAAAGACGACAUAAUCUAUAUUAAAUCAUGUUUAUGUAUAUGCAAUAAUAUAAGUAGAUUAUGUAUAUAUCUACAUGGAAAAAAAAAGGAGAAAGAAACUUCAUAAGAUCGAAUUAAAUUACAAAACAAAUCCAAGAACUCAAAACCAAGAAAACAUCCUACGAGAGACAGGGAGAGGGAUAGAAAGGGAGUUACAAGAGGAGUUGACUAAGGUUCCAUGGCUGGUCAAGAGGCAGAUCACUCAUUUCAAGCCAAGAAGAGAAGUUAGGGUUACUAUUAGGAAGAGGCAAAGAAGGUGAAGAAGAAGAUGAAGAGGAAGUUGGAGAAGAGAAGGAGGUCGGCAAGAGACUUGGAAGAUAAGGAGUUGUAGGCGGCGGCUGGUGACUCAUAAACGGUGGUGGUGGCCUCAAGCCGCCGCUGACGUUAUUCCACCAAUUAGGGUUUCCAGCCGCCGUGAGGUGUUGAACCGGCGAACUCUCCAACACUCGUCUAUUCAUCGCCUCUCUUACUUUCUACUAAAAGAAUAUGAAAAGAUUUUGAGAUUUGUUGUUUCUCGAUGCUUUAGUUUUUGGAGAAAAGGAAAGAAGAAGAGAGACAAACAAAUUGAGCAAUCGAUAGAUGUCAAUGAUGAUUUUUGGAUGUAUUUAACACCAUUCUUUCUUUCUCUCUCUCUCUCGCUUUUUUUUUUUUUUUUUUUUUUUUCAUUUUUAGAGUUUGGAUCUUUCUUCUUCUUUUUUUUUCUUCUAUAAAUUUGGAUGUCCAUAUGGACCAUAUUCGAUGUAAGUUACAUCAUGUAACGAUUAACUAAUUUUGGAUGAACGGACGAAUAAGUUUUCUAAUUCAUGAACACAAUAUUCUAGUCUUUACGAUAAUCUAUCCAUAAAACAGAUAAACCUAAGUUGUGUAAGUUUAUGUAAGAAUAUUAAUUACUAGCUUAAGAAAGAUUGUUAUAAUCAGUAAUUCAUUUUUCUAUACUUCAUUUUUUUUCCCAUGCUUUAGCUUUAUUCAUAAAGUAAGGGAGGAAAAGGUGCUUUUGUUAUUUCAUCGAAUUAUGGUUUUUUUUUUUCUUUCUAAAUCAUAAUUCAUCGAAUUAUGAGCUGAGAAUCAAGAUGCAAAAUUUUUUAAAUAGAAACAGAAAAAGGGGGUUAUAUAUUCGAAAACUUUUUUAUACGGUGUAUAACAUAUUCGAAUAUAUUACAAGUGUUUUGCAUCUAUGCAUAUUUUUUUUACAUGCGAAAUAUCGUAUGUAAUUUAAACCAUUUUAAUUCCAUUUAUUUAGUUUACUUUUCUGUGAUUUAAAUACUAACUUUUGUUAAGGUAAGUUCUGAUAAUUCAUAUAUUAUUUCUUCAUCCAACCAAUGAUAUAUAUAAUUUCUUUGUUGAUGGUGACUUAAAUGGAUCAACAUGCGUUGCGUAGAGUUUUAUACGUACCCACUUAGCUUUAAAAAGGAAUUUCAUUUAACAAAGCUUAUUACGUUUAAAUGAGUCAAAAGUUUGCAUGACUCUUCAUUACAUAGGAUUAUCAAGUUGUUCAUAAACUUUUAAGAAACAUAUAAAAGUACGUUCUUUAAUUUUUUUUUUUUGGGGGGCAAAUAUUACGUUUUUUUUCUUAACCGAAAAAAAAAAAUCAAAAUUAGCUGUUGCUCUCUCACUACAAUAAAAAGGCUAGGUUGCAUCACUUAAAUUGCAUCAAAAAGUUAAACGAUACUAAUUUGAGUUACUUAUUAAUAAUUGAUACAAAAAAUAUAAUUUAACAUCAAUUGUUGUAACUGAUGCUAUUGUUAAUUUAUGUGGCAUCAAUUCAUUAAAAUUGAUACAAAUCUAGAUCAAUUUGUAUCAUUUUUACAUAUUGAUACAAAUUUAUAAAUUCACAUCAUUUAAACAAUCGAUGUAUUUCUUAAUUUAUAUUAACAUCACUUGAAAAAUGAUAUAAUUUUUAAUAAGUUUACACUAAUUACGUUAAAACUAAUUUUGUGGUUUAACAUCCACUGAUCAUGCAUCCUCUAUUUAUUACUAAAUCUUUAAUUACACAAAACAAAAUUUAGACGAUCAUAAAAAAAAAUUCUCUUUUCUUUUUGAAUUUUUUCAUUGGCCGCCUCUUUUUUUGUUUCCUCAGUUUAAAAUCUUAGUUGGAAAUAAAAUAUCUAUUUUCCUUUUCACCAAAACUAAGUAAAUCAAAAUACAAAUCUCUCCGGAAUCUUAACUUCUUUAAUCUACAAAAUCUACACUUUCUUUGCCAAAUACAAAUAUCUAAGAUAUAUAUUUUUUUUGUUAAUAACUUCUUCUCGCCAAGAUGAUUACUUUAAGAAGCAGAGGUUUGGUGGCUCGUCUUCUUCGCAAAACUGUAGGUCACUUAAUGUUCUAAAUUUUGUUUGGGUCAUUCAAUUUACAAAAGUAAAAGGCUAAAAGCUACUCAUAGAAUAAAUCUACGACCACAAGAGUUUGUGGCUUUAGAAAUAUGUGUCUUUUCAAAGAUUAAUUAGAAGUUCUAUUUUGUUAUCUCUUUGAUUUUAUGCUGAUCUUAGGCUGAUCUCCAUACUUAUUUUGUGCUGUUUUGAUCCAGUCUUUUAUCAUCAAGGCGUUGAAGGACCCGGAAAGAAACAGAAAGACGGUUAAGAAAAUAAAGCACACGGACGAUGAUGUUACUGAGGUUGCUAGGAUUAUGAGGCCCAUGAGGAUCUGACCGUGAGGAUCGUGAAGAAGAUUUAGAGAUGCAUGGGAUGCACCAUUGAUGAAAAAGACCCAAAAGAUUUUUCAGCAUGAAUUAAAGGAUGUGAUCGAGAUUGAUAUUUCUGAGAAUUAAUUAAGGAACAAAAGUAGUUUAUGGUUUUAGAGUUUGUUUUUGAAUUUUCAACAAUGUAAAGUUGUAAACGUGUAAACGUGUUUUCUUCCAUGAAAUUAAGUUUUUGUUUUUAAUUUUAUUUUAUUAAUAUUAAAUUUAUAUAUUAUUAUUUUAUUGAAAAUGAUAUCAUUGCUAUAUUUGUUCAUCAUGAAAACUGAUAUUAAAUUUAAAAUCAAUUAUUUAUAAUUGAUAGAAAUAUUUAACAUCGAUUAUUACAAAUGAUACAAUUAUUUGUAUCAGUUAUCAAAAAUGAUAUUAAUCUUAACAUCACUUACUAUAACCGUAACAAAUAAUUACAUCAUUUUUAUUAACCGAUGCAAAUUUAACAUCGUCUCUUGCAAAUGAUACAAAACAACAUCAAUUAUAAUAAUCGAUGCAAAUAUUUGAUGCAACCGAUUCAAAAUAUUUGCAUCACCACUUUCAGAGUCACUUUUAUAAGUGAUGCAAAACUUAUUUGCAUCAUUUAUAAGUAAUGUAAAUAUACAAAAUAAAUGACACAAAACACCUCUUUUUUUGUAGUGUCUUGAUAUCAUUAAUUCAUUGGGGAAUAAAAUUCCCUUUACCAAAUAAACCAUAUCAUCGAGUAUGUGAUAAACUUACAUACAUUAAACAUAUAAAUUGGUAUAGAGUCUAUAUAGACUUCUUGAUAAUGUGAUAGGUAUAAUUGUCUACUUGAUUGUGUCAGAUAUAUACAUUAAAAAUAUUGGCGUAAAAAGCAUAUAUUCCUGGAACAAAUUCAUAGAUAUAUAGACAUAAAUUUAAGCAAAGUUUCCAUUUCAAAGCAAAUUGUUUACAAUGAUUCCUAUAAGAUAAGUUGCUUAAUAAUUUGUAUUUUUGUAGGAUAUUUAUCAAAUAUAAGAAGAAAACAAAUUGUAUCUUUGCUUCUUCUGUUGACUAUUCUUAAUGGUUACCUCUUUUAACUUCAUGUAACUUAAACAAGUUUAUUUUUUGGUAUAUUAAUAAAGCUUAUCCAUUAUCAUUUUUUUUUCAUUCCAAUAUGCUCAAAUUAUAUGUACUCUUUUUUUUUUUUUUUGAAAAAGAAUUAUAUGUACUCUUUGUUCAUACAACAAAUACAAUGCGGCAGGGUCAUGAGCGAAAACCGUGGGAACUUUUAAAGGAUCGGCUUCACAUAAUCAUUAAAUCACCAUAUAUGCGUUUUUUUCUUGUAAUUUGAGCAUGUUAGGGUAGGAAAAAUCACUAUCAAUAUUUAAAAUUACCUAUAUUAUGCACCUCUGGUUUAUAUCGAGGAAAAUAUUUAAUCCCAAAAGUAGUACUAUGUACUUAUAAAUACUUGUUUUCCCACUCACGCAGAAUAUGAUUAAAGCAUGAUUUCAUGGUGACGCAUUCAAUCUCAACUAGAAGGGGAAACGGCGAAUUUGUUUUCGUUUGCAAAAAAAAAUCACAAUUUAGUUUUCGUUUUACACCAAGAAGGCAACAUUUCUCGAAGGAAUCAAUUUCUAGGGUUUGGAGAUCCCUCUGUCUCUCCAAAAAAUGUUUUUUACAGGUAUAAACUACAAAAAAAAAAAAAAGUUCAAAAUUAUUUAUCUUAAAACUCGAUUCGUUUUGAUAAUGCCGACCAACCCCAAAUCUUGAUCAAUUAGAGAUUUUAGUUUUAGCCCUAAAACUUAUAAAUAUAUUGGGCCUCAUUUUAUUUUUCGUGUAGGGUCUCACAAAUGCUCGGACCGGCAUUGAUAAAAGGACGCAUGGUCUAGGUUUAUAAGGCGGUAUUAUUUUCCCGUAUCUCUUUGAUAUGAUAAUGGAAGUCUUUGCCGACCUGUUAUACGCUAAAUUCAGUUCAUGUUUGUUUGAUUUUUAGUCAGAAAAUUUUUUUUGACGUUAUGAUCUUUUUCGAUAAAAAAAAUUUAAUUCGUUCCAAGGUCUAACCAAAUCUCGAAUUUUGUUGUACUAUUUAUCUUGAUCAGUAUACAGAAACUAAAAUCUCUUCAUUCAAUAUUUUUUAUUGGUUCUCUCCCAAUCAUGAUUUUGGUAUGCACUUACUUAAUCAAGUACAUCUACAUUCAACAAUUACACUUUCAUUUUAAAGGGAUUGCAAUUCACUACUUAAUUUACUUCAGUAAUCUAUAACACUAUAACCUUUUUGUUAUCGGUUUUCACAUCCAAAGGUUUAGCUUAAAUCCAUGAAAAGGCUUUACAGUUACUGUAUUGUGGCAAUAUUUCAAAGCAUACAUGGUUAAAUUAUAGGUUUUGUUGAACGAUGUCUAUCUCCCUAAAUUUAAAAGUUGGAUUAGUUCUUAUAAACUCUUAAGUAACUAGCUAGUGCAAUAUAUGGUGGAGUUUUAUAAUGGAAAUCUUCUUAAUAAACAUGGUGAGCUUGGGAUGUAAAAAUUAAUUAAUGUCAAAAGUGAGGUAGAAGAUUAACCUAGUGAGACUAGUAUAUUAAAUAUUGAGAACAAAGGUCUUAACUUUUAAGGCCAAGGGGAAUGAUGAAGAAUGAAGCAUGCUUUGUCCGUACAGUCCAAAGAUCUUUGUCGGAGACGAUGUGUCGUUUCUUCUCAAAUUAUAUUCUCUUCCUUCACUGUCUUUUUAUGUUGUGUUUCAUCUUAUCUUAUUUUCUUUUCCUUUCCUCACUCCUAUUUUAUUUAUUGAAUAGUAUUCCCUCUGUUCCUAAAAGUUUGAUGUUCUAGUGUUUUGCAAGUUCCACAAAAAUUGAUUUUUUAGAUUUUUUCUUUAUAUUUAGUUAAUUAAUAUAUAUUAAUAAAUCAUAGAUUUCAAGACGUAAUGAUUAACUGUUUCAGAUUACUAUUGGUUCAUAGUUUAUUAAAAAAAUAUUUAAUAAAAUUAAAUAAGUAAACAAUAAUUGUUUCUUAAAAUAUAUGAAAUCUCUAGAAAAUCAAUUAUCUAGGAACAGAGGGAGUAUAUAUUAGCUGUUUUCUUUUCACAUAUUAGUAUGUUUGUUUUAUUAACAUAUUAAUAUAUACUUAGUAUUAAGUCUCCUUUAGCUUGAUACUAUAAAUACUAUGUUGUAUCAUUACUUUUUCACUUAAUGAGAAAUUUCACAAUUAGUUAACAUGGUAUCAGAGCAUAAUAUUUUUCUCAUUCCUAUUUUCCCGGAAAAGUGAUUAACGGAAAACAGAUUUUCGAUCUUCUUCUUCUUCUUCCAUCUUCUUCAGAAAAUUUCUAUAUCAAUCUUCAAUUCAUCAUCAUCUUCAUCAUCCUCCAUCUUUUUCUACAUCGAUUCAUCGAUUCAUCACCUCAACGAGCUCAUCGAACAUCGACUCGUUAUUCAUCAAUUUUCUUCAUAUUUCUUACUUACAUCGCAAUCACUUUUCUUGGAAUUCAUUCUUCCGCUAAUCGAAUCAGCUUCGUUUUCUCUCGAUCGAUCUAAUCUUGAACAAAUCUUGAUCUGUUUUUCAAAGUUUUUGAGAUGACUUCUGGUGAAUCUUCCCGUCAGACAAUGGAUCACUACAAUAAUCCAUACUAUCUUCAUAACUCCGAUCAUGCUGGUUUAGCAUUGGUGUCAGAUCGUCUUGAAACAGGCGCAGAUUUCCAUUCUUGGCGAAGAUCAGUACGCAUGGCGCUUAAUGUGCGCAACAAACUUGGAUUCAUAGACGGUACAAUUCUUAAACCAUCUGAGAAUGAUAGAGAUUUUGGAUCAUGGUCUCGUUGCAAUGACAUGGUAGCGACUUGGCUUAUGAAUUCUGUUUCGAAAAAGAUUGGUCAAAGCUUGUUAUUCAUAUCUACGGCUGAAGGAAUUUGGAAAAGUUUGAUGUCACGAUUCAAACAAGAUGAUGCUCCUAGAGUAUAUGAGAUUGAGCAACGUUUGAGUGUUAUUCAACAGGGAUCUUUAGAUGUCAGUGCUUAUUAUACUGAAUUGGUUACCUUAUGGGAAGAGUAUAGAAAUUAUGUGGAGCUUCCUUUAUGCACUUGUGGAAAGUGUGAAUGCAGUGCUGCUACUCUUUGGGAUAAAUUGCAACAGAGAAGCAGAGUAACAAAGUUCUUAAUGGGUCUAAAUGAGUCCUAUGAAGCUACUCGCAGGCAUAUCCUCAUGUUGAAGCCUAUUCCAUCUAUUGAAGAAGUAUUCAAUAUGGUCACUCAGGAUGAACGUCAGAAGAAUAUCAAACCUAUGUCUAAGAAUGACAAUGUGGUGUUUAAUACUCAGGAUAACUCUCAGUCUGCAGUUGGUAGUACAAUGAAUAAGCAUCCUUAUUCUGGUUAUUAUGAUGGAAGUGUACAAACUGGUCAACAUGUAUAUCAAGGGCCUCUAGAUAACAAUAUCUAUGCUGCAAUGCAGUCUCAGUACAGACCUAGAGCACCAAGACCAGUGUGCACUCAUUGUGGCCAAACUGGUCAUGUUAUUCAAAAAUGUUUUAAACUCCAUGGUUAUCCUCCAGGAUAUAUACCAGGAUUUAAAAGCUCUGGAGGUUAUCAGACUCAUAAUGGAGGAUAUCAAGUUCAGUCUGCAUCAAGACCUCCUAAUCCAUCUUUCAACAACAAUUUUCAACCUAGGGCGCAGUACUCUAGUCCCAGACCAUCGACACAUGCAAUUGCUAAUGUCAUGACUGGUGCAUCUGGUUCAAAUUCUCCGGCUAUAUCAACAACCAAUUUGGAUGUGAGUCAGAUGAAUAAAGAACAGGUGCAAUCCCUAAUACAACAACUGAAUACUCAUGUUCAAGUUUCAGAGAAUCAAGCACCUUUCCCAUUAGUUGCUUCUGUUACACAGAAUGGUAUUAUGGAUCCGCAAUCUUCUUCUGGUACUGUCUCUUUUCCAUCUACCUCUCUUCGUUUUGAAAAUAACAAACUCACAUUUCAACAUCAAUGUCUAUCUUCUCUCUAUAAUCAUCUUCCUCAGGGUAGUUGGAUAAUUGACAGUGGAGCUACAAGUCACGUUUGCUCUGACUUGGCUUUAUUCAAUGAAACUGUGACUGUUACUGGUGUUACAGUUUCUUUACCUAAUGCAACUAGAGUGGAUAUAGCACACACUGGCACAAUACAUUUAUCUACAUCUCUAGUUUUGCAUGAUGUUUUACAUGUACCUUCUUUCAAAUUUAAUCUCAUAUCAGUUAGCAGCUUAUUAAAACAUAGUCAAGCAUCAGCUCAUUUUUUCCCUGAUUUUUGUUAUAUUCAGGGGUCUAUUCAGGGCUUGAUGAUUGGUAGAGGCUUUCUACUUCAUAAUCUUUACAUACUGCAGCUUGAUGCAUCUUCAUCUCACACUCUCACAUCUCCUGCUCAUCAACAUUUCUCUGGAUCCUUGGCGGUAGAUGGACAUCUCUGGCAUCAACGCCUUGGACACCCAUCUUCUGACAAGUUAAAAUUGUUGUCUGGUACUCUUUCUAUGUCUAAAAGUAGUUCUUUAAUUGAGUCUCAUUGUUCAGUCUGUCCUUUAGCUAAACAAAAAAGGUUAAGUUUUGAGUCACACAAUCACAUGUCUUCAUCCCCGUUUGAUCUUAUCCAUUUAGAUGUUUGGGGUCCUUUCAAAGUUGAAUCUGUAGAAGGCUAUAGGUACUUUCUCACUAUAGUUGAUGAUCAUACCCGUGUAACUUGGAUCUAUAUGCUAAGGAAUAAAAGUGAUGUUUCUAAACAAUUUCCUCUUUUCCUUAAAUAUGUUAAAACCCAAUAUAAUGCUGUUGUUAAAACAAUAAGGACUGACAAUGCACCAGAGUUAGCUUUUAUUGAUAUAGUUGAACAAACUGGCAUGAUUCAUCAAUAUUCUUGUCCUUAUACACCACAACAGAAUUCUGUUGUGGAACGCAAACAUCAGCAUUUGCUUAAUGUGGCUAGAUCAUUACUCUUUCAAUCAAAUAUACCUUUAGCUUACUUGAGUGAUUGCAUAUUAACCUCUGUUUUCCUUAUCAAUCGUAUGCCAUCUACUUUGUUAAAGAAUAAGACACCUUAUGAGAUGUUAACAAAGAAAUUGCCUCAAUACUCUUUUCUUAGAUCAUUCGGGUGUCUUUGCUAUGUUUCAACUUUGCAAAAAGAUCGCAAUAAGUUCAGUCCUAGAGCUGAUAGGUGUGUUUUCUUAGGAUAUUCUUCAGGAUACAAAGGAUAUAAAGUGUUGCAUCUGGAUACAAACCUUGUUUCUGUUUCUAGAAAUGUAGUUUUUCAUGAAAAAGAUUUUCCAUUCAAAACAGACAUUCAUUCUAUUCCUAAAUCUGAUAUUUUUAGCAAAUGUGUUCUUCCUCUGUCUACUCCUGCUGUUAUAGAUUCUGCAUCAUCAUCAGAAAAUCAUGUCAUUGAUUCGCAUAUAUCACAUUCAUUGCAUCCUACACAUCACUCUAGUGGUAACAAUCUUUCACAAGAAACUGUAAUACAGGAAACCACUGCAGUUUCAUUGCCUAUAGCCCGGCCAAAGCGAUCUUCUAAGGCUCCCAGUUACUUAUCUGACUACCACUGUGCUCUCAUUCAAACAUCCGCAUCACCACCAAAGGUUUCUACCACUCCUUAUCCUAUUUCAAACUUUCUCUCAUAUUCACAAUUCUCUCCUUCCUAUCAAUCUUUUAUUCUCUCAAUAUCACAAGAGACAGAACCAAAGAAUUUCAAGGAAGCUAUAGCCUCUGUAAAAUGGACUGCAGCUAUGGAUGUGGAACUUGGUUCUAUGGAGCUUAAUAAAACAUGGAGUGUGGUCUCUUUGCCUCCUGGUAAGAACAUAGUAGGCUGCAAAUGGGUAUAUACAAUAAAGUAUAAUGCAGAUGGCACUAUAGAGAGAUAUAAAGCCAGAUUGGUUGCUAAGGGUUUCACACAACAAGAAGGAGUCGACUACUUUGACACUUUUUCCCCUGUAGCAAAACUGGCAAGUGUCAAACUGCUACUUGGUUUAGCUGCUAAGAAAGGCUGGAGCACUUCACAAAUGGAUGUUACUAGUGCAUUUCUACACAGUGAAUUGGAAGAAGAAAUCUAUAUGAGCCUACCGAAAGGUUAUACACCACAAAAUGGUGCUUCUCUUCCACCUAACCCAGUUUGCAGGUUGCAUAAGUCGAUAUAUGGACUUAAGCAGGCUUCACGCCAAUGGUACAAAUGUUUAUCAAAAGUUCUUACUGAUGCUGGCUUUCUGCAAUCCUACGCUGACAACACUCUGUUUGUCCAAGUCACUGGUACGUCCAUUGUUGCUAUACUUGUUUAUGUGGAUGAUAUCCUCAUAGUCAGUAAUGAUGAUGAAGCAGUUAGGUCUAUUAAGGCUAUACUUGGGAAUCAGUUUAAGACUAAAGACUUAGGAGAGGCGAAAUUCUUCUUAGGUCUUGAAAUAGCUAGAAAUUCAGAAGGAAUUUCAAUAAGCCAGAGAAAGUAUUGCUUGGAUAUGUUAGCAGAUUCUGGCUUGUUGGGGUGUAAACCAAAGUCAGUGCCUAUGGAUCCUAAAGUCCCUUUGACAAAAGAUACAGGCACACUUUUGGAAAAUGCAAGACCCUACAGAGAGAUUAUUGGAAGACUUCUAUACUUGUGUAUUACAAGACCUGAUAUCACUUUUGCAGUGAAUCGUCUUAGUCAGUUCUUGUCCUGCCCCACUGAUGUACAUUUUCAAGCAGCUCAACAAAUUCUCAAGUAUCUGAAGGAUAAUCCAGGACAAGGUUUAUUUUAUCCUGCUUCCACAGAGGUAUGCUUGAAUGGUUUUGCUGAUGCUGAUUGGGGUACUUGUCUAGAUUCAAGACGUUCUACUUCAAGGAUGUGUGUUUUUCUUGGUAACUCUUUGAUUACAUGGAAAUCAAGAAAACAAGAUAUUGUCAGCAGCAGUAGCACAGAAGCAGAGUAUAGGAGUAUGGCCAUGACUACGAAGGAACUUCUUUGGCUCAAUCAAAUGCUCAGAGAUCUUCACAUCAAGAUUGACUCAUCAGCAAAACUCUUUUGUGACAACAAAUCUGCAACACACAUAGCCAACAAUCCGGUUUUCCAUGAGAGAACGAAGCAUGUGGAAAUCGAUUGUCAUAUCACCCGAGACCAAGUGAAGAAUGGCUUCUUGAAGGUUUUACAUGUUGAUACAGGGAACCAACUGGCGGAUAUAUUGACGAAGCCACUUCAUCCUGGUCCUUUCUACUCACUCCUCAGUCGACUAUCAGUGUCAAGCCUCUUCAAUCCUUCGGAUGAUUCGGCUUGAGGGGGGUGUAUUAACAUAUUAAUAUAUACUUAGUAUUAAGUCUCCUUUAGCUUGAUACUAUAAAUACUAUGUUGUAUCAUUACUUUUUCGCUUAAUGAGAAAUUUCACAAUUAGUUAACAUGUUUUAAAAAGUGACACGUUAAUUGUUUGAAUAACAAGCACUUGAUUAUUUUUUUGUCUGAAGUAUUAUCAUUUGAAAAUAAUUUAUUUUCCAUUAUCAUAAUACAAAAAGAAAAUAGGAAUCGAACCCCAAGUCUUACGGAUAUUACACUUCACUAUUAUGCAAUAAUUCGUAAUUUAUAGGAAUCGAAACCCAAAUAUAAUAUAAGAACGUUAAUUAACUUUUGAUCUUUUACUGAGACUAGAAGACUUCCACACUUGAAUUUUUUUUCUAAGAAGAUUUUGAGACAUGUCCAAUAUUUUCAAUUUUGAAAUUCGAACGCUAUUCAUUGUACAUGGAUUAAAUAAUUUAGUUACUUAAGAGAUUUGCCAUGUGAUUGACAAAAAAAAAAAAAAAGAUUUGCCAUGUUUGUGGUAUAUAUGUACGUAGAUCUCUAUUGUUAAAAUAAAUAAAUUAAAUGAUCGUUUUUUUCGUUUCAAAGGUAAAUGAUUAAAUUAUUUAAAUAUGGAGAUAAUUUGAGAAAUAAUUUUUUAUUAUAAAUCUACACACCAAUGUUUUUUUUUUGUUAAUAUUUACACAACUAUAUCUGUACUCAAAUAAGUGAAAUGUGAAGUACAACUGUACAAAUAAAAAUAAAGUGUGUAUGAAAUAUAAAUAAAGAAGAGUAAAACAUCUAUAUAUUCAUUUUUUGAGUACACUUAGCAAAUAAAUCCUAGAGUUGCUAAGUAUUUACAAAGAAUGUCAUUAUCAUAAAUGUUUAUCUAUUAAUUAAUAGGGAGACUCACAAAAAUGCCCCUUUUUCAAUACCCCUUUUCAAAAAUGCCCCUUAUGGAUGUCUAUUUUUAAAAAUACCCCUUUUAUGUACAAAAUGACUAAAUUACCCUUCUUUUAAUAAAAGAUAUCAUAAAUAUAUAAGGAAAUAUAACAAAAUUAGGUCCACAAAAUACAAAAUAUUUUUUGGCGGGAAAAGUGAUCCCCCAAUUUUUCCCGCCAAAACACUUGUAAAAAUUUGUAAAACCUUUAAAAUACCUUGUAAAAUUUUCCCGUAAAAUUUUUUCCCGCCAAAAAAUUUUCCCGCCAAAAAAUUUUUUUUGCGGGAAAAGUGAUUCCGCAAUUUUUUUGGCGUUAAAUUUUUGGCGGGAAAAAUUUUCCCGCCAAAAAUUUACAAGGUAUUUUAAAGGUUUUUUACAAGGUAUUUAUAAGGUUUUACAAUGUAUUUUAAAAGGUUUUACAACGUAUUUACAAGGUAUUUAUAAGAUAUUAUAAGAUUUUACAAGCUAUUUUAUAAGGUUUUUACAAGUUAUAAGGUUUUACAAGUUUUUUAUAAGGUUUUACAAGUUAUAAAUACCUUAUAAAACCUUAAAAGUACCUUGUAAAACCUUUUAAAAUACAUUGUAAAACCUUACAAAACACUUGUAAAUACCUUGUAAAAAACCUUUAAAAUACCUUGUAAAUUUUUCCCGCCAAAAAUUUUCCCGCCAAAAAAAUUUCGCAAAAAAAAUUGCGGAAUCACUUUUCCCGCAAAAAAAUUUUUUUGGCGGGAAAAUUUUUUGGCGGGAAAAAUUUUUACGGGAAAAUUUUACAAGGUUUUUUAAAGGUUUUUACAAGUGUUUUGGCGAGAAAAUUGCGGGAUCACUUUUCCCGCCAAAAAAUAUUUUAUAUUUUGUGGACCUAAUUUUGUUUCAAAUAAGGGUAAAAUAGUCAUUAAAAAUUAAAAGAGGGCAAACUUAAAAAUGGACUCUCAAAGGGGGCACUUUUGAAAAGGGGUAUUGAAAAAGGGGCAUUUUUAACAAUUUCUCUAAUUAAUAUUACAAAAUAUUUUCGAAAAAAAUCUUUAGAAACUAUGGCUUCCAAAUAUGGUAACAAAUUGAUUUUGUUUCUAAAUAUUCCUAAAACAUCUCUACCUAAUUUAAACAUUUAUGUAUGAUUCUUCUUUCACUUUUAUAUGAUCUUAUAGUAAUUUAUAUUGAAUUUAUAUAAAAUACAUAUAAUUACUAAAAUAAUAAAUUUUUCUGCAUAUAAUAUGAUUAAAUAUGUGCACAAUUUCUCACAUUGCUUAAAAAAUUGAGCAAUGGUUUAGAGUCAUACUAUAAAAAAGACCAAAAUAAUUCAGAAUAGAAAACGAGGUGUACCACAGGUAAAACCUAGAAUUAAAAAUAAAGAUAUAAUUAUAUAAUCUUAAAUACUAAACCAACCAAACAAAUAUAAUUUAAAAUUUAAAAUUUUAGUUUAAAAAAAUCGACCCACAAUAUAUCGCGGGGUAAAUUGUUUUGAUACAAAAUAAUAUCAAAUUAUUAUAAUAGUCCAUGAUUAUAAAUGCCUGCCAAUAUUAACACUAUAUAAUUUCUACACGUACAACUCUUCUAAGUACACAUAUUUCGACGAUAUUAAUUAUAAUAUAAAAUAAUUAAAUGAAUUUUUUUAUUUAAUAUCAAUUUAAAAAUCCAAUAAAUUAUAAAUUAUUAUAUAAAAUACAUAAAAUACAAUUUUGCCCCGCGGUGUACCGCGGAUUAAAUCCUAGUUAGAUACAAAGACGACACAUUGUCGUAUUGGCGUGAUCCGUGAAUUCGGUUUGCUAAUAGAAUUUUAAACUUUCAUGAUCGUUCGAUUUUUAACUUUUAAAAAAAGUUUUAACUAGUAAUUUGAUUUGAAACUUGCUAUCUCCAAAUGGACCAUUUUUAUUUUUUUAAUUUCAAACUUGUCAUUGUCGAUUUUUUUUCUGCCUCAAAUUUAGAACACUAAUAUCAUAGCCCAUCAAAGGCGGUCGCCCUUAUGUAUUCUUCUUGUUCAUGCUGGAUUUGAUCAUAGGAUUCUUACACGACUGCCUUUCUGGUCACUCUUUUGAAUUUUAAGUAUUGUAGUUUUUUGUCACGUAAUAUGAUUGCACAUAUAUUACCUAGCUAGUUGAUGGCAUAUUAUAGAAAACUUUCGGAAUAUUGAGAAAAAGUUUCUUUCUUCAAAUAUCAAGCUUCAAAAUCCUUUCAUUCUCUAUUCAUUUAUGAUUAAUUAUCAUAUUAAGCCUAUCUAUAUACUCCCUCCGUUCUUUAAUAAGUGAUGUUUUAAGCUUCUAAUUUUGUUCUUAAAUAGAUGAUGUUUUCAGUUUUCAAUGCAAAAUUAAUUAUUUUUUAUUGGUUUUGACGAUUUACAUUCUGUAAAUUAUUUUUUUAUUGGUAAUUGAUUAGAUAAUAAAUGACGUUUUAGUUUAGAAAUAAACAAAAAUUAAAUAAUUUUUUAAUCUAUGUGUAUUCUCCUAAAACAUCACUUAUAAAAGAACGGGGGGAGUAUGUUUUUAAAAGUUUAUCUUUAUUGUACGAAUUGUUUGGGGUCACAGUGUAUUAACCAAUAUUUAGAAGUUAUUAUUUAAUUAGCUAAAACUUAUGUGGUCAUUGUGGUAUAAAUUAAAUGACAUGGGGCAUAAGUGUUAUGGAAGUUUAAUGUGUGGAGACACUUAGUAAUUUAUUAUUCGAUAAGAUCCCGAAUUAGAAAUUAUCACUAUAUAAAUAGAAGGUUAUGGUAUCCAAAGCAACUCUUACCAUAAAUAAAGAAACUCUUUGCAUCCCCAUCAACAUAGACCUAUAACUAUUCAAGGUUUUGAAAGAUUUAAUCCCAAAUUCAGACCUUAAACUACGGAUUCUUCAGGUAUGCUUCCACUUUCGUUAUUAAUCAUCAGGAUGAAUUUAAGGUUUAGGAAAUCAUAAAUAUUUUUCAUACAGCAUCAAGUAUGUUAAAUCAGUCUAAACAACGUUUCGUUUCUUUCUUUUUUUUUUCUUUUUCUUUUUGGCAUGUUUCAAACAGUUAAAAAUGGAACAUUAGAAGCUAACAUUUGACAUAUGGGUAAGGUGAUCGAAGCUUUGUAGGAGAAUAAGACUUGUUUACUAGAUAUAUUACCUCAUGGUAAAGAUGCUACCGGAUGUAGAAUUGUUUUUAAUAUUUGAUAAAAUGAUGAUAAAAUCGAUCAAGGUUUCUACUGAGCACUUUCACAUUCCAGUGAUCAAAUUUCAUGUUUGGACACAUUUUCUUACUUAGAAGUUCAUGAAAGCCUAGAAAUGCCUUUUCCAUAGUUUGUAUUAAUCAUAGUCGACGAUCAUAGAUUCAAGUUCAAUCACACAUUAUGCACUAGUUUUCAUACUUGAAUUAAAUCACAACUAGACAGGUCCAUUUUGGGACGAAUUACCCGAUGCGGCAUACCCGCGCGUCCCAAAUUUUUAGAAACAAAAAGUUAAAAUUAUACUCAUGUUUGGAACAACAUACUAGUACAUCCCAACGAAUACACAAAAAUGGGCCGGAGUAGGUUUGUGUCACCUGAAGGUCCUGAACUAUAUAUUGGGCAACGACAAAAACAAAACGACGUUAGGUUAUGCUUCACAUCAUAAAAACCAUAGAAAAUAGAUGUAUUUUUCAGCUUAUGUAGAUGUGAAAUUUGAAAGGUAUGUCAAAUAUAAUUGUGAUGGCCCAAUCAACUUUUAAAAUAGAUAACGGUAUGAAUGAGUGAUAUGGGCCGGAAAGGAAUAUCAAAUAAAAGCUACAAGGCCAUUAUAUCCAUAAUCCAUUGAAAACUAUGUUUAAUUGAUAGAAAAAUCAUGGAACAUGCUAAUGAGAUCACAAAUAAAGUACAAUUAUACAUAGAAAAGAAGAAAUGAUUGAGAGCAUCAUGGUAAUGGUAAUGACAUAAUUAUUUAAUCAACCUCUAGAAAAAAUAUGUACUUUCUAUCUUCUUUUUUGAUAACCUACCAAUAAAGGUACUCUUCCUAUCUUGUUCUUCUUUUGUCGGCCUAUCUUGAAUUUGUUGAAACAACAGAUAAAGGGAAACGGAAGAUAUGAUGCGAUCGAUUUUCCGGGUUAGGAUGGUUUUGUUCUAGUUCGAAUGAUGGAAUGCAAGAUAUGGGAGCUGCUAAUCUUCGAAGAAGCUUAACCUCACUUCACACAGAGGUCGAAGCAUUAAUUUGGGCGGUGAGAUGUAUGAACGGCCAAGACAAGAGAGAAGUAGAUUUCUUUACAGACUGCUCCGACCUGGUGAAGAUGGUGUCUUCCCCGCAAAAGUGGUCAGCGUUCGCAACCUACCUAGAGGCGAUUCAGAGUGACAAGAAAGAGUUCGACGUAUUCUCAUUAUCUUUAGUUUCUCGAAAUGCAAAUGUGAAAGCGGAUAAACUGGCUCGAACUGUUCGUACCCAACCGCAUCAUAUCACUUAUGUAAACAAUUUUCCCCAACAUUGGCUUAUUUGAGCCAAUCUAAUAUAUAUAGCUGUUGACAAAAAAAAAAAACAGAUAAAGGGAAAAAGAGUGUUUAAACUUUAAAGGAAGUAUUAGUAGUAAGUAUUAGUAAAUUGUUAGUAAAGUAUCUUGGAUUAGUUUUCUUUCAAAAAAAAAAAGAGAGGAAGUAUUAGUAAACUGUUAGUGAUUUAAAUUAUUAUGUGUUAAUAUUCGAGGAAGUUUCGUCGAACAGAGAUCACUAUAUUCGCUUAUCUCUUUAACCAAGAUAUAUAAAAAACAAUGAUCUUUCAUGAUCUAUAUGUAUAUUAUCAGGGCCAUGACAAUGAGUGAAAAAAAAAAGGCAUUUGUCUUAGGCCCCCUUUAAAUUAAUCAAAUUUUGGCCCCAAAUUUUAAAUAAUUAUAUAGAAUAUUAGUAAAAUAUUUUUAUUUUUGUGUUAUUUUUCUUAAGUUUGAAAUUUUUUUUAAUAUAUGAAAACUAUUUUUAUUUAUCUCUAAUAAUUACAAUAUAAUGUUUUUGAAUUUUAGUAGUUUCGUAGAUAAAAAAUGUUAACUAAGAAAAUAGAAUACAAAAAUUGUAUAAAAUUAUAUAGUUAUAGUUAAUUGUACAAAAUGUUAUUUCCAUAGAUUAAGAACAUAGUGUUAAAUUAUCUCUAGUUUAUUACAAAAAAUAUUUUUAGUUUUAGUUAUAAAUUAUAACACAUUUAUUAUGAAAAUGCUAAACCAUCUCGUUUUUUUUUUUUUUUUUUGCCUUACGCCACCAAAACUCUAAGCACUGCCCUGAUAUUAUUUGUCCACGUGGGUCAACCAAUGACGAUCUGGUAUCGUUUUGUGUUAGACAAUCUCAUCUCAUAAACAAUAUUUUGGGAACUUAUUUGCUGAAGCUAAGUGUCGACUUCAAUAAUAUUUUACUAUCAUUUAGCUUUAUAGAAGAAUAUUUUAGUGCAAUUGCUUAACUUAACUUGGUCUCAUGAUCCGAUUUUUUUCUUUGUCAAACUCUUACUCUUUUUUUUCCCCAUGAUCCGAUUUAAUUCCACAAAAUCUUAAAUGGUUCUAUAUGUUGACCGUGUAAAAUUAAAUAAUUAUUAUAUAGAUCUUUCAUGUGUAGUUGUUUGAUAAAGUUAUCAAUAUUUCGCAUAAUUAUUAUAUAGAUCUUUCAUGUAUAGUUGUUUGAUAAAGUUAUUGGGUGAAGUUAUUUUGCAAAGUUGUCUACAGAUUUUAAUGUAUAGUUGUUUGCUAAAGUUUUCGCGUAAAGUAAUUUGGCAGUUGGUGAAUAGGUUUGGACAAUUAUUUUAUUCCCUCCGUUUCAAUUUAGUUGUCGUUUUAAGAUUUAAAUUUUGUUUCAUAAUAGUUGUCGUUUUAGGUUUUCAAUGCAAAUGUUUGGUGAAAAUUCCAGUUUUAUCCCUACUGUUUUAAUGUUUUGACUAAUAAAAUUUUUUAUAAAAUAUAUUAAUAAAGGGUAAAACAGAAAAUUUAAUGUUUUUCUUAAUUUGUGUGCAAAAACCUUAAACGACAACUAAAACGAAACAGAGGGAGUAGUAUAUAUUUGUUUAGUAAGGUUUUUUGGACAAAUAAAUAUGCAGAGUUGUUUGGUAAAUUUAGUUUUGCACAAUUAUUAAAUAUCUUAAGUAGAUUUGUUUGGUAAGGUUUUGUGGAAAAGUUAUUAUGCACACUUGUUUGGUAGAUUUAGUUUCCUUGGUUAAUAAAGUUUUUCGGUAAGUUGUUAUGCAAAGUUUUCUCACAAAUUUAGUUUCACACAAUUAUUAUAUAGAUCUUAAGUAUAGUUAUUUGUUAAAGUUAUAAAGUAAAGUUAUUAUGUAGAGUCAUUUUCGUAAAGUUAUUAUAUUGACUUUGUUUGAUAGAGUGUUUGUGUAGAAUUAAACUAAUAAAAAUCUUCUUCUUCAAUAAUAUUUUUACAUAAACAUGGUACAUACAAUUGUAGUUUUAGGUGAUUGGAUGUUGAAGACGUAUGGCACUUUACAGUUUUGCUCGUCAAUGAGUUUUAUUUGCUAUGAAUGGAGAAUCGUAAAGUUCAGAUCGUUGAUGAGUUAUUUGCUAUUUGUGGUGAAAUUAGCUAGAGAUCAUGUUGAUCUUGGUGAUCAUGAUGAUAAAAUUUUUCUUUGGCUUUUUUGAACCAGAAAGUCAGUCCUCCUAUAAUCCUCUUGGAAUGUGGAAUCAACCAUGACACCAACUAAAAUGCAAGGAAAUAUGAAAAACCCAUAAACGUAGCUUCUUGUGAGUGUAAUCAUCAUUAUGGCAAUGCUCCAUCGCUGACUUGAUCUUUUAAAGUAAUUCAAGCAGUCUGUUUUAUAAUAAUAUUUGGAAAAAUUAGACGUUAGAAUAUGAUAUUUGGAAGUAUAUAUUAAAGCAAAAAGAGAUGGAGGAAAAAAAAAGGUGAGCUUGCAGGGCACACCCCUCUUAACGAAAUGAUAAGCACAAUACAUAUGAAUGUUUUAGCUGUUUUACCUUUAAAGUUUGAGUACACAUGGCGAACUUGAGAUAUAUCUUAAGAAUAUGUCUAAUUUUGAAAAGUUAUGGGUCUUAAGAUUAGAAAUUUUAAAGAGUUAGUGGAGAACUCUAUCGUUGAUGCAGACGUGAGAAAGAGACAACGAGAAGGCAAUUUCUUGAAUUGUGAUUUUUUCCAUCAUGUUUGUUGUUCUUUAUUUCAAUAAGGAUUUUUUAAAAUAAUUUGCCCAUUAAAAAAAUUAUGUAUGUUCUUCGUAGAAUAAUUAACAAGGAUUUUUUUAACAUUUCAUUAUAAAAAAACCUAAUUAAUUAAUUUUAUAAGAUUUGGUCUAUUUUAUUAAUUUUACUAUAAUUUUUGGUCUAUUUUAAUAAGUCUCCCAAUUAAAUUUAGUUGUAGCAAAAAUCAAGAAACUAAAAGAAAGUCAAAAUUCACAAAAAAGAAGCAUUACUCCACAUGUGCGGGGCUUUAGAUUCUUUGAAGCUCACAUUGGAGUUCCUAACAGGGCCGGCGUUGAGAAGGUGCAAGAGGAGCAAAUGCACCGGGCCAAAUUUUUUUUGGGUAAAUUUAAGGGUCUAAUUUUUUUAAAAAAAGAAAAAAUGAUAAUUUUUAAGAUUUUAAGGUAAUUUUAGUAUGAAAAAGGCCCAAAUAUAUAUUUUUAGUAUGAAAAGGAUCAAUUUUAAAGAUUUUUUUAACAUAAAAAAGGCCAAAAACAAAAUUUUCUAUGAAGAAAGGGCCAAAUUUUAAGAUUUGUACAUGAAUUCUAAAUUAAUUGAGCCAGCCCUGGUUCCUAAGCUCAUAUUAUAUAAGCACCUUAUCUUAUAUUUGAAGAUAUGAUAUAAUUUGUCUACAUGGUGACAUUGUCAUGGCACACAAAUGCAUGAAUAUAUGUAUAUAUAUAUAUAUAUAUAUAUAUAUAUAUAUAUAUUCUUAAAAUUAUGAUAUAUUCGUUUAUUAAAUCAAGGUUUUUUUUUUAAGUAAUCAAUAAGAAUUCAUAUUUUGAAGUACCGGAGACAAUUCAUGUUAAUAAGGCAUAUAGAGAGGGAUACAUAAGGACCAUAACUCACAAAAAUAAAGAAAACUUACAAAAGGAUCUAUUGCUAUUCUAACUGAUCUCUUUAAAAUUAAUGCUUCAGAUUACUUAUCAAUUGAUACGUGAAACUCAAUAGCUCCUCCGCCGCAAGCUAGCAGAUUUGGAUCAAGCUAAUUCAAGCUCUUAUCUGGUGAGGUUUAAGCUCAAGGCGAUUUUUUGUUCUCGACAUGGCUCCAAUGCAUACAAUAGUCGACAUGUUGUUGUAAAGGAUAAACAAGAAUAUACAAGUUUUCAAAGAAAAACAAAUUACUUAUCAAAUAAACCUAACCUAUAGCUUAGUAUAGUUUGUAUCUAUAUUAGAUUUAAGUCAGAUUUAAUGCAUGUUACUGAAAAAAUUGCUCCUCAGAUAGUACAGUACAAUGCAUGCAUAUUAGAUUCUGCAGAAAGAUAACUAAAAUCAGAAUAAACAUAAUUUUCGGGAAAAUGCAUAUUAAUGGAAAUCAGCAAAACAAAGAUUAUAAAAAGUUUUAUAUGUUGAAGUAUUUAAUAUUUGAACAGCCCGUUUGUAUGGUUGUUGAAAAAAACAAAACACAUGCAUGAUUCACCAUAACCUACAUGUGUUUAUGUGACCAUAUAUAUUCCUAUUUUAUUAAAUAAUUUAAUCUGCAUGAUCGGUGCCAAUUAAACGGGAUAUGCCUUAGAUAUCUUUCAUUAUGUAUAUCUCCGAUGUUUUUUUUUUGUUUUGUGAUAUAAAAAUAUUAUAUCCGUAUUUUCUCAAUUAUAUAUGUAUAUGUGUAUAUAUAUAUUUGGUGCAAUCUACUAUAUCUGCAGUAUUUUUUAAAGCCAAACCAAAUAUCAAGAUCCACGAAUUGAGCAAUACAAAAUUUUAAGCCAUGGUCUAUGUCUAAUUAUAAUAUAUAUAUAUAUAUAUCCUAACUGCUUAACAUAGACAAUUAUUCUUCAAAUUAAGAUCUAUAAUAUUUGCAUGAGUUAGCUUAUUUUAUGGUACCACUUUCUUAGGCAGCAUAUCUUAAAUUUUACGUAUCAUAUUUGUUGUUAUAUAAAUUUCUGUGAGUUUUAUCACGCAAAUAUCUUGUUAAACAUUAAAAAAAAUUAAGUGGAUAACAUCAAUUCAAAUUAAGAUAAAAGAAAAACUGUACCAAGUCAUAUUUAUAUCUUGUUAUCAUGAUACGAUAUUGAAAUUGCUUAUUAUUUAUAAUUAUAUAUGUGGUUAUCUCGCUCAAUUUUACAGAUAUGGUUAUCUCGUUGGGCUAUAUUAAUUUAAAUCUAUAAUUAACCAAAUAAUUAGAUUUAAAUCCAUGGUAAUUUGAAAUUAGAUAAUUAGAAAAGAGAAAGAAAAUGUAAACCAAAAAUAUCUUUCUUUUUUGGAUUAAUUACUAAAAUGCCACUGAUUAAAAUAAGGUUAAUAUGUGGGUGACACUGUUCAUUUUGACACGAUAAUAUGCAGAUGACACAUGCUAAAUAAUUUAGUAUCGCGAUAAGUUAUAAAUUAUAUGUUAAUAUAAAAUAAUAACGUGCUAACAUAUUACAUAUCUGAAUAAUAUUUGUAUGAACAUGGUAAAAUAUUCGAUAUAUGGAUAAUAUUUAUAUUAACAUGUAACUUAUACAACGUAUGCUCAAAUUUAUCAUAUUAAAUCGUUGACUAUUUGAUUGGUAUCAACUAAUUUAUAUAAAAACCUGUUUAUUUACUCUAAUAAUUAAUUAUAACCGUUAACUUAUAUAUUAGCAUACUUAUUUAUAAUGAUAAUUUAGUUAUCACGUUUAACUUAUACGUUAGCAUUUUUGUAUGUGUUGCUAAUUAAAUUGUUACCCAUAUAAUAAAAUCGAACCCAAAAAAAUGAGACAAUGGUCGUUGCUGCCAAUGAUACCAGUUUCCCUCUUUUGCUCAAUAAACCUCAUCAAAACCCAGCUAACAAAUUAUUCAUUCCACAAUUCUGCUGGGUUUCGAAAUUACCACCGAGAUUUGAAACUACCAUUGUGUCUUGGUUUCAACCUUCAUGGAAUCGAAGUCUGAACAACCAAAAUCGACCGGUUCUCUCUGUCACAAAAUCAAAUCGACCAUUAUCUUUUUUAAACACAGCUUGAACCAUGACGAAUGUGACAUUGAUCGUUUUCUACCGACAAAAUCUAUUCUUCUCCCUUGAUUUUUGUUUUCGCUGAAUUAAAACUACCAUUGUCACAAGUCAACCACACAACUCACGAAUUUGCUUAUCCGGCCAGCUUUGGCUCUCUGCAAUUUUGUUUCUGAAACCAUUUUAAUUUUUUUGUUGAAUUUUUGUGGGUUUAAAUUGCUGUAGAAACCGAAGAGAGAAAUGAAAGAGAAAGAGAGACAUGAAAGAGAAAAAGAGAUACAUUAGGGAUUAGAUUGUCAUUAUGACAUAUACAGUAAAUGUCAAAAAGUGGUGAGGAGAGAGAACUAAAUAACGAGUCGUCUAUGGUCAUAGAUUGUAGAUUCCCUAUCUCGCUCAAUUUUACAGAUAUUAAUUGUAGUGUAUAUUAAACGGUUUCGAAAUUAGUAUUAUGUUUUCCUAAAAAUGAUUUAAGAUUUUUAUAUAUGCCCAAAAGAUUAUUAAACUCUAGUUUCCUUACUAGUUUAUGUUAGUUUAAAAAUUGAUUUUGAAAGAGGAUAAUUUUUUUUAACGGUUCAGAAUUAUAUGGAUUACGUACAAAUAAAGAGAUAUUAUCUGUUUGUUUUUGCAAAGUAAGCGUUAAUUAUUACUCCCUCUGUUUCAUAAUAUAAAGCGUUUUGGAAAAAGUUUUUUGUUUCACAAUAUAAGUCGUUUUCGAGUUUCGAUGCAAAUUUUAUAAUAUUUUAAUAUUUUAUGAUUAUUUAUAUUAUGCAGUCUUUUUUAUGAUUGAUUGAACUUUUUAAUAUUACAUUUUCUUAAUCGGCGUGCUUUUACCUAAAACGACUUAUAUUAUGAAACGGAGAGUAUUUUUUAUUGAUAUAUUAGAUUUUCAAACAGCUAUAUAUUGCGUAUAAUUAAAAGGUUUAAUAAAAUAAUAUACAGAAAGGAAUUUUAGGUCUUAUUGGCUGUCGAGGUAAGUAGCAGGAUCAAAGGGAUUUGAUUCGAGAAAAAUAAUUUUUUUUGUGAAAUCCUUAACAAAUCAAUAAAUUUGAGUAUUAUUAAAUCAUAUACGAGUAAAGAUAGAGAAGAAAUAGACAGAGUGUGAUAUAAUGUAGUAGGGGAAAUGCAUGUGCACACAAUCUACAGUAGAUAUUAUUUCAUAUAAAUAUGCAUCUAAUGAAUUUUUAAUAAAUACUCUCUCCACUAUGCUCUGUCUUUUUUGUUAUUAUGUUCUCUUACUUACUCAUCAAAUCACUUAUUAUCUUUUUUUUUUUUUUUUUUUGAAUAACCGUGGGUCUCCCAAAAGUUUCCUAGGCCCAAAGACUAAUCCCACGAGGCUGGCAAUUCCCCUAUAUAAACCUGCCAGUGGCCGUACCUCAAACCCUGGUGGCGGAAAUCACAGCUGUGACCCCUUUACCACUAGGCCACAAGGCCCGGUUCAAAUCACUUAUUAUCUCAACAUAAUCCCCUGUUUUGAUACACUUUUUGUCUCUAAUUUAUUUUAAUCAUUGCGAUUAUGAACUUACAAUUAAUUUACAUUGUAUACAUUUAUCAGCUUGUUAUAUCAUAUAGUAUAUAUAUAUAAACAUAUUCUUGUAAGUAGGAAAAAUCUGUUUUAAUUAAUGGUUUGCAUUUUUAUUUUAUUUUUGGUAUCAAGAAUUUUGUAUUUUGCUAAGCAUAUUUAUAGAAGAUUGAUUUGAUACCGUUUUAAUAUGCUUAUUAUCGAUCGUUCCAUUAUAUUUGUUUCAAUCCAGAUGAACUGAAUUUACCUCAUAUAUCUAAAGUCUAAACCAUACCAUAACGAUUGAUAUUUGAUAAUAUAAUGAAUUUAGUGGGUGAUUGGUUGGGCUGUAGCUGUAAAGUUUUUGCUGCAGAAAUUUUGCUGUAAUUGUGUUGACUGUAGCUGUAGUGUUUGUUGCUGUAGAACUUUUGCUGUAAGUGAAUUGGUUGUAGCUGUAAGUUUUUGGAUGUAGGUAUUUUAAAAUAAAAAUAUAAUAUUUAUAAUAAAAUUUUAAUUUUUACUUUUUAAAGUAAAUAAACUUGUUUAUAUUAUUAAUUAAAACUAAAAUACAAACAAUAAAUAUUUUUUUAAAAAUCCUAGUCAAAACACAAAAGUCUACGUAUUCUUUGAUAAUUUUAGUUUUGGAACUUAUCUUUGUUUUUUAUUUUUUAAAUUUUUGUUGAUAAUUUUUAAUUUUCAUAUUUAUCAAAUAUUAAUGUGAAUUAAAAAUUCUACAGCAAAGAACAUAGGGCUUUAGGAAUUUACUCUGCUACAGCCUAAAGAAAAAGAAAAGGUGGUAACUUUUUAAAAAUCACUACAAUACGAUUGGCAUAUAAUUUAGGUUUUAAGAAAAAUUAAAACUGUAAGGUGGACUUACAGACCAACCGAUCAAGCCCUUAGUUUUAGCUUGGUUAAAUACUUAAAUAUUGGCAUAUACAGUAAUAGAAAUCGAUGAAAACAAUAAAAAAUCAUAAAAACUAAAUUCUUAUUUACGUGGUAUCAUAAAAUUAAAUAUCAAUCGUAUUUGAGGUUAUCGAGAAUUGAUAGACCUACAUAUAUUAGACCAUCUCUAUUAGACAAAUAAAAUAGGAGGCUUCACUUAUAAUAAGAUUUAAAAAAAAAAAAAAAAAAAAAAUUGAAGGAACAUGGGAGAUUGGUCAUUACUCAUUAGUAUUUUCCCUAGAGACACUAAGACACAUUAAAACACUUUAGGUGUCAGGACAGUAUUGGUCAAUGUAAUAGUGUAUUAUUUUUCUUUUUCUUUUCUUUAUUUUGCAAAAACAAAUAUAAUUAAAACAUCUAUGGGAGAUUUUCUAAUGUAGAUGCUCUAAGAACACCCUCAUUGCAUAAUUUGUAUGGAUGUCUUAAAAAUUUUAAACUAAUUAAAAGAAAAAUUAAUAUGAGUGUCUUCCUAUAAAAUGUCUUUAAUUUUAAUAUUAAUUAAUUUGGAAAACACUUACUAUUUGAGGUUUAGGACAGUAUUGGUCAAUGUAAAACACUUACUUUUUCAACCUUUUCUAUCCGGCAGCUUUCUUCGAGGAGCAUUCUAUCAAAAACUCGUAUGCGUUAAUCGCGCGAGCCGUCUAUGACCACCUGUUUGGUCGAGGAUUUCGCGAAGCCCGUCUUCAUGGUCGAAUCCGCUAUGGCCUCAAUAGAUUUUCAAACACUGCAAGCUUAUGUAAGCGUAGCACCUCUUUGGAAACCUCAUGGAGCAUUUAUCUUUAUUUCCAUUGUACUAUCUCAAAUUCAGUUUGUAUGAACUUCCCUCUUUUGGGAUCCUAAGUGAAUGAAAGUUUUUUGUUUAUUCAAAAUAAAAGGAAUGAGGAUGAUCUAAGGGUCAUACAAAAAAAAAAAAAAAGAAUAUUCAACGUCAGCAGUACUGACACGUGUCUUGCAAAUAUUGGUUUACUAAAAACUGACUCCUCGUUGAUACAUUUCUUACAGAAUUCCCUUGAGAGCUAAUUAAGGCAAAGACAUGUUCGAAGAAUCACAUGAUUCACGACAUAAGUUUAUAAAGAAUUUAUUGGACUAAAAAAUGUGUUUACACAAUAUUAAUAUUCUUUUGAUCGUUAUUGAACGUAGCUUUGAUAGUGAUAGGUCAAUCAAACAACCUAGAGGUUGGACUUUACACAAUCCUGCUUAGAGCAUCCCCAACGGUGAGAAACUAUAGAAGUUUCUCAAAUAUAAUAAUUUAAUAUUUUUGUAAUAAAUGAAUUAUUUGUUUAAAUUUUAAUUAAUUAAAAAAAAUUUAACCAAUCAAAUGAUGUCAAGUAUUAGACACAGUUUCUCAAAUGAGAAACGUUUUUCAUUCUCUCUCUUACUUUAAAUUAUUAUUAUUAUUUUUUUAAUUCUUUAGACACCUUUUGAGAAACCUCUUUUGGAGGUGCUCUUAUAAAGUAAUCAUAAAACAAUUAACAAAAAAAAAGUAAUUAUAAAACUUAAAGAUUUUUUUGUGAGAACUUUCAUAAUGAACAUAUAAAUUUGAAGAACAAAACAAACCAUUAGAAGAAAUCGCUUUGAAUUAAUUUGUUGAUUACAAGAAGAAAUAUUAGAACAUGUUUUUUUUUUUUUUUUGAUAAAAUCUUAAAUUUAUUGAUCUUUAAAACAAACAUUAGAACAUGUUUUUACUGUCAUAGUGUAAUAUAUACAAAUCAAUUUGUAAAUAUAGUGGUCGAUAAAAUAAACUACUGUUGUUAAUCUACUAAAACGAUAAUUCUCGCUUAUAUACAAAUUUUCUGAAAUCUUGUGGACCAUUCAUCAUAGAUGUAAAAAAUUAAUAGUGAGACGAAGGGCAUAUCCAAUAUAGCAAACUGUCGGUCUUAGAACAAAUCCCAAUUAAAUAUGUGAAAUCGACGAUUUUGUCUGUUUUUGUAAGAAAAUUAAAUGUUCAGAUGUUUAAAAUAUUAAUUAAAUAUUUAAAUGAAUACAGAAUCUCAAGAUUUGAUCUGAGGUUUUAGGAUUUCAUGGGAUAAUUUUAAAAUCUGAAAGGCAAAAGGAUUUUAUUUGCUAUAUAUAUAAAGUAUACUGAAGUAUUUAAUUUUUUUAUUCAUUGCAAGGAUAUAACUUCAGAAAAUCAUGAUAUUUAAAUGGUAACUGAACUUGUCACAUCUACAUAUACAUUUUUACAGGGGAUUUUUGCAAAAAGUCUUUUGGAUCCGGGUUUUAUCCGGGAUUAACUCUAUCCGGAUCUUGGAUAAGGAAUUUUAGGAAUGUUGUCUUAAAACCACAUUAAUUCUUAAUUAACACCUAAAUUGGAAAUAUAUAUAAUAUAUCUAAACUAACCAUAUUUGUUAUUUACCUUAACUACUUCUAACCAUAAUUAUUUAACUAUUUAUUUCUAUAUAGAAAGAAUAUGUGAUUAAAAUAAAUAUUUUGUAAAAUAUUUAUUUGGGAAAAAAUUGUUCAUACGAAAAUAAUUUAUUUUGUUAUAAAAAUUAAUAUUUGUUAUUUGUAAUUAAAUUACAUAAAUAAUAAUAAUAAUUUGUCUACACCAUCAAAUAAAAAUAGUUAGUUAUUUAAUUUUUUAUUUAAUAUUACGUAAUUUUUAAAAAAUAAAUUCAACAAUAUAAUGUCAAUGGGUUUAAUUCUAAAGAUUUGAAAAUAUUAAAAAAUAUACUAACCAAAAAUUAUCUAUCCUAAUUUGUUUCUAACAAUUUGGACACAAAUCUUUCAAAUCUUUCAAAAAUUUAAUGUGAUCACAUUUGUUACUAAAAUCUCGAUUAUAUUCCUAAAAAUCUCGAGAAGAUCUUCAUUUAAAUCUGCAAAUUAUAAUUUAUGAAUUAAAUAAACUAACAAUACGAAUAAUCCUAAUAUAUUCGAGUACCAUAACGAAAUUAAUUCUUUAAUUAGACAUAUAUUUUCGAAAUUAUCUUAAAUGCUUAUCAUUCCAAAAAUUAAAUUGAUUUCGAAUAUUUUCACAAUCUAAAUUAAUUACUAUAACAUACUUUAUCUCAACUAUUGUUCCUAAAAUAUUGCUUAAAUCUCGAUUUUAAAGAAACUAAUUACUCUAUAUAUAUUUCGAAAUAAUUAGAUUUGGAUCCUUUCUUUAUUUGAACGGUUUAUCAAAAUUAUAUUCCUAUAAUAGAUUGUAAAACAUUAAUGCACUAUUACGAGAAUAUGAAUUUAAAGGAAAAUCUUUGAUAUUAAUACUCCUAAUAAAUAGCCUAUUUUAAUUGCAAAAAUCUUUCAUAUUAAUGCUCUGAAUAAAUAUGCAGAUUUUAACCGUAUAUAAUAAUUGCAAUUCACAUUUCUUGCCUAAAUAAAAUGAACUAUAUUAAUUCCGUAUUCAAUCCACCUAAAAGAUUUAGGAAAUUUUCUCAUGAUAAACGAUAUUUAAAGAUAUUAUCCUAAAAUGGUUAGGAAUAUAUGUAGCAUAUUCUAGAUUUGUGAUAAUUUAAAGAUUUUCGAAUAUAUCAACGCCUUACUAAUCAAGAUUUUGGAUAUUCUCUAACACAAAACCCUACUAACCUAUCAUAACUCUAUAAAUACUUGAUUGUUUCUACUACUUCUGAACACACAAAACACCAGUUGCAUUCUUUAACUUUCCAAUUUCUAAUCUUAAUGUGUUGUUUGAUUUAAUUUCUUGAAAUUGGAUUCGAUUAAACUUUGAAUUUUUGUUUAUACGUUUAGAAAUAAAUCUAUUUUGAAUUUUCUACGUCAAUCAUUUUAUGAAAUUUGAGGAAAAAGAUACAAUUCUUUUUUUAUAUUCAUCAAUUCUUUUGUUCAUAUACAUCGCUAGAGUCUUUGGAUAUUAUUAACUUUUUUUUUGUUCGUGUGCAGAUUCUUUGUGGUCGAUCAUGUUGGUGAUGAGUUACGACUACUCUCAAUGCUAGAUGCUUUGGUAACAAGUUAAUUUCUAUAUAAUAUGGAUUUUCCACUUACAGAUUUGGAAUGUCAGAUUUUGUGAGUUGAAAAACUAUUUAUGUUUCAAAGUGUAUAUCUAAGCUAUACAAAAGAAGUAUAUUUGACAUCUUUUUCUCUUUUUAUAUUUGAGACUGUAGCCAUUAAGAGUAUAAAAUAUCUGCAAAAGAUGAAGACCAACAUAGAGACACCAAUUUGUAUCAAAAACAGGCAAUUACUCAUUUGACUAACUCUGGUUGUGUUAUACGUACGUUUAUUAUUCUUUCAAUUUGCUAACGACCUUAUAUGUGACUAUUUAGUAGAGCUGCUGAUUUGUAUAGGCAGAUUCUUCAGCUAAAGCCAUUGCUGGAGUACUUUAUUAAAAUUUCUGACUCAAAAAAUUUAUAUGUUUUGUUUUAUAUACGUUUAUUAUAUUUUCACUUUCACUUUGGCUAAUGAUCUUAUGUUUGACUAUUUAGUAGAGCUUAGCCUAAGGUGCAUUAAGUGAAUGCACCAUUUUACUAAAAGCAAUAGACACAGUGAACAAGGUAUCAUCCAUUUGUUUUCAUAUAUUAUACUUGAUUUGACAAAAUUCAUGUUUGUUUUUUUAUUGUAUUCAAACCAAUAAUAAUCAUAUUGAGCUUACAUUUCUUGGGUGUGAAAGUAGCUUGAUUACAUAAAAACUCCAAAAUCAGAAACGUAUAAGAACGGUUGAAGAAGACGAGAAGGUUCUCAAAAGAGAUUUUUAUUUUAUUUUAUAAUGCAACAUUUUCUGUUUUUUCAUAGAUUUUUCAAUUAAAAGUCCAAAGGGUAAAAUACAGAAAAGACAAGUGAAGCCUAAUUAAGGCCCAAUACAUAAUUACACGUCUUUAACAUAAAUUAGUUUUCUUUUUUCGAGUUUUUUUUUUUUUUUUUUCUGUUUUCUUAGGUAAAGCAUGAGACAUUAUUUGACUAUUUUUUAUACAAUUAGAGUAAUUUAAUUUGUCUUUCGAAAUUUUGUCUUUUUGGUUUAUUUUAACACAUUUAUAACACACAUAUAUAACACUAUAUAGCAUUAUCAAACAAUUAUAUAAUAAAGAAAACUUUAUUAUAUUCAGAUUAAAUAAUAAAUUAUAUAAGUAAUGAGUAUAAAUUUUAUCCCACUAAUAAAACUUACUUAGUUUUAAACUUUGGGAUAGUAAUUUAAUAACAUGUAUCUUAUUCGUAUAAAUAUUUAGUCAUAUAAAAGCCAAAUAAUACUUUAGGAAAUGUUUUAAUAAAAUUAUUAUUAAAAAGAAAAUUACAAAAUGAUGUUUAAUUUCACGGGAUGAGAUUAUAUGGUGGGAGGGAUUUGGAUAAAUAUUAAUACGGGAUGGUAUACUACGGAUAAAAUCCUAGAAUUAAUAAUCAAACUAUAAUUAUACAAUCUUACACACUAAACAAAACAAAUAUAACUUAAAAUUUUGAUUUUUAGUUGUAAAAUAUCGUUAUGCGGUAUACUAUAUAUCUAUAGAUUAUCUUAAAAAUUUUAAUUUUUUUAUUUAGUAAAAAUAUAGGCCCGCGGUGUACCGCGGGUUAACAUCUAGUGUCUUGCAUUUGCAUAACAGAUUGGCCUGACACAGCAAAUAAGAACUUCGAAAAUAAAAUUAGAAAAGAAAAGACAAUUUGCAUGUAAGCCAAUCGAGUCAUACAUGAAAUGAAAUGUUGGAGUAAGCUAAAAGAUAGCUUGAACCGGAAGUAAUCUCAAAAAUUAAACUGAGUUAUGGUUUAGAGAGAUAAGAUCAAACAUAAUUAGGAGUUAUCUAAUAUAUAUGUAAUUCUAGUGAGAUUAGAAUUUGUAUGAUCUUAUAAAUAGAGAGGUUGAGUCAUGACCUAAAAUAUGAGAGUUGUGGUUUAAGAGAGCUUAAGUUUUGAGUUAGUUUCUUAAGUAAUAAAGUGAGUUUUACUUUGUUAAAUCGUGAGUCUUAAACAUACGAAUCUCAAUCUAUAUGAAACAACUCAACGACGAUUUGUCUUCCACUAUUAAUGCUAGCUGCAAAUCUUUAGUUUGGGGUUAAUAAAACUAGUUAAACGAAUAAAAAGAAUGGGAAAAUUCCCAAAAAAAACCUCAAGUAUUUUUUAUUUGGAAGUUUAAUGCCCAAUUCUUUUUGGUUGGAACAAAAAUACAUUAUUUAAAUAUUGUUGGUCGAAAAAUACAUCAUGUUAAAAUUAUUGGUAAUUUCAAACCUACGACUUAACAGCCGUUACCGGAUGCUACGGUAUCAUUUAACGGUGUUAAAUUUUAACCUCUCGUAUUUUAAUAGAUAUGUAUAAUAUGUUUGGUAAGUAUUAUUAGGAUAUUACCGUAGUCUGGUGGUGAAAGGUUGGUUUUGCAACCCACAGAACCCAGGUUCGAUCCUCCGAUUUUUUUUUUUAUAUUCUCUUUCUCACCUCCUUCACAAAACCCCUACGGCGAACAUCGCCGCCGAUGUAAGCUUGAGAUUCGAACCUGUACCGUUGCCGUAGGGCUUGAGAUUCGUUUAUGACUGAACUUUUUCUUUUUGUUGUUGAAGGACAUGAUUUCAUCAUCAUCUUAUCUUCUUCUCCAACAAACCUUUGUUUUUUAAAAAUGGUUUUAAAGGAAACGUGAACCAGUGGUGAAAUCUAUGGGAAUUAAAUCCAAUUUGAACUUGUUAAUCCAGAGAAUAUUGUAAUUAAUGGGUGAAUUAGGUAGCUAAUUCUUCAAUUGAAUCUUCAAAUUGGUGAAACGAAUUACAUAACAUCACGAUUUAGCAUAAAUGAGCGAUAUAGCGUCUUGAAGAAGUGAGGAGGAAGAAGAAGAAGAAGAAGGAGAUAAGGCGGGAGGAAGUAAGUCAUGCGACAGCGAUGAGAUUUGCGUAAAUAGCAGAAGGAGAAGGAGCGAUAUAGCAGUCAUGGUACAGCAAAAGAGAAAAGGGAAAAAAAAAACGAAAAGAUGUCAAUGGGUGAGAUUCGAACCCAGAUUAUAUGAGUUACAAAACCAAACCGUCACCACUAGACUACGGUGAUAUGUAGUUAUAGUAAUCUAAACAUGUUUAAUAUAUCUAUUUAAAUUCAUGAGAUUAAACUUUAACACCAUCAAUGAUUCUGUAACGUCCGUUAACGGCUGUUAAGUCGCAAGUGUGAAAUUACCAAUAAUUUUAACAUGGUGUAUUUUUCGACCAACAAUAUUUAAAUAAUGUAUUUUUAUUCCAACCAAAAAGAAUUGGGCAUUAAACUUCCAAAUAAAAAAUACUUGAGGUUUUUUUUGGGAAUUUUCCCUAAAAAGAAUGCUUGAGAUAUUUGUUGACACAAAAAAAAUGCUAGAGAUAUUUUGGUUUCGUACUGAUUGAUUAAUGGAUUCUGCUUUUUUAACCAACGAAAAUAGUUUUUUUUUUUUGUGAUAAAAAAUCCAAAGAAAAAUAAUAGUUAUGUUUUUUUUCCAUAAUCAAUGAAAAAUGUUAGUUUGAUUUUCCAUACUGAAAUUUACCCAGAUUGACAGAAAUCCGGAGAUUAAUAACUAGAUUAACAUUCUAAUUUUCUAGUUUAUUAGAAUAACACAAAUUUUAUGUAAAAUGACCAAAAACCCAUUUGAAUUUUGUUUAGUCUUGAAAAAAAAAAAACUCAAAACAAAAAAACAAAAAAAAAACACAAAAACAUUAACCAUAAUUUUUUUUUUAAUUGUAGACUUAAGCUUCUUUUUUCUCUGUUUCACCCGACAAACACAAUCCCUAACUUUUUUCUCUGUUUCACCCGACUCCGACGAAGAGAAGAAUCUGACUCCAAUUGUCUUCGCCGGUUAGGAUAGCCCAAAACCCUAGGAAAAUAAGGUAAGUUAGAUUAUCUCGUCAUUUAUUAUUUUUCAGUUAUGGAAAUUCAAAAUAAAAAAGUCUGUCGUGUUUAAAAAGUCUGUCAUGUAGUCCAUCAUGAAAAGUCUUUCAUUAAAUAUGUAUAAAAAACCUGUCAUAAUAUGAAUAAAAAUUAAAAUCUGUCAUUGCGUAAAACAUAUCUGUCAUCACUAUAUGAAGUCAUUCCAACAAUUUUUUUUUUCAUCACUAAAUCUGUCGUAAUGUGACAGUUUUCUUUGAACUAAUUCUAAAUCUGUCGUAAUGUAAAUAAAAUCUGUCAUCACAGAAAUAUUUCAUUUGCGAUUGUAUGUUAAUCUAGCAAUUUUUUUCUUUGUAAUGCAAAUCUGCUAUCACUCGACAGUUUUUUUGUUUAAAAAAUAAAAACUGUCAUAACAUCAAAAAAAUCUGUUAUCACUACUAAGUCAUUCUAGUAAUUAUUUUUCCAAAAACAAAUCUGUCACUUGAUGACAUAUAUUUUUAUGAAAAUUAAAAGUCAGAGGCCACUAUGACCAUAAAUCUGCCACUAAUUUUAAUAAAUCUGUCAAAGUGAUGAAAGUCUGUGGUGUUAAAUUAAGUCUGUCACAACCUGUUAAAUUAAGUGGGUGUUAUUGGUUUAUUAGUUUGUAAAUCCAUAUAGGAUUUGGAAAUCUCUAUUAAUUAUGAAAUCAAGAUAUAUGGAUUUUGAAAUAACAUGUGUUUACUCAUGAAUUUGAAUCCUUCUAUUUUUCUCUUUCAAUUCCAUACAAAUCCAUUUAAAACAUAAUUUGGAUUCUCAAAUCCAAAAACAAAUGACUAAACGAAUAACAUAGGAUUUUAACUAGUAUUUAUAAAUCAUAGAACCAAUAACACAUAAUUUUAAUUAGGAUUUUAAAAUCAAUUAUUGAAUAACAAAUGAUUUUUGUUUGGAUUUAUAAUUCUUUAUAAAUCCAUGAAUCAAUAACCCCUGAUAAAUCUAUGAGAGAUAAAAAAUCUAUCACAGAAAAUCUGUCGUUGAAUAAAAAGAAACUAAAAAGACAGAGGAUUUUAGGCACGAAGACCAAGAAGACCCAAGCUCAACGAAAUGAGCCCUUUCCACCGACGUUCCUCCACCGGCAGCCUCCACUUGUGAGCGAAGUUUGCUUAUAAGGUUAGAUCUCUCAGGUGGACCUCUUUUCCGGUGACGUGGCGGUUUUUCCGGCGAGUUUACUACCUGAGAUGACUACCUUCUCUCUCCCGAUGUCGAGCCUCUCUCGUUGCGUACCGAUGUCUUCGGGUUCUUUCUCUAGUCUGAGAUCUCCUUCAGCACCACCAUCGGAGCCUCCGUCCCCACCAACUCCGCCUGAACCACCGGAUCCGCCGGAUCUUCAGUUCUGCCCCUCAUCCGGUGAUGCUCUUGUUCAGCUGCUUCUCCUUCAACAUCCCACCGGUCUUCAACGAGGUCACAUCGGUUCCGAGCGCCCAUCUCCGCUGCCCUCGAGAACUACUCCACCUUGCCGGAAGAAUGCUCCUCUGUCCAUCACCGUACUUGCUCGCCGCCGUCACUUGCUCCUCUCUCCACAUUUCUCAAACGUGAACCUAGGGUUUCACUAUUUGGGCCAAAUUUGGGAUAAUUUUCUAUUGGGCCAUGGUUGCUUAUUGGGCCAAAAGAGUGGGGUUUUCUUAUUGGGCCUUACUUUCCCAAGACUCAGCCCACCUUUUUCCUUUUAUCGUGUCUUCUCUUGUCUCGUCUCCCUACUCCGCUGCAAGCCAUCUCAAUCUCAUAAUCUCGUCGUCGCCAUCAACUUACCUCCUCAGAAGUUUCCCCAGGUAUGCUCUUACUCUUCACCCUCUAAUUCUUCUCAGAUUGGAAGGGUUUGGAUGUUGGUAGAGUUUGUGGCUCUUGUUUUGUGGAAUUCUGAUAUAGCUCAUUCGUCUUCGAUGAGCUUGGAUACUUUUGUGUCUACAUUUGUGCUCUCUUGUAGCACCUUUAUCGUUUUGAUGCGAUCAUUUACCGCAGUAUGCAGAUUCUGGCUCGAUUUAGCUAUGUUAAAAGUUGUCUCGUCGCAACUUGGACAAAGUUCUCUGAGUUUAGAAAACCGACCAGGUUUCCUGGUUCAUUGGGGCUAUCAUAGCCCUCAUCUCUCCUUUAUGGAGUUUAUUAUCUUUCCAACGACCUCACUUGUAUUUAGUGAUAGUGUUACAGGAAGCAUUGAGUGCAAGACUGUUCUGCUUGAAGUAGAAGCGAGAAAUCUACUGGUGUUUGAAAACCGUGCUUUUUCUGAGGAGGACACUGCUUUGAAAGCCAUAACUGCGGCAAAUGAAUGGCAGGAGGCAAACCUUGCAGUCCAUGGCCAAUCGCGGAACAGAGCACAAGCUGUACCUCUUAUUGAGGAUAUACCAACUCCACUACCUCACUCAGAGGAUCCUUCUCUCAUUUUACCUCUUAUUGAGGCUCCUUCUCUCAAUUUACCUCUUAUUGAGGCUCCUUUUCACAGAAUUCCUCGCGAUGAGGUUUUUUCUUGCUACACGGAUGCAGCUUGGAUCGCAUCCUCUGGCUCCUGCGGUAUGGGAUGGAUUUUCAAGACUCAAGAUCAUCGAGUUAUCCAUCAGGGCUCGGCAACUCGCCUCCAUACACCAUCGGCUCUAGCUGCUGAAGCUUUGGCCUUGAGAUCAGCGCUGAUCGCAGCGUCUAGAAUGGAAUUCACCUCCAUCAAAGUUUUUUCGGACUCGCAAGUCCUCAUAUCUCUGCUAAAUACAGAGACCUCUACGAACGAGCUUCAAGGGAUUCUCCAUGACAUUGCUUUCUUUAGUCGUUCGCUAUCAUCUAUCAAGUUUCCUUUUGUUCCACGCAAGUCUAAUAUGUUAGCUGAUGCAUUGGCAAAGGCUGCCUUAUCUUCUUUACCUGUUUUAACUACUUCUGCUUUGUAAGAAUCGUCUAUUUAUCUAUAAAACCAGUUUGACCAAAAAAAAAAAAAAAUCUGUCGUUGAUAAAUAAGUCUGCCAUUUAAAAUAAACCUGUCAUAACGAAUCCAGCAGACUUUUAAAAAUCUAUAAAUUUUUUUCCCACGUUUUUCGGAAAAACUUUAGGGUAAAUUUGACUUUUUUUUUUUUUUUUUUUUUUUUUUUUUUCCUAACAAAGAGAGCAAGUGUAUUAUCGUCAUGAAAAUAACCAAUCUAACCCCCAUAUUUUUAUGAGACAUUCUAGUAAUUAAAGUUAUUAUUUGGGUCAAUCUAGUAAGUUUCCCUUUUCCAUAACCAAAACAUUAAAUUUUGAUACUGUCUAUAUAUCUAAACUAGUGGUGAUUUUAAAUACUUUCCGUUUCUUAAUAAGUCUUUCUGAGAAAUGUUUUCAAAUGCUUUGCUAUAUAUUUGCCAAUUGUUAGCAGUUAAUAUCCUGAUAUAAUCUACUAUUAUGAAAUAAUUUAUGACAACCCCUAAUAAUACGGAGAUAACAAAAAUCGAAAAUAGUAUACAACGUAGAUUAUAGAUUAUAUGAAAAUAUUAUAAAAACACUCAACUAUUCGUUACGUGGGUCAAUAUGAAAAUAGUAUUGUAAUAAGUCCCAUUUUAUAUCAUAUAGUUUUUUGGUAGACCAGAUUUUAUCUUAUAUAAUAUGAGUUUCUCGAAUAGAGAGCAUGAAUAAUUAAUUAUAUAUUAUCAAAAAAUAAUUAAUUAUAUCAAAGACAAAAAGAGCUGAAUAAUUAGAUCGAAUCAACAUCCAAGUCUUUUGUGUUGGAAGUCAUCCAAAAGCAAGAAAUAAUUAAGAAAAUUAAGCUAAUCAUCAAUAUUAUUUUAUUGCACAAUCAUUGUAAUUAAUAAAAUGGUAAAUUAAAUAAAUAAAUAAAAAGAAAGUUGCAAAAUCAAAAUAAGGGCAUAAAAUCUACGUAAUGUAUGUAUUUGUGUGCGUGGCGUAUCUAUUGAAAUCUGGACACAAUCUGAUCCAGCGAUGCAGUAGUUAUACUAAGGUUUUUUUUAUAAAAACUAAAAUGAAAAUUAAUUUUAAUAGAGCUUAUAAAAAAAGAGAUCACCAAUUCACCAUGAAAGAGAUCUCUAAUUUCUUAGCUCAAAGCAAAAUAAGAAAAAUCAUAUCUCUCUCUCCCUCUCUUUCUGUCUAGAGAAGACUUUCUCUCUCUAGUUCUUGCCGGUAUACCUUAAAAUUACAAGAUCGCAAGUGAAAAUUAAAGCCGAGCAAAGAAACAUGGGAAGUAGUUUCUUUGGUAGACCAAACAUGGGAGGAUCUUCGCCGUCCUCAUCAUCUCCGACGUCUUCCUCUUCUUCUCCGGCGACAAGAAGAGGGAAGAAGAAUGGGUCCGAUAAGCCGAAGCAGCCACAAAGAGGUCUCGGAGUAGCACAAUUGGAGAAGAUUAGGUUACACGGCGAAAUGAGUUGCAAUAGCUUCAACAAUUAUAACCCUUCUUUGUAUCCUCAGGUAACAUAUACAAACACUUCUUCAUAUAACCGAGAGAUUCCGAUCCGAAUUAAGACACCAUAAGUUGGUUAACAUAUUCCUAAACAUAUAUACAUGUGUACGUAUAACCUGAUCGAGUUCUUAGGUUUUGCUUAAUUUUGUCGGGUCAUCAGAUCUUUUUAUACGAAUCCGACCAACUUUUUAUUCAUUGUCCCAUGAACUCAUCUAGAUGUUUAACUACUCAAUCAUACGUAAAAUUGAUCCCAAUUUCAUAUAUAAACUUGUUUUUCUUCUUCGUUGGAUUCAAUUAAGCAUAUUGAAAUUAGUCAGCUGAAAUUUUAUUUACAUAGCAUAUAUGUUGUUGUAAAGUUCACGAGGGCACUUUUCACUCAUUUCUUAAGCUAUAUACUUCAUAAGAUUUAGAUUUGUGAAAUAAAUUUAACUAAACUUCUAUCUAAUUAUAUAUUUAAAUCAAUUAUUUUCAAGAGUAUAGUUUUAUAAAACUUCGUAUAUAAAUUUGAGUAUAGGAGGAUGUCAGGAUGCAAGGAGGAUAUUCAUCCAUACCAUCAUCAUCACUAUCACAAUCUUCGUCUCCUUACGGUUUCUAUCCAAACAUGAUGGUAUAUAUAAAUUUCACUUUUAAUGUUGUUGUAUAUGUAUGCGUUAUAGAGAGGAUAUUUUGUUCUUUUUAAGCAACAUAUAUAGGUUUAUGUAUAUAAAGAAUAAAGUACUUGGAUUGGAUCCCUAAUCUUACUUAAUCUAAUUAAGUACUUUGUAUUUCAAACUUCCAUCCUAAUAGGGGAAACCUUCUACAAGAUUUGGUCGAUCAUGUUUUCAUAUUUAACGAAACUCAUUUCAAAUAAUCAUGAAACAAAACAAAAAAAAAUCUAAAGUAAACGAAAAAUAGAUAAACUAUUAAUGGGUUUUUUUUUUUGCUCUUCGCAGAUGGGAGUACAUAGAGAUCAAUACGAAAGAGCAACCAUGAGGUACAUAUAAAAUUACUUAUAUGUGUAGGUGUAACAUGUUAUUAUAUUUUGUUUUGUCUUAAAAAUAAGUUCAUUUCUUUGGUUCAAACAGUUGGAAUCCAAGCUACGGCAUCUUAGAGAGCCAACAUUCUUUGGAACCAAACAUCACAAGACAUGUCUUACACGAGGUUCUUACUCUAUACCCUCAAACAUAUAUGCAUCAUGUCACAAUUAGUAAUAUGUUAGUCACUUGAUCAUCUUUAGUUAAGGGGUUGAUGAAUUAUAUUGUCAGUAAACGCGUUCAUUCACAUGAUCAUUAGUUACAAAAAAAGAACCAAUCAAUUUCACUUAUCUUGCAACAAGAUUUGUUUCAUUAUGAUGUUUUGGCUUAUCGUUGUCCAUUGUAACCAUGGUUCAAUAUAGUUAUGUCAUAAUGAAAUGAGGUUGACCGUUGACACUAACUGUUAUAAGUUUUAGAUGGAUUUGUAUAUAUGUGUUCUAAUAUUUUAUGUUUUUUUUUUAAUGUUAUGUAUUCUAAUAACAAUAAAAUAAAAUGAAAAUUCUUGAAAUAGGAUCCAAACUCAACAAGGCGGAGUAAAUCUUUGGGAUCGGGAAACCAACACUCGGGAUCGAGUGAAAAUCAAGAGCUGGACUUGGAAUUGAGAUUGUCACUUUGAUCAUUACUUUGUAAUGGUUUGGUCCUUAUGAAAUUGAAAAGAAGUCCUAUCAUUUCAAUUUCUUUAUAUCAUCGGGAUUGUAUGAUCGUCUCAGUAGAAAAGAUUUAAAGAAUGGGACUUAUUUGUACAUUUUGGGGGAAAUUAAAAGAUAGAUUAUAUUUAUAUAAUGGCCUCAUAGAAAUUAUGCAUCAUAGGUAGGCUCCCACACGAAUGUUAUACCAAAAAAUGUAACAUCUUGAUUGUUUUCGUUGCGUGGUAUUUCAUAUCUCUUAGUCUACCUUUUUCGGUCUGAAAAACUUAUAGUCCGAACAGUCUUAACCUAAAAGUCCAUUAUUUUUUGGGUUCAAUAUUGUUCAAACUUCGUCUUUUUCAAGGAUCGGGUGGGUUAACCUUUGGAUUUUGGUCUAUAUUGACAUUCAUUCAUAUGUGUAGAUAUCACUUCCAGACUGACCAGAAAAAAAAAAACUGCAACGCAGUGUCAUAGUAGCCUUUCUUUAAAACAUAAAUAACCAAAUUUGCUUAUAUCAAACAAAUAAAGAAAAACAAAAAUGAUACAUCACAUUGCAAAUUUCGAAGUUUUAUUCUAGAGUAAAUGAAUGACAUUAGUAAAAGAAAUAACAAUCAAGCAGUAGCUGGAACAUCAGCAGGUCCAGAGUGUUUCUUUUUGCAACAACAUGUGUUUCCUGGUUUACAAUAUCCUCCUGCAGGAAACCCUAACCCAUGGCAAAGUCCAUUGCAAUCUGGUUUAACAAAAUUUCCACAUACUCCAGGACACAUCGGAUCGUAUAUUAUUACAUUCGAUCUUGCUUCUGAACCUAUGAAAUUAUUACAUUCAUCAUCAGUUGUUUGAUAAAAAAAUCUGUUAAAAAUCAGCUAUAAAAGUUUUAUAUAUGAAAAAAACUUAUUUUGUUAUUUAAGAGAUUAUACCUGAAAUUAAAAGGAUGAGAACAAGAGCAAUCAUCAUGAACGUAUUCUUAUAAAGAUAUGCGACCAUCUUGUUUGCCAUUUUAGUAGUUAUAGAAAGUUUUGUGUUAUGCUUGCUUCUCUUCUUUGAGUGUGUCGUGUUAUAGAAAAUUAAACCAUGUAAACCUACUCACUUAUAUAUAGAGAGAUAUGUGUUUGUGCAUGUAAGCUCUUAUUUCAAAUCCUCAUAUUGAUUUUGAACUUCAAUUUUCGAAAUCAACGGUAUUUAAUUGUGUAGAUCAUCUUAAAGAAGAGAUUUUGGAAGGAAAUGAAUAUUGUUUCCUUUUUUUUUUGAACAAAGAAUAUUGUUUCUUUAUAAGGGCUGAUUCUUUCCUUCAAAAAUUUCAGUAUUCAAGAUUCUGAUUUCUUUUACCAUCCUUAGUUUCGUCAUCUCUUGUAAAUCUUUAAUUUUGCCAAAGAAGAGUCUCUACAUAUAUAGAUUGGGGCCUAUUGGAUAUUUCAGAGCAACUUGUCCUAUAAACUUUGUUAUAAAGUGUAAAGAACCCAUAUAAGAGUUCAAAUAUAGUGCUAUCAUUUGAACAUCAUAAUUAAGCAUAAUAAGUGUACAUUCGAGCCAUAAGUUUUUGAGAAAAAUCAUUUUUUCAUAGAAAUUUUCAAUCAAAAUCACUUUUCAAAAACACAAAUAAUUAAAUCGGUAAAAAAAGAAUGUCUAAAAACAUAGAUAUAGUAUACCAUUCAUUAUUUAAAAACUCAAUCCUUUAUCAUUCCAGGUUGCAAAACCAGACCAAAAAGCUAACAAACCAUGAACCGGUACAGAAACUACAUGCGGGAUUCCUUGUGAUCUAGUAUUCUUAUUGAAAGUGCCAUUUUUAAGAUCUCUUCAACGGUUAAUAGGAGUGUUCAUACGCUCAACGAUCUUAUUCACAGCAUCACGGGACAUCACAAGCGUAUCGUGUAGCAGAAUGCUGUAAACAUUUAGCCCCUGCAAAUGCGUUACGUAAACAAGGUUCAAGAUUUGCUAAGCGAUUAGUAAAGAAACCGCAAGGUUUGAUAUGUGAUUAUGUAACUUACUAUUGAUGGAAUUAUGUUGACAUAGUGUAGAUUUUGGGUGGCUAGCUUCAGCUUUUCAUCAAUAGGACCACCUUCUACAACAAGUACUUUCUUUGUGUUCUCCAUUUGAUUGUAAUAAUUCACAAUGUUCUUUGUUUUAUGCGUAGGCAAUGCCAAAUCGUCGAACACGAGGAGCUGCAUAAAUUUCCCAAUCAGCAGAUACAAUAAGAUCAGUUUAAUAAGAAGGCACGGUUACGGAAAAUCAAGAGCACAUGUUAUGAUUAAGAAGAGAAAGAAGCUGACUUUUCCUUCUGCGGCUCGAGCUGUCAAUGCUAUUUUCAGUCCAAGCCGUCGAACCUGCUUAUUCAUCUUUAUCGCAUGGCUUCUCGGUUUGGGUCCAUGCAUUACACAACCACCUCGGAACUAAUGAUUCAAUAAAGUUCAAUCAGAGUGCUAUAUUUGAUGGGAAGAAAGAAACCUUAAAAUUCAAAAACUGAUUUACCUGCGGACCACGCAGUGUACCAUGUCUAGCUCGACCUGUACCUUUCUGAUUCCAUGGCUUUCUACCAGUUCCACUAACCUCACUUAAUGUUUUGGUGGAAUGAGUUCCCUAAAUAUCAAAGCACAUGUGUCAUACUUAUUGAUUGUUUGCUUAAAAGACUAUAAAUUAAGGCAUUGUGAGAUAACUAAUUAAUUACCUGCUGGCGUUUCGCAAGCUGCCAUCGCACGACAUUGUGAAUGAUAUCUUUCCUUAUUGGAACAUCGAAGACAUCACCUGCUAAAACCAUGAAACCCUUCUCCUCGCUCUGAAAAUUUGUCACAGGAAUGACCAAGUCUUGAUAUUGUCCUAUGGAAAGUAUCAAAUAACAGAACCAGUUAACACAUCCAGAAGUUUCAAAAUGAGAGAAGCAAUAAGGAAAACAUCACUGUUCAAAGGUUUUAUCAUGUCUCAAGCACAAUCACCAAAAAAAAGCAAGGACAUAACAGAGCCCAACACGAGCAAAACACGGGUACUCAAAUAUGCGUUAAACCUUCAUGUAAUAAGCUAAAUAAGGCCUGGAAAACUCUUACUCCUCUCAAAACACAAAGUAACAACAUUAUUCUAACACAGCUACUCACUCUCCAUUUCACCAACAUGAUUCCCAAGAAAGGUACAAAAUUCUCAGCACACCACAUGAAGGGCCAAACAAGUACAUACCUAUGGUUCGGUCUGGUGUAAGCACGGUCUUUUUGGUAAGUAAAUCAGAAGGAAAUGUAUCAUCAGGAGUCAAAAUACAAGUGGAGAGCUUUCGGUUGGAAAGUAAAGCCAUUCCAUACUGCAAUUGAUAACGAAGAUGAAAUCAAAAUAAUGAAAUACCCAGGAAAGGAGAGAAAGUAACAGCGUAAACUAAACACCAACCUUGAGAUCACUAGUAAGAGAAGAUAAACCAUUUCCAGAUGUAUUCGCGGACAAAUCUGUUCGAACGAGGGAGGAGACAGAGAAACAAUCAGAGAUCAAGGUGACACCAUAUUUCAUUAGAAGCUUGGAAAAUGAGAUAAUACUUGGUGAAGAGCAACGUCCUAGAGAUCCAAAAGUGCGAAAAAUCCUUGCUGAGAUUGAAGCAGCCAUUAUCUCUGAACAACAAAAACCCUAGCUGCUCAUCUACAAACACGAAAUAUCCAAUUUCUCACAUACAUUUCCGAGAAUUCUCAAUAGAUCAGAAGAAUACUCACCGGAGUCACAAGCGGCGAUGAUAGACGGCGGCGACUAUUCAAGGAGGCGACGAUUUGGUGGUGAAGGUCUUUAGGCUUGUGGAGGUUCAGUGAAGAGGUUUACUCAUGUUUUGGAUCGGGUCAUUACGAGACGGGUCGGGUCUUCAUGUGUAAAAGCCCAUAAGUCAGGUUUUGCAUUUGCCAAUAAGAUGUCAGUUAUUUUCGGUUUGCCCAUAAUAAGCCCAUCAGGUGGUUAAGGCCCAUGGGCUAUUCUUCAUAAAACCACUUCUCCAUUGGCUUACCCAAUUUGAAAAUAAAAUGUUUACAUAGAAAAUUGGUCACUAAAUCCAAUAAUAAGAGUUCGAGGGAUAAGAGAAACUACUAAAGCUUUUUGGUCUAAAUGAUUUUAUUGAUAGAAUGCGUUUGAGUUAUAAAAAGUCGACAAGGAUCGAAUUCCUUUCGAAAACAAAGCUGCCGGGUACAAAGGAGUGGGGCACUCCUCAAACAAUUACGUUCAUCACCAAUGUUGCAUGGUCCGUCUCGAAAUUCUUGCAAUAUAUCUCACAAGAAAGAAUAUUCACCACAAUCAAAACCACUGCAACGACGGGUUGGUUCAUUCAUUUAUGUAGUAAAUUUGUAUAUUUAUUUUCUAGUUGCAAUUAUUCAUUUGAACUGUUUAGUUUCAUGUAAAAAUGGACUAGCAUUUUUCUUUUUUCCUAUUUUGAUGUGGCUACGCAAAAUGAUGUGAUAUUAAUUAAUGUGAAUCGAGCCAUUAAUGGGAGAUAUCUAUAGCUUCAGUGAGAACUUGCAUAAAGCAAGUACGAGAGCUCAAAUCUGUAACAUGUCACAUGUGUACUGUUGUAUUCCAAAAUACAUGGCUUCUUGACCUCAUCAAAUGUUCUUGCCGCCCAAACGAACAAAAACACUCACAUGCAUGUGAUUGGGUUUGUGUGGUGGGUUGGGAGAAGAAGUUCGAAAUACUUUUUGUCACAAUGAUAUUUGAACAUAGAAAUUUAUUGGUAAUGUUCCGACAUGUUAUGGGCUAAAAGCUACUUGUUCCCACUAUUUACAAGCAUCUUCUAUUGCCACCCACCAAAACCAACAUUUUUAUUGGACAAAACCAACGUUUUUAUAACUUUUAUAUAUUUCUUUAUUUGCUUUUUUAUAGCAAUGAGUUAGUACAAUUCUAUAUUUUUUUCAAUCUAGGGAACAUAGUCAAACCAAUAAUAAUCAAGUGAACAUUUCUCCUUUGUACACUACAGUCUAACACAUUUUCAAAACAAUCAUGCAAUUUAAAAUUCAAGACUUUUUGUAGUAUUUUUACUCAAAUUCCACAGUUUUUCUUGUUUCAAAAAAAUCAAGUUUUCGUCAUUAAACCCAUAAUCUUUUUUUCGUCAAAAACAAGCAUUUAAUAAUACACAUUAAGAAAUUUGAUUUUUUCUAUGAUUUUUCCCUCCGUUUCACAAUAAAUAUCGUUUAGACAUUUGUCACAUAAAUUUUUAAAAAAUAAUAAAUUUUUUGUUAUAUCAAUUAAAAUUAAGUAGACUCUUGGUAUUAUUCUUCUAUAAAUUUGAGGUUAAAGUAGAUCUUUUAUAUUAAAUUUUAUACUAAAAAUCUAAAACAACAUUUAUUUUCAAACAACAAAUAAUCCUUAAACGACACUUUUAAUUUAAACCGGAGGGAAUAUUUCAUUGGAGAGACAUAAUCGUACAAACACAGAUUCAAUAACAUCUUUCAUAAAGACCUUUGCAAAAUAAGUGAGUUAUCUAUUAAAUAUGGAUAAAUUCACAAUCUUUGCCUUAUUUUGGCUAUGAAUUCCAAUAGAAUUUAAUUGGUUUUUAGUUUUUGGAAUUUGGUUGUUGGUUUGUAAAUUUGUUUUUGCUAUAAAUUUUAAAUUUAAUAGAUAAAAAUGAAAUAGAAUCUCGAUGGAUAAAAAAGACUUUGCACAAAAACCUCAAAAUCACGGGUUUAGUUCCUGUUUUUAAAAACUUGUACAAAUCACUCAAAAACUAGUUUUCUUAAUUUUUAAAAAUCUUGAAUAGUAAAAAAAAAAAUUUUAAAAGAAACAAAAACCAAAAACUAGUAAACAUUCAAAGCUUUCAUUAAUUUGCUUAUUCAAUCUUUUUCUCAUGAAUAUAAAAUUACAAGAUCUAAUAAUUGUUGCAAAUAAAUAAAUAAUAACUGUUGGAUUUUUACAAAGUAAGAAGUAGAGAAUAAUAGUUUUUAUAGAUACUACAAAAAGUCAUAAAUCUAGAGUCGUACGAUUCAUUUGCAGUGAAAGAGUUAUUCAAAAGAGUUAUGAACAUCUUUUCUUGUUUGUUGUUAGUGAAAACAAAAAUCUUGUGUUUGGAGAUCAUUUUUAAAGAUGAAAUGAACAUAUAACAAUAAAUAGUAAGUAUAUUAAAUAUGUGCAUAAUUGGUGGAUACAUUGAUGAGGUGGAUCUUUAAUGAUUGAUGUGAAGAUUUGGAUGAAGUUUUUGUUUUUUUUUUUUUUUUUCAGUUUAUAAGGUUUUUUAUAUAAUAUAUAUAUAUAUAUAUAUAUAUAUAUAUAUAUAUAUAUAUAUAUAUAUAUGAUUCUAUAAAAUAAUAGUUGGUGGAAACAUCAUUGACAUUGUAGUUAGUCUAUAAGAAAUUAGCAAACUGUGGAAUAUUCCAAUUAGCAAAUUGAGAUUUACCUAAUAUAUUUUAAACGGUGUGAAUUGUUGGAUACACUCAAAGAUGCAAAUUAUUGGAUAUAUCCAAGAAAGUAAGAGGUUGUCUUUAAUACAACAAUUCUUCACUCUUAGCUGCAAAUCCGACCUUUUGCAUCCUUGGAUAUAUCUGAAGAUGUAGCUGCAGUCUGAUAAAGUUGUUGAAUGAGUCAAGAAGUAAAACAAGAUUUUGUCUGAUGGAGUUUCUGAAUGAUUCAAGAAGUAUGUCAAGAUGCGACUGUUUUUGUGUAAGUGUCGGUUUCUAGAAGGUUUGAGAAGAUGUGUUUGGAGCGUGUUUAGAGGAUGAAUCACAAAGGAAAAAGGACUUAAAGAGAUUUGGAAGACUUGAUGAAAGUGGAGUUUGAAGAGAAAAAGGAAAAGUAUAAAAGGAAAUUUACUUUUUCUUAUGGAAAUUGGAAAUCUUCUCCUAUGGUGAUUAGGAAAUCGUUUUGGCUAUAUAAGGAGGAGUUGGGGACGUCUUGGAGAGGCAAGAGAGCUGAGGCAUAGAGACAAAUCUUUGAGAGCUUUCUAAGGGUGUGUGCAACAUAGUUUUGCGGUUUUGUGCAACUUAGUUUUGGCGGGUUUGUGCUUGUGUGAUCAAGAGGUUUUGUUUUUUGAAGUCUAGGCUCAAGGGGAGUUUAGCUCAGGGUUAGGUUAUCCUGAUUAAAUCUAGACUCAAGGGGGAGUUUAGUUAAGGGUAGAGAUUAUCCUUAAGGUUUCACGUUAUAGAAGGGAGCGGUAAAUCAAGAGGGUUGUGCUUGUUUUACGCGUUUGCGAAUUGGUUGUAAUUUGCUUUCUUGUUCUAGUGGAAUCGAAAUCUGGACGUGGUCCCGGGGAGUAGGAAAAACCGAACCUCGUUAACAAAUUUCUUGUCUCGUUUACUUUCUACAAUUUAUCGUACCUCAUCCGCACUUACAAUUGGUAUCAGAGCGGGUUCUCGAUAGAGAUUUAGUCUUGUUUCGGGUAGAUCAGGGUGAGGUUCAGAAGAUCGUUCAGAAGAUUAUUCAGGAGAUCGUUCAGAAAGUAAGACAGAGCUGAGAAUCGUGUGAGAUGGAGUCAUACAAGGAAGGUACGUCUAUGACAAGAUCACCACUUCUUGAUUCAGCGAAUUAUGGAUAUUGGAAGGUUCGUAUGCAAGCUUUUAUUAGUAAUCUUGAUGAAGAUUGUUGGAAUUCAAUUGAACUUGGUUGGGAGGCUCCUAAAGUUACGGAUGAUGAUGGAGUUGUAAGUCUCAAGCCAAGAGAUAAGUGGACUGCUGCAGAGAAAAAGCUAUCAAGUUGCAAUUCUAAGGCUAAGACUGCGAUUUACAAUGCUAUUGAUUCAAGCCACUUUAAGUUGAUUUCUCAAUGUGCAUCAGCUCAAAAAGCAUGGAAGACAUUGGAGAAUAUGUUUGAGGGUACUACAAGCGUUAAGAGAACGAAAUUAGAUAUGUUAGCUUCGCAAUUUGAGAAUCUAAGGAUGGAAGAAGAGGAAAAUGUGGCUGAUUUUAGUGCAAAGUUAUGUGACAUAUCUAAUGAAUCGUUUGCUCUUGGAAAGGUCUACAAGGACAAAAAGCUAGUGAAGAAGUUGAAGAGAUCAUUACCUGCAAAAUUUGAGUCAAAGGUUUCUGCAGUUGAAGAAGCUCAUAAUCUAGAUGAGAUGGCUUUUGAUGAGUUUGUUGGGAUUCUUCAAGCUUUUGAGUUAAGCAAAUCAUAUGAAACUAAAGGAAAGAUGCAGAAGGUAGAUGAAGUGAAGAAGGAAGUUGACAUUGGAGUUGCUCUUAAGGGAACAUCAACUGAAGAUUCAAUGGCUAUGUUGUCAAGACAGUUUACUAAAUAUCUGAAACGAAAGGGAAAAGAGAGGAAGGAUAGAAUUGAUGAAGAGUUGAGAAGUUCAUCAAAGAAUGUGCAAUGUUUUGAAUGCAAAGGAUAUGGACAUGUUCGUUCGGAAUGCGCCAAUCUACAAAAGCAUAGGAAGAAGGCCAUGAAUGUUGUCACUAGUGAUUCUGAAACUGAUUCAGAUGAAGAAGAAGAAGAUCUGAAGAAUUUUGUGGCUUUGGCAACUUUCAAUUCUAGUUCAGAUAUAGAUUCUGCGUCAGUUUCUGAAUUAGUGUCUGCAUCAGUGUCUGCAACAGGGUCUGCAUCAGCAUCUGCAACAGGGUCUGCAUCAGCAUCUGCAACAGGGUCUGCAUCAGCAUCUGCAACAGGGUCUGCAUCAGCAUCUGCAACAGGACCUGCAAUUAAAAGUGAAAACGAUGAAUGUGAUAGUGAUGCAGUGAGUGUUGAUGAUGAAGAAUUUGCUGAGAAUUAUAGAGCCUUAUAUGAGCAUUGGCUUAAAAUGGUUGAAGAGAAUUCAGUGUUAACUAAGGAGAAACUCAAGUUAGAGGCUAAAGUUAUUGAAGUACAGAAAUAUGCUGCAGAAAAAGAAGAAGAAGCAUCACAAGCCAAAGUACAACUUGAAGAAACUCAAAAGAAUUUGAGGAUGCUUAAUAAUGGCACAAAGAAGUUGGAUCAUAUUCUGAAUAUUGGCAAGAUUGAUAAGUGUGGCCUUGGAUUUGAAGGAAAACUUUCAAAAUCGGAUCCAGUGUUUGUUUAUGGUGGAAAAAUCACGUCUGGAUCAGGAAGUGUGUUAGAAACAGCAACUGUGGCAGAGACUGCGUCAGGUACAAGAACUACUACGAGAACUGGUACAGAGUCUGAUACAGGAAAAGGUAAAGAACUGCAGAGUGCACCUCAACGAAUUUUUCGACCUGUUUGCCAUCAUUGUGGUAUUGUUGGGCAUAUUAGGCCAAGGUGUUUCAGAUUAUUGAGGGAGAGAAAUCGAAUGAAGAAUGCUUAUGAUAAGAGAUUUCAUGGUCCUACAUGUUAUCAUUGUGGAGUUCAAGGGCAUAUUAAGAGGAAUUGUUUCAGAUUCAUUCGAGAAUCCAGUCAUGAAGGCUUAAGGCGCAGGAAGAUUUGGGUUAGGAAAGAUGAUUUCUAUGGAGGUGGUGUACUAGGCUAUCAACCUCGUGUUGCAAAGCGGGGAGAAUUUUCUAAGUAGUUUUGACCAUGUUGUGACUCAUUCAGGGGGAGAAUGAUGAUAUGUUCGUGAUGUUGUUUUGGAGUUAGAACUGUUGAGUUCACAAACAUAGUCAAAAAGGGGGAGAUUGAAGAUGUAGCUGCAGUCUGAUGAAGUUGUUGAAUGAGUCAAGAAGUAAAACAAGAUUUUGUCUAAUGGAGUUUCUGAAUGAUUCAAGAAGUAUGUCAAGAUGCGACUGUUUUUGUGUAAGUGUCGGUUUCUAGAAGGUUUGAGAAGAUGUGUUUGGAGCGUGUUUAGAGGAUGAAUCACAAAGGAAAAAGGACUUAAAGAGAUUUGGAAGACUUGAUGAAAGUGGAGUUUGAAGAGAAAAAGGAAAAGUAUAAAAGGAAAUUUACUUUUUCUUAUGGAAAUUGGAAAUCUUCUCCUAUGGUGAUUAGGAAAUCGUUUUGGCUAUAUAAGGAGGAGUUGGGGACGUCUUGGAGAGGCAAGAGAGCUGAGGCAUAGAGACAAAUCUUUGAGAGCUUUCUAAGGGUGUGUGCAACAUAGUUUUGCGGUUUUGUGCAACUUAGUUUUGGCGGGUUUGUGCUUGUGUGAUCAAGAGGUUUUGUUUUUUGAAGUCUAGGCUCAAGGGGAGUUUAGCUCAGGGUUAGGUUAUCCUGAUUAAAUCUAGACUCAAGGGGGAGUUUAGUUAAGGGUAGAGAUUAUCCUUAAGGUUUCACGUUAUAGAAGGGAGCGGUAAAUCAAGAGGGUUGUGCUUGUUUUACGCGUUUGCGAAUUGGUUGUAAUUUGCUUUCUUGUUCUAGUGGAAUCGAAAUCUGGACGUGGUCCCGGGGAGUAGGAAAAACCGAACCUCGUUAACAAAUUUCUUGUCUCGUUUACUUUCUACAAUUUAUCGUACCUCAUCCGCACUUACAAUAUCUAACAAUUCACACUCUUUGAGAUAUAUUAGGCAUGUCUCGAGGGUGUAACAUCCUUCCAAAAAUUAUCAUUGUCAAUGAUUAUGAUAGCUUACUCGUAUUCAUGUCUAAAAGUUUAGACUUUAGCCUUAUACUUAGUACAUUAUCUAAGCUUUUGGCUUGAUUAAAUGUCGCACCAAUAACCAUGUGAGCAUUAAUUAUAAUCAUGCAAUCUGAGACUAAAAAAAGUUCUAGAAGUUACAAUAGCAUAAUUAGUAAGUAUUAAGCAAAAGUAAACAUAAAAUUAUCUUUAGAAAAAAUAAUGGUUAAGGUUUAAUUAUAAUGGAAUCACUUGUCGAUUAGAGCGUUCCAAGAAUAUAAGAAGUCAGUUGUGCGGCUGAUGGUGGAGAUAUCUUUGAUGUUGUGGUCAGUCGGCUAAGUUAUAAUAUUUGUUAAAUUUAAUUGUAAUCGUGAAACCUUUUUUUACUUGUAAAUGUUGUGUCACCUUUUUAUUUUAUUGUUUACAAUUACAAGUUUGAUGAAUUCAAUAUCUCAUGGUUGUUUUAUUUAAUUAUUAUGAUUACGUUUUACUUUUUUCAGAUUUUGUCCAAUUUGUUUGAUAAACUUUAGGUAAAUAAUUACUUUUUCUUUUUGGACCUUAGUUAACAUUCCAAAAAUCAUUAUAGGUGAUAUUUUGAGUUGAUCAAUAGCAAGUUACUUUUUAAAAAAAAAAGAUCUAAUAUUUCAACUUUUACUUUUGUAACUUAUAAACUUUCUGUUUAAAACAAACAAAUACAAAAAGCUUCAUAAUUGUUUCGCUUAAAAAAAUAUCUACACUCAGGCGAUAAAAUGUGUACUGUCAUAUCAAUUUUAGGUGGUACAAAGCAUGGUAGUAUAACUCUCUAUCGCUAUAUAGACCGUUAUUCUCUACAAACUUCAUAAGUCAUUUUCUUUCUUUACGGCAUAUCAUAAUUGUCUACUCUAAAGAUAAUACACAAAUAAUAAAGUGUCUAUCAUAUCUUGUAAUAUAAAAUGUUCUGAUCCUAGACCCAAAAUCUAUUAGUAAUUCAAAAAAAAUUAAGAAAUUAAAUUAAAAAAAAUUAAUUUUGGUAUGAGUAAUUUAAUUUGUAUACCAAUAAAAGCCUACUAUAUGAUAUUUGGUAGCCGUUUGAAUAAGUGAAACUACUCUCAUGAGAAGAAAUUGAUUAAAUAAUAUAUGUUGUUCAAACGUUAUGUGAGUAUCCAUAAUUUAGAACUUUUUAUCGUUAAUUAAUAUUGAUAUCUUUAAAUUAUGUGGAAUUUCUUAUCAAUCUUGUUAAAUUUGGGUUUAUUAUGGACUUUCAACUCAAAACCAAUUGACAAUAAAUGAAGUGAUUCAUAUCUUUUAUAUAUUGCUUAAAUCCCUUCUCAUCUUUCCAAUGUGGAACAUUGUUCACAUGCUUCUUCAUCAAGAUUAUGAGCCUUAAUCUCAUGGCCCAGUAACCUCAAUCUAAUCUUCAACACCUUCCUCGAGAUAAUGGCUCUACAGUCGUGAGCCUGAUUACGGAAGCAUGUGGAUCACACUCUGAUACCAUAAUAAAGUUACAUAGCAAACAGUAAAUUCAUAAUGUUCAAACAUUGUUACACAUGCAUUUGAAAGAUAUUUAUGAUUCCAUAAACCAUAAAUCCAUGCUAGUUCUUGAUGAUUAAUAACAAAAGCGGGAGCGUACCUGAUAAAUAUAUAGCUUAGAGUCUGAAUUUGGGAUUAUGUCUUCCAAAGCAUACCCUAAAUAGCUUUAGGUCUCUGUUGAUGGGGAUGCAGAGAGUUUCUUUAUUUCUAGUUAGGGUUGCUUUGGGAAACAUAACCCUCUAUUUAUAUGAAGAUGAUUUGUAAUUAGGUUCCUCAUCAAAUUAGGAAUUACUAAGUAUAUUCACACAAUAAUUUUUUAUAACACUUAUACCGCAUGUCAUUUAUUUCAUACUAAAAUGAUCACAUAAAUUUUGACUAAUUCUUACAGCAUUUUUUUCUUAUCUGUGGAUACGUGUAUUAGUUGCAUUUGUAUACAUAUAAGUGGAGUCCAUGUACAGAUAAGCUAGUAAUCAACUACGUAUUAUGAUUUAUGAGUUGUGACGUAUAAAUAUCCAACUAAAUACCCCACAAGCGUAGAAAGCGCUAUUAGGCAUGAUAAGCCAUUUACGUUUCUUUCAUAUGUGUGACCCAAAAACUUUCUCUUAUCUUCUAACUUUCUUUUGACCAAAAUAAAAUGCGAAGAUGACUUGAGAUAAAGCAUCUACAUUUGGAUACACAACUUUUAUAUUCAAAAGAAACCUUAUGGAAAGAUAUAUAUACAUGUACGUAUAAAUAUACCGACCAAAUACAACUAUAUGUCGGCUUAGUUUUUGGAUGGACAUCAGACAAUUUUUAUCGAUUGUCGACUUUCCACCAGUACCAAUUUUCUCUAUAUAUAACCAACAAUAUUAAAAUAAAUAACCAGAUUUAAUGAAUUUAUGUAUUAAAUAUAUAUAAUCAAAAUUGGUCUAUAUAAUUUAGAAUAACAUAUACUAAUGUAUCGAGACUAUUUGGUCCAAUAAUACCACCAUUAAUCACUAAAUUGUUUUUUGCAUGCAAUAUUGUUGAUGUACGAAUUUCAACAAAGUAUAUUUGUAAGUUCUUUGAUAAGGGAAAAACAUUCUCAUUGCGUUGAAGGUCGGGAGCUAGGCCGUUCUCGCGAUAAACAUAGAAUUUAUUUGUUUUAUAGCUGCGUCUUGUGAAAGACUGCCUACGUACCCUUAGAAAGGGAUCAAGCCAUUCGUAAUUCAUAUUAAAAUAAGUAGGAGCUAGGCCAUAUUUGCAGCUAGGUGAUCUGUUGACGUGCUGGAUAGCUUGGGGACGAUUUGGACGAGCCGAGCUGUUAACUGAGAAGCUGGAUGAGCUGAGUAGUCAGCAGAGAAGCUGGACGAGCUGAGCUAUUUAACUGAGAAGUUGGACGAGCUGAGCAGUCAGCAGAGAAGCUGGACGAGCUGAGCUGUUUAACUGAGAAGCUGGAUGAGCUGAGCAGUCAGCUGAGAAGCUGGACGAGCUGAGCUAUUUAACUGAGAAGUUGGACGAGCUGGCAGUCGGCAGAGAAGCUGGACGAGCUGAGCUGUUUAAUUGAGAAGCUGGAUGAGCUGAGCAGUCAGCUGAGAAGCUAGACGAGCCGGGCUGUUUAACUGAGAAGCUGGAUGAGCUGAGCAGUCAGCUGAGAAGCUAGACGAGCCGGGAGAUGAGAUUGACGAUCUGGAUCGUUAGGCGAGCUGAAGAGCUUGAAGACGAGCUGAAGAGCUUGAUGACGAGCUGAGGAGCUUGAAGACGAGCUGAAUAGCUUGCAGACGAGCUAAAGAGCUUGAUGACGAGCUUAAGAGCUUGAUGACGAGCUGAAGAGUUUGAUGACGAGCUGAAGAGCAUGAUGACGAGCUGAAGAGUUUGAUGACGAGCUGAAGAGUUUGAUGACGAGCUGAAGAGCUUGAUGACGAGGUGAAGAGCUUGAAGACGAGCUGAAGAGCUUGCAGACGAGCUGAAGAGCUUGAAGACGAGCUGAAGAGCUUGUAGACGAGCUGAAGAGCUUGAAGACGAGCUGAAGAGCUUGAAGACGUUUUUAGUAUGGAUUUCUUCUCCUUUUUUCCUUUUUCUUUCUUCAAUGAGAUGCCUCUCUAUUUAUAGGAAAACUAAGCUGGUGAGAGAAACAUGGACCAACUUUUAUGGGCUUUUUUGGGCUUGAUGUUUAUUAAGUUAUUCUUGAUUUGGGCCGAGCUAAAAUAAGGGGUGCAAUCCAGCCCCCAACAGUAGCCCCCCAAUUCGUCGAAUGAGAAUUUUUUUUCGAGUUCGGCGAAUUGGUGAGAAUUAUUAGCUCGUCUUGAAUCAAGAUUAUUUUAAUUUAACGAGAUGUGAAUCAUGAAAAAAGAUGAAGCGACGAGCUGAAAUUGGCAAACUGGAACUGACGAACAAAAACCGAUGAACCGAAACUAACGAACUAAAACCGAUGAACUGGGACUGAACUGACGAACUAAAAAUGACGGACCAAAACAGCUGAACUGACAAAUGAGGUGAAACUGAAGCUGACGAGCUGAAACUGAAGCUGUCUAAAAGACGAGCUGAAAAUUGAAGCUAUCUGAAAGACGAGCUGAAACUGAAGCUGAGCUGAAACUGAAGUUGUCUGAAAGACGAGCUGAAACUGAAACUGACGAGCUGAAACUGAAGCUGACGAGCUGAAAACUGAAGCUAUCUGAAAGACAAGCUGAAACUGAAGCUGACGAGCUAAAACUGAAGUUGUCUGAAAGACGAGCUGAUACUGAAGCUGACGAGCUGAAAACUGAAGCUGACGAGCUGAAACUGAAGCUGACGAGCUGAAAACUGAAGCUGUCCGAAAGACGAGCUGAAACUGAAGCUGACGAGCUGAAAACUGAAGCUAUCUGAAAGACGAGCUGAAACUGAAGCUAACGAGCUGAAAACUGAAGCUGUCCGAAAGACGAGCUGAUACUGAAGCUGACGAGCUAAAAACUGAAGCUGACGAGCUGAAACUGAAAACUGAAGCUGACGAGCUGAAACUGAAGCUGACGAGCUGAAAACUGAAGCUGACGAGAUGAAACUGAAGCUGACGAGCUGAAAACUGAAGUUGUCUGAAAGACGAGCUGAUACUGAAGCUGACGAGCUGAAAACUGAAGCUGACGAACUGAAACUGAAGCUGACGAGUUGAAAACUGAAGCUGUCCGAAAGACGAGCUGAAACUGAAGCUGACGAGCUGAAAACUGAAGCUAUCUGAAAGACGAGCUGAAACUGAAGCUAACUAGCUGAAAACUGAAGCUCUCCGAAAGACGAGCUGAUACUAAAGCUGUCGAGCUGAAAACUGAAGCUGACAAGCUGAAACUGAAAACUGAAGCUGACGAGCUGAAACUGAAGCUGACGAGCUGAAAACUGAAGCUGACGAGCUGAAACUGAAGCUGACGAGCUGAAAACUGAAGCUGACGAGCUGAAAUUGAAGCUGUCCGAAAGACGAGCUGAAACUGAAGCUGACGAGCUGAAAACUGAAGCUAUCUUAAAGACGAACUGAAACUGAAGCUGACGAGCUGAAACUGAAGCUGUCUAAAAGACGAGCUGAAACUGAAGCUGACGAGCUGAAAACUGAAGCUGUCUAAGAGACGAGCUGAAACUGAAGCUGACGAGCUGAAAACUGAAGCUGUCCGAAAUACGAGCUGAAACUGAAGGUGACGAGCUGAAAACUGAAGCUAUCUAAAAGACGAGCUGAAACUGAAGCUGACGAGCUGAAACUGAAGAUGUCUGAAAGACGCUGUAACGGAGGCUGACGAGCUAAAAACUGAAGCUGUCUGAAAGACGAGCUAAAAUAGACGAGCUAAAAAUAAAGAUGUUAGAUAGACGAGCUGAAAAGCUGACAAGGCUUAUGGACGACCUGACAUAGACGAGCUAAAAUAGACUAGAUAAAAACAAAGAUGUUAGAUAGACGAGAUUAAAUGCUGACAAGUUGAAGUAUAAGAUGCGAGGCUAAGCUCGGCUUUUUGGUACGAACUUCCAGAAUGAUGCGACGUUCGGGUUGCUCGGCUUAUCGAGUGUUCGACGGAACACGAAUAUGCGAGUAUGAACUCGGCUUAUUUUGUUCGGUUCAUCAAAACAGUGUGAGCACGGAGCUCAGCUUAUGCGAGGAAGACCUCGGCUUUCGAGAAAACGUCUGGAGUGUUCGAGACGGACUCGAGACAUCGUGAGGUGCGACGCUCGAUGAUUGGCUUACCCUGUAAUAGUAUGACGGAUCCCGAAAGGGCGAGUUCAGCCUCGGCUUACAGCAUUCGGUCGUCAAAACUUUGCGAGCAUGGAGCUCGGCUUUCAUACCCUUAAGUGUAGGUUUUAUCCAAGACCGUUUUACCGGUUUUGGCAGACUUAAGUAAGGGUGUGCGUUCUCGGGCGAACGUGUUCGAUCGAAUGCCGGGCCAGGGCAACGAUGUGGGUUAGCGCGAGUGCUACGUGGUCUUUUUAAAGACCAAUUUUUUUAAGAAGAAUAUUUUUAAUAUGAAUAAGAAAAAACUUACAGUGAGCGCAGCUGAAUUGACGAGCUGAAAGUUGACGAGCAGGAACUGUCAAAUGGACGAGCUGACAGUUGACGGGCUGGAACUGUCAGAUGGACGAGCUGACAGUUGACGAGCUGGAACUGUCACAUGGACGAGCUGCCAGUUGACGAGCUGGAACUGUCAGAAGGACGAGCUGAUAGUUGACGAGCUGGAACUGUCACAUGGAUGAGCUGACAGUUGACGGGCAGGAACUGUCAGAUGGACUAGCUGACAGUUGACGAGCAGGAACUGUCAGAUGGACGAGCUGACAGUGGACGAGCAGGAUCUGUCAGAUGGACGAGCUGAGAGUGGACGAGCAGGAUCUGUCAGAUGGACGAGCUGAGAGUGGACGAGCAGGAACUGUCAAAUGGACGAGCUGACAGUGGACGAGCAGGAACUGUCAGAUGGACGAGCUGACAGUUGACGAGUAGGAACUGUCAGAUGGACGAGCAGGAACUGUCAGAUGGACGAGCUGACAGUUGACGAGCAGGAACUGUCAGAUGGACGAGCUGACAGGACCCAAAAAAUGUGAAACAAAUGACGAGCUCAAGGAGAGCUGAAAAACUUCCUAAUCUCGACCUUUUUGGCCAAAGAAUUUGUUUAUUCCCCCUACCUGGCGCGCCAACUGUUGAUGCACGAAUUUCAACAAAGUAUAUUUGUAAGUUCUUUGAUAAGGGAAAAAGAUUCUCAUUGCGUUGAAGGUCGGGAGCUAGGCCGUUCUCGCGAUAAACAUAGAAUUUAUUUGUUUUAUAGCUGCGUCUACGUACCCUUAGAAAGGGAUCAAACCAUUCGUAGUUCAUAUUAAAACAAGUGGACGUGCUGGAUAGCUUGGGGACUAUUUGGACGAGCCGAGCUGUUAACUGAGAAGCUGGAUGAGCUGAGUAGUCAGCAGAGAAGCUGGACGAGCUAAGCUAUUUAACUGAGAAGUUGGACGAGCUGAGCAGUCAGCAGAGAAGCUGGACGAGCUGAGCUGUUUAACUGAGAAGCUGGAUGAGCUGAGCAGUCAGCUGAGAAGCUGGGCGAGCUGAGCUAUUUAACUGAGAAGUUAGACGAGCUGAGCAGUCGGCAGAGAAGCUGGACGAGCUGAGCUGUUUAACUGAGAAGCUGGAUGAGCUGAGCAGUCAGCUGAGAAGCUAGACGAGCCGGGCUGUUUAACUGAGAAGCUGGAUGAGCUGAGCAGUCAGCUGAGAAGCUAGACGAGCCGGGAGAUGAGAUUGACGAUCUGGAUAGUUAGGCGAGCUGAAGAGCUUGAAGACGAGCUGAAGAGCUUGAUGACGAGCUGAGGAGCUUGAAGACGAGCUGAAUAGCUUGCAGACGAGCUGAAUAGCUUGCAGACGAGCUGAAGAGCUUGAUGACGAGCUUAAGAGCUUGAUGACGAGCUGAAGAGUUUGAUGACGAGCUGAAGAGCAUGAUGACGAGCUGAAGAGUUUGGUGACGAGCUGAAGAGUUUGAUGACGAGCUGAAGAGCUUGAAGACGAGCUGAAGAGCUUGCAGACGAGCUGAAGAGCUUGAAGACGAGCUGAAGAGCUUGCAGACGAGCUGAAGAGCUUGAAGACGAGCUGAAGAGCUUGAAGACGUUUUUAGUAUGGAUUUCUUCUCCUUUUUUCCUUUUUCUUUCUUCAAUGAGAUGCCUCUCUAUUUAUAGGAAAACUAAGCUGGUGAGAGAAACAUGGACCAACUUUUAUGGGCUUUUUUGGGCUUGAUGUUUAUUAAGUUAUUCUUGAUUUGGACCGAGCUAAAAUAAGGGGUGCAAUCCAGCCCCCAACAAAUAUUGUUACGUUGUACAAAGUUUAAAUCAUGAAGCUUUAUUGAAAUAAUUUCAAACAUGAUUGUCUUAUUAAAAUUUAGAACGCUUCUACCGGUUGCACCAAUGCAAUAUCACUCAAACAUUAUAAAAUAACUACUAGUAUUAUUAUGUUUAUUUAGUUAUAUUUGGUUUUCUUUGUCGUCUUUGUUGAGUUUUCAAUCAUUAAUACUUAAUUAUAUCUUAAUACUAGUAUAUCUUAGCAUAUUAUGAUCUACCGUACAAAAGCAAUGAAAGGUUAUUAAUUAAUAGGUUAGUGGGAAAUAUAUAUAGAGAAUAAUAAUAAUUAAGUAAUAAUGAGAAGCAAUAAGGGAAAUGAGACACGACGCAAUGCUAAAUAAUUUUGAAUGAGAUUAGGUCGUGACUCGCGAGGGACCAUUUUCGCAUUCAUAACCUCAAAAGGCUUUACGUUUUUUUUUAAAUCUAAUUAUUAUUCAAAUUAAAUGCCUCAACGUGGCUGCCCUUUUCACCUCUCUUCGCCACAUCUUUUCUCACUUAUAAAGUGUCAUUAAAUACGAGUGUGUUAGAUUUUGCUGUUUUUUGUUUUUUUUUAAUACUAGAUGAAUAGCCACGCUACGCGUGGGUUUAUUUUGAAAAUUGUUAAGAAAAAAUGAUGUUGAUUGUUUUGUUGCUAAUUUAUGUUUUUUUUUUGUUAUUGUAUAGUUAAUAAAAUUAGAUCCAUUUACAAUUUUUAUGUUUAAAUUUAUUUUUGACUUAAAAUAUCAAUUUAUAUAUUUUCAUGUAUAAAUAAGAUUAUUUAUAUAUCUAAGAUCCUAAAAAUUUUUUCACUAUUACGAAUACAUACAAAAACAAUAUAAAAUAUUUUGAUAUAAUUAUAUGUAAUUAUGUUACUUGUGUGAUUUGAAACUUGCGUAAUUUGAUCAUAAUUAAGCAAUUCCUUGUUUUAUGUACUCUCAUGAUCUAGUACUCCAGCCAUAUCGUGAUAGACUCAUAAUUAAUUACUGGAUUGACAUGAGUUGAUCUCAAUAGUUUUCAUAUAAAAAUAAGAAAAAAGACAAAAACUAAAGUGUCAUUUUAAUUCAACACUUUUACAUCUUCUGCCUUUACAUAUAGCUAUAUAAGAGAAAUGGUCGUGUCAUAAAUUUUUUGGUAUACCUAACGUCUUAAAGACCCAUUACUUGAAAAACUUGCAUGUAAAUGUAACCAAAUUACAAUAAGGCACAAAAAUGAAAAAAAAAAUGUCAUAUGAAAAGUCGUAUAUGAACAACAAAACGUAAUAACGAGAACAGACUCAAGGUAAAAUUACUAAACUAAUAAAAAGUUAGGUAGCAAACAACUAAAUUAUAACACAAAUAAAUUUCCAGUCAUUAUCGAAUAGUGACUCUUGAUAAAAAAAAAUUCGUAAAAAUGAGAACAAUGAAAGUAGUGCUUGAUUUAGUAACAUAAUUUUCUAAUUUUUUUUAUUUUAAAGAUAUAAGUUAAGAGUAGGAUUGAUGGAUGAUUUAAUGUGAAGAACUAUUAUUUUUUUUUCUCAUUAAAUUUGGCUCAUUUUCUAUUUAAAUAAUGUAGAAGGACACAUGUCAUUUUCUUGUGUGAUGAUGUGAUACUCAUAUGGAGAGAGUCGAUCAACUUUUAUAUAUAUGAUUAUAGGUUUAGGUAAUUAGGUUCAUAAUUUUCUAGGUCGAUUACUAGAAAAGGUAAUUAGUUUUGUCCUCUCCAGUUAACCUUUGCUGAUUUCAAAUAUGGUAAAAUGUAUGUGUGAGUAUAUAAAAUUAUAAACGAUUAAAAGAGAUAUGGGAUGUAGCGGUUUGCGGUAAUAUUGUUAUUGUGUCAUCAUUCGAAUUUAAAUCUUCAUACUAAAUGUUGUUGAUAGGAAAAAAAAUUACUCAACAAAAUUAGUAGCCUAAUAGUUUGUUCUAGUGUCGCCCUUCUAUUAACAUAUGAGUUUUGAAUUCGAUGAAAUGUAUAUUUUCAAAAAGAAAAAAAAUUAUAUCUCAACUAAAAAUACAUACAAAAAUAAUUGUAAAUAGGCAUGGAAAAUUUAUCCAAACUGGACCAAACUCAUCCGAAUCAAAAACACUUUUUCCGUUACAACUCGAUCUAUCAAAACUAACUCGAUCUAUCGAAACUAAAAACUUUAAGUUUAAUUAACAAAUUGACCCCACUUUUAAAUUUUGACUCUGUUGUAAACUGUGUCUUUCAUUAAUAGAAUAAGGGAUAUAUAUACAAGGAUAAUAGCAGGAUACAGAGAAUAAAGUAAAACCCUAAUGGGCCAUGGGCCGGUUAUGGAGUCCAUCUAUAUUGUUUAUAACACUCCCCCUUGGAAGACAUAACCGUGCCCGAUACUAAACCGAAAUCUCUAUAAUGCACUGGGGAAUGUUGCCUCAUUAAAACCUUACCAGGAAAACCCAGUGGGACAAAACCAUGGUGAAGGAAAAAGAGUACAACACGCAAUACUCCCCCUGAUUUGAGCAUCACUGUAGAUCCUUAAGUCCGCGCAUCCCGAUCUGAUGAAUGAGCUUCCGGAACGUUGAAGUCGGCAAUGAUUUGGUGAAUAGGUCGGCUGAAUUCUCACUUGACCGGAUCUGUUGAACUUUGACCUGACCGUCCUUCUGUAAUUCAUGAGUGAAGAAGAGCUUUGGCAAAAUGUGCUUCGUUCGAUCCCUCUUAGUGUAGCCAUCCUUGAGUUGAGCAAUACAGGAUGCGUUGUCUUCAAAUAUGAUGGUCUUUGAUGUAGUAGUAGAUGCGCCUUAAGGAAGGCUGCCUACGUACCCUUGGAAGGGAUCAAGCCACACAUAGUUCCUAUUCAUUGACCAUACCAUAAUCUGAUCUUAUGAAUAUCCUGCAUUAGUAAAUCAAACUAAACCAAAGCAAACUGGACCUUCUUUGGUUAGAUCAGUAUAGAAUAAACCCAAGUAAACAACGCAGGAAGAAUAGACUUUAAAACUUAAUCAAACCUUCCUUUAAACCUUUCCAGUGCCUUUGGGUUGAUCAUGAACUAAAUUUAGAUAGGAGACUCACGGCAAAACAAAUGUUUGGUCUAGUGUGUCUAGCCAAAUUCAUUAGAACUUCUAUGGCACUGAGGUAUGGCAUUUCCGGACUGAAUGGAUCACUAUCCAAUCUGAGGCUUCUCACCACCAUUGGGCCUGGUCAAUGGGCGGGCCUGGUCCUUAUUAAAUCUCCUUGAGUACUCUUUCAGUGUAUGCCAUUUGAUGCACAAGGAUUCCAUUAUUCACGUACUCAGGUUGUAAUCCCAAACAGAACUUAAUUAUUGCCUAGGUCUUUCAUUUCAGAUUCUUUCUUUAGAUAUACUCAACUGUUUGGUCGAUUACCCAGAGGUUUAAAUCAUUCAUAUACACUGCUAUGAUUACAAAUCCUUUGUUUGCAAACCUCUUGAUAAAAAUACAUGGACUGAUCGGAUCGUUUUUAUAGCCUUCUCUGAUGAGAUAUUCGCUUAACCGGUUAUACCACAUACGUCCGCUUUGUUUCAGUCCAUAUAAGGAUUUAUCAAGCCUUAUGCAGUGUUGUUCUCGAGAAUCUUUCUUAUCUUUGAGCUCAAUACCCUCUGGUAAUCUCAUAUAUUAUCCAGUGGACAUAUAUAAAUAUGCAGGCAUUACAUCCAUUAGCCGCAAAUCUUUCUCUUUUAUAUAGCCAGACUUAGCAAAAAUUUAAAUGUCUUAGCAUCCACCACAGAGGAGUAUAUCUCCUCUAUUUCUGGUCUUUGUGUGAAUCCUUGUGCGACAAGCCGUGUCUGAUAUAUCACGCUUUCACUAUGUUUAUUUCACACAAUCACAAAGACUCAUUUGUCCCACUGGCUUUACAUUGAAUGGUAUCCUUUGUAUUGGACCAAACACAUUCUUCUUCUUAAUGAUUCUUAGCUCCACGUUUUAUGGUAUUGUACCAUUUUAAUCAAUCAGGUCUUUGAGUGCACUCUAGAAUAGACGUGGGCUCCUGAUCCUCAUUCAUUUCAGUUGCUACCUUGUGCGCAAAUAUAUUAUCAUUGAUGUCGACAUCUUUUCGGUUCCAUUGUAUUCUAGAUAUGAUAUAGUUUAUAGAGAUCUCUUUACACCUUCAGGACCUUGAGGUUUGGCGUCCCAAACCUCAUUGAUUGGUACCUUAGGGUUAUGUCUAUUAGCCGGCCAUGUCUAUGGUUUCUUGAACCUUCUCGGUUUCCCUUGCACCUUUCUUUGAUUUCCGAGGGUUCUUGUCUUUGGAACCUUUUAGGUCUACCACGUUUCUUACGUGUUGUAGCAACUUGAUUGUGUUCCUUGUGAACAUCAAUACGUACUGGUGCAUUACAAGCUGGUAUGUACGAUUUUGUUACUCUUUUGGGUCAUUAUAGGAAUAUUGGCAACUGUUUUAGCUAGCUUUUGCAGAUAUAUAGUCUUUUGGAUCUCUGAUGGAGUCCGAGGAUCUUGCCAUGUGAAGGAUGUUUGAUUCCAUGUAAGUUCUUUGACCAGCUUGUUAGUCUCUCCACCUAGUGUUGGGAAAACGGAUUCAUUGAGAUGACAAUUCUUGUAUCUGGCCUUUGGCUCGAGAUACGUAAUGAUGGUGGGAGAAUCAUUGUUAAUGUAUAUUCCCAUCCCCUUUUGAGGUCCCAUCAUUUGCUCUCUGUGGUGGUGCUAUGGAUAAAUAGGUGACACACCCAAAUGUCUUUAGAUGGGAAACUUCUGGCUCAUGACCCGUUAGCAAUUGGGAAGGGGAAUAUCUAUGCUAACUAGAUGGCCGAAUGCGUAUUAGUUCAGCAGCGUGUAAAACUGCAUGUCCCCAAGCUGAGACUGGAAGCUGCGACCUCAUGAGUAAUGGUCGAGCAAUUAGUUGAAUUCGUUUAAUGAGGGAUUCAGCUAAUCCGUUUUGUGUAUGGACAUGUGCCACAGGAUGUUCCACACUUACCCCCAUGACCAGACAAUAGUCAUUAAAUGCUUGGGAAGUGAAUUCACCAGCAUUAUCUAAACGUAUGGUCUUAAGAGGAAAAUCUGGAAAAUGGGCUCGCAAUCUGAUGAUUUGGGCCAAUAACCUAAUAAACGCUUGGUUCCUAGAAGACAAUAGGUAAACAUGCGACCAGCGGGUCGAUGCAUCGAUUAAAACCAUGAAGUACCGAAAUGUUCCACAAGGUGGAUGGAUCGGACCACAUAUGUCUCCUUGAAUUCGUUCCAGAAAAUGUAAGGUCUCUUUAGACACUUUGACUGGUGAAGGUCGAGUGAUAAACUUCCCUUGUGAACAGGCUAUGCACGUGUGGUGCUUAGGGAAAACUCGGUUUUCUUUAAGGGUGUGCCCUUUAGAACUUUGAAUUAAUUUACGCAUCAUAUUGGAACCGGGCUGGCCAAGCCGGUCAUGCCAUUAGUGAAUCUCUCAGUAAACCCUUUUGUUUACUUUAUUAGCCUUUAUCAUAUUGAUCUUGGCAUAGUAAAGAUCUAUGACACGGGUAUAGUCUCUAAGACCUUCUCAUGGUCUUGGGUGCUCUUAGUAAUAUAUGGGAAUCCUUUGUUCUCUUCACCCUUAGUUUCAAUGUGGAAACCAUUCAAACACAUUUCUUUGAAACUCAACAAGCCCUUUUGGGCUGGGUGAAUAUGAAGAAUCUGAGGAUGUGUGCCCUUGGGAAUAUGGGCCUGCCCUUAGCCUUCACUAAAUUUAGCUAUACCCGCAAUUUGGCUAAUGAACCAUGUCUUUAGAUAUUUCGUUUAUUAAAUUCUCAUGUCAUCUAUCUCAUGGUCGAAAUCUUCUUCACCAUCGUGAUGAACUAAAUGAGCUUCUAGAUUCUUUUCAAACUCUCUUGAUAGAGAUCAACGAGAUGCUUAGGUGUCCUGCACGUCUUAGUCCAAUGGUUUCCCCAUUCUUCAUCAGUGGCAAACAAGUUUAUUUGAGUGUUGUGGUUUGGGUAUACCGCGGCCUCUACCUCGAUUACGACCAAAGUCGGGUCGGCGGCCUUAACCAUAUGAAUGGUUUCCUUGAUCAUAUAAAUUACAAUUGCCACUUCUACCACGUCCAUUCCAUUUACCAUGAUUGUGGCCAUGAUACUUAUCUCUUUGGACGUGGUUAGACUCUUUAGUCUCUUUAGGCUCUUUAGGCUCUUCAGCCCAAUGGGCUUCUGAUAAUGGGGUAGGACCAGGAGGUCUCAUUUCACUAUUUAUAACUCAUUGUUUUGCUCAGCAAGUAGCAAAACAAGAGUUUAGACUCGCAUAUGUGGUAAAAACCUUUUUCACGAUAUUGUUGCUGAGGUAAUAUAUUGUUUGUGUGAAAGGUCGAGAAUGCUUUCUCUAGCAAGUCAUUCUCAGUAACUUCCUCACCACGGAAUCUCAGUAUUGACACUAUUUUAAAUAGUGCUGAGUUAUACUCAUUCAUGGAUUUGAAUUCCUGGAAUGUGAGAUUCUUUCGAUCGAAUCGGGCUUUUGGGUAAUAGCACCGUUCUUUGGUGGUUAUAUUUAUUUUUUUUUUUUUCAACUCUGUCCUGAGGUCCAGAGGAUUCUUAAUAGUGAGGUACUGAUUUUAAGACUCUCAUUGAGGUGAUGGCGUAUGUUAGUAAUCGCCUUAUAUCUUUCUCUUCUAGUAACAUUGUUUUCUUCUACAAUAGAUUCACCAAGCCCUUUUUCCUUUAGGACAAUCUCAGUGUCGAAAGCCCAUUUUAAAUAAUUGUCACCAGAGGCAUUGAGUACCGUGUAUUCAUAAUAGUUGAUUUCUGAUAUCUAUAAUAUAUAGAGUUAAAUGAGAACUCAUGUAAUCGGUUAGACCAAGUCAUGCGGUAUUUAAGACCGAGCCAUGCUUGUCUUCAGCAAGUGUUUUCUAAACAAUCAUGUUAUAUAUAUAUGGAUGAAAUCAACCCUAGAAGAUUGAUCUAGUAUGCAGCAACCAAACAAUCGGAUCUUACUAGAUUAGGAUAUUAGGAUUUCGCGGUUAAGUUUUAGGGUUUUAGCAUCCACGAUUUAUAGUACUAGGGUUUUUGCUAGGGUUUCGGUUUUAUGUAUGGAAAUUUCUAUUUAUGGAAACUUUCCUUAUAUGGAAACUUUCUAUUUCUCAUCUAAAAAGAAAUCCUAAACAAACAUGUACUUUAGGGUUUUGGAAUAUUUCCUUAUGAAGGGGUUUCCUAUUUUGGUAACUUUCCAUUUUGGGAAACUUGCUAUUUUAGGGAACCUUUUAUUUUGGGAAACUUGCUAUUUUACGAAACUUUUUUUUUUUUUUGGAAACUUUCCAGUUUGAGAAACUUGCUAUUUUAGGGAACCUUUCUAUUUCUGGAAACUUUUCUUAUGUGGAACUUUCUAUUUAUGGAAACUUUCUAUUUAUGGAAACUUUCUAUUUAUGGGAAACUUGAUCUUAAACCAUGACUUAGGAUUUAUUAAACCGGUUUAACCUAGGAUUUAGGGUUUUGGUUUACUUUCGGUUUAACCUAGGGUUUAUAUUAAAACAUUCAAUCUAUCAUACCAUUAAACAUCUUUCCAUUCACUAGCUUCUCAAUUAAUUCUCCAAUCAUAAAUCAAAUCACAUGUGCCAAUUUUCAUGCAAAUUUUAUCUUAUCAAACUUUAAUUGGAUCAUGUAUAUAAAGCAUAAUAAAUAAAUAGCACUUAUCUUAAUUGGAGAACUGAAACAGAGACCCGAGAUCUGAUACGGAGAUUGGAAACAGUUAUGUCUCUUAGCUGGUUGGGACCUCCUACAAAAUCUCAAUAUAUAUAAUCCUGAUUCCUGAGAAACUCAAAAUUUUGCUCAUGGAAACAUGGCUAUUACAUUAGUAAAAAGAAAAAAAAUAGGGUUUCUGUAAUAUAUUGCAUAAAACAGUUCAAAAUCAAUAACAUAUAAUCCGUGCAUAACUCGUACAAAAAUAUAGACAGGAUUGAUAAUAAAUAAUCCAUGCAAAAUUUGUGCAAAUCUACAGACAUAAUUGACAACAGAUAAUCUGUGCAAAAUUCGUGCAGAAAUACAGAUAAAAUUGAUAACAUAUAAUCCGUGCAAAAUUCGUCCAAAACUACAGACAGAAUUGACAACAGAUAAUCUGUGCAAAAUUCGUGCAGAAAUACAUACAAAAUUGAUAACAUAUAAUCCGUGCAAAAUUCGUGCAAAACUACAGACAGAAUAGAUAACAGAUCAUCUGUGCAAAGUUCGUGCAGAAAUACAGACAUGAUUGAUAACAGAUAAUCCAUGCAAAAUUCGUGCAGAAACAAAUAUGAACAGAAAACUUAUCUCGAUAGAGUUUAGAAUUUUGUUUGCAGAGACGGCUAGGGUUUUGGUUUUGGUUUUUUUGUGAGAGAGAUUUAGGGUUUCGAGAUUUUUAAUUUUUAGGGUGAGAGGCUAUCGUGCUGAUAACGUGUUAUAAACUGUGUCUUUCAUUAAUAGAAUAAGGGAUAUAUAUAUAAGGAUAAUAGCAGGAUACAGAGAAUAAGGUAAAACUCUAAUGGGCCAUGGGCCGGUUAUGGAGUCCAUCUAUAUGGUUUAUAACAGACUCGUAAUAUUUUAGUAUUUAACCAACUUUAAUUUCAUUAAAAGUAAACUGAAACUUAGUAAAAUUAAUCAAAAAUUUAUAUCGAAGGGGCACACCAAAAUGAGCAUUUUUAACAAUUUCCAUUUUGUUCAAAUUGUUAAAAAUGCCCCUUUUGGUGUGCCCCUUUUGGUGUGCCCCUUUUAAAAAUGGACAUAUAAAAUGUGCAUUUUUGAAAAGAGACACACCAAAAGGGACAUUUUUAACAAUUUCCCUACUUUUAAAACAUUCUAUUAUUUUUUUUCCUUCAAAUUUUAAUUAAUUAAAAUUUUCACUAAAACAUUCAAACCAAAAUAAAAUGUCUUAGUAAACAAAAAAAUUGAACCUAACUAUAUUAUAAAGCUAAACACAAUCUCUAUAUACAUACUCUUAAAACGUAAUGAACAUUUUUAGCAAAAUUUUAAAGGAAAAUAUGACUCUAUAACCAAAAAAAAAUUAAUAAUUAGGAAACUAACACCAAACAAAAAAAAGAUGAUAUUCUCAAUAUUUUCUGUAUUAAUUCUACUUUUGCCCCUACUAAAACACACACACCUCUCAUCUCCUUCUUUCUACCUCUCUCACCAUCUCUUGGCCAGACCCUAACUCUAAUCAUGAUUCUAGUCUUCUAGAUAUGUCGCAGAGUGAUCGACAACUCCACGAUUUCAUCUCUUUAUCUAUUCAAGUGACUUAAAUGAUUGUUGCAUGCCUUGAAGCUUCGAGUAGAUCUCCGACGGAACUCCGAGAGCAAAAAAGUGCGGCAGCCAAAGUAAACGAGUUUCCAAUUUUUUUUUUUUUUUUUUGAGCAAAGAACGAGUUUCCAAUUUAGUGGCGAAAAACGGUGGAGGAGUGGUAGCGGAUGUGACUUCUUCCAGAUGAAAGAGAAACGAUGCUAGAUAUGGUCCAGAAAUCUCCGAUCAAAAUCGGAGCUAGCAAGGGCUUCUUCUGACGGUGGCGGCUGCGGGGAAGGUAGACCUAAACCAACAAAAUUCAAUUUAGCCGCAUCAGAAAUCACAGCCAUCGUCGAUCUAUCACCGGAACGAUUCAAUUUGAUAGACGUAUUAACCUACUAUAUAUCUCAGCUUGCUCCACGACCUUCCAACCCGAGACUCAUGCGAAGUAAUACUAAAGAAUAUAGCUCAAUUCCCUACUUUUCCAAACCUACUUGCUUCAUUUUUUUCGAUUGGGUUUUCGAAUCAACUAAAUAGCAUGAAUGUAUGUACUAUACUAUUUUGUCGUUAUGGAAUUAACAAAGUAAUCAAUUGAAGUUUAUACCGAUUUUGGUGUUCCUACAUCUUUGUUUUGAUUGGUUGGUCUUACAAAGAACAAAUAUAUAACUAAGAUGAUGGCGAAGACGAACUAUACUAUUUAAGAUGAUGACGUUACCAUCCGUUUUCACUCUCCUCAAGCACACGUACAAAAAGAGAAACGAGUGAGAAGGACUAAGUAGACUUUUUACCCCUCCUUUGUGUUACUCACUUAAUUUCUUUCUUUAUAGUGCUAUAUCCUUAAAUAUUUUAUCAAAAUGUGUUAUUUCUGCAAAAGACCCAAUUUUAAAAACAAUAUAUUUUUUACUAUUAAUAAAACUAUACGUAAAAUUAUAUAGAUUAAGAUUCGCUCAUGCAUAACAUGGGUUCUUACCUAGUAUUUUGGUAUAAUUCCGUUUUGUUAACAAUACUUGGACCAAAAUAAACCAAAUUUAUUUUCGUUUAAAUUCGUAUUUUUAUUUUAAUUAUACACUAAAUCCGGUGGAAGCCCCCUUGGCUCAUUGGUUGACUAAGGGUUGAUUAAUGCUUCUACACCAAGAGGUCUGGGGUUCGAGUCUCAGGUAUUGCGAUUUAUUAAUAAAUUUGCAGAUUAAUGGAGGCAAGUGUGCAAGAGAUCUCCAGCGAUGUACAAUUAUAGCCGUUCGCCAGGAUUCUACGCAGAGAAGGAAGUAUCGCCAGGUCGUGGAUCAUUGAAGGUAUUCAUCAAGAUUACAAAGAAAGGAAGUGUAGUCUGUCGUGGAUCUAGUAAGGGUCGGAAGGAAUUGUCAGUUGUAGAAUCGUCUAUGUAACAGUUCUCAUAAUUUGCAAUUAAUAAUAAAUUUAGACGACAAAAAACACUAAAUCCGAAUUACCCAAACAAAACGAUAUAAAUAUCCUAAUGGGAAGCCUUAUUUUU
rnacentral:lncRNA from 1 species